rnacentral:lncRNA from 1 species
UAGUUUACCAAAUAACGGAAGCCGCACAAUUUUGUUGCAAUCCCCAAGUUUAAGAGAAAUUAAAUUACUAAGAAUAAUUAUCCAACUUGGUAACGAUAAUCCGUCAUAGCAAUUUAUAUCCAAGCACUUGAGAUUUGAGUGAGGUUGAAGCUCUUCGAGUAAUUGCUCAGAUCUAAUUAUAGAUUCCUGUUGCGAUAUCCACGACAAGCAUAAUUCAUGAAGGUCUUUUUUACCCUUCAAAUUAGCCGCUUCAGCUUCAGAUAAACUACCAACAUUGUUUAAUCCUUUGAUACUCAGUUUUCCACCGAGGUUUAGAUCAUGUAACUCUGUCAAGCUAUUUCCUUUCUCUAAACUAACAAUGUACACACUUAAUGUUCUUAGACAAGUUAAUUUUCCAAUGUUGGGAAACAUUCGAAAUAAAGAUCCACAUCCUUCAAUGACUAUAUGUCUAAGAUUUUGUAAGCAAACCAAGCGUUUUGGGAGACAACUCAGUUCACGACAAUAUUUUAUUUUCAAGAUUUCCAGUUUUUGUAAGUUGUAAAUUGAGUUAGGCAACUUUUUUAUAUCAAGAGAACAAAGUUCCAAAUACCUUAAAUGAAUUAAACUCCAUACUGGGCCUUGUAGAGAGGAUGUGCUUAAAACUCGAAGAGAGCUGUUUAAUGGGAAGUGAUCAUGUUUUUUUGGAAUAUAAUUCUCCAAGUCAAACAAUGUUCGUAAGGAUUCAACUUUUUUGAAGGCACCCUCAUCGAAUGAUAACAAAUUUUCAGAGUUAAAACUUAUGUGGUGUGUGUUUUUUGUCAAAUUAGUCAUGUUUGCAUUCUCCAAAUACAUACAUUCUUUCCCCGUUACUGAUUGAGCGAGAUCAUGGACAAGAUCAUGCAUCUUGAAAGAAAUGUCUCCAAAAUAUUCAUCCAUCUUGCUAUCUUGAAAGAAUGAUUUUUGGUACAAUUCCUUCCAAACCAUUUUUCCAACAUCUUCAACGUCCAAAUUACCCAUAGAUGAAAUAAAUUCAUUAGCCAUCCAAAGUCGAAUCAAUUCUUCUUUUAGGAUUUCUCUAUCCUUGGGAAAUAUAGCACAAAAAGAGAAACAUUGCUUUAGGGUUGGUGUUAAAUAAAAGUAACUCAAUCUCAAAGCGGGCAAAAUAGAAUUUUCUUGUGGUAAAGCCCAAAGCUCACUGUCUUUAAUAUCAAGCCAUUCCUUUUCUUCAUUCCUUGAGCUCAUCAAACCCCCCAAUGCUUUUGCUGCAAGAGGCAAUCCAUUACAUUUCUUUACUAUCUCCUUUCCAAUUUCCACAAACUUUGUAUGCUCUUUGUAACGUCUAAAUGCAUGUUGUUUGAACAACAACCAACAGUCACUAUCAGAGAGACCAGACAAACGGUGAGUUUCCCAUGUUCCCAUGAUUGUUGCAACAUCCUCAUCACGAGUGGACACUAAAAUGGAACUACCUUUUGAUCCACACGACAAAACAGAUUUCAAAUGAUCCCAUCUAUCUUGUGUUAACCCAAAUUCCAAUUGUUCAUUUUGAUUCCACACAUCAUCCAAAAUCAGCAAAUAUAUUUUCCCUUGCAACAAUCCUUGCACCUUUCUUUCCAUUACAUCUAAAUCAAAGUCAGCACACUUCUCUCUUGUGAUAGAUUCUAUAAUAGAACACAAAAUCCUUUUGACCGAGAAAGUCUCAGAAACACAAACCCAAAUUUUUUUAUCAAAAUUGCGACUCACCCUAACAUCAUUGUAGAUCAAUUGAACAAGAGUUGUUUUUCCAAUACCACCUAAACCAACAACGGGAUAGACAGAAAUAAAGUCAGAGUCCUUCGCAAGGGUAAGAAGAAACUGGACAAUCUUUUCUUUAUCAUCGUCUCUUCCUAACACUUUUGUUUCAAGAGGGGUGGAGCUGGUUUGGCGCCCUUCAGCAGCUUGAUCUGGGCUUUCCCUAAGAGUUACACCCGUAUGGAGAGAAAACUUGUUCUUACGUUCAGCAAUACGAUCCAACCUCCCUGUAAUCUCUUUCAACCUGUUACCGAUCUUAUGGCGAAACUUUAAAGAUGUGAAUUUUCUCAGUCGACUAGACUUGAUCGAACACUCAUCAAGGAUGUCAUCGAGCACAUAAACAGCAUCUUUGAGGUCUUGUAGCCAUACCUUAAUGAAGUUGUCUUUGACUUGUCUCUUUUCAGCAUCUUCAAGAACAGCCUUGAUGUCAACUAAGGUGGUUGAUAGGUUUUCAGCCUUUGACUUGAUUCCAGAAAUAGUAGAAAAUUCAUUUUGAAGCAGAGAUAUCAAAUUCUCAAACACAACUCCAAGAAAGGGAUCAGCCAUUUUUUGAGAAAAAAAAGAGUUGAAAAGAUAAGAAAAAUGAGAAAUUGGUUUAGAUUGAAAGAGUAAUGAAGUAAACAGAAUGAAGAACUUUGAAAAUAAAUGCAAUGGUAGUAGAAAGUUAGGUGCUGAAUGGUAGUAGUAAUUUUUAAAAUAAAUGAUUUGGAGGAAGCUUCAAUGUACGUUUACCUCUUAAUAUAAAAAAAUAAUAGAAAAAAUUCACUUCAACAUGCGUAAUCCAUAAACAUAAUACUCCCACCGUCCCAAUUUAAUUGAACCAUUUAUUCAUUUCACACUUAUUAAGAAAAAUAUAUUAACGAAGAAGACAGAAAAAUAGUUUUGAGUGUUUUUGUUAAUUAUUGGUCCAUUAUUCUUUAUCAUAAAUGUAAAGUAGAAUAGAUUAUAUCGGAAGUGAUGAAAGUAAAAUAUUAAUUAGAGUUAUAAUUAAAAAAAAGUAAUUAAUAUUGUAUUUAAAAGUGAAAUGACUCAGUUGUUUUGAGAUACUUUUUAUUGAAAAUAACUCAGUUAUUAUGGAAGAAGAAGUAGAAUUUUACGGUGACAGGAAAAAAAACAAGUACCAAAACCGAAACCAUGUCAGAAGCAAUAAGACAAGCGGUGCCUCGGUGGUAGAUUCAUGAACUUGUAAAUUCUUUAUUCAAGAUGUGACCGACCACUUUAACCAAUAAGAUGUGGCCGAUAGAAUAAUGAUCCCUACACAGCACGAUAGCCAGUUGUUUAUGGGUCCAACUCCAACACUUGUUUUAUUGGUGAAAAAAAUAAGUCUUAUCUAUUAUUCUAAUGUUUAGAUAAAAUAAUAUUCCAUCUAUCCCGUGAGUUUUUUUUUUAAGAAAUCUAUCCCGUAAGUUUGAUUCAGUUAGUAAAGGAUAUUGCGUAUUAUAUGUAAGAAUCGGAGUUCGAAACACCAUACUUUUUCACAUUUAAAAUCUAUUAACUUAACUCUAACCACCAAACUACAUAACAAAAAAAAAACAAUAUUAAAAACCAUCUAACUGUCAAAAUUAUAGUUUCAAUUUAAUCAUUUAAUUCAAAAUUAUACUUCUUAUGAUAUCUAUGUUAAGGAGUGGGUAAACACAUCGUAGGCCCCUAUGUUUAAUAGCAGUUUUGAUGGUUGAUCAAUAAACACAUAAAUAUUGCUCACUUUAUUGAAAAAAGCCGAUCCAGAGUUACGAUCUGAUCGUAUUUUACACACAAAAACAAUUGAUCAGAAGUUACGACACGGUUGGAAGCAAAAUUGAGGAGUCUAUCGAACAACUUUAUGAAUUUUAUAUGGCACACAACAGAAGUGGAAAAAGGCACAUGUAACUUAUAAUUUGGUGUUUUCUUUGUUGGAUUUUCAAUUGGACAACUACGAAACAUGGUCACAAGAAGCAUACCUCAUGUUGCAACCGCAGUAAUGCUUUUUGGCUUUGAGCCAACAAUUGCAUAUGGCAAAUGGAUUUGGAGGAGUCAAUUGGGUUUUGAUGGAAAAGAAAAAGGAAAAAAUGUUUGGAUGAUAUGAAAUUGUAUGCUCUAUAUAAUUGGAUUGAGGUGUGUCAUGUGGACCCUAUAGUUUCUUUACAAUUCUAGAGAUAUUUUUAACAUGCAUUAUUAAUAAAUGUCAUUGCUACUUGCAUGCCCAUCACUUGAGAUUGGAUGGCAAACUUAUCCCUAUAGUAAUAAAAAGAUACACAUAGAUAUAUCUUAUCAUAAAAAUAUAAACUACAAUGACCUAAUGUGUGGUACAUUAACACUUCCUGAAAGUAAAUGUUGUAGUUAUUGUUUAUAUUAAACCUUAUCUAUCAAUUUUGAAAUAAUUAUUUUGUCAGGUGAUAUUGGAGGAAAUUUUGUACCUCUAUUUUUAUUAAGAUCACAAAUUCAUUAUUUUUUUCUUUCUAAUAAAUAGUUUUCUUACCAUCAAAUAAGGAAAAAUGUUUUGUUUGAUCCGUGAAACAUUUUUUUUUUAAAGAACAAUACAUAAUACCAAGAGAUGGAUAAGUACAACACAAACAUCAAGCUAUGUCGUGAGUAAUCAAGUUCUGCUAAUAAUAAAAGUGUCUCCAAUAUUUUUGCCCUACAACAUAAGUACAACACAAACACAAAACUCAUGUAUUGAUACAAAAAUCUGCAUAAUUAUGAAGAAUUGCAGGAGCAACCAAGUUCUUUGCUUAUAAUAAAACGAUAGAAAAAAAUAUCCAAGUUAAACUAACCAUUCAUAUUGACAUUACUAACUAAAACGUUGAAUGAUUCAAUUACAACACCUCUUGGCCCGCCUCGGAUCAGCCAUAACAAUCUCAGCAGCUUUCUCAUUAGCCAUAAUUUUCUUCAACUCUGAAGCAUUCUUCUUAGUCUAAGACAUCAAAUUCCGACUAAGACUUAUCAAAUCCUUCUUCCUCUGAAGCAUUAUUCUCGGUCUAAGACAUCAAAAUUAGUUCAAAUCAGCAAAAAGGUAAUAUAAAUCCAAGUAAAAUAAGAACAGUAAAAAUUCACAGUAACAGAGAAGUUAUAAAAGUAAUUACAAUUCCCAUAUUGUACGCAAGCAUUGUCUCCUCAUACUCCUCCUUGAACUUCUCAAACUUAGCAAUGAAUCGAGCCUUAUCCUAAAAUACACAUAAAUCACAAAAACAUUUAAAAACAAAACACGAACUAAGAUUUAUAUCAAUUUUCUUCAGUGAAACAUAGGUGAAAUUCUCACAGCAUCCUAACCUAUUUCAACCUUUAUAUCCAUUCCAUUCCUUUCCACCAACUUUCCCAACCUAAUUCAAAUUCACCGUAAAUCACGUUAGAAAACUCAAUAACAUUCAAAAUUUCCUAAAAAUCAAAUUCAACAGUUAAACAAUAUUGCUUCACAAAACUCACCACGACAAUGGAUUUGUUGCUUGGAUUCUCUUUUCUUAAACCUCUCUCUGAAUUCAGACCUAAAAAUCACAAAACAAAAAUCAUCAGAAUCAAUGGAACUUCAGCAUGUUGCAAAUCAGACACAAAUUUGUAUGGCUGAUUCCAGUACAGGUUUCACUAUAAGAAUUUGUAUACGAUCACUCUAUCAGACACAAAUCAGAUCGAAAUUAUAACUCAACAUCAACAAAAUCUACACCAGAAUCAAGAUUAUCACCAAUGUUAUAGUGAAAACCUAGAAAAAGACCAGAUGUAAUAAGUUUUAUUCUAAAAAACACCAUUGUUUGUUCAAUAAAACAACAAAAUACAAAAUUCACUUAAUUUAACGUUAAAUCAAAUAAACAUAAAUAAACCCAGAUAUUUAAUUCUAAAAUUCACAAAUUAGCAUACAACAAAUUGAAUACCUGGGAAAAUGGAAUUAGGUCAGCAAAAUCAAUGAAUUUUCAUGGGUUAAAACCAACAAAUCUAGAUGUAGAGGAUUUUGAGAUCUGGAUUUGAUGUGAGAUGAAUAUGUUCAUUCUCAACUCACAGUCUUGUGGUGGUUUACGUAAGGUGGCUGGAGCUAGAGGCAAUGACGAUGAAGAAGAGCAGAGCAUCGACUGAGAGAGGAGAAGAGAAGAGCAGUGACCGGAAGAGAAUGAGAGAGAAGAGUCACGUUUUUUUUUUUUGUUAAGAGGCAUUGAGCGUGUGAAAUAUUUGUCAUUUACAAUGUUAAGAGGCAUUGAGCGUUUUUUUUUUUUUUUUUGCAUUGGAACAUUUGUCAUUUACAAUGUUACUUUUAACUUUACAUGGGAACUGCUUUAUUAUACACACAGUUGCACAACCAUAUAAAUGUGCAUGGAAAAUAUACGCACGUUUACAGCUUUGCCAUUGAAAAUGUGCAUCCGAAAUAUGAAAUGCUUUAAAUGUUCUUCAUGUUUGAAUGGUGUACCGCCCUAGCAUAUAGUGAAGAGAUUUGAAAUUUGAAAAUGGCAUUAAAUGUGAUAUUAUUAGCAAAAGUUUCCCGCUCUAAAUCUAGGUUUAGGGUUUUAGAGGUGUUGUGUGCAUUGUACAUUAGGAUUAGAUAAUACUAGGACUAUUACCCGUGCUAACGUCCGGGACAUUAAAAAUGGAGAAGCUAAAAAAGUUCCGAUAUUAUUCAUUACAUAAAAAAUAAAAUAAAUAAACAUAAAAAGUAUUUAAGAGCAUACAAAAUAUUGGGUCACACAUUUUCGAAUAUCUCCUUAUAAACUACAUUUGAAGUGGUGCUGAUACAAUCCCAUUGUCAUCCGUUAAUAAUUUCUUCAGACCAUCCCUUGAUGUCACACGUGAUACUGCAACAUAUAGCUGCCCAUGUGAGACGACCGACUGUGGAAGAUAGAUGCCAACUUGCUAUAGAUCCAAACAGCUGCAACUGCCAACCCUAUAGAUGCUAGCCAGCAGCUGAAACCAACAACUAAAAUGCCAACAACACCAUGACAGCACCCUGAAACCACCAAAAACCUGCACAACACCACCAGAAAAGCUCCCAAAAUGACAGCAGAACCCGCACAAAAUAAAGGAAUUAAACGUAAGGAAUGUUGAAUAACUAAAUAUACUUCGCAAUCAUAUUUUCAAUUUAUAAACACAGAGCGAAGUGGAAAGCACAAUCAUUAAAGGUCAGCAUCAAUGGACAUAUUGGUGUGUUUGAAAAAAAAAUAAACAUAUGAUUUUAAAGUAUCAAUCAAUUUAUUAACAACAUAAUACAUGAUGGUAAAAUCUAUUUAAAUAUCAUCAAUUCACUUACAAACAAACCAAAAAUGUAAUGGAAUAACAAAGUUAGGGAAAAGUUACAGGAACAACGAUUUAGGAUAUAUAUAGUAGCAUCUUCAACACAUAUGGCUGAUACGAUGCCGCAGACGACAACGGCCAAGGUGAUGUCGGAAUCGAGAGCAUUGGUGAAGGGCGACGACAGGAGAGAGCUGCGGCAACGGAGAGAGCGGCAACGACAGAGAAUUUUGUUUGAAUGUCUGAGAGUGAGGUGGAAGAUGAACAACUCAAAGGGCGAAGAGAUUUUUUUUGAGUAAAAGCAAUCUGAAUUCCAACACAUAAAGAAGGAAUAAUGAGAGUGGAGAGAAGAGAACUUUAAAAUGAAGGAGAAAGAGGUGGACAUCGAUAAGUGUGGAGUCAAUUUGGGAAUUGGAGGAUAAUUAAUGAGUCAAAACUUGGAAAAGUGCAUAGGAAAUAUACAUCAAAUUUGAAAAUUUGACUCAGAUUAGAUCAAAGGAUGAGAUGCAUGCUUAGCCAAAUGAUGAGAUCCAACGGCCUCCCUUGUUUUGGAGCCAAAACCAUUUAGGUUUAGGGUUUGCAAUUUCAUUAGCAAUGUUAACAAAGAUUAGAUAUAAGCAUGACUAGGACUAUUACCCGUGCUAACGCCCGGGACAUUAAAAAUGGAAAAGUUAAAAAUGUUCCGAUAUUAUUCAUUACAUAAAAAAUAAAAUAAAUAAACAUAAAAAGUAUUUAAGGGCAUACAAAAUAUUGGGUCACACAUUUUCGAAUAUCUCCUUAUAAACUACAUUUGAAGUGGUCCUUAUACAAUCCCCAUUGUCAUCCGUUAAUAAUAUCUUCAGACCAUCCCUUGAUGUAACACGUGAUAUUGCAACAUAUAGCUGCCCAUGUGAGAAGACCGGUUGUGGAAGAUAGAUGCCAACUUACUUAAGUGAUUGUCCCUGACUUUUGUUUAUAGUCAUUGCAAAACACAAAGCUAUAGGAAACUGUAUGCGUUGAAAUUUGAAAGGAAUUCUGGUAUCAGAUGGUUCAAUGACAAUCUCGGUAUGUAGACCUUCUCUCCAACAUUGCUUCCUGAUAUUACCCUCCCUUCAAUAACAUAUCUUCCCAUCUUAGUGACUAUUAGUCGAGUACCAUUACACAAACCUGCUGUUAUGUCCAAAUUUCUCAACAACAUAAUAGGAACUCCAACUUUCAAAGUAAUCUUGUGAUUAGGAAGACCCGAUGAAUUGAUUGUGUUCAAGAAUUCUGGUAUGUGAAUAUCAUCUGGCCUAUUGACUGAUGCGAUAUCUGCUAUUACAGAAUCACAACUCAAAUAUGUCCUUUCUUCGCCGGGAAUGAGAGACAAAACAUAGUUAUUAACCUCAUCAACAAUUGUAUUUUUAGGAGUCAAUAUUGCUUUAUCUUGAAAAAAAGAUGUAUCAUGCAUAUUGAGUAAUAUUGACGGAUAGAUGCAGUCAACAAUUGAAGCAAUAUGAUCACUUGCGCUAUUAACGAGUAGAUCAUCUGGGAUUUCCACCUGAAUGCUAUCAUCUCCAAUCCCUAAUACCCAUUUGGCGAAUUCUGUUCUUUCUUGUACCUCAUUUGGUGAACAUCCAUGCAAAAGUCUCAUAUUCGUUGUUAAUGUUAAUACCUCACAAUGUCGCCAAAGUUUUGACGAAUUAAUACUUGUAUAAACGACAUCUGGUCUGGUGCCUUUAGGAACGACUGGUAGAAUCUGUCGAAAAUCUCCACCAAGAACCACAACUUUACCACCAAAAGGAAUGUCUGUCCUCCUGUUAUUAUGAUCUUUAAGGACAUCCCUUAAGGUGCGAUCAAGAGCUUCAAAGCAAUGUUUGUGCAUCAUAGGUGCUUCGUCCCAGAUGAUUAGUUUUGCUCGUAUAAUCAAUUGUGCCAACGGACUUUUAGGCUUUAUAGUGCAAGUCGAACAUUCGUCCACAUUGAAAGGAAUGCAAAACCUUGAGUGUGCUGUUCUUCCGCCAGGGAUAAGCAAUGCGGCAAUACCGCUGGAUGCAACUGUCAACACAAUUUCACCCUUCGAAUGCAAUGCUGAUGACAAAGCUCUCCAAAUAAAUGUUUUACCUACAUUAAGGAACCUAAUUAGAUUAAUAUCAUACACUUGCCAAUAUAUAUUUCUCACCGGAAUUUAACAAAAUAAUCAAUUGUUGUAAACUACUAUAUUUCAAGUAUAGAUCUGAUGCAAAAUUGUUGUACUAUUAUGCUAAUAUAUACCAUCAAAAUAAAAAUUUGAUAAAACAAUAAUUUUCCCAGCCAAAGACUACAAUAAUGAUUAUUACAAAUUUUUUUGAAUGUUAUUAAAACGAUAUAUUUUAAUAGGCAGCAAUGUGAAAUUUAAAAAACCAAGAUGAGCUUCGAAAACAAACACGUGAUAGAUAUUAUUGAAGUAGCAAUAAACGUCACAAGAAAGGGGGGGUUUGAAUUGUGACCCUUUUAAAAAUUAUUCCUGAAACUUAAUUUUAGAUUUAUAUACUCAAGAAUAAUCUUGGUGAAUGUUAGUUUAUCAAGAUUAGAGUAUAUAACAAUUAAUUGAAUUAGAACAGAACGUUCUGAAGAAUGAUUAUAAACAGAAUGAGAAAAAUGAAGUUAAGUUAAAAGAUUAUUUUAGCAAGGACCAGAAUGUUCUGGAGAUUAAUAAAAUAAUGUGUGUGUGUUGUGUAACUUUAAAUAAAGAGAGAGAGAGAGAGAGAGAGAGAGAGAGAGAGAGAGAGAGAGAGAGAGAGAGAGAGAGAGAGAGAGAGAGAGAGAGAGAGAGAGAGAGAGAGAAAUAACACAGGAGAGUUAUCCUGAUUCACCAAACCCGGCUACUUCCAGUCCCCACACCUCGUGUGAGAUUAUCCACUAUAGUUUUCUUGCUAACAGAAACUUCUGACUAGCACUACAAUUUCUUGAUCACACCAGAUCAGUCCAUAACACCUGUAUUAUCAACCUCAGCAGGCUUAUACAAUUCUUUGCACACUAGCAAAAGAAAGGUUGGAAUUUUCUAUCUCAAAACUAUUAAGCCCAAUAGACUUUGAGAAAUACAACACACUUUGUAUGAAGAGAUUUGUUUGGAUAGAAUAAAUACUCAAAUCUUUGUUUGAGUUUUACAAGAGGCAAAUUCAAGAGAGAUGAUCCAAGAGAUAUAGUGAGAGAGCUUGGAAUUUGCUUUGUAUGUGAAGAGCUUUGUUUGUAGUGAUGAUUUUCACUUUGAGAGAUAUUAGCUUUCAAAACUCUUGCUUAUGACCUUCAAAGGCCCUUGUAUUUAUAGGUGAGGAGUGUCUUGGUGACCAAGGGAGAAAAUAGAGCUGUUGGACACGUUUUUGAUAGCUGUCCAAAGUCUCAUUUGAUUUCUCUUUUCUUCUUAAAAAUAGCCAGAACGUUCUCAGAAUGUUCUUUCUGAUUUGCCUGACUUUGAAAGCACUGUUGCUUUGCUUGCGCAUGAGAUAACCAGCUGUAAUGAGCUGUAUAACUUGCAGCCCACUUCUGAUGAUGUCAUGUCCUUUUGCUCUAGUGAUGUCAUGCUUAAGUAAGCCAUGUGAUCUUAUCCAUUUAAUGGGCUUUACUUUUCCAAAUGGGCUUAAAGCUUUUCUUAUGGCCCAAUAGACAUAAUCAGCCAAGCUUUCUUGCUGUGCAGACUUGUUCGCUUUUGAUGUACUGUUCCUUUUUCAUCGUUUUCGCCAGAACGUUCUCAUUUCAUUCUCAUGAAACAAAUUCUCACAAAAACGAAUUAGUAGAUAACAAGAUUAAAUAAAUAUAAUAUGUUUGUAAUCUUUAAAACAUCAAAUAAGGAUUUUGUCUCAACAAUCUCCCCCUUUUUGAUGAUGACAAACAUUUAUAAUUUAUUUUGAUUUUGAUUUUGAGUUUUUGAAAAAUUUGUUAAAAACUCCCCCUCAAUUUUAGCAACCAAAAUUUUGUGCCAUUUUGAGAGUUUUCCAGAAUUUGUUUAUGGACAAUUGAGUUUGAUAAUUUUAUCAAAGAACUCCCCCUCAAUUCAUGCAUUCAAGAUUUAAUAUGCAAAAUGAGAAUAUAGAACAUAAACAACAUAAUUCAUAAAUCAUGAAGAUCAUUACAAGGUAUCAAACCUAGCAUUUCAAAACAUCAAAAAGCAUUGUUCAUAUGCGCACAUACUAGCAGCAAUUUGAUCCUUAGUUAAUCAUGAUCAAAAGACAUAAACAGAGAAAUAAAAACAGAGUUUUUUUUAAACAUCAAAAUACUUAAACAUAAACAGCAGCAUAGUGAUCUAUUCUUCCCUAGAUCCUAACUGUUUUCCUGGUCCUCCUAACUCAUAAUCCCCUAAAUCAUCUCCCCCUUUGUCAUCAUGAAAAGGGGCAGCAGCAGCAGUAGGUGGAAUGGUUGGAGAAGAAGCAUCAGAUGAUGAAGAGAUAGUAGGCAUGAACAUGGGAUACAUAGGAACUGGGAAUGGGUUUUGUUCUGGUCUAGCAAACUCAUUCUUGUCACUUAUGGAGUCCUUCCACUCCUGACAGAGACUCUCACGCGUCUUUGUUCUUUUGCCUUUCCUUNNNNNNNNNNNNNNNNNNNNNNNNNNNNNNNNNNNNNNNNNNNNNNNNNNGAAGAGACUUAAGGGAAUCCAUUUGGACAGAUGAAUCAAAAGCUUGUGGAGCAAAUAAUUUGUCCACUGAAUCACAUUGAAACAAAGCAGAAUAAUCAUGCUUUUGAGGAGAGAUAAACAAUUUUGAAGGUUUUGUGAUUAUGGUUUUUUCAGUGAAACUUUGAAGAAUUUCUGAAGCUUUGACUUUUGACAGAGAAGCAUGAUUGCCAAAGUUUUCAAGCAGUUCCUGAUCUUCCUCCAUCACAGGAGAACGUUCUGAAGAACGUUCUGGAGGAUUGCAGUGUUCAUCAGAAGCAUUUUAUGGAACUGGAUUCUGCAGAUCAGGCCCAUCUUCCCUCUUUCUUUUGAGGUCAGAAGGAGGCUCAUCAACAGGUUCCUGCUUCAUGUGACUCAGAUUUUUUGGAGUAAAUUGAGAAUACUCAAAAACAGAUUUUUCACCUUCAAAAGGAAUAUGAUUCUUAAUGAAGAUUUUGGUAAGAGCCAUUCCAUAAGGAAGACAAGAUUUUUUGUUACGAGACUGAAUAACAUUGAUCAUGUUAUGAAUAAUGAUAUGAGGCAGACUCAAUUUUUCUUUCAUUAAGAGAUGAUACAUGACCAAGAGAUCAUUUGAACUAACAUGUUGAAAAUUACCAUUUCUAGGCAAGACACAAUGUUGGCUUAUGCCAUUCAGCAUUUUUGGGGUUGGCAGAAGGUUCGAAGAAACAAACUCAGUGACAUUUGGUUUGAAAAGGAGUUUGUAAACAUUUUCAGAAUUGACUUCAAGUUUUUCAAACCAAUCAUCACCAAAGACAGUUUGACCAGAAUUUGAGAUACCAAGAGUAUCAGAGAUUACCUGUGGAGUGAGACGUAUCUCAACAUCCUUAAUCCUAGACACUAUUAAGCUUUCCUCAGGGUAUGCUUCUGCCAUGAAAUAGAAAGCUUGGACAAGCUUUGGGUAGUGUCUCUCACGAAGCUGUAGAAAUUUGGUCCAGCCUUGCUCAUCAACAUACUCCUUAAGAACGACUUUGUCUUUUUCCAGCUUGACAAAAUCAUAAUACCUUCCAAUUCCAAUUGACCUAUUUCCCCAUUUUUCUUUGAAAUCCUUUUUCAGAGAAGGAUCAAACAGAGGUACUCUCUUUCCUGUAGAGAUAUGAAUGAUCUUCUGUUUUGAAGGAUUUUUGGGCUUUGGAGAACAUUCUGGAGAAUAAUCUGAAGAGAGUUCAUAGUCUUUAUCAGAAAGACUUUCUGAAGAACGUUCUGGAGAACGUUCUGGUUGAGCAGUUUGCUUCUGCUUUCCUUUGUCCUUCACAGUUGGUUUAGGCUUUGGUUUUGGUACAGAAACCUUGAUAGGAGGUUUAGAGACCUUUUUGUUACUCUUAGGUUUGGGCUUAAGAGGAGAAGGAGUUUUCUCAGCCAAAGGGGUAGUUGGUUCAGUUUCUUCAUCUGAAUCAGAGAUUUCAUGUACAGUUGUGUCUACACUGUUGGUUUUCUUUGUUCCAACUGCAGAACGAAGCCUUUGAGAUUUUCUAGGUCUUGGAUUAGGAGCAGAUUUAGCCUUCUUGGGAGGCAACUUCCUUUUGGUCAUGUUCCUGAGAUGAGGAGCCAUUUUGUUCAAGUUUGGAGGUUCCUGAGGAGCGGUUGGUUGAUCUUCAACACCUACUCUUGGUGUGUUGAGAUUUAGGUUGACCGAAGUUGGUUGUGGUUCAACGUAGAGUACCAUCGCGAGAGGAUGGAAGGAUUCAGGGUCAGGGAUGAAAGGAAGUUCUUCGUCGUUUUUCAAUGGAGUUUUUUCUGGUGUGGUUUCGGUGGUGAGAUAACCAUCUUGCAUGAUUGGUUCUGUGGAGUUAUUGAGCGGAGAUUGUGGUGGAGUUUCGAAUGGAGUGGUUUCCUUGGUUGGUGAUGGAGUUGAAUCGAACAGAGGAGGAGAUGACAGCGGUUUUGUCACCGGAGGAGAUGGUGGAGAAGGAGAACGGGUUGGUGAAGGUGAAGGAGAAGAGUCAUCUGGGUUAGUGUUUCCGGUUCCUUUGGUUCUAGCCAUUUUGUGAUGAAGAAAAUGGUGGUUGAGAGAAGAAGAAGAGACGGUUUGAAGAAGGAAGAAAGUGGGAGUUUAGAGAGAAAAAGUGAAAACCGGUUUUGGGAGAAGGAAAAAGGUAAGAAGUGACUAUUAGUGGUUUAAUGAUGAGAGAGAGGACAAGAGCAUUAAUGAGCUGUAAGAGAUUUCUUGGUAAUUAAAUUUCUACCUAGAGAUUAGCUUAAAUAGAACUAAGCUGAAAGGACAAGGUUGAGGCGUGACCCUCAAGCCAGUCUUUGGGAGACAUUUUUCAAAGAAUGUUUUCAGAACAUUCUGAUGAAGAGAGACUCUUCCUAUUUUAAUCCUUUGCAAGGAUUUUGAAUAAUAUGCAAUUUUUCUUUAAUGAAAUUAAAGUGAUCCUCAACUAAAGGUUUAGUAAAGAUAUCAGCUAAUUGAUUUUUUGUAUCAACAAAAAUCAAUUCAAUUUCCUUUUUAUUGACAUGAUCCCUAAUGAAAUGAUGUUUUAUUUCAAUAUGUUUUGAUCUUGAAUGUUGAAUGGGAUUCUUUGAUAAAUUUAUUGCACUUGUAUUGUCACAAAAUACUGGAAUAUUUGUGUACCUUAUUGAGAAAUCUUCAAGUUGAUUUUUAAUCCAGAGAACUUGAGAACAACAGUUGGCUGCUGACACAUAUUCUGCUUCUGUAGUUGACAGAGCUAUAGUGUUCUGCUUUCUGCAUGACCAACUUAUGAGUGCAUUCCCAAGAAACUGACAUGCUCCACUUGUACUUUUUCUUUCUAUUCUGUCUCCAGCAUAGUCAUCAUCACAGUAUGCUAUAAGAUCAAAACAAGACCCUUUGCUAUACCAAAGGCCAAGAUCAGUAGUACCUACUAGAUAUCUGAAAAUUCUUUUUACAGCAGUUAAAUGAGAUUCCCUUGGAGAGGUUUGAAAACGUGCACAUAAACCAACAGCAAAAACAAUAUCUGGUCUGCUAGCAGUUAAGUACAACAGAGAUCCAAUCAUACCUCUGUAUUCUUUUUCAGAAAUGGUUUUUCCAUUUUCAUCCUUAUCUAAAUUAGAUGUUGGAUGCAUGGGAGUUGCCAUUAUUUUGGCUUCAUUCAUUUUAUAUUUUUUAAGAAGAUCUCUUAUAUAUUUUUCUUGACAAAUAAAAAUGCCAUUUGAUUCUUGCUUAAUUUGCAAGCCAAGAAAGAAUCUUAAUUCUCCCAUCAUACUCAUUUCGAAUUCACUUUGCAUGAGAUUUGAAAAAUCAUCACACAUUUUUUCAUUUGUUGAACCGAAUAUGAUAUCAUCAACAUAAAUUUGAACAAUUAAAAAAUUUGUUUUGUCAUUUUUUCUAAAAAGGGUUGUAUCAAUUUUUCCUCUAGAAAAAUCAUUUUUGAUUAAGAAUGGACUUAACCUUUCAUACCAAGCUCGAGGAGCUUGUUUAAGACCAUAUAGUGCUUUUGUGAGUUUAAACACAUGAUUAGGUUUGUUUGUGUUCUCAAAACCAGGAGGUUGAUGAACAUAAACUUCCUCAUUUAAAAAUCCAUUUAAAAAGGCACUUUUGACAUCCAUUUGAAAUAAUUUAAUAUUUUUAUGAGAUGCAUAUGCAAGAAGAAUUCUAAUUGCUUCUAACCUGGCUACCGGAGCAAAGGUUUCAUCGUAAUCAAUACCUUCUUGUUGAUUGUACCCUUGAGCUACCAAUCUAGCUUUGUUUCUGAUAACUUUUCCUUCUUCAUUUAGUUUAUUUCUAAAUACCCAUCUUGUUCCAAUGAUGGAUUGAUUUUGAGGUUUAGGAACAAGAUUCCAUACUUCAUUCUUUUCAAAUUGAGAGCGUUCUUCUUCCAUGGCUUUUACCCAUGAUUCUUCACAUAUUGCUUCUUGUAUAUUUUUUGGUUCAAUGUGAGAAAUCAUUGCCAUGUUGACAUCAUUAUUCAUAAAUGAUCGUCUUGUUCUUAUUCCAUCAGAUGUGUCUCCAACGAUUUGUUCAGGAGGAUGAUCACCGACGGUUUUCCAGCUUUUUGGAAGAACUUGAGAAGAAUGUUCUUGAGAAUCAUUACUUUCUUUUUGAGGAAUUUCUUCUUCAUCUUCUUUGUUGAUUAUCAAGUCAUCAAACUCAUCAAAAAUAACAUGCAUGCUUAUUUCCAUGGUUUGAUUUUUCAAAUUAUAAAUUCUAUAUCCUUUGGAGUUUGUUGCAUAUCCUAAGAAUAUUCCUUUAUCUGAUUUUGAAUCAAAUUUUCCUAGAUUUUCUUUAUCAUUUAAAAUAUAACAAUAACAUCCAAAAAUAUGAAAAUAUGAGAUGUUAGGUUUUAUAUUUUUCCAGAGUUCGUAUGGGGUUUUGUUUAAAACUUUUCUAAUUGAAACCCUGUUUAUGAUAUAACAAGAAGUAUUUAUGGCUUCAGCCCAAAAGUAUUUUUCUACAUUUGAUUCAUUUAACAUUGUUCUUGCCAUUUCUUGGAGUGUUCUAUUUUUUCUUUCAACAACUCCAUUUUGUUGUGGAGUUCUUGCACAUGAAAAAUUAUGAGAAAUUCCUUUUUCAUCAAAGAAGUUUUUAAAGAAAGCAUUUUCAAAUUCUCCUCCAUGAUCACUUCUUACUGAAAUGAUUUUUGAUUCUUUUUCAUUUUGAACUAAUGUGCAAAAAGUUUUGAAUGCUUCACAAGCUUCAUCUUUAUGUUUUAAAAAUAGAACCCAUGUAUAUCUGGAAAAAUCAUCAACUAUAACAAACCCAUAUUGUUUUCCACUUAGACUGGCGGUUUUAACAGGACCAAAUAGAUCUAUGUGAAGUAGUUCAAGAGGUCUCUUAGUUGAAACAAAAUCAUUUGUUUUAAAACUGCUUUUAACUUGUUUACCUCUUGUACAAGCUUCGCAUAUUCUAUCUUUUUCAAAAUCAAUUUUUGGAAGUCCUCUUACAAGAUCCAGUUUGGCGAUUUUUGAAAUAGUUUUCAUACUUAUAUGUCCAGCUCUUUUGUGCCAAAUCCAUUUAUCUUUUUCAAGUGUCAUAAAACAUGUUUCUGCUGGAAUAUCAUCUAAGUAUAAAGCAUAUAGGUUUUUCUUUCUAGAAGCGGUAAAGAAAAUCUUACCUGAGGAUGUAUGUUUUACAAUACAUGUAUUAGGUUUGAAAAUAACUUCAAAGCCACUAUCACAUAAUUGACUUAUGCUUAGUAGAUUGUGUUUUAAACCUUCAACAUAUUGAACAUCCUCAAUUUUUGCAGAGUCUUUUUUACCAAUAAUACCUUUACCUUUAAUUUGUCCUUUGUCAUUAUUGCCAAAGGUUACUAGACCUCCUUCCUUUUUUGUGAAGGAGAUGAAGCAUUGUUUAUCCCCAGUCAUGUGUCUAGAACAACCACUGUCCAAGUACCAUGGCUUUGUUCUUGCAUCUUGUGAGGAUCCCUGCAUUUUGAGUUAGUGGUUCCUUAGGUACCCAUGAAGAUGUGGGUCCUUUGUGGUUAGUUUCUUUGGUCUCAAGAUGUUUAAUCUUGAGAAAACAGUUUAAUUCUAGAUGACCUAAUCUCUUACAAUAUGAGCAUUCUUUUCUUUUUAAUGAGAAAGAAUGUUCUGGAGAAUGUUCUGAGAUAGAUGGUUCUUCUUUAAUUUCUAGUUUUCUCUUUUUAUGAAAACAGACUGAUUCAUGAUGUCCCCUUUUAUUACAGAAAGAACAUUUUAGUUUUUGUGGUAUAAGAACCUUUUCAUAAAUUUGAUUAAAACCUAAACCAGUUUUGUCAAAUUCUGCCAUUUGUGAACCCACAAUUUUUUGAAAUGUUUCUGUUGAUUUUAUAAACUGUGAAAGAUCAUUUCUAAGUUCUUUGACUUCCUUUUUAAGAAUAACAUUUUCAUUUUUAGAAAUUUCAGGAAGUUUUGUUUUUCCAAAAGCUUUUAAUUUUUCAGCUGCUUGAAAAUAAGAAUCUUGUAGACUUUGAAUGAUUUUCUUUUGAUCAUUAUUCAAAGUUUGAAGUUUCUCUUUUUCUUCUUUUAACUCAGAAAUUUCUUUUUGUAAAGAGUGACAUUUGUUUGUUAAGAAAUUUGAGUCAAAUAAAAGACUAUCAAAUUUAUUUUCUAACUCUUUAUAUACUAGAGGUUGGUUGAUAAGAAUUACCUCUUCGUUUUCUGAAUCUGCCAUUAGAACCAUGUUGGCUUCAGUGUCUUCAUCUUUUGAUUCUUCAAGAUCAUCCCAUGUAAACAUUGAUUUUGAGUAGGGAGAUUUUUUCUGACUCUUUUUGUUUAAUGGACAUUCGUUUUUGUAAUGUCUUAAUUUGUUGCAUCCAAAGCAGGUUACUUGACUUUUGUCAACUUCUCCUUUUGAGUUAUCUUUCUUGUUAGGAAAGUAUUUCUUUAUUUGAUCUCUUCUUCUCAUCAUUCUUUGAAUCUUCUUUGUGAUGAGAGCUAGUUCGUCUUCUGCUUCACCUUGGAUGUUUUCUUCUUCAUUGGUUUCUUUAAUUUCUUCGCUUUGUGAAAAGACAUCUUCUUGUUCACUUUGAGAUGCUUUGAGAGCAACCAUCUUUCCUUUCCUUGAUGGUUUAUCAUCUUGCAGCAGCGUCUCAUGAGCUUUUAAUGACCCAAUGAGAUCUUCAAGAGCUAAAGAGUUUAAGUCUUUAGCUUGUGUGAUUGCAGUUACCAUGGGUCUCCAUGUGCUUGGAAGACAUCUUAAGAUUUUUCUUAUCCGAUCAUGAGUGGUAUAAGUUUUUCCAAGUGAUCUUAAUUCAUUCACAAUAGAUGUGAAUCUGGAGUACAUUUCAUCAAUGUUCUCAUCUUCGUUCAUUUCGAAGAUUUCAAAUUUUCUUACGCCAAUGUCUAUUCUUGUUUCUUUUACAUGGCUAGUUCCUUCAUGAUGAAUUUUUAGAGUGUCCCACACUUCUUUUGCAGUCACACAUUCAUCAACUCUUUCACUUUCUUCCAUGCUUAGUGCGCAUGAUAGAAAGAGUCGAGCUUUAGAGUUUAGAAGUACUUUUUCUUUAUCUUCUUUUGACCAUGAUGCUUCUGGUGUGAGUGUCUCCACCUUUGUUGUUGCAUCGGUUGUCAUAGGUAUGUGUUCUCCAUUUGUGAUUAUUUUCCACAUAUCCACAUCUUGGGAUCUAAGGAAUAGUUCCAUUUUUCCUUUCCAGAAAUAAUAGUUCUUUCCAUUGAAGAAUGGUGGUCUUGUGCAUGAUAGACCUUCUGGUAUAUACUUUUCUUUUGACAUUGCCUUCUUCCUGAAUCUUUUCCUCCAACACUUGUUAGGUGUUUUUGUAGAGCCCGAGCUCUGAUACCAAUUGAAGUAGCAAUAAACGUCACAAGAAAGGGGGGGGGGUUUGAAUUGUGACCCUUUUAAAAAUUAUUCCUGAAACUUAAUUUUAGAUUUAUAUACUCAAGAAUAAUCUUGGUGAAUGUUAGUUUAUCAAGAUUAGAGUAUAUAACAAUUAAUUGAAUUAGAAUAGAACGUUCUGAAGAAUGAUUAUAAACAGAAUGAGAAAAAUGAAGUUAAGUUAAAAGAUUAUUUUAGCAAGGACCAGAAUGUUCUGGAGAUUAAUAAAAUAAUGUGUGUGUGUUGUGUAACUUUAAAUAAAGAGAGAGAGAGAGAGAGAGAGAGAGAGAGAGAGAGAGAGAGAGAGAGAGAGAAAGAGAAAAAUAACACAGGAGAGUUAUCCUGGUUCACCAAACCCGGCUACUUCCAGUCCCCACACCUCGUGUGAGAUUAUCCACUAUAGUUUUCUUGCUAACAGAAACUUCUGACUAGCACUACAAUUUCUUGAUCACACCAGAUCAGUCCGUAACACCUGUAUUAUCAACCUCAGCAGGCUUAUACAAUUCUUUGCACACUAGCAAAAGAAAGGUUGGAAUUUUCUAUCUCAAAACUAUUAAGCCCAAUAGACUUUGAGAAAUACAACACACUUUGUAUGAAGAGAUUUGUUUGGAUAGAAUAAAUACUCAAAUCUUUGUUUGAGUUUUACAAGAGGCAAAUUCAAGAGAGAUGAUCCAAGAGAUAUAGUGAGAGAGCUUGGAAUUUGCUUUGUAUGUGAAGAGCUUUGUUUGUAGUGAUGAUUUUCACUUUGAGAGAUAUUAGCUUUCAAAACUCUUGCUUAUGACCUUCAAAGGCCCUUGUAUUUAUAGGUGAGGAGUGUCUUGGUGACCAAGGGAGAAAAUAGAGCUGUUGGACACGUUUUUGAUAGCUGUCCAAAGUCUCAUUUGAUUUCUCUUUUCUUCUUAAAAAUAGCCAGAACGUUCUCAGAAUGUUCUUUCUGAUUUGCCUGACUUUGAAAGCACUGUUGCUUUGCUUGCGCAUGAGAUAACCAGCUGUAAUGAGCUGUAUAACUUGCAGCCCACUUCUGAUGAUGUCAUGUCCUUUUGCUCUAGUGAUGUCAUGCUUAAGUAAGCCAUGUGAUCUUAUCCAUUUAAUGGGCUUUACUUUUCCAAAUGGGCUUAAAGCUUUUCUUAUGGCCCAAUAGACAUAAUCAGCCAAGCUUUCUUGCUGUGCAGACUUGUUCGCUUUUGAUGUACUGUUCCUUUUUCAUCGUUUUCGCCAGAACGUUCUCAUUUCAUUCUCAUGAAACAAAUUCUCACAAAAACGAAUUAGUAGAUAACAAGAUUAAAUAAAUAUAAUAUGUUUGUAAUCUUUAAAACAUCAAAUAAGGAUUUUGUCUCAACAAUCUCCCCCUUUUUGAUGAUGACAAACAUUUAUAAUUUAUUUUGAUUUUGAUUUUGAGUUUUUGAAAAAUUUGUUAAAAACUCCCCCUCAAGUUUAGCAACCAAAAUUUUGUGCCAUUUUGAGAGUUUUCCAGAAUUUGUUUAUGGACAAUUGAGUUUGAUAAUUUUAUCAAAGAACUCCCCCUCAAUUCAUGCAUUCAAGAUUUAAUAUGCAAAAUGAGAAUAUAGAACAUAAACAACAUAAUUCAUAAAUCAUGAAGAUCAUUACAAGGUAUCAAACCUAGCAUUUCAAAACAUCAAAAAGCAUUGUUCAUAUGCGCACAUACUAGCAGCAAUUUGAUCCUUAGUUAAUCAUGAUCAAAAGACAUAAACAGAGAAAUAAAAACAGAGUUUUUUUUAAACAUCAAAAUACUUAAACAUAAACAGCAGCAUAGUGAUCUAUUCUUCCCUAGAUCCUAACUGUUUUCCUGGUCCUCCUAACUCAUAAUCCCCUAAAUCAUCUCCCCCUUUGUCAUCAUGAAAAGGGGCAGCAGCAGCAGUAGGUGGAAUGGUUGGAGAAGAAGCAUCAGAUGAUGAAGAGAUAGUAGGCAUGAACAUGGGAUACAUAGGAACUGGGAAUGGGUUUUGUUCUGGUCUAGCAAACUCAUUCUUGUCACUUAUGGAGUCCUUCCACUUCCUUGACAGAGACAUUUCAAAAGUCAUCCAAGACAGAUAAUGCAAAAUUGCAUUGUUCCCUUCAAUUACCCUAGUCAAGUCACUGCGUGUCUUGCUGCAGUCUUUCUCAACCUUGGACCUUUUGGUUGGCCUUUCAUUGUGCUCAAAAAUCCUUUGCGCCAUUGAAGGAGAUUCAUUGAAUCUUGAAGGAAAGGAGAGAUUAGUUUGAAGAGACUUAAGGGAAUCCAUUUGGACAGAUGAAUCAAAAGCUUGUGGAGCAAAUAAUUUGUCCACUGAAUCACAUUGAAACAAAGCAGAAUAAUCAUGCUUUUGAGGAGAGAUAAACAAUUUUGAAGGUUUUGUGAUUAUGGUUUUUUCAGUGAAACUUUGAAGAAUUUCUGAAGCUUUGACUUUUGACAGAGAAGCAUGAUUGCCAAAGUUUUCAAGCAGUUCCUGAUCUUCCUCCAUCACAGGAGAACGUUCUGAAGAACGUUCUGGAGGAUUGCAGUGUUCAUCAGAAGCAUUUUAUGGAACUGGAUUCUGCAGAUCAGGCCCAUCUUCCCUCUUUCUUUUGAGGUCAGAAGGAGGCUCAUCAACAGGUUCCUGCUUCAUGUGACUCAGAUUUUUUGGAGUAAAUUGAGAAUACUCAAAAACAGAUUUUUCACCUUCAAAAGGAAUAUGAUUCUUAAUGAAGAUUUUGGUAAGAGCCAUUCCAUAAGGAAGACAAGAUUUUUUGUUACGAGACUGAAUAACAUUGAUCAUGUUAUGAAUAAUGAUAUGAGGCAGACUCAAUUUUUCUUUCAUUAAGAGAUGAUACAUGACCAAGAGAUCAUUUGAACUAACAUGUUGAAAAUUACCAUUUCUAGGCAAGACACAAUGUUGGCUUAUGCCAUUCAACAUUUUUGGGGUUGGCAGAAGGUUCGAAGACACAAACUCAGUGACAUUUGGUUUGAAAAGGAGUUUGUAAACAUUUUCAGAAUUGACUUCAAGUUUUUCAAACCAAUCAUCACCAAAGACAGUUUGACCAUAAUUUGAGAUACCAAGAGUAUCAGAGAUUACCUGUGGAGUGAGACGUAUCUCAACAUCCUUAAUCCUAGACACUAUUAAGCUUUCCUCAGGGUAUGCUUCUGCCAUGAAAUAGAAAGCUUGGACAAGCUUUGGGUAGUGUCUCUCACGAAGCUGUAGAAAUUUGGUCCAGCCUUGCUCAUCAACAUACUCCUUAAGAACGACUUUGUCUUUUUCCAGCUUGACAAAAUCAUAAUACCUUCCAAUUCCAAUUGACCUAUUUCCCCAUUUUUCUUUGAAAUCCUUUUUCAGAGAAGGAUCAAACAGAGGUACUCUCUUUCCUGUAGAGAUAUGAAUGAUCUUCUGUUUUGAAGGAUUUUUGGGCUUUGGAGAACAUUCUGGAGAAUAAUCUGAAGAGAGUUCAUAGUCUUUAUCAGAAAGACUUUCUGAAGAACGUUCUGGAGAACGUUCUGGUUGAGCAGUUUGCUUCUGCUUUCCUUUGUCCUUCACAGUUGGUUUAGGCUUUGGUUUUGGUACAGAAACCUUGAUAGGAGGUUUAGAGACCUUUUUGUUACUCUUAGGUUUGGGCUUAAGAGGAGAAGGAGUUUUCUCAGCCAAAGGGGUAGUUGGUUCAGUUUCUUCAUCUGAAUCAGAGAUUUCAUGUACAGUUGUGUCUACACUGUUGGUUUUCUUUGUUCCAACUGCAGAANNNNNNNNNNNNNNNNNNNNNNNNNNNNNNNNNNNNNNNNNNNNNNNNNNAAAUAAUAUAAAUCAAGUAGGGGAGGGGGUGGGUGGUGUGGGGUUAGAAGAAAAGAAUAUUUUUUUUUUUUUUUGUUUUUUUUUGAAAAAUUUUUGCCCCAUUAUAAAAAAACCCCUUGUUUUGUCUUUGAUUUGUUCUUUAUUUUUUUUUUUUUUUUUUUAAAAAGAAUUCUCCCCAUGAUAAAAAAAUGUUUUUUGGAGUGGAGGGAGGUUUUUUUUUAGAGUUUUUUUUUUUUUAAAGGACACUUUGGUUUUUGUUAAAGUUUUUAAAUUUUUGGGCAUCCCAAAACCAGGGUAACUUGACCUUUUUUCAAAUUUUUUCCUUUUGGAGUUUUUUUUUUUUUUUUAGGGAAAAGUAUUUUUUUUAUUUUGAUUUUUUUUUUUUCCAUCAAUUUUUGAAAUCUUUUUUUGGGAGAAGAGCUAUGUUCUUUUUUUGGCUUCCCCUUGGAUGUUUUUCUUUUUCAUUGGUUUCUUUAUUUCUUCGCUUUGUGAAAAGACAUCUUCUUGUUCACUUUGAGAUGCUUUGAGAGCAACCAUCUUUCCUUUCCUUGAUGGUUUAUCAUCUUGCAGCAGCGUCUCAUGAGCUUUUAAUGACCCAAUGAGAUCUUCAAGAGCUAAAGAGUUUAAGUCUUUAGCUUGUGUGAUUGCAGUUACCAUGGGUCUCCAUGUGCUUGGAAGACAUCUUAAGAUUUUUCUUAUCCGAUCAUGAGUGGUAUAAGUUUUUCCAAGUGAUCUUAAUUCAUUCACAAUAGAUGUGAAUCUGGAGUACAUUUCAUCAAUGUUCUCAUCUUCGUUCAUUUCGAAGAUUUCAAAUUUUCUUACGCCAAUGUCUAUUCUUGUUUCUUUUACAUGGCUAGUUCCUUCAUGAUGAAUUUUUAGAGUGUCCCACACUUCUUUUGCAGUCACACAUUCAUCAACUCUUUCACUUUCUUCCAUGCUUAGUGCGCAUGAUAGAAAGAGUCGAGCUUUAGAGUUUAGAAGUACUUUUUCUUUAUCUUCUUUUGACCAUGAUGCUUCUGGUGUGAGUGUCUCCACCUUUGUUGUUGCAUCGGUUGUCAUAGGUAUGUGUUCUCCAUUUGUGAUUAUUUUCCACAUAUCCACAUCUUGGGAUCUGAGGAAUAGUUCCAUUUUUCCUUUCCAGAAAUAAUAGUUCUUUCCAUUGAAGAAUGGUGGUCUUGUGCAUGAUAGACCUUCUGGUAUAUACUUUUCUUUUGACAUUGCCUUCUUCCUGAAUCUUUUCCUCCAACACUUGUUAGGUGUUUUUGUAGAGCCCGGGCUCUGAUACCAAUUGAAGUAGCAAUAAACGUCACAAGAAAGGGGGGGGGGUUUGAAUUGUGACCCUUUUAAAAAUUAUUCCUGAAACUUAAUUUUAGAUUUAUAUACUCAAGAAUAAUCUUGGUGAAUGUUAGUUUAUCAAGAUUAGAGUAUAUAACAAUUAAUUGAAUUAGAACAGAACGUUCUGAAGAAUGAUUAUAAACAGAAUGAGAAAAAUGAAGUUAAGUUAAAAGAUUAUUUUAGCAAGGACCAGAAUGUUCUGGAGAUUAAUAAAAUAAUGUGUGUGUGUUGUGUAACUUUAAAUAAAGAGAGAGAGAGAGAGAGAGAGAGAGAGAGAGAGAGAGAAAAAUAACACAGGAGAGUUAUCCUGGUUCACCAAACCCGGCUACUUCCAGUCCCCACACCUCGUGUGAGAUUAUCCACUAUAGUUUUCUUGCUAACAGAAACUUCUGACUAGCACUACAAUUUCUUGAUCACACCAGAUCAGUCCGUAACACCUGUAUUAUCAACCUCGGCAGGCUUAUACAAUUCUUUGCACACUAGCAAAAGAAAGGUUGGAAUUUUCUAUCUCAAAACUAUUAAGCCCAAUAGACUUUGAGAAAUACAACACACUUUGUAUGAAGAGAUUUGUUUGGAUAGAAUAAAUACUCAAAUCUUUGUUUGAGUUUUACAAGAGGCAAAUUCAAGAGAGAUGAUCCAAGAGAUAUAGUGAGAGAGCUUGGAAUUUGCUUUGUAUGUGAAGAGCUUUGUUUGUAGUGAUGAUUUUCACUUUGAGAGAUAUUAGCUUUCAAAACUCUUGCUUAUGACCUUCAAAGGCCCUUGUAUUUAUAGGUGAGGAGUGUCUUGGUGACCAAGGGAGAAAAUAGAGCUGUUGGACACGUUUUUGAUAGCUGUCCAAAGUCUCAUUUGAUUUCUCUUUUCUUCUUAAAAAUAGCCAGAACGUUCUCAGAAUGUUCUUUCUGAUUUGCCUGACUUUGAAAGCACUGUUGCUUUGCUUGCGCAUGAGAUAACCAGCUGUAAUGAGCUGUAUAACUUGCAGCCCACUUCUGAUGAUGUCAUGUCCUUUUGCUCUAGUGAUGUCAUGCUUAAGUAAGCCAUGUGAUCUUAUCCAUUUAAUGGGCUUUACUUUUCCAAAUGGGCUUAAAGCUUUUCUUAUGGCCCAAUAGACAUAAUCAGCCAAGCUUUCUUGCUGUGCAGACUUGUUCGCUUUUGAUGUACUGUUCCUUUUUCAUCGUUUUCGCCAGAACGUUCUCAUUUCAUUCUCAUGAAACAAAUUCUCACAAAAACGAAUUAGUAGAUAACAAGAUUAAAUAAAUAUAAUAUGUUUGUAAUCUUUAAAACAUCAAAUAAGGAUUUUGUCUCAACAAUUAUAACAUUACGAAUGAGGUUACAUUUUAAGAUGCAAGAUUGCCGUAAUUUAACAAUCCAAAGUGAGUAAUCAAACAGACACGCGAGACUAAUUAUCACAUUAUGAACGACGAUCAGAUUUUAAGAUGCAAGUAUCGCAUGUCUGUUUCAUUACUCACUACUUUUCCUUAUGUGUAAACUUUUCAAGGCUACGGUGACACCGCAAUUCAAAAUAUGCAAGAAGUACUGAAAUUUGGUCGAAACGAUAUAUUUUAAUAUGCAGCAAUGAUCUCAUUAAAAAAACCAAGACGAGCUUUGAAAACAAACAUGUGAUAGAUAUUAUAACAUUACGAAUGAGGAUACAUUUUAAGAUGCAAGAUUGCUGCAAUUUAACAAUCAAAAGUGAGUAAUGAAACAGACACGCGAGACUACUUAUCACAUUAUGAACGACGAUCAGAUUUUUUGAAUGCAGCAAUGCCGCUUUUUGAAAAAUCUGAUACACUACUUUUCCUUAUGUGUAAACUUAUAAAGGCUACGGUGACACCGCGAUUCAAAAUAUGCAAGAAGUACUGAAUAUUGGUUGAAACGAAAUAUUUUAUUAUGCAGCAAUGUGAAAUUUAAAAAAACCAAGAUGCAGCAAUGCCGCUUUCAAAAAACUCUAAUUGUGUUUUGAAACAAACACGUGAUAAUAUAUUCGACAGUAUAAUACAUUCCGUUGUAUUGAAACAUCUGGUGUAAAAUAAUAUCUACUAUGAUAAUAUAUAUUUUCAACGACUGACAACACAUUAUAUUAUGUAUAAAAGAAAUAACCUUUAAACAUACACGGAUACACGUUAAAGUAAAAGUAUGAAGGUUCCUCUGACACCGCAAUUCAAAAUAUUCGCACAGCAAAGAAAUUAGAUUCCGUCAACAAUGACAAAGUUGUGAGCAUUUAAGUAAGAAACUCAACAAAAAGUGAAAUGCAGCAAUGCUGCUUUCAAAAAACUCUAAUUGUGUUUUUCAUAGAAUCAUACUCCCUUAAAAUAGGUUUCAACGAAAGGUCAGACAUACCAGAUAAACUGUGCAAAGCUUUGCGAGUAUUCUCUGCAACAUCAUUAUCCAUUCUGUUUCGUUUGAUCCACCUUGACUACUAAUUAGCCGUAACAAUAAGUUUUUUUGCAGAGAGAACAGAUGUGUAAGUAUGAGCCUCCAAAUGAUAUGUAAACCAAUGAAUUACCGCAUAAAUAGACAUUAAUGCGAUUUGGGUAACAACAAUUCUGAAUUAAUGACAUGACUUUGAAGCUGAACAGACACGUCCAAACAUUGAAUCAAAAAGAUCGUGAAACAAAGCAUGGGAAAACACUAUAUGAAUCUCUUCCAUAAUGCAAUCAAAGAGAAGUAUAUGACAAUUAAUACUAAUCAUAUAUCUUAUCUGUAACAUCAGCAGAAAUGAUGUUUUUUUUUGUAUAUCUGAGCAUCUUGAUAACUAAAAACGCACAUCUGACCGCAAUAAACCUACCCAAUUAUCAUACUGCUGAUGGAUUAGCAAUUUAAGGAAACACAUCAAUCUAAAAAUAUAAUGAGAUCAUCUGAUUAUAAAGGUUGUUACAAUUUUAUUAGGUGCAUUUGACUAAUAUCAUUGCCGAUUCCAUCAUUAUUAUUUAUCUAUCAAGAAAACGCCGUUGCUACAAAGCAAUAUAUUAAUAACAACAACGCCGCGUGUAGCAUUGUAUUCGUCUGUACACAAUAGGAGGUGAAUACUGCAUCUUAAUUUGUUUAUUCAAUAAAGAAGUUGUGCCAUUACAGGGAUUAAAAAAGAAAAAAGCACCAUUGCAUUAUCGGAAUAACCCACACCUUUUGAAUUACAUAAGACUGAUUUUCUAUUUUGCCUACCAGAACUUGCAAUACUAAAAAUGCAAAAUUUAAAAGAAUCUAAUAUAGAGCAUUAUUCACUUCUAAACAUCACACCCUUCUUAAUGAAAAAAAGAAAAAAAAAAUGAUGCAUUCAAACAAAAUAUGAAGCAUAAGUCUGCCACGCCACCACUAAAACUCAUCCAAACGUUGCACAUUGUUAAGAAGAUCAGUUGCGAAUCACACGAAGGUAGAGAGUUGUGUUGCUUCCAGCCAUUGGAGCACCAAGAACUAAUCGGGAACCUUGGCGAAGCCUGCGUGCCAUAACCAAUCUCUUCCAGCCACCUCCGAUUAUGAAAUGAGGUCCGCCAUCAGUAGCAAACAUCAAAGUACAGCCCCACACAUUGCCAUUGUCAUCAAAGUAAAGCGAAUAAAGUAAGUUUGUUUACUGUCAAAUGCAUAUAAAUAUAAUUACUCACGUUAAUAAAGUUAAGCUCGACUGUGUAAGUUCUAUACUUGAUACGAAGAUCAUUGACAAUCCUUUCCAAUUCAGAAUUCGGAUUAGGGUUCAGAGGUGCUGUUAUAAAAAAACAACAAAAAAGAAACAUAAGUGAGUUGUACAAAACUGGAAAUAACAACAUCAAAUGAUGGAAACUUAUACCUAUCAAAGCAUGGUAGGAAAGCAGUGCCUGGAUUCCAUUAUUUGCCAUGGGAUUCGAUUGAACUUGAAAAAGAAUGAGAUGUGAUUUUUUUGAUUCCAUGGUAUGGUAUAUAUACACGUUCAGAUUCAUUCACUAUGAUAAGGAGGUUAUGAUACCUAUACAUUGUUAUCAUAUCAAAGGCUUUGGAAUCAAUAACAACAUUAAAUGCAAUCAUGGAAUGGGGGAAGCCACAACCAAAAGCGUUAAAUGUAAUUAGCAUGGGGAAACUGAAAGUGCCAAGUCAAAUGAGAUCAAAGGAUGAGAUGAAUGCUUAGCUAGCUCAUUUGAUCAAACGGCUCUCCUUAAUUGGCGCCCAAAAUGGCUAGGUUUAGGGUUUUGCAAGGUAAUUAGCAUUGUUAACAAAGAUUAGAUAUAAGUAUGAUAAGAUAAGAUAAGAUAUAUUGAAUUUUAAUAAAUUUUUAAUUUUUAAAAUAAGAGAGGGCCUAAGCCCAAGAAAAAAACUACACUAAAAGUACAUAAAAUUGCUUUUCUUACUGCAAAAACUUUCUAAUAACACAUGAAAGUUACUAAAUUGUCCAUAGAAGUAGUUAACUACCAUUGGCAAGUCCGACAUCAGUUAAUUACCACUGACUCCCAACUGCAGUUAACUACCGCUGGCUCAUCUGCACUUAAGUUCGGUUCCUAGCAGAGCAUCAAUUGUGAUUAUGCGCGUUUCGGUCGAAAAAAAUAAAAAAAUCGAGACUUAUUUGGAAUGUUACGGAACAUUCCACAUCCUCUAUAUGUAUUUUUACAGAGGUGUCUAUAAAUUUGGUAACAUUCCGACUAAGUCUCGAUAUAUUUUGAUUUUUUGACCGAACCGUGCAAAAUCACAAUUUUUUUCAAGUUCGAGUCCGGAAAAGUGACCUAGACGUUGAAUUUUUUCAUGAUUUUUUGCACUCAUGUUUAGGACAAAAAAGAACAUCUCCCACAAAAAUUUUGAACUUUUUCGACAAUGGACGAAUCCUUUAUAUCUAAUCCUAGCAAACAUGCAAACCCUAAUUCCACAAUCCUAAACCUAAAAAAUUGGCUCCCAAAUUUGAAAUUUGAAUUUCAUAUUGGAAAACCAAUGCACACUACUCAAUACAUAUCUUAAGGGCUAGGAUUAAAUGCGACUAAUACCUCAAAUUCGUCCUUGAAUUUUAAAAAAUCGGUCAAAUUCGUCCCUGAAUUUUGCGAAAUAUCUAUUUAGUCCCUGAAUUUACAAAAUAUCAAUCAAAUCAGUCCCUCUGUUAAGUUGGUCUGUUUACGGAGGUGACGUGUAACGUUAACCUCUUACAAGGCUUACCAUGUCAGAUGUCACGCAAGCAGGGACCAAAUUGAUUGAUUUACAGAAAAUUGUCAAGGACCAAAUUGAUGGAUUUUCAGAAAAUUGCCAACGUUUCCAAGGACCAAAUUGAUGGAUUUUCAGAAAAUUCCCAACGACUCUUUCUCCCGUUUCUCAUUAAAGAAUCUUUCUCCUCUUCCUCAUUAACGGCUCUUUCUUCCCCAAAUAUAUAAAUUUGGAACCCUAAUGUUAUAAUUUGUUACCUAGAGUUCAAAAUCCCCCAAAUUUCUUCCAUGACUUGAUGUCAAUGUUCUUCCCAAUUAAAUAAACUUAACACCCUAAUUUUUUUGAUUCAAUUCGAAAUUCAAAAACCAAUGGUCAUUGUUGAAGAUUCGGUGUUCAGAAAUGAUGGGUAGUGGGCGUAUGGGCAAAAAAAACUACAAUAGUCAGUCUUCAUCUUCAAGCUCUAUGUACAAUGAUAAGGUGAGAGAGCUUCAAUGUUGCUGACCUAGAAUUUGUGUUGUAAGAGAAGCCAACACUGUCAAUAACCAAGGAAGGCCUUUCUAUAUCUUCCCUCUGCCAAAGGUUUGUUUAACAAUGGUUAUGUGAUGUGUAAAUGGUUUGUUUAAGAUAUUCAUAGGAGUAUUUUGUUUGAUUGAGUUGUUUAAAAUGAUAUUGUAUUGUGCCAAGUCCAUGUAAUGUUGUAAUGAAAAGAGGUUGUCAAUGAAUGAAUCAAACCCUUCUGUCAAAAAAUUUCAAUCAAAUUGGUCCUUGAAUUAUAUGCAUAUCCAUCAUAUCGAUCCUAAAAUUAGUGAUAAUACCAUCAAAUAGGUCCUUGAAUUUUCACAACAGAUAUCACUGUGAUCCUUGGUGCAUAUAUUUGCUGAACAAAGUAAAAAGUAAAAGACAUGCACUUUGACUAUAAAAAGACAGACAUUUGCAUACCAUCAUAAGUCAUAUAUUUGAUGUUCAUAAGUCAUUACAUAGCCAAAAAAAUAACAUUACAUAGCCAUAAAGUCAUCAAAUCGUUUGAUGUUCUUAAGUGAUUACAUAUCUGUUAUCACGAUUUUGGGGUAUCAAGUCAUUAAUUAGGCUUGAACCUUUCAAUCUUUGAUAUUCUCUAUUUUUUCUUGGGAAGGGAAAAAUUGAGAAAACCCUUAGAAAUUCUAAGUUCGGGGGUCGUUUUCGUUACGGGAAGGUGUUAGGAACCCGCAAUGACUAUAGUACUCUAUAGGAACCGUUUUCUUAGUUUUAUGUCUACGCUUUAUUUUUAAUGCUAUUUAUUGAAAAAAGAAGUUGUUUAUUUAGGUUAAGAAUGGAGGGAGAAAAUGUUUGGGAUUUUAUUUAUUGGACUUGGAGAGGUUUUGACCUCUUGCCUACAUACCCUUUUAAGGGAUCAAAAUUCCAUGUAGUUCUCUUUAAAAAAUGUUUUUGUGUGUUUGAUUGAUUUUAAGUUUUGGAAAAUGGUUUUGAAGAAGAGAAAGAGGCCGUAAAGGCAUGAGAGAAAAAAAUGGUGAAAGGUUGGUUCAAUUAUUAUUAAAAAAGGUCUAAGUUGGAAUUAGAGUUCAUUUGAGUUUGAUUAAGAAAAUAAAGGGAAAAUUCAAUGGAGUUUUGACUCCAAGGUUUAUUUGGAAAUUUUUUUCAAGUGAUGGAAUUUGCUUAUUUUGGAAAAUUGAUAUUUUUCUAAGUAUCGCGUUUCCUAAGCAUACAUCUAAAGCGGUAAACAUACAACGUGUGUGCGUGUCGGUGCUUGUGUCGGUGUACAUCAUUAGAGAGUCCAUUGUCCGUUACAUUGGCCCUAGUUUACAUUCUAUGGUCUUGCAAGAAAUUAAAAGGAAAUUUAAACUACCUAAAAUAUUAUAUGACAUUUUAACAUAGAAAUUAAAAGGUAAAAAUGCCUAAACUAUGAGAAAUUGAGAUGAAAAAGGUAGAAUGCUUAUGAGGUGAAUGAAACAAGAAAUAAAAUGGUUAGUAAAAUAAGGUGUAAAAUGAUAGGAAACAAGCAAGGAAACAUUGAAUGGAAUAGCAAAAAAGAGAGUAAUAAAGUGGUAAAAUAUGCCCAAAACUUGUCAUAAUACCUAAACAUGUACACGACCUAUAAUUCUCUCAUCAUAGCAAUUUAAAAGGGGGUUUAUUUUAUACCAUAAUGUGAGAAUGACAAGAACACAUUCAAGCCAAGAAUUAUGACAUAUUUCUAGAGAUACUUUGCACUUUAUUUCUUGACAAAAACACACAUUACUUGCAAAACAAGAAAAAAAGAAAAAUUCACAUCCACAAACAGUAAAACACACAUAUGAUCAGAGACAUAUUCAUCAUGAAAUUGCAUAUUAACCACUCAUAUCAUGUCAAGACCUCAUGAACGAAUUAUGGCAAGAAAAUUCACAAGUUUAAUAAAAAAAAAUGAACAUAUCAACAAGAAAAUGUUACAUAUAUUUUUUUAUCAUUUUUUAACAUGUAAAAGCAUCACAAAAGUAUUAAAAAUACCUCAAGAAACAUAUAGGAAUUUUUAGGAAUUUUUUGCACGAAAAUUGGACGAGCAGGGGGUUCAGAUAGCAAGAAACAGGGUGCAAAUAGCAAGAAAUAAGAAAAAAAAAGCAGAAACAAACAAACUGGAAGCCCAAGCCCAAAACCCAUGGAUCCGGAUGCACAAGGAGCGUUGGAUUGAUCCAGGAAGAGAAACCCUAGAUCUAAAGGCUCAGAAUGAAGGGGAAGAACCGGGAAUAAACCCGACCGGUUCAGUUGUUUAUAAAAAGGCUUGGGGACCGGUUUUUUUCAUUUCUUCCUCUCCUUUCUCUCUCUUCUCUCAUUCUAGUGAGAGAAGCUCUCACUUCUCUCCUUUCUGAUGAAUUAGGUUCUGGAAAAGUUAGGGUUUUCUGAAUGUUCUUGGUAAUUUUCUGUUUUGAUCUAACUAAAUGGAGAGAGAAAAUGUGAUUCUGUUUUUGGUGAUGUGACUGAUUCUGUGGAUCCUUUCUGAUUUGUGCAGUGAAUGCACCUUUUAUAGGCUGCCAUGUGUGAUUCUGAACCAAUGGAAGAGGAACACCUGUUUUGGACUUAGGGACUUUCCUGCAAAAAUAAGAAAAUUGGAGGACUGGACUGCAAAUAAGAAAAAGGACCUAAAAAUGCAAUUUUAAAAAGUAUUGGACUAAAAUGUAAUUUGGAAAAAACGUAAAGUGAAACCAAAAAUAAAAUCAACAAAAGGACUAAAAUGAACCAGUUACAAAAAAUGAGGUAUUUUAAAAUACCUCUCUGUCGAAAUUUUGACAGGAAAAGACCAAAAAUACCCCUAGGGACUAAACUGACUCAAACUGACUCAGAUGCAAUUUUUGAAAUGGUUUUUAAACAGAGAUUCAACAAUGAUUUGUACAGACAAGUUGAAAAGACUCAGAGGCAAACACAGGGACUAAAAUGGGUUCCAAUGCGGGAAAUGACCAAAAUACCCUUUUUGUAUGAUUUUUUGAAAUAAAAUGCAAGAAAAGCAAUGCAAUGAUUCAGAGAGUUUUCAAAUGACUUGUAAUGCAAGAAAGACACUUUGGGUAGUUUUAUUCAAGAAAAUCAUGAUUGAACAUACUUCGAGACAGAGACAGUAAAAUAUGCAGAUGAAAAGAGAGUAAAGGUUCGGAGUAAAAUAAUAGUAAAUUGACAAAUAUCAGUGUUGAAAAAGAAAUUUGAAUGAGUAUUUUUAGGUCCAAAAUCAGGGUAUAACAAUAUCCAAAAAAGCAUAAACUAAACAAGUCCAAAAAGCAUAAUUUAAACAAGCAUCAAUGCUUUGGAAAUCCUGAAGUUGGGUAUAAACUCCAUGUAUUGGGGUUGAGUAGAAGCGGAUGACCCGUAAUUUGGAUUUGGAACUCUAAUAACUCUAGGAGUAGUUAGAUUUUGUGGAGCAAGACCCCUCAAUGAUGUUUGUUUAUGCAUGUCAUUUGAAAUCACAGGUCAUCUCAUGCCAUAUCUUCUUGUACUCAUUCUCUGCAAAUAAAAUCAAUCAUAUCCGUCCUUAAAUUAUAACAAAAUCCAUCAAAUUAGUCCUCAAAUUAUGUCAGUAAGUCUCAAAUCGAUCCUUAUGUAAUAGCGGGGUAUAAUUGGAACACAUGAAAAAUUACACUGAAAAGUUAAAUCUCAAAUUUUUACCAUUUCCAUCAAAUUAGUCCUUGUACACGUGGUUGCCUUGUUGACACGUGUACAUGACAACACAACAUGCAAGAGGACACGUCAUCACCACUAACGGAGCUUUUGGACGGAGGGACCAUUUUGAUGGACGUCUGUAAAAUUCAAGGACUAAAUAGAUAUUUCGCAAAAUUGAGAGACGAAUUUGACCAAUUUUUUAAAAUUCAAGGACGAAAUUGAGGUAUCAGUCCAUUCAAUGUUAUACAAAAGUCUGAAAAAUAAAACACACAACACACGCGUUCCUUUUUCCCAGUGUUUUCUUCUUCUUCUUCCUCUUAUCAUCAUCACCACCGCCAACCCUCUCCCUCAAUCCACCGACGUUCUACCCCGUAUGUUCCAUGUCUUUUCUACUUUAACCGUCAUAUUUCUCCUCUCAUACUUCGCCGUCGUCGAUUCCACUGCCACUUUCUUUCCAUCGCCACGGGAAUAAUGAGAUUAAGCGCGAGAGUGAUCGACCUAAACUUAUUCCCUCUCUCCAGGUACUCAAUCUGUUAACUUUGAUGUUAGUUCAUACAAAUUUGCAUGUAACAAAUUUGUAUAAGAACAGGCAUAGACUUCUUAACCAAUCAAAUAAACUGCUCAAUCAAAGCUUACUCAAUUUUAUUGUAAAAGAAGAAAUAGAAAAUUUAGGUGGUUUGAAAUGUAAGAUCCAACAUAUGUUAGAUAUGAAAUUACUGUUGUGCUUUGAUGAUUUUUUCUCCUGAUUCCAAAAAUAUAGUUUUAAGCCAAUUUAUGGCAUUGAGUGAUUUGAUUUUCUGUUUCUUUUUUGUCUCAUUGGUUCUAAGUUGGAUGAGAAAUUAGUGGCCACAGAAAGAAGAAUGAAAUAUAAGUUAAUUAACAUUUUUUCAAUAACUUUGAAUUUUUGCUGAUUUUUCUUUAACUAUUGUUUUCUAAUACCAUUUGAAGUAGUCGUUUUUAUUAGAUUAUGUCAUUGCUACAAAAUUUUCUCUAUAUGGGUUCAUGUUGAUUUUGAAAUGAUUGCAAAUUUGUGUAUAAGCAUCUGUAUGCAAACCUCUCUUUUAAGAGCACUAUUUUUUGUUCCGGCUUUGUGUUUUUUGCGGAUGUGCUUAUGAUUUGUGCAGCUACAGGUUUGUUACUUACAGAGCUUUCCAAAUGUGGUAUGUUGCUUUGUUCAUUUAGUGGUUGAGAAUGAAAUUAGUUUGCACUCCCUGAGAAAAUAGCUCUCUAAACUGAAGUUCCCAUAAUCUCUUAUGAUCAUUGUACACACCAAAUCUCUUACCCUAAGUCAAAUUUACUGUACUGAGUAGAAAUUAUCUAUUCUUUCAUUAAUAUUGAAAAAUCUUUCAUCCCUUCAACAUUGUUUCUGAGUAUGAUGUUACCAGUGAAUUUUUGGUAUGUUCCUUACCAAUUCACAUUUUUUAUUGUUACUUUUAUUGGACAAAAUUACUUCUUGCGUCUAUUCUUCCCUGAUUCAUAGAAGUUGUUCUACAAUGGUUUUUGUGAAUUUGCAUUGGAUAAGAGGACCACGGCCAUGGUGGUCAUAGCACAAUUGCGACAACAAGUGGAAUUGCACUCUUAUUUUUGGAUCUAUGUCAUACAAUCAUAAUUGGUGGUGGUGAGUGGAAGAGCAUGAUUGAGUGCAGAAUUUUUGAAGGUGUACGUUUCAAGCUGGGUGAUCAGAUGGUCGGCAAAAGUGAAAUUGUUUACCUUCAUGUCUAUCGAGAUUUCAGUUUUUAAGCUGGGGUCUUCAUAUGAAUUUCCAUUUUGAAUAUUGUUUCUAUUGUAAUCUGCCAAUUAUCAGAAUUGUGUUAGAUAAGUUUGAGUCUAAUGUGUUCAGCUCCACUGUGUAAUCUGUUUCUGUAUUUCAUUUUCAAUAGAAUCCAAUUAAAACAACUUAUUCUGCUUGCUUAAUUAUCAUCUCCAAUCUGCACAAGUAAUACUAUAAACAGGGUCAUAUUAUUCUAUUGAAAUUGAAAUACGGAAACAUAUUACAAAGAAAAUGACUAAAGGCGGUGUAUAAAGAAGUUUUUCGCAAUUUAUGAAUUGUUCGGUGCUGAUGAAAUAAAGGUGUUGCCGUUUUGUUAGUCUGCCAUCGAUGUAAGUAUGUACUGUAUUUAUAUUAGUCGUUAAUAAAUGUCUUAAUAAUGGUCGUCAAACCUAACCCAUCAGUGUGUUGCUUAAUUUGUUUUUACAGAUUUGUUUGACCUGACUGUAGCAUUUGCCAUCAUAUCUGAAACGCAUAAAUUCAUGUUUUACUGUAUACUCGGUGAUCAAUCCUUCUGUCUAUAUGAAAAGGCUUGAUGUAUACUGGUACGGUGAUUAAAUUUUCGCAUAAAUCAGUUCUUCUCAUAUUAUAAAUAACUUAUAAUAAGGAUUGCAGCAACUAAUGCUUCAAUUUUAUGCUGUCUUUGUUUUUCUUCGCAGGUUGAGCACAAUUAAGGCAUUGCAUUUUUGGAGAUCGUUAUCAUUGUUAUACCAUUAUUAUCUUUGCUAAUAUAUGCUCCUAAUUGUUUAAGAAUUUCAUCUCUGGUCCAUACUGACGGUUUAUUACUGAUAUCAAUGGCACCAAUCUCAAUUGAUACUAUGUAUCACAUUAUCACCAACAAAGGUGUAACUUGGUUAUCAUUAUGAUCCAUUUCUGAUUCCGUAAUUAUACUAUAUCCAAGUUCGUUGUUAACUUAUUACAAAUAAUUUGUCGUUUAGAAGAAUAUUAACCACAAAUUACUCAUAGUGAUUUAUCGUUAUGAAAAUACAUAUAGAGAAUAUGAAAAUUUACGUAGUAUAUUGACUGAGCCUCAAUUUAUUUUGAAUUUUUCACCGAAACACAUAAAAUCACAAUAUUUUUGCAACUUCACAUCCGAAAAAGUUAUAUAGACGUUGAAUUUUUUCGUUAUUUUUUGCACAUAUGUUAAGGACAUAAAAAAACAUUUCCCACAAAAAAUUAGAAUUUUCCGACAACGGAUGGAUUAAUUAUGAAUUUUUAAUGCGCCAAAAACUCAAGAAACUAAAACAUCAAAAGAUCGACUUAGAAAUUGAAUUUUGAGUUGGUUUUUUGCACACAACUCUAUAAAAAUACAUAUAGAGGGUCUGUAAAUUUUCAUGGAAUUCCAAAUAAGCUUCAAUUUAUUUUGAUUUUUCGACCGAAACGCGUAAAAUCACAAUUGAUUCUCUUCCAGAAACUGCACUUAAGUGCAACAAAAUCAGCUGUAGUUAACUGCAACUGAAGCCAGCGGUAGUUAACUACAGCUGAGAGUCAGCAGUAGUUAACUACCGUUGGGGGAAAUUUCAUAACUUAAAUGUGUUUUUAGGAAUUUUUUGAUGUGAGAAAAACAAUUUUCAAAAGUAUAUGUUUUUUAAAAUAAAAGAGGGCAUAAGACCAUAAAAGGCACUGAUACGAUGACCUUUAACACCAGUUUGAUCAACUAAGACCAACCACAAUGGUGAGGUCUUAACAAUUUAAGAUCCGGUACCUAUUAGGUACCUCCAUUGUGGGAAAAAUAUUUGGGGGUCUCUUAAGACCCUCAUUUUUAAGUGGACCCCACACAACUUUUUAAUAAAAUAAUCAUUGUUUAGUUACUUUUGUUUAAAUGUAAAUGAUAAAGAGUUAUUGGUGGGUCCCAUUUAGACCUUUUGUUAGAGCGUCUCUGUUGGAGUGGUUGAGUACCUAUUAGGUACUAUCAUUAAAAAAUUAUAAAAAAAUGAUUUGUCAAUGUGGAAUCCGUUUAAGACCUCAAGAUUGAGGAUCUCCAUUGUAGAUCACAUGCAUGUCUAUUGCAUGAGUGCAUCUUCCAAAGAUUCAAAGUCUUCAUUUACAUGAAAUUUUCAUUCAGCUUUCAACAUUCAUAAGCACUUAAUGAAUUAACGACCAAUAUAUUGGAUGCAUGUUGUUUUGAAUAUGCCCUUAAUAAAGAUGAAAAGGAGAAAGAUGAACUUGAACUCAUCAUUUUUACAGCCGUUAAAAUAGCAUACAUGAUUUGCUUUUGCUACUUGUCUAAAUUUUAUCUAAACACCUAAUUAUGAUGGUUGCCAAACACAUUCAAACAUUUAUGUUAGUAACAAUUUUAUAAGCAUGGCAUUUUUAGGGUUGUAUGGCCCAAAAGUCCUAAACCAAAUGGCUUUCACCAUUUCUCAUGCGUCCUCCUAAAUUUCAAAACUGCCCUCAGAUUUUCGGAUUAUACAAUAUGCUACUCUUAUUUUCAACUCUUCCUUUGAGGUCCAACUCGAUUAGUCUCUUCAGUGGUUCAGUUGUGAUUUUUCCUCUUAAGUCCAACUAGAUUAGUCUCUUUAGCGGUCCAGUUAUAAAGUCGAUUUGUGACAAUACCUUAUAUGCAUCUAUGUUAGGAUUGAUACGAGCUGUUAGUAGGUUCUGAUACCAUGUUGGAUGGAGGAAUGUUUUACAUAUUGAGCUUUAGUUGUUUCAAGGGGCACUCAACAUGGAAAGGAUAUUGAAGCUUUGCAGAAAAGUUUGGACAAUGCUGAGUAAGGUUCAUAUACAAACAUGUCUAAUUUUCUAACAUAAUUACAUUUUAAGAGUGAUUUUCAAAUCAACUAAUAUUUAACAUUAUGGUUCUAAAGUUGGUGAACUAUGACAUAAAACUUUAACAUUGUUUGUGGUUUCUAGAAGAAUCAAUUUGGUUACAUAACAUGAAAAAUGGUUACCAUAAGACAAGGAGAAAGAAUAAGCAUGUAUCUUUACACUCGCAACAAAGAAACACACCAACUUUGGCCAUUGCAGAAGAUUAUGGUUAGACUCAGACAGUCAAAUAUAGGUUUGACGCCAUCGAAGUAAUCGGCAUUUCAACCUUAGGUUGUGUUUCAGAGUUUUGAAGAGAUUAUCAGAAUUCUAUUCACUUUGUUUUCUUGUCAAAUCUUAAUUGUUAGUGCUAAUUGAUGGUCUUAUCAUGAAAAUUAUAAAUCAAACCUAAAUAAAAACGAAUAAUAAGAACAUGUUCAUGUACCGAACUGAUAAGUAGCAAGAAAGUGAAAUAAAGAAAACACAAUGAUCUAAACUUAUCAUUGAAAAACAUCACAGAAAACACAAUGUUUGUUUCUUCAUUUUAAUUCUAACGAAUGUCUAAUUUUGGAAUGUGUGCUAUCUUAUCCCAGUCCACCCUUGUUCCCUCCUUGCAUCGCUCAUCUAAUCCUCCAGAAAAACAUAAUUAAUCAGCAAGAGUAUCAUGCAAAACCCCAAAACAGUUAAAAAGGUGCACAUGCACUUAACAAACUCAUCAUCAUUUUCUCUUCCAUAAUUCCCUUCCUUGUUUGUACCACUUUGUCCUUGAAAGAAUUCACAAUUACCUUUGCUAACUGAAUUAUUGCUUAUUGUGAAAAACAAAAAUAUCUCAAAGUUAUCUUAUGUGAACCAAAUACAAAACCAGUAAUUAAUAAUAUCAUAACAACAACAAAUUACAAAUUUGAUGUAUCAUUUUAAACUGAGUGAAAAACAUGAAAAAACAAAAGUCAUUGAAAGAGACAGAAAAUUUAUAUGCUAAAAGGGCAUUAUAAGGCUCUAAGACAGAUUUUAGAUGUCUGUUUUUCUCUCCCAUUGCUGCUCCAACUCUCUGCAGAAGUAUAUUACUGGAAGACAGAAGACAAACUAACAUGUGCUGCAAAACCACCAUAGUGAAGAGACAAGAGUGUCAUAUCCUGCAAACACAGUACAAAAUAUUGUUACUAUACUAUAAGAAACAAAAUCAAAAAAGGGUGAUGGUGGAAGAGAGAGCCUACCAAAUGUGAUAGAAAUUGGAAGCAUAUAUGUGUGUGCUUUUUCAUUCAAUCAACAUGUAAUUUUGGAAUGUGCGCUAUCUUGUCCCAGUCCUCACCGGUUCCUUUCUUCAAUCGCUCCUUUAAUGUUGGGCAACCUCGAAUUUUCAAAAACUCAAGUGAAGUGAGGUGUUGAAUAGAUUCGGGAAAGGAUCUCAAUCCUCCACAAUAACCAAUAUCAAUAGUUCGAAGAGAUCGAAGACCUUCCCAUGUUUGUUCCGGUAUAGACUCAAGCUCACCACAAGAAGAGAUACUCAGACACUCCAACACUAGGUUGAAGGGUUCAUUUGGUAGUUUCUUCAAUUUUGGGAAAUUAGAAAUUUUCAAACUUCGAAGACAAGUCAAGUUUCUUAACAAACCGUCAGGAAAGCAAAUCACGUCUUCACCGUUAAGAAGGUGAAGGGUGGUAAGACUACAGAAAUUGGAGAUUGAUCUCAGUAACUCAUUGUUACAUCCAAAUACAAUGAGGUCUUUAAGGGAUGGAAGGCAUGGCAACACAAGUUUAGGGCAAUCAAUAAUGGUCAAAUUAGAAAGAAGAAGGAACAUAUCUCUUAUUUGCACUUUCAACAAACGCUCUAAGUUUCGUAGUCCUGCUAGUAACAAUUUUUCCAAGGAUGGAAAAGCCCUCACCUCUACACCAUCAUGAUAUUCAGCAUCAUCCAUGUAUUGCAUAUUAUUCAUACCCCAUAAUUCAAGCUUUUUUAGAGAUGGUAGUUUACCUAGUGAUGAAAGAACACAAUUAUUGCAAUACUGAAGUUGAAGAUCAACUAAACUAUUAAGAAAUCCAAUCCAUUUUGGCAAGCAUAAUCCGUCAUAGUAAAGUAUUUUCAACCUCUUGAGAUUUGAGUGAGGUUGAAGCAUUUCAAGUACUUGCUCAGCAGUAGUAGUUGGUGUCUCAGUUUCACCAUUAUUCCUCCAUGACAAGGAUAAUUCUUGGAGGUCCUUUUUACCCAUCAAAUUGGCAUGUCGAGCUUCAAAUAAGCUACCAACAUUUCCCAGACCUUGUAUGCUCAGUUUUCCUCCAAGUGAUAGAUCAUGUAGCUCUCCCAAGCCAUACCCCCUCUCUGACUGAACAAUGUAUACACUUAAUGUUCUUAGGAAAUACAAUUUUCCAAUAUAAGGAAACACACAAGACAAUGAAUUACAAUCUUCAAUGACAAGAUGCCUGAGAUUCUGUAAACAAGUCAAGUGUUUUGGUAGAAAAGUCAGUUUUCGAAAAUAUUUCAAUUUCAAGAUUUCCAAUUUCUGCAAGCGAUAAAUUGAGUCAGGAAGGGUUUCUACGUCAAGAUCACGAAGCUCCAAAUACCUCAAAUGAAUUAAGUUCCCAAGUGACGAUAACUUGAAAGUGUUUGUGCUUAAAACUCGAAGGGAGCGAUUUGUUGGGAAGUAAUCGUAUUCUUUUUCGCUGUAAAACUCUAGUUGAUACAACGUUCGCAAGGAUUCAACUUUUUUGAAGGCCUCAUUGAAGGAAAACAAGUUAAUAUCAGAGUAAAAGCUAGUAUGGUGUGUGCUUCUUAACAAGUUAGUGUUAGUAUUCUCCAAAAUCAUACACUCUGACCCCAUAACUGAUUGAGCAAGAUCAUGCACUAGGUCAUGCAUCUUGAAAGUAAUGUCUCCUGAAUAAUCAUCUAUCUUGAUGUCUUGGAAGAAUGAUUUUUGGCACAGUUCCUUCCAAAUCAUAUUGCCAAAAAAUUCUACAUCCAAAUUAGCCUUUGAGAAAAUAAAUCCAUUGCCCAUCCAUAGAUGAAUCAAAUCUUCCUUUACAAUUUCCAUAUCUUUGGGAAAUAUCGCACAAAAAGCAAAACACCGCUUUAAGGUCGGUGUUAAAUGAAAGUAGCUUAACCUCAAGGCUGGCAAAAUGGAAUUCUCAUAUGGUAAGGUCCAGAGAUUACUGUCUUUAAUUUCAAGCCAUUCAUUUUCAUCACUCCUUGAGCGCAUUAGACCUCCCAAUGCUUGUGCUGCAAGAGGCAAUCCUCCACACUUCUUUACUAUCGCCUUACCUAUUGCUACAAGCUCUUCCCGUUCUUCUCCAGCACAUCCAAAUGCAUAUUGUCUAAACAACAACCAACAUUCGUUUUCAGAGAGACCAGAUAAAUGAUGAGCUAAACAUGUUCCCAUGAUUUCUGCAACAUCCUUAUCACGAGUGGAAACUAAAAUGGAAGAUCCUUUGGAUCCACAUGACAACGCAGAUUUCAACUUGUUCCAUUUGUCUUGGCUUAAUCCUAGUUCCAAUCCUUGAUUUCUGCUCCAUACAUCAUCCAAAACCAGCAAAAAUCUUUUACCUUGCAAUAGUUCUCGUGCUUUUCUUUGUAUUACAUCUAAAUCCAAGGCAUCAAACUUGUCUUUUGUGAUAGAUUCUAUAAUGGAACACAAAAUCCUUUUGACAGAGAAAGUCUCCGAAACACAAAUCCAAACUUUUGUAUUAAAAUUGCUACUUACCCUAUGAUCAUUGUAGACCAUUUGAGCAAGUGUUGUUUUACCAACACCACCUAGGCCAACAAUAGGAUAGAUGGAUAGGAAGUCAGAUACUUGCGCUUGGGUGAGAAGAAACUCGACAAUCCUCUCUCUAUCAUCUACUCGUCCAAACACUUUGGGUUCAGCAAUAAUGGAGCUUGUUUGGCGCCAUUCAGCAACUUCAUUUGGCCUUUCCCUAACAACGACACCCUCUCGUAAAAGAAACUUGUCUUUACUUUCAGCAAUUUGAUCGAAUCUCCUUGUAAUUUCUUUCAACCUUUUGCCGAUGUCACGGCGAAACACAAUGUUCUUUAGGUUGAAACAGGACGAGGCUUUAAGUCUACUAGAUUCAAUGGAACAUUCAUCAAGAAUAUCAUCAAGCACAUAUACAGCAUCUUUGAGUUGUUGGAGCCAUACCUUAAUAGAGCGGUCUGUGACCUGUUUCUGCUCAGCAUCUUCAAGAACAGCCUUGAUCAGAUCCAAGGUGGUUGACAACUUUUCAGCCUUUGAUGUGAUUCCAGAAAUGGUUGCAAAUUCAUUUUGAACAAGAGAUAACAAAUUCUCAAAUACAACUCCUAGCAAGGCCUCUGCCAUUUUUAGUUAGUACUAGGAAUAUCGGCUGUUAGGUGAUCAGUUGGAAAUUAUGAAGGAAAAUAAAACAAAAUGCAGAUUUGAUUCAAUUUAGAGCAACAUCCACUAAGCACUGGGGUGAUAGUGCUAGGACCCACACUUUAAAUUUAAUGUCAUUAUUAUGGAUCCAUUGUUGACUUUUGUUUCUUUUUUUUUUUCCUACCAUUUCAUACAGAAAUAAAAAACAGUCAUAUAAUCUAUCUUGGCUAUUUCUCAAAACGUAAAGUUCUUACUUGCCCUUUGAAAGAACAAGCAAGCCAAAUCUCCAUAUAAAAGUCUAUAAAUAAAUUUGAUUCCAAUGAAGAAAAGUUCUGAAGGGUUAAAAAAGAAAAAUAUAAAAUUAUCUACAAAAACAGAUACACUAUUUGAAGGAAAUUUUCAUAUUUUUAGUCAAUAGGAAUCGAACUCGGUACCAAGUGGUUUAUAACAGUCAAUAGCGUGCAUGACAUAUCAAUGAGUUUUUCAUCAGAGCAUAAUUUUUAGCUAUGAAGAAUAUUACAAUAACAUGAAAACAUUUUGACUGCAACGAUACCUUGCUUAUGUGAUACUCUAUUAUCAUAGGCAUAAAAGAAUUAACUUCGAAAAAUUUUCUUAAAUUUCAUUAAACUGGCUUUCAUGUAUUUGGCCUUUAGGAAACAUAAUUAAAUUUGGUAUUAACCCUACACAAGAGAAGUGUAACCAUAUAUAUUUGUUGAGUUUUACAAGUUAAUGUAUGUGUUUAAAUGAAUGUUAAUUGGACGGAAAUACAGCGCACGAGUAUCAUGUAUAAUUAAGUACAACAUUGGUUCUCAAAUUUUGCUUGCAAUCUGGAAUUUUUACCAGAUAAUUGAAGCGAAAAAUAAAGUAAAAGAACAGAAUAAUAUGCACAAAAAAGUACUGUUUUUUUUACUUCAAUUAAAAAUUAAUUAUAAUGUGCAAAAAACUUAAAUCAGUUUAGAGAGGGGAAAUUAGAGAGGUUGGUAUGGUAACAUAGAAAGCGUAAAACUAGACCUAAUCAUGUUAAUUAAAUAAAAAAUUAAAUAAAAAAUCUUCUGCUGCUUAAGUAAAAAAUUAAGCAAGACUGGAGUAUCAUAUAAAACCCAAAACAAGAACAUUGUAUGACCAAUGUUUCUACUUUCCUUGUACUAGACAAGUCCAAUGAACUUUGUUUAUUGUUUUUGGUAAGACUUGCUGAACUUUGUUGAUUUCAUGAUGAUUAUGAUUGGCAUCUGGCAAAUAAGACUUCUGAUUUUAACUAGUUGCAAAGCUUCAUACUCAUUCUGAUAGAUUGUUUCCUGAAAUUUGUUUCUGGUCUGAUAGCUAUCCGUCAAUAUUUACCUCCAACCUGGGAACGAAUCUACCACAUUGUCUUUAAUUUGAAAGAGCUAUGCUAAUUGAACUAUUGUGAAGAAUAAAUAUAUAAAGGCAUAAUAAGGCUCUAAGAAAGAUUCUGAAGUCUGCCUCCUAUCCACAAGCUACUACAACUCACAGCAGAAGUGUCACUAUUUACAUCACUGCAUUACCUUUUUGAUUGAUUUUAAUAUUACAACAGACGACUGAGAUGAUUUAAGUUAGCAUAGCUCUCAAGAUGAGAAAAACCACAAAAAUUGUGCAUAACCAUGUAUUCUUUGGUACAAUCGUUCAAUUAAUAAGUAUUUCAGAGAUUUGAGAGAUUGAGAAUUCUAUUAACUUUGUUUUAUGUCAGAUCCUAAUUAUUGUCAUGAAUUAUUCAUAGCAAGUUCAUUUACUGAACAGAUAAGAAACAAGAAUUUGAAAUAAAAUAAGGAUGAGUUCUUAAAUAUAUUUGGUAAAAACUAAAUUGUGAAGGUAAUCAAUAUUAUAAAUCCUUAAGAUGAAGUCCUUUCUUAAGGAUCAUUCAUGUGUGCUGAUGAUAAUGAACUCAAGUUGGCUGAGACUUCAUCUGUUGCUUUUUUUUUCGGACAACUGUUGCACCGGACUAUUCAUUACUCCUCAAGUCCUCUGUGGUGUGUUUGUGUUGCUUAGUGGGUGGUUACAUAUAUGGUAUAUAUUUCUCUACCCCCUUCCAUUUACUAUAUUUUGCUACCCCAAGUUAUUCACAUCAUUGAUAAUUUGUGCCUUGUUUAUUGAAUUCUUUGUGUGGUUACAUUUCUGUUGACAAGUGAAUUUUAUAAAUGACAAAAAUCACGUAGUCACUGAUUUUAGCUUCCAUAAGGCAAUAAUUUGAUCAAGUAUGAAUUCAAAAAAGCAUUUAUCCCUUUUAAAUAAAUAAUGUAUGUACACUGUUUGGAAUAACCAAGACACAAAAUGUCUGAUUAUAAGCUCACUAACAAAAAACUACACUAGAGAAAUGGGAAAGAGAUUAAUAUAAAGAAUCACUUAUGUUAGCAACAUUAGUACUAGUAGAUAUUGUAAAAUCAAGGACAACCUCCUAAGGCUUAGGAGAAGCUAUAUAUAACUCUUUCAACAUCUGUUAUUAGUUGGAAUUAAGUUCGGCUCAUGUGUUGGAUCACCGCUGUCAACAUCCUCUCGUUUCAUGCCAACCAUAUCAAUUUUUCUCAUUAUUUGUGAUUUCCAUUGCUUCAUUUGAUGGACUAAUAGAUUUUUCACUGCUUUCUUUGGAGAUUGAUUUUUCAGGCCAAAAUACAUUCAAUCCAUUACCUGUAUGUAUGACCAAAAUACAUUCAAUUCCUUUAUCAAAUCUUACCAUACAUCUAAAUAUGUUUGGUGAAAAAAAUGAUGUGUGAAGGUAAUUAGUAUUAUAAAGUCCUGAAGCAUGCAAUAAAAAGAAAGCCGACUGAAGUUUCUAUAUGUUAAAAUCAAACUGAAAGUUUCUAUAUGUGUGUUAAAAUCAAUCAAUUUGAUAAGGCAGAAAAUGCAUAUUAAAGUAUUCGCUAAGAUAUGAACUAUGUUUACCUGGAAACCAACGAUAACCAGUAAAGAGAUAUCAGUUAAAGGAAAUUGAAAUCUUCAGCAGCAAACAUCACUCCUAAAAUAUGCUCAACAACGUCGCCAAUUCUGGCUAUUGGUGUUUCCCCUGAUCGAACUUGAAACUCCAACUUUCCAUAAAUAUUUCAUACAUGAAGGGACUAUUUCAUAAAUGAAGGAUCAUAACCUGCAUAUUUUCAUGAACACGUGAAAUUAAAUUGAAAUCUAGUAGUAUAUGGAGUUGAACAUCUUAAUACUAUAGGAAUUGAAGAUCUAUACCAUAUCAAUACUAUGAAGGAUCAUAAGGAAGUGGAGACGCCAUAACGAUAAUCUGACCCAUUAGGUUGACAUCUUUAAUUGAUUUCGUCUCAGACAAAAAUCACAAGUUUCACAUAAAUGAAUUCAAAGAUGUCUUCUUCAUUCCAAUAAACAAUUUUUGGAAUAUGUGGUAUCCUGUCACAUUCCUCUCCUGCUCUCUCCUUACACUCCUUUAAUUUUAGGCAACCACGGAUACUCAUAAACUCAAGUGAAGUGAGGUGUCAAAUACCUUCUGGAAAGGAUCUCAAUCCUCGCAUUCAACAAUAUCCAUAGUUCAAAGAGAAAUAAAUGGCUCCUGUUCAGUUUCACAGGAGAUGCUCUCUGUAAGUGAUAUGACUAAUGCUAAUCUACUAAAAUAUAUGGAGUUAAAAGAUGCAAAAUUCACUUUGUUAUCAAAUAAAACAUUUGAUUUCUCAUUCAUAUCAUCCGAAAUUAUCACCUCUUAUAGUUUCUGUGGUUCAGCUGAAGCAUCCUCUUGCUUUCAGGAAAAGCAGUGGUCCGACACAAAUAUGGUUGGGAUUCAGCAGCAUUCCACAACAUAUCUGACACAAACAUAAUGAAAUAACAUGAGUGACUCGACUAGAAUCAUGAAUUACAAUGUCACCUUCCUAAUAAAGAGCUGUAUACACACCUGCAGAUUUUCUGUCUUUGGUUGGUAACAAUGACAGACACAUGGCAUCAUUUCUCACAAUAUUUACCAACACACGAGAAUUAUAAUAUGCAUUGGUUGUGACAAAAUGCUCUAGAUUGUUAUUGAUGUCGAUGAUAGUUUUACCCGGAGUAUUAUACACAUGUUGAUCUUGGCUUCCCUCACUCAAAAGAUGUUUUAACAACUAUGUAACAAGUGGUUCCUGCACAUAGAAAUUAAACUAAGACAAUAAUAUUGUUAUAAUGAUGUAAAAGAGACAAAGAAGCUUUAAAAAAUUGUUCCGACUAGAAAUUACACUCAGCCAUCAAAUUGAAACAUGCAAUUAUAGAUUUCAAUACCACAAAUAAAAAAAGGGAUAUUCAGAAACGUCAAAUAAGGAAACCAUAGUCAAGAGACAUGAGAGGCAUAUCCUGCAAAUAGAGUACCAAGAGAUUGUUAUGAAACACAGUCAAAAGAAAUAAAGAUGGAGGCAGAAACACCAACAUCUCUGUUUUUUGAUUCCUGUUGAAAUCAGUAGCAGAAACAUCACCUGCCAAAGAGUGAGCCAAACAAUAUAUAUUAUUCAAAUAAACAAUCUAAAACAAAUAAAUAAGAAUGACCAAUAAAAACUUAAGAAUAAAAAUCGAGAAAACCUUGACACCGAUCAGACUUUGCUAAUGGGUACGGAGCUCUGACCCAUUGUCACUUCCUCCACUCCAAAAGACUGCGUCUUCGUCAUUGGGUAUGUUUGUUCCAUUAAUCCCGUUAUUUGUCUUGUGUGUCGACGCCAAUCCUAACCAUUCAAUUAAAUCCCCACAAAAUCAGUAAAAUUAAAAAAAAAAAUCCAAAAUUCAAAUUAAAAAAAAUUAAACUAUGAUGAAGAAAAUGACCUGAAUUAGAACAUUUGUAACUUUAGUUGAGCAGUGAAAUAUCUUUCAUGUAGUCUGGAUCUCUUCCUGCGGAAUGGGUUCCAAAUAAGUCAACAACGAGAAUAAAAAUAAAGAUUUUUGAGCAGUUGAAAUCCAAACAUAAGAAGGGGAAAUUGAGAUCUUACCAGUAAAAUUGAUUUUUGCGAUGUUGAUUGUGGCAGAUAAGGGUAAACGUCUCUGCUUCUUAAUCCUCGGUAAACUGUAUUUUUGGAAUAUGAGCUAUCUUGUCCCAAUCCUCCCAUGUUCCCUCUUUGCAUCGUUCCUCUAAUGUUGGGCAUUCCCAAAUUGUCAGAACCUCAAGAGAAGUGAGGUGUCGAAUACCCUCCGGCAAGCAUCGCAAUCCUUUACAGCUAUAAAUCUGUAGAUUUCGAAGGGAAGUGAGGUGUCGAAUACCCUCCGGCAAGCAUCUCAAUCCUCUACAACUCGAAAUGUGUAGAGCUCGAAGGGAUUGAAGACCUUCCCAAUUUUGCUCUGGUAAGGACUCCAAUUGUGGGAACCAAUCUACUUCCAGAUAUUGAAGACAAGUAAGGUUUUUGAACAUCCCCUCUGGGAAGGAUGUUAUUCCUUCACCCUCCAUUAGGGUAAGCUGAGUAAGACCACGGAAGGUAGAGAUUGACCUCAGUAACUCAUUGUUACAUCCAUCCACAUAGAGGCCUUCAAGAGAUGGAAGAGAUGGCAGUCCAAGUUUAUGGCAAUAUGAGAUUUCCAAGUAAGAAAGACAAGGAAACAUCUCCCCUCUUUCCACUUUCAAUAACCCCUCUAUGUUUCGUAGGUAUCGUAAAUGGAGAUCCAUCAGAGAUCGGAAAACCAUCACCUCCACACCAUCCUGAGAUUCAUCAUCAUCCAAGUAUUUCAGAUUAUCCAUAUAAGAUAAUUCCAGUUUUUUUAGAGAUGGUAGUUUACCAAGUAACGGAAGCCGCACAAUUUUGUUGCAAUUCCGAAGUUCAAGAGAAAUUAAAUUACUAAGAAGGCUUAUCCAACUUGGUAACGAUAACCCUUCAUUGUAAUUUAUUGUCAAGCAUUUGAGAUUUGAGUGAGGUUGAAGCUCUUCAAGUACUUGCUCAGCACUAAUUAUAGAUUCCUGUUGGGAUAUCCAUGACAAGCAUAAUUCAUGAAGGUCUUUUUUACCCAUCAAAUUAGCCGCUUCAGCUUCAGAUAACCUGCCAACAUUGUUUAAUCCUUGGAUAUGCAGUUUUCCACCGAGGUUUAGAUCACGUAACUCUGUCAAGCUAUUCCCUUUCUCUACACUAACAAUGUACACACUUAAUGUUCUUAGACAAGUUAAUUUUCCAAUGUUAGGAAACAUUUGAGACAAAGACCGACAUUCUUCAAUGACUAUAUGCCUAAGAUUUUGUAAGCAAGCCAAGCGUUUUGGGAGACAACUCAGAUUACGACAGUCUUUUAUUUUCAAGAUUUCCAGUUUUUGUAAGUUGUAAAUUGAGUUAGGCAACUUUUCUAUGUCAAGAUAAAUAAGUUCCAAAUACCUUAAAUGAAUUAAACUCCAUAUUGGGAUCUGCAGAGAAAAUGUUCUUAAAACACGGAGAGAACUGCUUAAUGGGAAGUGAUCAUAUUUUGUUGUAAUAAAAUAAUAUUUCUUCAAGUCAAACAAUGUUCGCAAGGAUUCAACUUUUUUGAAAGCAUUUUCAUCGAAGGAUAAAAAUUUCUUGCUGUUAAAACCAAUGUGGUGUGUGCUUUUUGACAAAUUAGUCGUGUUUUUAUUCUCCAAACACGUACAUUCUUGCCCCAUUACUGAUUGAGCGAGAUCAUGGACAAGAUCAUGCAUCUUGAAAGAAAUGUCUCCAGAAUAUUCAUCCAUCUUGCUAUCUUGAAAGAACGAUUUUCUGUACAAUUCCUUCCAAACCAUGUUUCCAACAUCUUCAACCUCUAAAUUCCUCUUUGCAAUAAAUCCAUUAGCCAUCCAAAGCUGAAUCAAUUCUUCCUUCAGGAUUUCUCUAUCUUUGGGAAAUAUAGCACAAAAGGAGAAACAUUGCUUUAGGGUUGGUGUUAAAUAAAAGUAACUCAACCUCAAAGCAGGUAAAAUAGAUUUUUCAUGUGGUAAAUCCCAAAGCUCACUGUCUUUAAUAUCAAGCCAUUCCUUUUCUUCAUUCAUUGAGACCAUUAAACCCCCCAAUGCUUUUGCUGCAAGAGGCAAUCCAUUACAUUUCUUUACUAUCUCCUUUCCAAUCUCCACAAGCUUUGUAUGCUCUUCUUUGUUACGUCUAAAUGCAUGUUGUUUGAACAACAACCAACAAUCACUAUCUGAGAGACCAGAUAAACGGUGACUUUCCCAUGUCCCCAUGAUUGUUGCAACAUCCUCAUCACGAGUGGACACUAAAAUGGAACUACCUUUUGAUCCACACGACAAAACAGAUUUCAAACGAUUCCAUCUAUCUUGUGUUAACCCAGAUUCCAAUUGUUCAUUUUGAUUCCACACAUCAUCCAAAAUCAGCAAAUAUAUUUUCCGUUGCAACAAUCCUUGCACCUUUCUUUCCAAGACAUCUAACUCAAAGUCAUGACACUUCUCUAAUGUAAUAGAUUCUAUAAUACAACACAAAAUCCUCUUGACCGAGAAAGUCUCAGAAACACAAACCCAAAUUUUUUUAUCAAAAUUGCGACUCACCCUAACAUCAUUGUAGAUCAAUUGAACAAGAGUUGUUUUUCCAAUACCACCUAAACCAACAAUGGGAUAGACAGAAAUGAAGUUAGAGUCCUUCGCAUAGGUGAGAAGAAACUCGACAAUCUUUUCUUUAUCAUCGUCUCUUCCUAAUGCUUUUGAUUCAAGAGGGGUGGAGCUGGUUUGGCGCCCUUCAGCUACUUGAUCUGGGAUUACCCUAAGAGUUUCACCCGUCUGUAGAGAAAACUUGUUCUUUCUUUCAGCAAUAUCAUCUAACCUCCUUGUAAUCUCUUUCAACCUGUUACCAAUCUCAUGGCGAAACAUGAUGUUCUUUGGUUUGAAAGAGGUAAAUCCUCUGAGUCGACAAGACUCGAUCGAGUACUCAUCAAGGAUAUCAUCGAGCACAUAAACAGCAUCUUUGAGGUCUUGUAACCAUAGCUUAAUAGAGAGUUCUUUGAAUUGUUUCUUCUCAGCAUCUUCAAGAACAGCUUUGAUGUGAACUAAGUUGUCUGAUAGCUUUUGAGCCUUUGACUUGAUUCCAGAAAUGGUUGAAAAUUCAUUUUGAAGGAGAGAUGUCAAAUUUUCGAACACAACUCCAAGCAAAGCGCAAGCCAUUUUUUUGUGAAAACAAAUUAAAGAGUUGAAAAGAUAAGAAGACGAGAAAUUUGUUUAGAUAGAAUGAGUGUUGAACCAAGCUGGAGGACCUUUGAAAAUAAAUGCAAUGAAAGUAGAAAGUCAGCAUGUAGGUGCUCACAAACAGAAUAACGAUCUUCAGAAAAUGUUUAUGAAUCUAGUGCCUGCAUUUUUUUAUUUACGUUCCAUAUAAAAUUUCAUUCAAGUUGGUGUAACGUCAUUCACUUAUAUUUAAUCUUUAAAAUUUCAUGCCACUAGUGUUUAAAUUUAGUACUCUGGGUCAGGGGUGGAUCUGGUUUCACAAUAUUAAUGGGGCAAUUUUUUUUUUUGUCAAACAAUUAAAUAAUAUUAAAUUUGAUAAGAAGAUAUAUUAAAAAUAGUUGUUGCAACCAAAAUUACAAAGAAAAGUAUCUAUUUUUCAUUUGUUGAAUAUAAACUAAAAUUAUAUAAUUACUAAUUGUUCUAAGAACAUCCCUUUCUAUAUAGAUUACAAGAGAUGAAUCAAAUGCUCUAAGAGGAUACCCAUGCAUAUGGAUGGGUGAGCGUGUUGCGCUUUUUUUGAAAGUAAUUCACAAUUGUGUAGAAAUUAUAUAUAUAUAUAUAUAUAUAUAUAUAUAUAUAUAUAUAUAUCAUUGUAUUGAUUUUUUUGAGAGCAUAUUGAUAUAUGAAUAAAAAUAUAGAUAUAUGUAUAAACUGUACAAAAAAAUUAUUUAUUUAUAAAAUAUGAGUACAAAUACAGACACAUUUAUAAAUAAAUAAAUAGGUUCUCUAAUUAAUAUAUGAAUAACAAAAACCCAUUUGGGGUUGGCCCAGCGGUUGGCUUGGGAUCUUGGAGUUUGCUCCUUCAGAGGUCUCAGGUUCGAUUCACUCUGGUGUCAAUUUCGGUGGGCUAAGUCCAUACAGAGCUUGCUCUGGCUUUAAACGAUGCCCCCGCAAGUGGGCGGUGGGAUUGGUCCCCUCGGAUUAGUCAAUUCUUGGAUCGGAUACCGAGUUUUCAAAAUAUAUAUAUAUAUAUAUAUAUAUAUAGGGGUUUGCUAGAACACACCCACUAGUUUUUAUGUGGGAGUGUUUUAGCAAAGCUACACCUUAAGGUGUAUUUAACCACUUUUUAGUUAUUCAAUUGCUAAAAUACUCAUUCUAAAAACUAAGUGGAUGUAUCCUAGCAAAUGCCUAAAUAAAAAUAUAGACAUCUGUAUAAAUUAAAAAAUAACAUAUAACACCAUCUUAAUAUAUGAAUGAAUAUAUAGAUACAUGUAUAACAUAAAAAAAAAAAAAAAAUAGUUGUUUAUAUUAAUAUAUCUUGGAGUUUGCUUCUCCAGAGAUUUUAAGUUCGAUUCUUGGAUCGGAUACCGAGUUUUAAAAAUAUAAAAAAAAAAAAAAAAAACACCUUGUCAAGAAAAAAAAAGAACACCCUUUUUUUUUUGGUACAAAAAGAACACCUUUUUAUUUAUUUAAUUAAAUAUAAGUUUCAAUACGAUUAUGGUUAAGGAGGUCAUUCAGUGAUACCUCUAUCUACUAUAAAUAAAUAAAUUUAGGAAAACAAGUUGACCAACAAAUUUAUUAUUCGAAAAAUAGUUGACCCACAAAUUCAUAAUAGUAACCGUAUGCUUGUGUUUUUUGACAACUGUUUUUUUUGCAAACAAAAAUCUUUUAUUUUUUUAAAAAAAGAAAAACUUUUACACAUUUUCAUUCAUUAUAAAAAGUGAUAUAUUGUUAUUUGUCAACUUUAUCUUAUUUCUAUAUGCCACUUUAUUGUUAUGAGAUUAUUUUGUGGAAUUUUUUUUUUCUGACCCUAUUGGCCAAAAAUAUAUAUAUACAUUUGAACUAGGCGCAUAUGGGUCAUUGUCAUUCAGUGUUAUCACUAAACCAAUGUAUAUUUGAUGUUAAUUUUGCGCAUCCAAUAAUAUAUAUACCAUUUUUUAAAUCAGUUUCACACACCAUGAGGCAUGAACCAUCCAAUUUUUCAUUUUUGUUCCCUCAAAAAAAAAAAUCAUUUUUGUUUUUUUAAUAUAAGUCUUAUAAAAAAAAUAAAUAUAGGGUCCCCAUGAGCUUAGAUUUUAAGGUAAAUUUCUCUAGCUACUAGGCUAUUUGACAAAAAAAAAAUAAAUAGGAGAUUUUAUAAUUUUAAUUGGAUUCUAUAUUUUAUUUUGAAAAAUUACUUGAAUAUGAACAAAAUCUAGAUUUUAUUUUGAAUAUAUAUAUAUCUUGAAAUAAUAUAUAUGUCAUUUCGUCGGAUAAUUAUCGGUGAAAAAUAUAUAUUUCGUCGGAUAAUAAUAAUAUAUAUAUAUAUAUAAUUUAUCGGUGAAAAAAAUUAUUUCGUCGGAUAAUUUUUCACAGAUAAAUUAUAUAUAUAUUCGUCGGAGAUCCUAAAUUAUCCAAUUAAAAAAACAAAAAUGAAAAACUGGAUGGUUUGUGGUGUGUGAAACUGAUUUAAAAAAUGGUAUAUAUAUUAUUGGAUGCGAAAAAUUAACAUCAAAUGUACAUUGGCUUAGUGGUAACACUGAAUGGCAAUGACCUAUAUGCGCCUGAUUCAAUUCCUCCUGAGUGAAAAAUUUUAAUUUUUUCUCAAAUAAAUAAAAAAAAGCAAAAAACGAAAAAAAAAUAAAAAAAAUUGAUUUUUUUUAAAGGGGGUCAGAGCUGAAAUUUUUUUGGCCAAUAGGGUCAGAAAAAAAAAAAUUCCUAUUUUGUGCUGAUGAGUCACUACAUAGUAGAGUCGACGGUUGUUGUCAAUUAUUUGAAUAUAAUUUUUGCAUCUUCUAAUAAAAAUGAGAAUAACUAUAAUAUUCUAAUUAUAUAAAUGUGAAUAACUAUAAUAUUCAGGAUUUAUACGGGGACAAACAUGAUUUUCCAAAUUUUAGAUUCACUUAAUUUCUUUUUUUGAUGUUAUUUAUUAGGGUUUUGGCUUAAUCCCUCUUUUACAUAAUUUUUCCUUUUUUAAUAAAAUUUCAGAGUAAAUGAUAGAAAAUAGGAGCAGCUUACCAACCUAGUUGAGAUGUCUAUAAUUUCUUCUUUAGUUUACCUUUCUUGCUCUCUUGAUUAAAAAAUAAAUAAAGAAUCUACUUUUACAUCAAAGUUCAUGAAUCUAGUCCUAGUGGCCUGUAUAAUUGCUAGGAAGAGUUUGAUUGAUCCACUUUAACCAUUAAUACGUGGCCGACAAAAUAAUGAAAUAACUUUGCUUUAUGAAAACUUUGAUUUGGCAUUUUAAUUUCGUACCCUAGCUAAGGAGUAAGGACGAUAACCGGUUGUUGAUGGGUCCAACUCUCUAAUAUCAUUCUUGUAUUGCAUUUACAAUGUUUGUUCAUACACAUAAUUAGGACAUGAAACUCUCAAGUCUCAAAUGAAAGAAAAAUCAAUUUUACAGUUAUUUCAUUAGUUUUUUUUUUUUUUUUUUCUACCAAUCAUUUUUAAAUGCCCAAGCAAUUCAUCUUGCACAAAAUAUUGAAAACCAUCUAACCGUCAAAACUCAAGUUUCAAUUUCAUCUUGGGAUGACAAUGGGUAUCCAAUGGAUAGAAUACUAUAGUAUCCAUCCUCAUACCAUUAUUUAUAAAAAAUAUCCGUACCCGAAUCCGUAUCCUCAAUGGGAAAAGGGUGUAUUUAUAGUAUUAGAUAAAACAAAACAAAAAAAAGAAAGAAAAAAAAAACAGAGAAGUGCUAUUUUCCACAAAGAUUUUUCCAACAAAUACCAAGAAUGUAUUGCUUUUCUGUUUUAUAGAGAUGGAGGAAAACUAUUAAUUCCGGAUUUAAUGGAAAUCAUGGCCAUGUGUUUAUGAAAAUGGAUGGCGGAUAUCAAGUCGUGGUUUUCGUGGAUAACAGAUUCGUAGGAACAAGCAUUUUCCAAAAAAAAACUCAAUGGCAUGCUCGCCAUUUUAAACAUAGAGCACAAAAAUGUCAUCGUGAGCUUAGUUCAGUUGAUAUGAACAAUGCAUAAUAUAUACAAGGUUUGGGGUUCAAACUCCGACCAACAAACAAAACAUAGAGCAUAAAAAUAAAAAUAAAAAACCUAAAGAAAAUGGCUAGUUCGCCAUUUCAUAUCAAGAACAGGAAAUUAAAUACUAAAAAAAUAUUAUUCCGUUUCAAAAUAUAAGCAAAUUUUAUUUUUUAGGUUCAUUUAAUUAAUUAUGUAUAUAGUUCAUAAUAUAGACCACAUAUAUCAUUAAUUGAAUGAAUUUAAAAAAUAAAAUUUGCUUAUAUUUUGGAACUGAUGGAGUAUAAUGCUCGGCAACUGAAAUGUAGAGUGCUGAGAAGUUCAGGAAAAAACCUGCGGUUUCACAGAAAAUGUUGAAAAAACUGGCAUGGUCGCCAACAUAUCAAUUUUUUUCUUUACAGGGACAGAAGAAAAAAAAAAUCAGAUUAUUUUGUGCUGAUGAGUCACUACAAAGUAGAGUCGACGGUUGUUGUGAUUAGUCAAUUAUAUUUAUAAUUUUUGUAUCUUCUAGAAAAAAUGAGAAUAACUUUAAUAUUCUAAUCAUAUGAAUGUGAAUAACUAUAAUAUUCAGGAUUUAUACAAGGACAAGCAUGGUUUUCCAAAUUUUAGAUUCACUUAAUUUCUUUUUUGUUUUUGUUAUUUAUUAGGGUUUUGGUUUAGUCCCCCUCUUAUAUAGUUUUUCCUUUUUUAAUAAAAUUUCAGAGUAGACGAUAGAAGAUGGGAGCAGCUUACCAACUUAGUUGAGAUGUCUAGUUUAUUCUUUAAUUUACCUUUUUCUCUCUUAAUUCAGUAUCGUUCAUUCCCAAAGUAAAAGUCGAAAAUGCCCCUACGCAUGUUAACAUGCUCUAGUGCAGAUUAUAACGUAACUUAAAAUAAGUAGCGUGACUUAACAUGCGCUAGUGUUAUUUGUGAGUUAUUUGUUGAAUGCUUAGCGCAAGUUAACAUGCGCUAGUGUAUUGUGAAACGUGAGUUAACUCACGUUGCCAUUUGCACUAGCGUGAGUUAACUCACGUUCAUAGCAGACAACAGAAACUGCAAUAAAUGCAGUGCAGUAACAGAACUGGAACUUGAAAAGUGUAAAAUGACCCGUAAUCACGCCACAUUCAUAACUUAACCGAAUUACGCCAGUUUAACAAGAGUAUCGGAUAAUACGACAUAAUCAAUCCAAAUUACUCAAAAACAUCGUUUUUCUCACAAUCACGUAAUCACACAUAAACGAUCCAAACGGUCCAAAUUUCCCGAAAAUACACAAGAUAUAAGCAGACUUAAUGACACGUAAACAAUCCAAAACAAUUCAUUUCAUAUAUUUAUAUAAUAUUAGUUACAUAUUGGCCAUAAAUAUCAAAAUUACACAACCGGCCACCAAAAAAAUAUUUCGGGGUGUAAUACCAACAAAAAAAAUGACGAACACCGACCGACCCAGAAGUGUCAUAACAUAUCUAACUAGACUAGUGAUAGUGCAUAUUCUUCGUAUUCAUCCAUGACUUCGAUCUCUUGCUUUGGCUUUUCCGGAGUGUCCAAAUUAAUAGGAUUGUGCUCAUUUGUUGGUUUCUUUGGCGGCAUCGGAUCCUUAGACAUGAGCUCAUCGAAGGCGGCUUGUCUAUCCAAAAACUGAAAAAGCCAUUGCUUCGCCACACUUUCUUUGUUUUUUUCCUUCAAAUCCGUGAGAAUAUUCCUAGGCUUUGCCAAGCUCUUUGUCAUGUCGAUAACUCUUUGCUUAUCCUUCCCUCUUAGUCGACCCGCAAGAAGGUGGCCGAAUAAAUUUGGCGCCAAGUCAUGGUUGUGAACUCCACAAAGCAUUGUAAUCCACCAUUCUUAUUUUUUUUUUCAAAGAAACAUUUCAACCUAAACGGACAGUUACACUUCCUUGAGCCCGUGCCUUCAAGCUUCGGUUUCUUCCUCGUCUUAUGUGGCUUGUAUUCACCACUCCUCUCACAUUGCGUCGUCACGUAUGGCACUAUAGUACUAGAUUUAUCUAUAGAAAUAGUAAAUCCCUCCCUACCCACUUGUCGAUAAACCCAACCAAGUAAUUCUUCUCGAUCUUUCCAUCUUUCAUUUGUUGUAAAAAUGACCCGGUGUUUACUUGAAUAACACGAACACCGGUAGGUACCAGUUUAGGCUUCUCUUCAAAGUUACCAGUAGGUACCGGUUUUGUUUGGCUGUGAACUAUGUGAGCUUCAACUUGAAAAGGAAUUUUCACUUUAAACUUCACAUCAUUGGUUGGUUUGCGUACGCCGGAAGCUUUGUUUAUGCCCGUUUCGGCUCAACGCCAUCCUCCGCCACAUUUUCAACCAUGCCACUCAAUGUCUACUCAAUAAAAAAAAAUAAAGAAAAAAUAAAUAAGUGACUUGUGCGGCAAGCAAAGGAAAUAAAAAAGUGGCGCAAAAUUUCAAAUUCUGGGCUACUGUUAGUAGCGUGAGUUAACUCACGCAAGUGCUAUCUACCUACGCAACUUAAGUCACGUUGCCCUUACAACUAGCGUGAGUUAACUCACGUUGAGCCCAACGCUUACUGCAAUGAAAAACGAAACUACCAGCAAACCCAGCAAAAAGGAAAAAGUUUUGAUUGUACAUUACCUGUUCUUUGAUGCUUGAUGAGCGUAGAAACUUGUCUCCUGACGAUUUGCAAUGAUUUGGAAUGAAGAUUUUGACUCAAAAUUUCGCACUUUUGGGGGUUUUUGGAGGUGGAGGGAAAGAAAAAAUGGAGCUUUGUGGUUGCCUGCUGGGUUUUGAACGAAAAUAGUACUUGACGCAAGUUAACAUGCGCUACGUGACUUAACUCACUCUGCGUGACUUAAGUUAAGUUCUCCUUAUAACUAGCGCAUGUUAACUCACACUACGCAAGUUAACAUGCGUAGGGACAUUUUCGACUUUUACUUUGGGAAUGAGCGAAUUCAUUUGGGUAAUGAGCAGAGAUCCAUAAAAAAAAAAAAAAAAGGUUUAAAUAUGUCUUUAGUCCUUGCACUUUUAUCAGAUUUUUGCAUUGGUCCCUACACUUUUUUUUUUUUGUUUAGAAUUGAUCUCUGCACUUUGUAAAAAUAUUGGUAUUGGUUCCUCUAUUAACUUUCUGUUAAAAAAAACACAAAACUAUUGAUAUUGGUCCCUGCACUUUGUAAAAAUAUUGAUAUUGGUGCCACGUGGCGUGAAAUGAUUGAGCCACGUGGCACUCCGUUGGUUUUGUUUUUUUUUUUUUUUAACAUAAAGUUAACAGAGGGACCAAUACCAAUAUUUUUACAAAGUGUAGGGACCAAUGCCAAAAUCUGAUAAAAGUGUAUGGCUCAAUGACACAUUUAAACCAAAUAAAGAAUAUAUAUGAAUCUAGUCCUAGGGGCCUGUAUAAAUCUAGUCCUAGUGGCCUGUAUAAUUGCUAGGAAGAGUUUGAUUGAUCCACUUUAACCAUUAAUACGUGGCCGACAAAAUAAUGAAAUAACUUUUCUUUAUGAAAACUUUGAUUUGGCUUUUGUGACAGGUUAUAAUGCUAUGUUAUAACUUUACACUUUACUUAUUUAAUUUCAUAUAAAAUUUCAUUCAAGUUCUGGUGUAACAUCCAUCAUUCAAUGAUAUUUAGUCUUUGAAAUUUCAUGCCACACUGGCAUUUUAAUAUCGUACCCUAGCUAAGGAGUAAGGACGAUAACAUUAACCGGUUGUUGAUGGGUCCAACUCUCUAAUAUCAUUCUUGUAUUGCAUUCAAUGAUAUUAAUGUUUGUACGUACCCAUAAUUAGGACAUUCUCUAGUCUCAAAUGAAUAAUCAAUUAAACAGUUAUUUCAUUAGCUUUUUUUUUUCUACCAAUCAUUUUUAAAUGCCCAAACAAUUCACCUUGCACAACAUAUUGAAAACCAUCUAACCGUCAAAACUCAAGUUUCAAUUUAAUCAUUUAACUCAUUACAUAUCAACAUGUACAAAACUUUGUUUCCCAUAUCACAUGCUCUACCUCAUUAAUUUGUCCAAUUUUGGAAGCUUCUUCAACGUACUUGAAGUGACUAUUAAGUCCUCUCAACAAUGCAAAAUCGAAAGUUACUAAAACGAACUAGAAAUACUAUAGCUAAAAUAUGCACUUAAGAAAAAGUUUAAUUCUUCAUAUCCUUCCAGUUGUGGUUAAAGAGUUCAAUGGAUGCAUCAACAACUUGCUACUCAGAAUAUUCCUUAGUAGUCAGCAGAUUUUGUAGCAGUAAAAUUCUUUAGUAAAAAACCCAGAAAAAUAUUUAUCUUAGGAAAAAAGAAAAGGCUUAUAUAAUGUUAACAACAUACUACAUUACCUGCACAAUUAUUUGAAAACUACCGCAAAGGUUGAUCGAUAAAAUAUCUCUUGUGUACACUCUAGUGCUGAUUCUUCGAAACGUGUUAAAACCAAUUCAACCAAAGCCUGAAAAUCACUCCAUAUGGAGCAUAUAUAACAAUGUUUUGAAUGAAAAUUAAGUAAAUUAAGCACUUGAUGAAAUCCAAACAUGUGAUUCAAUGACUUUUGAUCUCAUCACAUGUGUAUUCACAAUGGCAUAUUUGAUAUCAGACAACUCAGCAGAACGAUGUACAAGAGACAAACAAGAAGCUUUAAAAAAUUGUUCGGACUAAAGAUUGUAGUCAAUCAUCGAAAUGAAGCCAUGAACAUGAAGAGCCCUAAUGGCAGCAAGCCUAUGAAAGAGGGAUAUUUACUGAACUGAUAACAAAUAAGAAAAGAGGGAUAUUCCAUUAGACCCACGUUUAUUUGAAAUAUUGAAUCAUGAUAUGUAAAUGAAAAGCUAAAUAGCACAUAGAAAACAAAAAUAAAACCUAAAGGGGGUGUUUGUUUCAAGGUUAAGAAUGACAUUCCCGGGAAUACAUGGCUAGGGAAUGAUUAUACCCAUGUUUGUUAUGAGGUUGAGAAAAAAAUAUUCCUGGGUAUAAAGAUUCCUGGGAAUGGAGUAACUUCCCAUAACUUCCAUUAUUCCCAUGUAAAGAGAUGGGAAUGUGCAUUCCCAUGAUAUUAUGCAUAGAUUUAAAAAAAAAAAAUUGUAACUUCCAAUUUUUCCAGGAAUGUCAAGUUAUUUGCCAAACACUUUUUUUAACAAAUACCCAAUAAUCAAAUUUUCAUAUUUUCAUUCCCGGGUAUAUUAUUCCUGGGAAUAAUUUGUGUUUUCCAAAAACAAACGCUCGUAUGCACAAAAGUUCAACCAUACUCAACAGGCACACAUUGCAAAAAUUCAAUUAGUUUAGAAAUUAUGGUAGGCAAAAGCCAUAUGUAAUACAUGAAUUUCUGAUACUAAUCGAAUGGCAUUAUUGUGUACCAAAACAUUUGAUUUUGUCAAUGUAAGCUCCCAUUUAUUUAUCCAUCAACUAAGCCAACAGUCACUAUAUCCUUCCUCCACAUACUUCCUGCAAUUGAUGAGCUGCAAGGUUCUGAUUCAUUCAUUUGACGCACAUCCAUCUGAAAUAUUGAAUCACGAUAUAUAAAUGAAAAGUUAAAUAGAACAUGGCAAAAAGAAAUUACUCAACAGGCACACUCUGCGAAAAUUCAAUUAGUUUAUAAUCCAUGGUAGGAAAAAUCCAUAUGUAAUAUGUACAUAAUUUCAGAUACUAAUGAAAUAGAAUUAUCCAACAAAAGACAAAUGCUAGGAAAGACCCGAAAUGAAUUUAUAGAGUGGCACCCCUCCUUACAUGUUGGUUUUGUAGGGUUGAGUUAGACCCAGUGUACAAUAUAAUAUGGCAUUAGAGCCUAUGGAUUCAGACCACCUACCAUUUAUAUCCACGCACCAAGUCCAAUAGUGUUGGGCAUGAGGAGGUGUAUUGGGAAAAACACAAGCCCGACAUAGGAUAAAGAUAAGACAUGAAAAAUUUAUAAAUAGUGGCACCUCUCUCCUUACAAAUCGGUUUUAUAGGUUUGAGUUUGGUCCAAUAUAGAAAUCUACUACAUUGUAUGGUAGAAUGUUAGAAAACAACCCAAAGUGAAAGAAUAAAAGGAAAUAAAUACGGUUAUUUAUUAUUUGCAUAUACCUGUUGAUGAAGGAAUCGGUGUGCGACCUUGUAUUCCCUCUGGAGGAUGAUGUGCUGAACAGAACAAUCUGAACGCCCACGGUGAAGAAUAUUGUUGCAGCCCUGGUGAAGAACAAUGCUGUAGUGCAGAACAGAACAAUCUGAACGCUCCUGGUGAAAAAUAUUCGAUACGAAAUGCUCGAUGCUCUGAAAUAAAAAUCUGAACUUGCUUCGAAUUUGAACAGAAAUUCUUGAUGCCGGUGGAAUCUGGAGAGAGGCCAUGAAAGGUGGAAGAAAUUUUGGAAUUAGGAUUCUAUUUAAAUUUGCUUGUUUUGAGAGUAUUUGGGCAUCCAAUUGACACCUCUAGUCUACACAGUGAACCACCACAUUAUGCAAACGUGCACCUUAGGUAUAGACAAUAACAAAACAAUAUAGAAUGAAUUCUUAUAAGUUAGUUCAUGAAAACAAAAUAUUUCCAUUUUGAUAUCAGAAAUGGUCAACUCAGACGUAUGCACCCUUCACUCUUAGUGGUAAUGGACAGUCUUAUCAUGUAUUACAGAUUUCGAUUCCCCAAACAAAAAUGGAUAUCUAAUACAUGUUCUCUCACUGAACCGAUUAGAAGUUUUCUACUGGAAUAGGUAGCAACUGAACAUAGAUCCAUUUUCUAAAGAUCAUUGAAAAUAUUUGUCGGGUCGAUUGAAAAGUCAAGUAAAUGAUAAAAUCUGGAUUUUAUUUAUAAAAAGAAUCGAAAAAUCCAGAAAAAAAAAGUACCUGUUGGGCAAUAAUGUUCUUUCUCUCCUUUUCUUUAACUUUCUUCUCAUUUUCUGCUUCAACUUUGUCUUUUAUAAGCUCAUCUACCUUGCUCGUAUAUUCCCGAAUAGACUAGAGAAAAAUAAAAAAUGAUUAUUAACAAAAGAAAAAAAUGUUUGUCCUUAAUAAUAAUUGUAAUGAAAGAGACCCUUGUAAAAAACAUACCUGUAAGAGAUAAGGGAAGGAAAAAUCCAUCAUAUUGUUCUUCCAAGCUAGCUCUAAUGCAACAUCUGGCCGUAUUAGAUCAUAACAAGUAGAGAGGCACGAUGCAAAACACUCUUUCUUCCCCUGAAAAACAAAGACAGAAAGAAAUCUUGACCAAGUAAGCAGUAAUGAAGUGUAGAAAGAAUGAAUAUAAUUCAUAACGAUGAAGAGGUCACACCGCAGAAUGUGACAGGGCCUAAUCUGGCAAGGAUCUAAUAAAUGUACACCUGCUCACUAAAAUAAACAAGCAAAUCCUCUGAGAGUUUCUGGUCACCAGAUUGAUAGCAAGUUUCCAUGCAGUCCUUGUAAAGUUUGUCUUUCUUUAACAUACAAAUGGACUGUUUCCAUCUUCCAGCUUUCUUGUAAAUAUAAGCAGCAACACGUCUCAUCUCAAGGAGCUCGUGCUUCUCAAUCUGAUCAUGUGUAUUGUUGAAACCAAUCAAUAAUCAUUCAAGAUUUAGAAGUUUGCGAAAAGGAUGUAGAACUCAAUUUGGCCAAAUAAGUAAGAUAAGGAAAAUCCACCUUCUGUGCAAGACCUAUCUGAUUGAAGUUGUCAUACAGAUCUAUCGAUUUACGAAGUCUAUCGUAGUCCACCUCGUCAACAUAAAUUUCAUGCAAAGCUUCAUUAAUAGAAAACACAUUGCUGCUUUGAACUUCAACCAUGUACGGCUUUAUCAAUCGGAUAUGGCCUGCCUAAAAAUCAGAAAAUUCGAGCAACAAGUAUAAUUAUUGCAUUAAUCAUUUGCAACUAAUUAUUUACAUAACCUAAUAAGAUUAAAAUUACAGAUAUUAGGCAAUAGAGUACAAGAAAUAUAGACCUUCUGCGCUAUUUCUACAAUACGGGCAUGUUCCACAUGACGGGCAAGCACAUUAAGAAGAUCAUUUAUAAUAUCAGGAUGUUCUUGCAAGUAGAAAUGAACAGCCUUAUAAUAUAGUUCUACACGACCAACAUUUACUAUAAUAUGUUUGAAUUGCAUGUGGUCCCAUGCUUCUCGAGAGUGAUUCAUUACAGUGAUUGCAGCAUUAUUAAACUCUUCAAAUUGCACAUAUAGGUAUGUGAGUUCUUUCCAGAGUUGAUGUUCAUCACACGCCUGAAAAAGCUUGAGACUGUUGAGGUUGGUUGAGAACAACUUAAUGUGCUCCAUUAACAUCUCAGGACGAUAUCUUGCGUAAAGAACUCCCAACUCAGUAAAGAUACUCUCAUGAGCACACUCCAGUUCUAUCCCUUUCUCCAUUAGAGAGAUGAGUUCAUUGAAGCGUCUUCUGUUCUGAUAAUACUUGCAAACUUCUUCCAGAUCGUCCGCCUUCAUAAAAAUGAUGAGUGAUUAGCCAUAAAAACGGAAAAUAACAAACAAAUCAACAGUUUAUCUGCUACUUAUUGUGUAUACUAAUAACUAGAUGUUCUAUACUUCACCGGAACACAUCCCAUUAACUUGCAUGCAAUGAAAUUGAAAUAUGAGCGGAAAACCUGGAUACUGAAAAUUGGAGACAUAGGGACAGGGGUGGUAUUACUGUCAGAAAAAAUAAACGAAAGUUUAAGCUAGAAAUCGUGCCACCUGAACAAUAACAUUGAGACCACAAAUCUGAGCUAAGGAGGAUUCCCCAGCAUCAAUGCAGGAAAAACAAACAUCCUUCCAUGUUUUCAAACUGUUUGCUUUCUUAGCAGCAUCAACAGCAUCUUGGAAUUGUUGAAGCUUCACCAAUGUCACUGCUAACUUAGCCCAGUCAGGGAUAAAAGCAAAUAUAAUUUUUGCAGCCUCAUAAAGCGCCUCAGCAUACAAGCGGUCUCCAACAUUUGGCAAAUUAGAAACAUUUGGCAUCAAAAUAAACUCUUCAAUUUCUCCAAGCCGACCAAUCUUUGCAUACGCAUAAAUGAGCUCACUGUCCACCUUGGGCUCUUUGGUCUUCUGCCUAACCAUGAGAAGGUACUUUACUAGGUCAUGGUAUACAUUUGCAACUUCAGCAGCCUUUAUAACCUCUAAAAACUGAGUGGCAUCAUCUGCACGGAUGAACAACUCAAUUGCAUCACUUACUAAGCCUUUUCUUAGUUUCGCCUUAGCCACCUGGCUCCAUACAGAAUCUUCUUCAACGCAGAAUGCAAACUCCAUAGCUCGAUCAAUGGUCUUAAGGUUAUCUAGCAGAACAUUAACAGCCUUAACAUUCAGAUUAAAUUUCUUGAAAACGGCAAAAGCUUCUUCAUAUAAGCGUGCUUCCACUGCCGCCUUCCCGACAGCAGAGCCAUCAAAGUUGUCCAGCCUAUUUAUGUAACCCAUGACUCUUAAAGGAUCUGCUUUUAUUGCAGCAAGGAUCAGUAAGCUUUUUAGAGUGAAGUUUGCACUAAAAGCAGAAUUAUGUAGCACAAUCUUGUCGAGAAGGUCAAUCACUUCAUGGGUAAGAUUGGCAGUCAUAAAAGCUUUCACUGCAGCUGAAACUUGGUCAGGACUCUUGCAUUUAGGCAAAGCAGUAGACACCACUUGAUCAAUCAACUGUCUUCUAAACACGUUCCCAGGAUUUAGAACCUCUUUCCAGAGGCCACCAUCCAUCCGUUCCAUAACAUAUCUGACACAAACAAUAUCAUAAAUAAGACGAGUGUCCCAGACUAGCAUUUUGAAAUACAAUAGCACAAUAUUAAUGAAGAAUUGUAUACACACCUGGCUUGGAGUUUGAACAAGGAAUUUUUAUUGGUCACAUUAACAAGCUCAUAAUCACAUUUCCCCCUUGUGUAAGCAACAACGGCAAGUGUUGGGUCCCUUUGCUCACAAUAUUUACCAAUAACACGAGAAUCAUAAUAUAGGUUGGUUGUGAGAAAAUGUACUGGAUUGCUAUUGCUGUCAAUGAUGAUUCUCCCAAGAGCAUUAUGCACAUGUACAUCUCGGCUCCCCUCCCACACAAGAUCCUCCAAGAUCUGAGUAAGCAAACGAAGACGAUUCCUGCAUAUAGAAAGUAAAAUGAGAAAAUAAUAUGGUAAUGUGGAGAUGCAGGGCAGAGAGAAAAAUAGCAUACCUCUUUACAAAUUCUUCAACUAAAGGCUCAACUGGGAAAGGAGAACGAAUCGAAAGUACAAGACCUUUAAUGAAAUUUUCAGGGCAUCGAUCAUCUAACAACUGCCCUACAACUAGAGGAAUCUUUUGAGGAUUGACCUAUAGGUAAGAAAUAUAAUGUUAGAAAUUCACGUUUAAGAUUAGCAUAGAAAGAUUCAAAAUUAAAUGCAAUCACAAAAAAAAAGUUACCCUUUGAACAUAUUCUUCAACAUAAUGAAGCAUGUUUUGACUAUAGAGAUAAUGUAUGAGAUGAGGAACAAAACCAAAACGAUCACACACAUUAAUCAGUGGCCGUGCAUUUGGAAGGUUGGUCUUCAUUAGAAAGUUCUUUGUCUUCUCAGCAUCAUAAUAGCAUGAUUCCCGGGUUACACGCUCUACCUCCGUAAUAUGUCCCGUUUUAACAGCUACUUCAAUGUACUUGAAGUGAAUGUCAGGAUUCUUACUGUACAAUACAGAAUCAAAAGCCAAAAUUAUUAAAGUAAUUACUACCAAAAGCAAAAUAUAGUCUGUCUGGAAAAUCAAUGCCAUUUUCAUUCUUCAUUUAGAAAUACCUAGAUCUCAAAUGUGCACCCAAGAAAAGGUAUAAUCCUUCAUCAGAAUUGAAUUUCUCAAAGAGUUUGAUGCAUGCAUCAACACCCAGCUGUUUCGAAUAUUCCUUGGAAGUCUGCAGAUUAGGUACUAGUAAGAUUAUUUUAUACAGAAACUAUAAUAACAAGAAAAAAUAUCCAUGUUACAGUACCUGCACAAUUAUUUUAAGAUUUCCCCCAAGGUUGACAAGUAAAAGUUGUUCCAUACACUCCAGUGCCCAUUUUCGAGGAAGGGUUCCAAAAAACUUAACAAGAGCCUGAAAAUCACUUCAUAAUAAGAAGACAACAUAUAAAAGACUAAGUAGAUACAGUCACUCUAGCACCUGAAAUCCAAACCUGAUGUUCAAUGGCAUCAGUUUUCACAAUGAUGCGUUUGAUGUCAGGCAACUCAGUAUAAUGCUGCACAAGAGACAGACACGAAACUUCAAGAAAUUACUGACAACAAAUUACAGUCAGUCAUUGGUAUGAAAAGCCAAGAACCUGAAGAGCCCGGAUGAAAAGGCCGGCCUUUUCACAAAGUUUAGCAAUACGUGGACGAUCAUAAUGACUAAACACGCCUUUUGCCAAUAUAGAAUCAGCAACAUUUGGAAAGGUCUUAAGAUUGAUUUCCAGCAGCUAAAAAUGAUUAGAGCAAAUUUUCAUAAAAUCACAAAAAAAAUAUUGUAUGACUCCAUCAACUCGUAGAUAAAGAUUAAGGCAAAGAAAAUAAAGGAACCUUUGUUUGAAGAUGUCCAUGUUCAGGUAGGUCUGGCUUCAGCAGUUCCAACAAAAAGGUAGUUGCCUCACGGAUCAUAUUCCUCUAAAAAGUAACAGUAGAAACAUACAAACAAAAUUAAGGGUUGACGACUUGAUGUUUCCAGCACAUAAAUAAAAAACAAAAGGAAAUGAUUGGCUCUUUAUUUAACAAAUAGUUCUCGGUACUCAAAUUAAAGGAAAACAUACACGGGAUGGUUAAAAACCACUAUCAAUGCGAGUUUUCGGAAAGAGAAGGUCUGAUUCCAUUAGAUUUUUCAUUUUUCCAUUAAGUAGAAAAUAACUUUUCUGAAAUGCAAAAACGCAUUAUUCACUCUGCCACUUAAAACAUUACAUAAAGAUUUCAUAAAAGUCGAAGUAGAACAGGCUCAAGUAAUCAAGUAUUAUAGGUUCUAAAAAGGAAAAUGAAGAAUGAAAUGGAGACAGAAAUUGUGUACAUGAUACUUCCUUUUCUAAGUUAGGUCAAAUUACAAGUUACGCUUGAUAUGGGAGAACAAUGAAACCUACAUCAAUAAAACAAAAGAUAAAAUUAAAUAGACCUGAAGAAACAGAUCGGCUAUUUUGUUGUAGUCAACAGGGCAACCCCCCUCCAUUCGCAACAUCAUCAGAGCAAAAUCUAGAGCACCCUACAAUGGAACAUGUUCUGAGUAAAUGAAUAAACAAAAAGUAAACUCACAAGAUAACAGAUAUUCUAGAAAGAUAAACAUCAUAAGUAGCACAGAUGAGGUGAUAUCAUUUUAUGAUGUUUGGAUGUUUGGACUUCGGAUGCAUUCAACCAUCAUGCAUGAGGUGCUAUAAUUUUAUGGGAAAUGUUAACGAGUGCCCCCCGGGGCACUUGUUAAGCACUUUAAAUAGUAAGUUUUAAAUGAAAAGUUGUGUAUUGAAUGUAUUGGAAAUUGUAAUAAUUGACUUUUUAAAAGAAUAAUUACUAAAUUUGGGAUGCUUAAAGAGUGCCCUGGGGGCACUCGUUAACAAGACCUAAUUUUAUAAGUGCACCACAAUGAUCAGAACUGAAAUAAGUUUACCAAUAAAGUAUUUCCAUAAGGCAAAACUUGAUCAUUUCAAAUCGAACUACACUAACCUGGGCAUCUGUUUGCAAUAUUGUUUGCAGAAGGAAUAUGUAAUCAAGAGUGUAUCCAACCUGCAGUAAAUAAAAGGAGAAAAAUACAUCAUGCACUGCAAAAAUAAUAAUAAUUAACUAUGUAAUAAAACAAAAGUAUAACAUUCAUUUAACAGUCCAAUAUUACCACUAUUUUCAUGAUUUUGUAAAGUCUAAUAAAACAAAUGUUUCAUUACCUGCUUUGAGUAUGUCAAAAUCUUAUCAUAUUCCCUCCUCUCAGCAAAAGCUGCAAUAACCUUUGGUGUGGCACUUGCUUUAGUAUAUAUUUUCAAUGCCAGGUCUUUAUCCACUUUCUGCAUUAGAUGUGUGUCUUAUAAGAUUGAAUAGACAAACGAAAGGAAUAUAUAGCAAACUAAAUAUGGUUAUUGAAUCGAGAUUCAAAUAGUGAAUCAGAAGAACUAUUUUCUAAAUUGAGAAUUGGAUCUUAUCACAAAUCGUAAGAUACAUUAUCAAAUAGUUAAGAGUACUAGAAUCGAGAAUCGAGAUACAACUAGCACCUAGCAUCGAGAAUCGAGAUACAACUUGCAUGUAUCUUAGGAUAUUGAUAACCAUAAGUAUAUUCAACUGAUAAAGAAACUAAGAAUCAAUUAUAGAUUUGUAUGAGAACAGAACCUUCACAAGGUCACCAAGCUCUUCAGUGCAUUCAAGUUUAUCCUCUGCUAGCCAUUUUCCUAAAAGUUUCUGUUUGUUUCGACUUACGGCUAGCCGUGACAUUUUCAAUGACUCAAAAGCAUCCAGUUUUCCACUAGAAAACAGAUGGUCAAAGUAUUGUAAGCAUGAUGGUGCAUCUUCCAAAGGUACGUUCUGAAAAAUAAUUUACAGAAGAUAAUUAACAAAAGAAAUGAACAACUUAAUGAAAUCGUCAUGUUAUUACUCUUCCAUCCCAUUAACAAAAAAAUAAAUGUAACAUCAUGAAGCACGAACAAUCCUUGGAUUAGGCAUGUCCCAGUGUCGGACAUGUGUCGUGUCCGACACCGACACAUAUAAUUACACUGAAUUAAGUGAUUUUCUCAAAUUAUUAGCGGUGUUUGGGUUUCAGCGUAUGUGACGUGUCCGGUGUCCGUGUUUGUAUCCGUGCUUCACUAUUUUAUUCCAACUCUACUUUCAAAAUAAUACAAUAUACAUCACUCUUAUGUCAAUUAUACUUCACCAUACAUUUAUGGCGAUACUUAACACUCUCAAUAAUUAAUAACUCUAGUUACGACAUUCCAGCUUGAAGGUGUGUGACGAGUAUCUAGUAUCUAACCGUUGUGUUUGACUGCUAUCAAUGUCACUGUCGUAUUUAGUGUCUGCCUCAAUGCUUCGUAGAUUAAUAAUCAUCCUUAUGUAAAAUUGUUGCACACUUUUAUUUAUUUACAAAUUUUCUUAAUUUAUAUAAAAAUACCUAAAAAUGAAAAUUAAACAAUCCGAGUAAUAAGCACAGUUAAUAACCGGAAACAGCCGUUAAGACCUAGCUCAACUAACAAUGUCGAUAUUGUUAGGCUAAACAACUUUAUUAGGCUAAACCGGACAUUGCAAUUGCGUGUGAGUUUCAGGUGUUGGUGUUUUGACAAGAAAAAAAAUAGGAAACAGACACACACUCUCGCGCAGAUGAAUGAAAAUUGUUAACAAGAUUGCAAAAGCAGAGUGCAAAAACCAUUAAUAUAACAGAAAAUAGGGUUUGAUCGAUAUUUGGAAUGGGAAUGUGAGAAAUUACUAACCGUUGAGGAUUCUUUCAUGGAGUUAGGAGUGUUAUCACCCGCCAUGACGAUCGAAACAGAGUUUUAGAGAGAGAGAGUUGAAAUUUUGAAGAAGAAAGUUUGCGAGUAAGAGAUUGGAACACAGUGACAGUGAGAGCGAGAGUGAGCGAGUGGAAUGAAGAGAAUAGAGGAAAAACUGUUUUAUUAUAAGAGCUACGUGUGCUACAAGCAAGCAUAAGCAUUUAUAUUUUUUUAAAAAUCAAGGGCAAGAUUGCAUAACCAUAUCUUAUAAACAAGAGUAAGACAAUUUUUUUACCUUUAUGUGUACCGUUUGGCUAGGUUUUUUUUUUGUCUAAAAGCUACUUUAAAACAAAGUUAAAAUAAAACUCUUUAAGAAAAAAGUUAAAGUUGUUUGGUUUCUUUAAUUUUUUUUUAGUUCUAAAGUUAUUUUUAAGUUAAAAAUUAUUUAGCAAAAUAUUGUACAAAAUUUUAAAUUUAUUAUUUUUUUGGUGGUGUUUGGGGUUCGAACUCGCGACCUUGCAUAUAUAUAAGUACCGUUUGGCCAUGCUUUUUUUCGGUCUAAAAGCAACUUUAAAACAAAGUUAAAAUAAAGCUCUUUAAGAAAAAAGUUAAAGCUGAUUGGUUUCUUUAUUUUUUUUUUAGUUCUAAAGUUAUUUUUAAGUUAAAAGUUGUUUGGCAAAAUUUUGAUUUUUUUUUUUUGUGGUGUCCAGGGUUCGAACCCGCGACCUUGCAUAUAUUUAUACAUUGUCAAUAUCAACUGAGUUAAGCUAGAGAAUAAUUUGUUUUUUCUUUUCCAAUUAUAUUGUAUAACAAAUUUUGUUAUAAGAAUAUCAUAUUUUUGGUGUCAUUUAAAAAAAAUAAGAAUUUAUAUUAUAUGAUAUUAUAUUUGUUACAUUGUUGGAGUCAUUGACAAAGAUAUGUUUAGUUUUUUUAAUAAGAAAAAAAUAUGCAUAGUUUGUUACAAUAUAAAUGUGUAAAAUAUAUAUAAGUAUAAUUUUUUUAAGCAUCUAUACUAGUACUUUUAAUUAAAAUCAAAAUUUUAUAAAAAUAAUAAUUGUUACAAUAUAAAUGUGAGGAUGAGAGCGAGAGUCUGUGAGGAUGAACGGACAGUCCGACUGCGGCCACAACGCAGGGAGGACGUCCGGUGUUCUUCUUCGCCGGCGGAGAGAUCCAAUUGGGGGGGAAGGGAGCCAAGCUGGGUGCCACUUAAAGGGGGGGUUGGGGGAGAUUGGCUUGUUGUGAGUCCUAGAAUGGGGAAAGCGCGGCGACAAGGAGAUCGAGGUCGGGAUCGGCAGCGGAAGGUCAAGCGGUUCCGUGAUUGGGACGAGGCAGGCAAGAGACAAUCUAGAACUAGGGAUUCACGCAGGUUCGGUUACGGCAGCGAUGCGGAUUUCUACCAAGACAGGCUUGCUGAGCGGUCUGAUGAGGAAUUGAGGAAGGACUGGUUGCGGUUUGAGAAUAGGAAUCGCGCUAGUGGUCACAGCUCUGGGGUUGCUGGUUAUGCGCGUCGGAUUCCGGCGCUGGACAGGCUUGGUGAGGGCGGUAGGAAGCAGGACACGCGCGACAUCAGCGGAGCCACCAAGGCCUUGACGAAUGCGGCUCUUUUUCGACGGUAUGUCACGUUUUAUUUUACUAAUUUUCCACCGUUCUUAUCGAAUUUUUAUUUACGAAAAGGGUUUGAGGUUUGUGGCAUGCUGGACGAGGUUGUGGUACCCCGUAGGUGCAAUGUUAACGGAGAACGGUACGGUUUUGUGAGAUACUCGAAUGUCCGGGAUGUUAGUAAGUUGUUGAAAGCCGUGAAUACUGUUUGCUUUGGUAAUUUCCAAAUUAAGGCAAAAGUUGCUAAUUUUGACAAGGCGGCAGCUAGAGUGGUUGAGAAUUUGGUGGUUGGCGCGGGUGCGAAGGAUACCGCGGGAGGAGGUGUUAAGGUCGGUAAGGGAGUUAAAUCAGUUGUUGAGGGUGAUGUGAUGGAAGCUGGAUCGAAAGCUGUUGAAGGCCAAUCGGAUGGACUAGAGGGACGGGUGCCACAAGCCAGAGUGGGUGCGUUGGAUAACGUUCAGGUUGGUGACGUGACGGUGAGCUUGGGUAAGGGGCAUAGUAAGGAGCAACAGGGCGGUAGCGGGAAAAGUAAGUUCGUUAAGUUUGAUGUUCGUCAUACAGGGGGGCGACCUUCAAUCCAAAAUUUGGUCCGGAUGUAUCGUUCAAGUGUGGAAGAUCUUCAGUGGGCCCGUUCAGGUGUGACUGCUACGGUGACUAAUGGUGAGAGUAUCAGGGGCGUUCAAGAUAGAAUUGCGGAUGCGGGUAUAUCAGAAAUUGACAUCAUUCCAUUAGGCGCUGACAAAGUUUUCAUUCGUAGUAUGUCCGAGGUUAGUGUUACAACUAUUUUGAACGAUGCUAAGGAUUUCUUUGCUUAUUUUUUCACCAAUAUUGUGAGAUGGGAUAAGAAUUUGGUGCCGUUCCAAAGGGGGGCCUGGUUGAGGUUGUAUGGUAUUCCGCUGCACGCUUGGAAUGAAAGCUUUUUCAAAUUAUGUAUUCUUGACGUGGGAAGGCUUUUACGUAUGGACACAUGCACUGUGGAAAAAGAAAGAUUUGAUUAUGCUAGGAUUCUGGUGGCUACAAAUUCUUUAGAGAUUAUAAAUUGUUCGGAGAAGCUUUUGAUAGAUGGUGUUUUGGUCACUGUGAAAGUGGUAGAGGAGUGGGGUUUUAAUAUUGGCGAUGAUGCUUGCCUUUACGAAGAGGAGGAGAAUGGGUCAAUUGAGGGUCAGGCUGACCCAGAAGAUGUGCAUAUUGAUCACGAACAUGAGGUUAACGCAGAUUUUUUGGUUGAUAAAAUAGUCCAAGAUUUUUUUGAUUCGGAGAGUAACGGAAGAAUUUUUGAAGAUAAGGUGGAGAAGGCGGUCUCAAAGACGGUUAAGCUUAAAGCGGUAGGUGGUCAAUCGAAAGUGGGUAGGUGUAGUGAAGCCUUGCUCGAGGGGGAUUUACAACCUUUACGGUUAGAGCCCUUUGUGGAUCAAUUGAUGGGUAGUGCGUCACCUGAGUGUAAGGUUGAUGGGCAUGGCAGUGCCGACGUUCCUGUGGAUAGAAGUGUUGAUGCUGAUGAGUGUCCAAGUGAUGGGGGGUCAGUUACUGUUAGGAAGCUUCGAACUCGUCGAAUGGUUUCAUGCCCUCCCAGAGCUGAUCGUUCAGUGGUAUCUGGUCCGUGGAGUCUGGAUUGGAUAAAUGAUCAACAUCUUAGUGACGUAGGGGUUGUGUCUUCUUCUCGGAAAUUUGACGCUAAGGGUAAGAGGCUCAAGGCUUGUCGUAAUAUUCAAGAGGAUGUUGUUGUUAAGCGAAAGAAGGUGAAGGGGUUAUUGCGUCAUUCAGUUCUUAGCUUGAAAAAAGUGGCACGGCUUCCUACUAAAGACCGGAAAGUGGUUAUGAAAAUUCUAAAGAAAAAUGAUCGGAAGUUUAAAGGAUCCAAUUCAAUCAGAAAGACGGCUAGGAUGAUUUCUAAAGACCUAUCCGAGAAUUCAUCAUCUUCUAGCUCUAUUAAUAAUAGUGACUGGAAGCAUUGGGUGGUACUUCAUGGGAGUGACAAGGUGGUGGCGGAGGAUGUGAAGACCCUAGGGGAAUCUAUUGGUGUGAAUCUUAGUGGGUACAACAAUAGAUUUGGGGUGUUAGCAAGAAAAGGGAUGGGGAAAAAGAAGAAGUUAGCUUUUGGUGAUGGUGGUUCAGGAGGGGCGGUUGAGGGUGUUGUGUAGGCGUGGUAGCGGUGGCUGGGAGGGUGUGGGAGAUGAAGUUGUUAUCUUGGAAUGUAAGGGGGUUGGGUGGUUACGAGAAGAGAAAGGAUGUUCGAGCUCUGGUGAGGGAUAAGCAGCCGUUGAUUUUAUGUCUGCAAGAAACGAAGUUGCAAAUGUGUGAUGUUAAUGUGUGUUCGUCGGUUUGGGAUAGGCAGUCGACGGAGUUCUCUUUUCGCCCGUCCCAAGGGGCGUCAGGGGGAUUGCUGACCGUUUGGGAUGCCUCGGAGGUUGAGGUGUGGUCGUCAGGCUGCUUUGAUCAUGUUUUGAGUAUUCAUGGCCGGUUCAUUUCUUCAGAUGAAGAAUUUCACUUAUUCAAUGUGUACGCUCCUUGUGAUGGAGGAGCUCGACAGAUAUUAUGGGUUGCUUUAACGACUCGUCUUCAGGCUCUUAGGGGUAAAAAGGUGUGCGUUUGCGGUGAUUUUAAUGCGGUCCGGAGUCGGGAAGAACGUAGGUCGGCGACGGUUUAUGGCGGUGUGUCGGAGUAUGGUCCUUUUAAUCAAUUCAUAGAGGAAAAUGGUUUGCUUGAUUUACCGUUGUGUGGGCGUAAUUUUACUUGGUUUAAAGGGGAUCGUCGUUCAAUGAGUCGACUUGACCGGUUUUUGGUUUCUGAAGAGUGGAGUUUGGUUUGGCCCAAUUGUAUUCAGGUUGCGCAUUUGAGAGGUUUAUCUGACCAUUGCCUGUUGAUUUUGUCUGUUGAUGAGGAAAAUUGGGGGCCUCGACCGUCGCGGUUCUUGAAAUGUUGGUCAGACACCCCGUGUUAUAAGCAGUUUGUUACUGAUAAGUGGAAAGCUUUACAGGUGGAAGGUUGGGGUGGAUAUGUUUUAAAAGAAAAAUUCAAAUUAAUCAAAUUGGCGCUGAAAGAGUGGCACAUAUCUCAUUCGCAGAACGUAGCAGUGAAAAUUGAUUCUCUUAAGGUCAGGUUGGCCGAGUUAGAUGGUAAAGGGGAGGUCGAGGAGUUAUCUGACGCAGAAUGUGUUGAGUUGCAUGGUGUGUCAGAAAAUAUUCAUUUGUUAUCCAGGCUUCACAAUAGUAUCUGUUGGCAGCAAUCGAGGAACCAGUGGCUGCGUGAAGGUGAUGCGAACUCUAAGUUUUUCCAUUCCAUUAUGUCCUCUCGUCACCGUCAUAAUUCUAUAAGUUCAAUUUUGGUUGAUGGUACUUUGGUUGAGGGCAUUGACCCUGUUAGGAAGGCGGUGUUUACCCAUUUUGCGACUCACUUUCAAUCGUAGAGUGUGGAGCGACCAAGUGCGUCGAAUCUCCAGUUCCGCAACUUAUCUUUGGUUGAGGGAGGGGGCCUGAUUAGACCUUUUUCGGUAGAUGAAGUUAAGGCUGUUGUGUGGGAUUGUGAUAGUUUUAAGAGCCCGGGUCCGGAUGGAGUAAAUUUUGGAUUCAUAAAGGAGUUUUGGGUUGAACUGAAAGAUGAUAUCAUGAGGUUUGUCACUGAGUUUCAUCGAAACGGGAAGUUGGUAAAAGGUAUUAAUACUACUUUUAUUGUUCUUAUCCCAAAAGUUGAUAAUCCGCAGAGGCUUAAUGAAUUUAGACCUAUCUCUUUGGUAGGAAGUAUGUACAAAAUUAUAGCUAAGUUGUUAGCUAACAGAUUAAGGUUGGUGAUUGGUAGUGUGAUUUCUGAAACUCAGUCUGCUUUUAUUAAGAAUAGACAGAUUCUUGAUGGUAUUCUUAUAGCCAAUGAGGUGGUGGAUGAAGCUAAAAAGUUUAAGAAAGAUCUUAUGUUGUUUAAGGUGGAUUUCGAAAAAGCGUACGACUCUGUUGAGUGGGAUUACUUGGAUUCGGUUAUGGAAAGAAUGUCGUUUCCUGUCUUAUGGAGGAAAUGGAUUAGAGAAUGUGUGGGUACUGCUACAGCUUCUGUUCUUGUUAAUGGUAGUCCUACUGAUGAAUUUCAACUGCAUAGUGGCUUGCGUUAGGGGGAUCCCUUGUCCCCUUUUUUGUUCCUGAUUGCGGCUGAGGGUCUUCACACGUUGAUGAAAGCGAUGGUUGACAAUCAGUUGUUUACGGGGUACUCGGUUGGGGUGGCAAACCCGGUUGUUGUUUCUCAUCUGCAAUUUGCGGACGACACUUUGCUGCUUGGCCAUAAAAGUUGGGCUAAUGUUCGGGCUCUUCGUGCGACUCUUGCCAUUUUUGAGUUGAUGUCCGGUUUGAAAGUGAAUUUCAAUAAAAGCUUGUUGAUGGGUAUUAAUAUCUCUGAUUCUUGGUUGAGUGAGGCUGCUUCGGUGUUGAGCUGUAAAGUAGGUAAGAUUCCUUUUUUGUAUCUAGGUUUGCCUAUUGGGGGUAAUCCGCGGAGACUUUCGUUUUGGGAUCCUGUCGUGAAUCGUAUUAAAUCUAGAUUGUCGGGGUGGAAUAGCCGGUUUCUCUCUUUUGGUGGUCGCUUGAUCCUUCUGAAAGCCGUGUUGACUUCUCUGCCUGUCUAUGCUCUUUCCUUCUUUAAAGCUCCAACAGGUAUAAUCUCUUCCAUUGAUUCUUUGUUUAAUAAUUUUUUUUUUUUUUUUUUUUUGGGGGGGGGGGGGGGGGGGAGUGAGGACCGUAGGAAAAUUACUUGGAUAGAUUGGAAUACUGUUUGUUCUAAAAAGGAGUUAGGAGGGUUGGGGGUUAGGAAGUUGAAGGAAUUUAAUGUAGCUUUGCUAGGGAAAUGGUGUUGGAGGUUGUUAGUAGAUAGAGAUGGCUUGUGGUAUCAGGUUUUAGUCGCCCGUUAUGGCGAGAUCGGUGGGAGAUUGGAGGUGGGGGGCCGGAGUUGUUCUUCUUGGUGGCGGGAGGUAGGGAGGAUCUGUGAGGGUGGGGGCGGUGUAGGGGGUGAUUGGUUCGGCAGUAGUGUGAUUAGGAAGGUGGGGGAUGGUGCUGAUACGUUGUUCUGGUCUCAUAGGUGGUGUGGUGAUCGUCCUUUUAGUGAGCGGUUUGGCAGGUUGUUUGACUUAGCUGAGAACAAAGCCAUUUCAGUGGCUUCUAUGUUCUCUCUUGGCGUGGUGCAGGGGGGGAGGGUGGAGUUGGAGGCGAAGAUUGUGGGCUUGGGAGGAAUUUUUAUUAGAGGAGCUUAGGGCUUUACUGCUUGAUGUUUCUUUGUUGCCUAAUGUUUCAGAUAGAUGGUUGUGGCUACCUGACCCUGUGGGGGGUUAUACUGUUCGAGGAGCUUAUGUUAUAUUAAUAGAGGGCGCUCAUCCUCUUUUGACCGAAGCAAUGGAUCUAGUUUGGCAUCGUCAGGUCCCCUUAAAGGUCUCGAUUUUUGCUUGGAGACUUCUCCGGGAUCGGUUACCUUCAAAAGCAAAUUUGGCAGCUCGUGGUGUUCUCAGUUCUGAGGCGACUCUUUGUGUUAUGGGCUGUGGUCAUGUUGAAACGGCCGAACAUUUAUUUUUAUUUUGCCCAAAUACUGUUUUGUUGUGGCAGCAGGUGCGCAAUUGGCUAGGUUCUAUGGGGGCGGAUCCGAAUAAUCUUCAUGAUCACUUAGUGCAGUUUACUUACUCGACAGGUGUUGGUAAAGCUAAACGUUCUUUUCUGCAGCUAAUUUGGAUUCUGUGUACUUGGAUUGUGUGGAUCGAACGUAAUAACCGCUUGUUUGGUAAUGUUGUAACGGAUGUCCCAAGGUUAUUGGAUAAGGUUAAAUUGUUAUCAUUACGGUGGCUGAAAGCAAAAAAAAAACGUGUUUGUUUAUGGUACUCAUAUGUGGUGGUCUAGUCCUUUGUUAUGUUUAGGCAUUGGUUAAUUCCUGUUUUUUGUUCUUUGUGUUGGACUCUGUAACAUUUUGUAUCUUGUAGCAGAAUUCUAGGCACAUCUUGUGCUUGGAAUAUGCUAUGUUUGUGUUAAUAUAAUUCCAUUUUGAUGUGUUCAAAAAAAUAAUUGUACGCAUUGCGCAACACUGAAAAAAAUAUACGCAUUAGUGUAACAAAAAAAAAAAGACAUACAGACAUAAAAUAUUACUCUAAACGCUAAUGUGUGUGUGUAUAUUUGUGAGGUUGAAGAAAGGGAAUAAAAAUAUUUGGUGUCAUUCAAUGACUGCAUAAAUAAAAAUAUUUGUGAGGUUGUGAUAAUUAAACGAUAUUAAAAUUAAAUAUAUAAGUGAUUAAUAGAUAAUAAAAUUCCUUCAAAAAUAGAUAAUAAAAUUAAAUUGAUCCUCCUUUAAAAAAAUUAUAUGGACCGGUUCAAAAAAAAAUUAAAUGGAAGAAAAAAACAAAUCAAAAUAUAAUAUUAAAAAAUAAAAUAUAAGGUUGCCUGUGUGAGUUGAAGAGAAGUGCUUGUGAAAUAAAUUACAGAGAAGUAGUUUUUUGAAGUAGCAUUCAACAACUUUUAAAGCUCAUUCCAUUCAAUUUUAUGAAUUCUAAAAAAAAUACAUUUUUUCGAAGGUACUUUAUUGAUAUUGUGUUUCGCCUAGCUUCUCUUUAAAAAUGUAGAGAAGUUGGAAAAAAAGUCGAGUCAAACGGUACCUUAUAAGCUUAUUUGAUUAAAAUAGAUUUGUUUCGUAAUUUUCACUUUCUCACAGGUUUAUAUCUUAUUUUCACUAAUUUAUGGUUUUUUUUUUUUUAAACACCACUGAAAUUCACGCACACAACAAAGUCUCAGGUUUAGACUCGGAUAGAGGUGUCCAACCUAACCAUUGACAGAUGAGUUAGGCUUUCCAGACAAUUUAUGACAGUUUUUUAUAAGCUAAUUCAAUUACCUUGUAGUUUAAAGUUUAUAAAGUAUCAUUAUUUAUCUCAACAAUUUUACCCUUCAAUCUUAAUUGAAAAAAAGUAAAUAUUAAUUAAAUAUAUCAUUUCAUAUUUAUAAGUUAGUUCAACCGCUAAUUAUUUAAAACAUUACAAAUCCAACUAGCUAGUUUACUUGCUAUCAACUAUAAGAAGGCCGAUAAGUUAUCAUCUAUAAUUUCAUGACUGUUGCUUUUCUGACAUCUAAUAUGUCUUGGAAACACAAGUAAAUGACUAAAAAAUUCAACAUAGUUAACUGCUGUCGAUUUUCUAGUUAUAAGCCAGCAGUAGUUAACUACUGUUAGAGAUAUUUUAAUAUUUUACUUGUGUUUUUAGGAAGUUUAUGAUGUUAAAAAAACAAUCGUCUAAUUUCAUAUGAUAUAAGGUUUAUCGGUUCAGUAUUUGCUAUUUUACCAAACAAAAUCAAUAUAUGAAAUUGGAAGGGAUGAUAGCUUUAUUAAGUUGGAAAGUUUAGGUGAGAUAGACUCGAGAGUUAUCCAAAAUCAAGGUAUACCUUGAGACUUAACAAAUUCAUUUUUAACUAGUAUAACUUGUCCCGUGUGUAAUAUUUAUUUUUACAAUUUGUCUCGUGUUUAAUAAUUACUUUGGCUUUUUAUCAAUGACAAAUCUUCUAGAUGUAUGAUAACUAUUUUAAAGGUUUCAUCCUCAAAAUAAAAAUAAAGUUAAAAGGUUUUAUUUUAUAAAGGGUAAAUAUCUCUUUUCGUCCCUGUAAUAUUAGUGAAUUUUGGUUUUAGUCCCUGUAAAAAAAGGAUUUAGAUUUGGUCCCUGUAAUUUCAGAUUUUUCCACUUUUGGUCCCUCAUUCCACCACGUAAGCAGAAUCUGCAUACAUGGCACGUAAAAAUGAGGGACGAAAAGAGGUAUUUACCCUUUUAUAAAGCAAACUAUCGUUAUUUAUUUAGGAAAAGAAAUUUUUUUGACUGUUUUCCUUAAGUUUGUUGUCGUUUUCUUCUAAAAAAAAAAUAUUUUGUUAAAAAUCGAGAUGUUACAAUUUUUUUUUGUUUUGUAACACAGACUUUAGGACUAUCGGAAUGUACUCCCUCCGUCUCUAAAUUAUAGUCGUAUAAAGUUUAUGCACGAUUAUUAAGGAAAUGAUUAAUUGUAUUGAUUUCAAUGGUAAAAUUAACAUCAUUUACUAAGAUACUCUUAUUAACAUGUAGUUAGUGAAAUAGUUAAGUUGGAUGAAAUUUAAUAAAUAAGGAUAUAAUGAUGGAAAAAAUAAAUGAAUGUUGCAUUAGUAUUUGUAAAGCGACAAUUAUUUUGAUAAAAAGAAAAAAUGCGAGAUUAUUAUUGUGAGACGGAGGGAGUAAUCUGUAGCAUAUAAUUUAUGACACAAUUCACUUCAAAAUUACAUAAAUAUACGAGCGAUCAGUUUAGAGUUUAGUAGUAAGAGUUCGAUCAUCUAUAUAACUUUUAGACAAUUGUAAAGCAACGAUUAAUGUCACUUAAUAAAUUUUAGAAAUUACAUAUAAAUAGAAGAACAUAUACAUGUUUGUAAACUCUGCUACUGAUGUGUGAACAGAAAAUAAUAAUUAUUUCAUCAAAAAAGAAAAUAAUAAUUAUGACAAAAACAUUAAUUUAUGUUAAGAUACAUGUUUGUGACAAACUUUAACAUGUUUGAGAGGAUUGAUGAUGAGGUUACUAUUGCUUGGUACAGCACAACCAACUUUCUUCAAUUCUAGAAAAGUUUGUGUAGUGUCAGGAUCAAAGCCACCUGCAAACUGAAUGUCUUGAUGGGUGAUGAGUUGGAUAAAAAAGUAAAUGUCAAAUUCAGAAAGUUCUGAGGAAUGUUAUUGUACCUGAUGUACUCUGAAUGCAAACUUAACUCCUUGUAAUAAGAGGUUAUUAUUAUCUUCAUGCAAAGCUUCAUGAGAUUUUAUUUCUUUAGUUAUUCGUUUCAUGAAUUCCUUUGCUAGCCUCAGUGAACAUAGCUUUAUCUGCAAGUUAUUAACAUGAUAAAGCCUUUCAAUAGGUUUUUAUGGUAAAUAAUAAGAUACCCUUUUGAAACAUGUAUAUCAUAAAAGGUAUAGAUGAUUCUGAUGUUAUUGUAGUGAUACUAUCUAUAUUAUGUGACAUGCAUCAAACAAAAUCAUUCAAUUGUGUCAUGAACUAUGAUUAAUUUCAUUUUAUGGAUUGUUGGUUCAAUUGUAUACAAUAAAGAAUACAAUAAUAUUGGAAAAUGUAAGACCUCUAGACAAUUGCUUUUUUAACAUCUGAAACUUCCUAAAAACACAUAAAAUACUAAAAUGUCCUCAGCAGUAGUUAACUACCGCUGACUUAUAACUAGAAAACUGACGGUAGUUAACUACCGCUGGGCUUUUUAGUCUUUUUCAUGUGUUUCUAGAAAAUAUUCAAUGUCAGAACAACAGCCAUCAGACCUCUAACCUCAUCUAAAAAUUUAUAGUAUGAGAGUCUAUUCAUUUGGGUUAUCCACCAAUUUAUCCAUGCACCUAGCCCAAUAGUACUAGGUGUGAUGGAGUGUGUUGAAAAAAACCAAGUCACGCAUUGAAAAUAGAUAAACCAUUUAUUUGUUUUCGUGUUUGUACAUCAAUAUCCAUAUGUUUUUUGUGAAGCUACUACUCUCAACAGCUUCGUAAAAAUCAUGUCAAAUGGUCAAUGGGACGUGAUAAUUUUGGUCCAACUGCCAAACCAAACAACCACAAAGUUUUUAAGAGUGUCACUUCUCACCUUAUUAAUCAUAGAGAUGAGUUGGACCCAAUAGAAAAAAAAAAAAAUCAUAUUUUGUGAUUUCACAUAAGCUUGAGUUUAAGCAAAAUUAACCAAUUCAAAAUAUUUUUCUUCAUAAUCUUUAGGACACUAGACACAUAUAAAUGCAAGCAUUUUUUUUAAUGUUUUAUAGUGAUCUAUAAUGCAUAAACAAGGUAUGAAUUUCUUACCUGACCAACAAGGCCAGUGUCCAUCAUCCACUCCCAAGGGAUAUGAAAAUUCCUAUAUUUCUUACUUGAACUCUCCCUUAUCCUCUCUUUACUACUUACACUUCCCUCCAACCUGCAAAAUUUUAAAAGCAAAACUUUCAAUUAAUUCUAAGUAUUGCUCAAAAACUUUAGUUAAACUCAACUCUACAAUUUUUGUACAUGCUCGCCUGUCUUGUAAUGCUUGUAUCCUUUUCAGGGCCAUAGAAAUUGGCUCUUUUGGAUUAUCCUCAUAUGAUGAAACUUCUGAUUCAAGAUUCUUUAGUUCUCUAUAGUUACAAGCAGCUUCUCUUAAUGCAUCUACUUUUUGUUCUGGCCAUUGUGGAAAAUGCUUUAAGACUGAUCUUUCAUCUACCAGUGUUGAUAAUUCUCCAUCAAGCCAUUUGAUGAAUGUUUCCACCUCAGAUAUAUCUGCAUAUGAAGCUGAUUCUACUUGUUUGAUUAAGAAACUGAUGAAUUCUUUUUGGCUUUGAACUUCUGAUUUUAUCUGUCAAAAAAAUGUAUCAAGUAUCAAUAAAAGAGUGUUCAUUGUUUUAUAGUUAAAGCCUUGCUUGGAUUGGUUUCUUUGAGCUUAUCUAUUGGAAUAAGUACUUGUGAGAUUAUUUCGGAGAGCUUAUGGAAACAUCUUAUUACAUGUCCAUAAGUUAAUGGAUUUAAAUUGUUUUAUAUGAUUAAUACUUAUGCUAUAAGCAUUAGUUUAAACUGUUUAUCCAAACAGGCCUAAAGAUUUAACAUUAGAAAAUUUUGAAGCUAAAUAUGAGAAGUUUGGAACUAAACUUACAGCUGAAAGAUGUUUUGACCGAUUUUCGAUUUCCUCAAUCAUGUUUCUGGUGAAUGCUACUGCAGGAAUUCCAUUGUGAUGAGUUUUGUUUUCAAUGUUGGCAUCUUUUCGUGUAAGCGAACGAUACAAUUCGAUUACUUCUGGCACACGACGAACUGUUUUCAAACCGAUAGACGAUUUUGAUGGUGUUGGAGGUGGUGGAGGUGCUGCUGUUGGCUGCAUUUUCAUUCCCUUCUCAUUUUUAUGUGAAGGUGAAAAAAGAGUAGAAGCAGGUUUUGGAGGAGGAGUUGGUGGCAAAACUAUUGAUGACUUUUCCUUUCUAGGUGAAGUUGAUGAGUCUUGAAAAUCUUGAUUUUCUGAACUCUUUUCACACAUGAUUGCUUGAAGUGCAGGUUUAAGUGUAUGGUGUGAAUCUGAAUUGUUAUCAUCUAUGGAUUUUUGUAUCUUUUUCCAUAGUAUGGUUUUUCUCUCCAUAUUGUGUGCUUUGAGUGAAAUUAUCUGUGAUUUUAAACGAGAUACUUCUUCUUUAAGUUCUUGGUUUUCUUUCUGUAGUAACUCAUUUCUAGCCAUGUGAAUUUCAAGUCUUUUUUUGAAAGAUGUUGUGAUCUCAGACUCAUUCUCUACCUGCAACAUUUUCUCUCCUUUUUUCACUCUAUAACAUGGUUAUCAAUUUGAUAUCUUGUACACUGAUUUUUGUUAUAUAUUUGGUCUUGUUUUUGAAGUAAGGUUGGUAUGUCUUGGAGUUAAAUAUCCAAGAAUGCCCUCUAUGGUACUAAUAAAGGUAAAUCAUCAUUUAGAUUCUUAAAUAUGUGAGAUGCUUUUAUAAUUGUCUCUGAAUGUAUAUUUUGUUGGUUAGUUUAGUACUCGAAUAUGUCUUUUGUUAUUUGAUCCAUUAAAAUACUGAUAAAAAAUAUGUUUAGGGAUGUUUUAGUAAUUUUGAUAUAUUCAAAAAUAAUAGUGAUAGGGUCUCACAUAUUUCUAAAAAUGAAUGUUUACACUAUUAAUAGUGACCUUAUGGGCCUAUUGGGAACAAUGGUAUUGAUAGAGUAAUUUGGACAUUUCACAUAAAUUUAAUGCUAUUUGACAUGAAGAUUAAUUAUGAUGCCUUUGUAAGAAAAUUUAUAAGUGAUUGAAGAUUACUUUGGUUUGCUGGCAGCAAUAGUAUGUGAAAGCUGCCUUUAGAGUGUCAUGUUAGGUACAACAUUAAAUAUGUUGGUCAAAUUUAAUGCUAUUGUUUCUAGAUUAAUCUAUGUGAGGUGAGAGAUUUCUUGCUCUCUAAUUUGUUAUUAUGUCAAAACUUUUUUAGGUUAGUGGUACAUCUAUAGUGUAGAAGUUGUUUAAGUGAGGUUUUAGUUAGUAUAUAUGCUUGUCUCAUUUCUACUUUGAAUCUUGUUCCCUUUUCUUCAAUUGAAUUUGAUUUAGAAUUCAUAAGUUAUAGUACAUGUGAUGUGGUCCAAAAAAACUAGUCGGUAUACUGAAUGGUUGAAAGUCCUAACUUACCUAGAUGGAACUCUUUUUCAAUGUGUUUGGUUUCAAUGUGGAAAGUAUUAACAAUGACUUUAUUUUCCCCUUAUGUCAAACAUCAUUGUAGUUUUGUGUAAGGAUGAAAAUCAAUUCUUAGACAAGUUGAGAUAUUGCACAUGUGUUAUUUUUUUUAGAUUGAUUCUGAUAAAGCAUAUGUUUGUUUUCGCAGUAGAAAAUUGAUUGAGGUGUGUUAUCUUUUAAACUAGGGUUUGUAGCUUCAACGUAUAAUUUUUUUAUCUCACUUUAAAUAUCAUAACCAAACACAAAUAAUUUUUUUUUCAUAUUAUGAAAAUCAAUUCUAACACAAAGAAACUUAUUUUUUGAGUAAAAAGAAUUAAAUAUAAACUAAUUUGUUGCUCCUUCAAACACAAUAUAGCUUCAUUGUGAUAGUUGUCUUUCAUUUCACACUGAUUACACUUCUUGUAGUUGAGUGGCAUUUGGCUUAUUCUUUGCUUGUGAAACAAUGAAAAGAGUGGUAGGAAAAAUGUGUCUCAUUCAGUGAUGUUUAUUGAAGAGUAAAUAUUUUCAUAAUGACUACUACGUCAUACCAAACCAGAUUCUUAUGAUAUUUACAUUUUUAUAUUUUUUUUGUUUUAUUUUUUAAUUUAAUAUGUUGUUUCAAAGCCUCUUCUAAACUCUUUUAUUUUUCUUUCAUCCUACUCCUUCUAUAGUUGAACAUUACCACCCCUACACACCGAAAGUGUGAAUUUGAUGUAGAUUGGUUUUCUGUGACAUGUUGAGGCCUACUAUACUUUAGGUGAAGAACGUGACUAAAUUUUUCAAGUUUAAAGUGUUGUUCAAACUUUCAUAACAAAUCAUUUUUUCAUCUCUUGAAUCUUGAUUAAAUCUUGGUAUCCGACCUAAUAGUUGAUUAACUCGAAAGGUCUAAUCUAAUUGUUCAUUUGUGGAGGCCAUUUAAACACACACAAAAUUGAGAGGUUCUUAUAAUAUUUUAGACAUUCAUUCAAAAUUUCUAAUGAUACACAUGAAUCGACUUAAAAGCAGAGACCAAAAGUAGCAAUGUAAAACUUUUGGAGAACCAAAACUCUAAAAAAAAAAUUAAAGGGACUAAAAAGAAAAGAUAGAAUAUUAGUAGGGACCAAAAAAUGUUUAGCCCAAAAAUAAAAUAAUGUUAAUUGAAAGACAUUUUAAGAAUAACAUUGUUAAAUAAAGUAAAACUAACAUAACAAUUUAUAUACCAACAAUUGGUAUUUAAAAAAAUAUUAAGUAAAAAUAAUUAGUUUUCAACCUUUUUCAGAUGUAAUUUUAUUUUAGCAAUUUCUUUUUCCACACUACUUUAUUAUCACGCGUCCUACUGAAUUCUGAAAAUACCUCCGUUCGGAUUAUAUAGUCUGAAUGAUUUUUUGAAGGUUUUCAUAUUAUAAAAUUUGAAACCUCUAAAAAUCCAGAAAAAAUACAGAAUUUUGCACUGAUUCAUCCAAAACGUGUAAAUGUACAGUUUGAAAAAUACUAUCUGAAAACUCUAAUAAUAUUUCAUAUUACAUAUUCAGAAUUGUGUCAAACUCCCAAAAGACCAUUUCAAAGAUAAAUUACAGUGUAUGAUAAUGAAAUUUAACCAACAGGUUAACAAAAUCGCAAUGAGAAGACACAAAGCAGAAUUGAAUCAAAGAAAUUGAGAUGGAGGAAAGACCCAAUCCAAGAAGAAGACAGCAAAGAAAAUUGAAUGUAUUUUCUAUAGAAAGUGAAUAGAGAGAAAGAAAAAAAAAAAAAAAAAAAAAAAAGCUAGAAUGCAAAAGAAAGGGGAAAAAGAGAAAAUUGGAUUUUCUCAAGAAAAUGCAGCGGAAAAUAUCUUUUAAGGUGGAUACCAGAUUAGCUCUUAUACCAUGUUAUAAAACAUGAUAUACAUAGAAGGAACAAGAGAAAACUCAAAAAAUCUUUCUAUUUAUGAUAAAUGUAAAUGUUACAAAUGAUAAGAGAGACAUCUCAAAAAAGAGAAUAGAUGGACUAGUGAGUAAAUGAAAUAAUAGCAUAGUGGAUAUUUUUCCUUAAAAAAAAGCAUAGUGGAUAUUUUCUUAUUAAUCAAAGUUUUCCUUAAUCUGAACUUUGUUUUAGGAGACCUUAAUUUGUACUUAUAAAACUAUUUUGAAAGACAUGUAUUUUGAAGAGAGGGAGUAGGUGAUAAUGUAAGCAUUGAAUGCAGUUUGAACAAGUCAAAGACAAAGUGUGUUUGGUGGGGAAUGUAAUGUUAUGAGGGAAUUCAAAUAUUUUGCGGUGAAUUUUAUGUUUGGAUAAUAAUUUGAAGAAUUUUCAAAAUGAUGGGAAUUUAUGAAGUAUUUUGUUCAAGUUCAAUUUAAAGAAUUUCAAAUGACACCUCAAUUUAGGUGAAUUUCAAAUGAUUGAAAUUUGACCUCAAUUUUUUCAAAAUUUUCAAUUUGACCUCAAUAAAUUUCCAAAAAAUUAUAAAUUGACCCCUUAAAUUUUUCAAAAAUUAUAAUUUGACCCCUCAAAAAUUUUUAAAUUUACAAAUUGACCCCUAAUUUUAAUUUUCAAAUUUGGCCCAAAAUUUAUAAAAUUUAUAGAAAUUUUUUAUUACUCCACCCAAACAAAAGUAUUGAAAAAUGAAAGAAAUUUAAUCGAAUCAUUUAAAUUGCCUAAAAUUUAAAUUCUUUAAAAUUGUAUAAAAAUACUUGUACAAAUAUAAUUUCUUUAGACGUUAUUGAGGUUCACAUUAUUCAUCUAUGUAGCAACCAAUUUUGAUGUCUUUGAGACAAUUACAUAACAUGAGUACCAUUGAAACUCUCUUUUAAACUCUCUCUAACACUCACUAUUUUAUUUAAUGAGAUCGAUAUGUGUUCUACACUUUAAAAAUAGGUCAUACCUAAAUGGCGAAAAAAACUCGUGAGUUUCACAAAAUAAAAGAGUGAAUGUUGAAAAGAUAGUGUUCCAAAAACUUCUCAUUAAAUAACACCUUACAAAAUCUAAAUCAAAGUUAUUAUAGAGGCUCAAUCAAAACUCAUCCCAACAAUUGUACAAUCCAGUAGUAUCUAAUAAAUGUGUGAUGUAAAACUAGAUUGUUUAUUGGUGUUCAAGUAUGAAAACAAAGAAAAUGAGACAAAGAAAGUCAAUAAUGGACCCACAAUGAUAAAUUUGUGAUUGAAAAUCUGUGUCCUACAAACAUCCCAAUCUCCUAAUCCUAAUGGAACCUUGCAAGUUGCAUCAAUUAUUGAAUUUUGUAUAUACCAAUUACAUUUUUUCUCACCGUUCUUCUUUUUACUACAACACUUCUCAUAUUUUCAACUCUUUCUUUUCUGAAAAAAAAAUGGCUGAAGCUUUACUUGGUGUUGUGUUUGAAAAUCUACUAUCUCUUGUUCAAAAUGAAUUUGCAACCAUUUCUGGAAUCAAGUCCAAGGCUCUAAAGCUAUCAACCACCUUAGAUUUGAUCAAGGCCGUUCUUGAAGAUGCUGAGAAGAAACAAAUAACAGACCGCUCUAUAAAGGUAUGGCUUCAACAACUCAAAGAUGCAAUCUACAUACUAGAUGAUAUUCUUGAUGAGUGUUCCAUUCAAUCCACUCGACAAAAGGGCAUAUCUUCUUUUACAUUAAAGAAUAUCAUGUUUCGCCAUAAAAUUGGCACUAGGUUUAAAGAAAUUACAAACAGAUUCGAUGAUAUUGCUGAAAGUAAAAACAAGUUUCUUCUACAAGAAUGUGUUGCUGUUAGGGAAAGGUCAAUCAAUGUGGCUGAAUGGCGUCAAACUAGCUCUAUUAUUGCUGAACCAAAAGUAUAUGGUCGAGAAGAUGAUAAAGAGAAGAUUGUCGAGUUUCUUCUCACCCAAGCAAAGGGCUCUGACCUCCUUUCCAUCUAUCCAAUUGUUGGCUUAGGUGGUAUUGGGAAAACAACUCUUGCUCAAUUAGUUUAUAAUGAUCACCGGGUGAGUGACAAUUUUGAUACAAAAAUUUGGGUUUGUGUUUCUGAGGCUUUCUCUGUUAACAAAAUUUUGUGUACUAUUAUAGAAUCUUUUUCAAGAGAAAAGUGUGAUGCCUUAGAUUUAGAUGUUAUACAACGACAAGUGCAAGAAUUGUUGGAAGGUAAAAGAUAUUUGCUUGUUUUGGAUGAUGUGUGGAACAGAAAUCAAGAACUGGAAUUUGGAUUAAGCCAAGAGAAAUGGAAUAAGUUGAAAUCCGUGUUGUCAACUGGAUCCAAAGGUUCAUCCAUUUUAGUCUCCACUCGUGAUAAGGAUGUUGCUGAGAUCAUGGGAACAUGCCAAGCUCAUCAUUUGUCUGGUCUAUCUGAAUAUGAAUGUUGGUUGUUGUUCAAACAAUAUGCAUUUCGACAUGAUAGAGAGCAGCAGACUGAGCUUGUCACAAUAGGAAAAGAGAUAGUAAAGAAGUGUGGGGGAUUGCCUCUUGCAGCACAAGCAUUGGGAGGCCUAAUGUGCUCAAGGAGUGGAGAAAAAGAAUGGCUUGAAAUUAAAGAUAGCAGGAUUUGGUCUUUACCGAAUGAGAAUUCUAUUUUGCCUGCUUUAAGGUUGAGCUACUUUCAUUUAAACCCAACCUUAAAACAAUGUUUCACUUUUUGUGCCAUGUUUCCCAAAGAUAUAGAAAUCAUGAAGGGAGAUUUAAUUCAUCUCUGGAUCGCCAACGGAUUUAUAUCAUCAAGGGAAAAUUUAGAGGUAGAAGAUGUUGGAAAUAUGAUUUGGAAUGAAUUGUGCCAAAAGUCAUUUUUCCAAGAAAUCAAGAUGGUCGAUGAUUCAGGAGGCAUUUCUUUCAAGUUGCAUGAUCUUGUCCAUGAUCUUGCUCAAUCAAUUAUAGGAUCGGAGUGUUUGAUUUUGGACAAUACAAACAUAACUGACCUGUCAAGAAGCACACACCAUAUUGGUUUAGUAUCUGCAACACCGUCAUUAUUUGACAAGGGUGCUUUCACAAAAGUUGAAUCGUUGCGAACAUUGUUUCAGAUAGGUUUUUACACCACAAGAUUUUAUGAUUACUUCCCAACCUCUAUACGGGUUUUACGCACAAACUCUUCCAAUUUAUCAUCGCUAAGUAAUUUAAUUCAUUUGAGGUACUUGGAGCUGUUCGAUUUCCAUGACAUAAAAACCCUACCUGACUCAAUUUAUAGCUUGCGUAAUUUGGAAAUCUUGAAACUGAAACAUUUUUCUAAACUUCGUUGUCUACCGGAACACUUGACUUGCUUACAAAAUCUCAGACAUCUUGUUAUUGAAAAUUGUGAUGCAUUGUCCCGUGUGUUCCCUAACAUUGGUAAAUUAUCUUCCCUAAGAACAUUAAGUAAACACAUUGUCCGUUUAGAGAUUGGAUACAGCUUGGCAGAAUUACAUGAUCUAAAGCUAGGGGGAAAACUAAGCAUUACUUGCCUAGAAAAUGUUGGAAGUUUGUCUGAAGCUCGAGAAGCCAAUCUGAUAGAUAAAAAAGAACUUCAGGAAAUAUGCUUCUCAUGGAACAACAGGCGUAAAACCAAGACACCUGCUACUAGCACCGAGGAAAUACUUGAAGUGCUUCAACCUCACUCAAAUCUCAAGAUCUUGAAAAUACAUGGCUAUGACGGAUUGCACCUCCCAUGUUGGAUCCAAAUUCAAAGUAGUUUAGCUGUUCUUAGACUUUCUUAUUGCAAAAACUGUGUGCGGCUUCCAUCACUUGCUAAAUUACCAUCUCUCAAAAAACUCCAAUUAUGGUAUAUGGAUAAUGUGCAGUAUGUGGAUGAUGAAGAAUCAAGCGAUGGUGUGGAGGUUAGGGGUUUCCCAUCUCUGGAGGAGCUGCUUUUAGGUAAUUUACCUAACUUGGAACGGUUGUUGAAAGUGGAAACAGGGGAGAUUUUUCCCCGCCUUUCUAAGUUGGCCAUCGUUGGUUGCCCUAAACUUGGGUUGCCACACCUUUCAUCGUUUAAAGAACUCAUUGUAGAUGGAUGUAACAAUGAGUUGCUGGAGUCAAUCUCUAGUUUCUACGGCCUAACUACCCUUGAGAUUAAUAGAGGUGAAGAUGUGACAUAUUUUCCAAAAGGGAUGUUGAAAAACCUGACCUGUCUUCGAACUUUGGAAAUAUCUGAUUUCCCAAAAGUGAAAGCAUUGCCAAGUGAAGCCUUCAACCUAGCUUUGGAGCAUCUUGGUAUCCAUCACUGUUGUGAGCUUGACUCAUUACCAGAACAACUUUUUGAAGGUCUACGAUCCCUUCGAACCAUGGAGAUUGCUUUCUGUGAAAGAUUGAGAUGCUUGCCAGAAGGUAUUCGCCACCUCACAUCACUUGAGGUUCUGACAGUUUAUGGUUGCCCAGCUGUAGCAGAGCGAUGUAAGGAAGAAAUAGGAGAGGACUGGGACAUGAUAGAACACAUUCCAAAAUUAUCUAUUAAUUAGAUUGAAGAAGAAGAAACUUUUGACCAACAUUGAUUCCAUUACAAUAUGCCAAAUAAUAUAGAAUCAUUUGUAUAUUAAGACCAUGUAUAUUCCAAUCACUGCAAUAUUCCAAAUAAUAUAGUUGAUGGCUACUUUGGGAGUGCGACAAGUUUUUAAAAUGACAAUUGGUUUUCUUUUUCAAACAUUAUCGUUAUUAAUUACCUUAUUUGCUAAUUCUGAACUAUAGUUUCUAUAAUGUCAGGUGCUGGUUAUGUUAGACAUUAGUAAGGGAACAUUAAGUUCACUAUAAAUACAAUUUUUAUACAACAAGAUCAGAUGAAAUUUUCAUGAAAGGGUUAACUUGAGAAUAACCGUACAAUCUAAUUACAUCAUAAAUAUAUACAUGAAAAUAGAGAAUAUUUACAUUUACAUAGAAGAAAAUAAAGGAAAUAACAUCUCAAUAAAUAUAAAUGAAGUAUUUUAAUGAUUGUGUCAUAUCUCAGUAGCUACAUUUCAACAAAAGUACAAGUAUAUAUAUUCUACUUUUUGAAACACUUUUUGAAUUACAUUCUUAGAUACAGAAUCAAAGACUCUUUAGAGAUCAAUGAUGAAAAACCUAGAACCUAAUGAUCUUGAUCAUUGGCUAGUAGAAGUCAUUGUUAAUGUUUAUGACCAACAUUUACAAACUAAAUCUAUUCUUUUCUAUGCAAAUAUCUCAGUAUAAGGUUAGAGUUAUACAUGGUAAACCAUACCGACUUCUAGCAAAGAAGUAUGAACUACUUCCAACAUAAUAUCAGGUUCUCUGCAAUUUUUGCUUAGAAAAGCAUAAACAACAUCUAUUCCAAAUUUCUUUAAAAUGGAAGAUGAUUUUUUUGCCUCUGCAUAGGAAUGCCCAACUAUAUAAGUAAUACCUGAUUCUUUGGCUUUUAAAAUCUGCAAUGACUCGACUUUAUAGGACUCGUCUUGAAGUUGUUGGCCGUCACAUGAAAAUGCUAAAGAAUUCUUUUCAGAAUGUGACCAAUUCAAUUUCAAAGUGUGUUGUGAAGCACCAAGAUCUUCCGCAUUUAAGUUUCUUCCAUCAUCUAUAGUCAAUUCAUUUGUUUGUUCUUGAACACAGUCUUCUGAUUCUAUAAACUGUAUUAUUGCAGAUACCAAUUUAUUAUCAAAAUUGUAAUUCUCUUGUUGUAUGUCUUUGUAACCGUAUCGGACAAUGCACCGAAACAUGUAGAACUCCUUCGGACCAAUCCUGCUGAUGACUAAUCUUUCACUUUCACUGACAUAAGGAACUUGAACUGAUUUAGCACAUACAAAAACUAACACCUGAUGGAAUGCUGGUAAAUUUGUAAUAAAAUGACCAAAAAUAGCCGGGAUACCGGAAGCAAGAUUAGUGAAAAUGAGACCGAUUCCUGGGACACGGACCAUGCCUAAACAAGGUCCUAAUGAUAACAUCUUGCUCAUCGAGACCUUGUUUUCAACAUCAAAUUUGUGUUUCUUCAUUGUUCCAUAAUUCCAUGUGAACAUUAUGGCCAUAAAAAUGAAAGAGAGCGAAAUUGGGAUCCAUCCUCCUUCAGGGAUUUUGCAGACAGAAGCUGAGAUGUAAAGAAGUUCAAUAGAUCCAAACAAUAGGAAACAUGUAAGUGCUUUUAUUAUCCCUUGUUUCCAAACAAUUAUAAUUAUUAGCGUCAUCAAACAUGUUGUCACAAACAUAACAGUGGUGAUAGCCAACCCUGGAAACCAAGAAAAAUAGUUUAAAUUUAGUUUUCAAUACUUCAAGUAUCAUAUAAUAAGUAAACUUAAGAGUAAACAGUCAUUUUCCCUAAAUGUAUGAAGCUUAAUCACAAUAGCAACGAUUGUAUCCGAAUUACAAAAUUAUCCCUAAAGCGUCUUUUGUCUGUAAUUUUAUGGACCAAAUUGACUACUUGAUGAUAGAUUCUAGAACUAUACUAAUUAAUGGAAGAUACAUUUGAUGAUGAAACGGACUAAUGAAAGACAAGUUUAUGUAGUUUUUUAUUUUAUUUUUAUAAUUUGAUACAUUAGAGACUAUUGUGACAUCGCCUCACAUAUUUUAGGAUAAAAAUGAUUGAUUAAUCUAAACACAAUGGAAAAGGAUAUCAUACCAUAUGCAUGACCCAUCAUGUUUGUAUCCCUAAGGCCAAUUGUGACAGCUAAACAAAGGCACAUUAAUAUCCAAUUGACUUCUGGAACAUAAAUCUGUCCAUAUAUUUUGCUAGAAGUAUGAACAAUCUUGACUCGAGGAAAACAAUUUAAUGCACAGCAUUGGCUUAUGAUGGAAAAAGUUGCAGAAAUCACUGCUUGACUUCCUACAACAGCAGCAAAAGUGGCCACUAUAAAAACUGGCCAAAAUACAGCUUCUGCAGAAAAAUAGUAGCACUGUUACCCUAGAGUUAUCAUAAAUAAUAUCGAUAUAUUUGUGGUUUAUUAAAGUGAAUUCUUGCCUGGUAUGGCUUUGUAGAAACUUCUCUCAAUGUCAUAAUGGUGCUUAGAGAGAAAUGCAGCCUCACCCAUAUAUGCCAAAAUCAGGCAGGGAUAUACUAAACAUGUGAAAGCUAUCUGAGAUUUACGUGUAACUGUUAAAUCAGAUUUCAUUUUUGUAUGCUAAACUAAUAUACUUGUGAUCAAUAUUGUUAAUUAUUGUAUACUUUUAAUUUACCUUUAUUGAGAGUGCAGAAAAAUGACCCAUGUCAGCAUACAUUGUCUCCACACCUGCGACAGUAUCACGUAGGAAAAUUAAUCUCAUAGCUCUUUAGCUGCAAGAGAAAUGAUAUUUUGUACAACCAAAUUUAGACAAUUUUUGUGACUUUUUUUAAGUGUUCAAAUAGGUGAUUAAUUACGUUUAGUAUAUGAUUAAUAGAUAUAUCAGGUGUCAAAACUUAUUAACCACCAACAUAACUUCAUCAACCACAAAUUUGGAAGUGGUUAGCCAUAAUUUUCAGUUAAGUACAUACAAAUUUAUGGUUAAUGCUGUUACAUUGAUAGUCAAUGAGUUUUCACAUAUAGUAUAUCCAUGAACCACCUACUGAACGCAAUUAACCACUUAUUUGAAGUGUGUUAACCACUUAAAAAGUUGUUGCGAAAAUUGUCUGAAUUUGGUUGUUCAAAUAACACAAGCUAGACAACUGUAAUAAAAUUGACUAACUUAUAUUACCUGUUAUCGAAAGCACAACUCCACUUAAUGACAACCAUCCUUCGAUGCCAGUGGUUUUGAGAAACCUAAACAUAUAGACUGGAGAAAGUGCACGAUAUACUUGUCGGUUCCAUUGGAAAAUAUUGUAUAUACCAAUACCACUGAUACACAAAAGCCAUGCUGCAACAACUGGGGCAAACAUGAAGGCAACUCUAUGUGUUCCAUGAUGCUGAAUGGAGAAAAGGCCAACUAAAAUGAUACAUGAGACUAUAACAACAUAAUCUGCGCAAUACAUAGUGUAGAGUUUCAAAAUUAUGCAUUGAAUAGACAUAAUGGUAAUGAUCGAAGUUCGGUUGGCUUACUGUCAUGGAGUUGGUUGAUCUUAACUUGAACUCCUGAAACUGCUGAAAAUACUGAAAUGAGACAUGAGAAGGAUGGUCAUAGAUCGAAAAGGAUAAACAGUACAAUUAUUUAUUCUCUGUAAACACCGAAAUACUAUAAUGAUCAACUCUUGAAUCAGUAUAUUCUCUGUAAACAGUACAGUUAUUUAUUCUGAAAUGUACUUUUGUCUAAUCACAUUAAUGAUGAAUAAUGAAUUCUAGCAAUUAGUAAUCAGCUAAAGCUAUAAUUUAAGGAAUGCAUGUGUGUAUCUGUGACAUUGCCAAUGUUGUAUAACAUAGUUCAUUUUGGUUCAAAUAUUAUGUUUAGUCCCUGCAAAAUCAAAUGUUGUCAGUUCAAAUAUUAUGUUUAAAAAAGCUGAUGUUGUGGACCGAGGUACACACCAUCAUUUCCAUGUAGAUGACAAUGCCACAUGUCAACACCACAUUGGAUGAUAGUGACAUAUAGCAUGGCCACACGAAGCUGAUAUGCCAUGUCUAACUCCUCGUUUUUACUGACGUGUUCUAUUAGUGUUUGAUGUGUGUCACUAUUAUCCAAUGUGGUGUUGAAACAUGACAUAGUCAUCCUACAUGGGAAGGAUGUCAUUUAGUCGUAUUUGCCACAUCAGAUAUUUUAAAUAGAAAGUUGACACUACGGACAAAAAACAAAUACAUGAUUCUGUAAGGAUGAAAAGAAAGAGAAAGAAAAAAAAAAGGUAUUUAUAGGGACUAAAACCAAAAUUUGCUCUAUUUAUGGGGACAGAACACAUAUUCAAACCAUUCUGUUUUUUAUAAGACCAAACUCCCUUUUACUUGUACAACAAGUAACCCAUAGAUUAACAGAAGGGAUGCUCCUGAUCAAAGUACCUGAUAUUGCAGGAGUAAUCACACCAUCACCAAUUGUCAUGCAAGUUCCCAACAAAACAAAGAUUAACAGUCCUUUCUGGAAUCUAGGAUGCUUUUCAAAGAACAGCUUCAAAAGAGAAGAUUGCCAUGUAUCGGCAGAAUCUUCUGUUGAAUAAGCAGAUAAAGUCUCAUCUGUUGGUUGCUGAUUAGGCAAAAUGCUUAGUCUUGCAUGUCUGCAGAGAAGUGAGUAUAAUGCAAAUGUGCCUCCUGCAGUAAAAUAAGGAACAUAAGAAAGAAAUUCUUAGAUGCUCAUGAACCAAAGAGAUUGAUCUUGAUUUCUACCAAUGGUUUCUUAUAUAACAAAAUUAUAACAAUGUGUUCCCUUUUUAUUUUUUGUUUUAAAAUAGUCCCUUAUUUUACAAAUGUUACAUUAAAUUUAUCCAUUUUAAAUUUUAAAACUAUCCAUUAUUGUCCCAUAAGUCCUAGCUCAACCGGUGAAAAUGCCGAAAUUGUUAGGCCGGACAUCAUGAUCGAGAUUCGAACCCCGGCACCUCCACUUUGUGUGUGUGAGUUUACGAUGGCUUUACCAUUUCUUCUAUCUACCAAAAAAAAAACUACUCAUUAUUUUGUAAAAGCUAUACCAAGGUGGUCCUCUCUGUAAAACAAAGAACAAUUUCAUUACCAAAAAUACCAAAAGAAAAUUGAAAUCUAAAAUAAAGAUAAGGAACCAAAAUUAUUUAGUCUAAAAUUAAUCUUCAAAUAUUUAUCUGUUAAUUAAGUAAUCAUAGUAGACAUCAUGACAGAGAAGGAAAAUUAUGGCUCAAAAUAAUUAUAUAAAGUCAAAAAGAACAAAUAACAGAAUAUACAAUGCUUCUGAGUUCUGUCAUCAUUUUAUUCAUUUGGUAAAGCCAAAAAAACAUCCAAAUAUCCUUUAUGGGAGUUUUGGCUGAAUAAUAAUGUGAUUAUAAAAAUAAUUGAGUUGACUUAAUCAACUUAAAAGCCAAAGGAACUGAAAAGAUACACACCAAAAGUACCAACAUCAAUGAUUGAAGAUUGUACCUUCUCCAUUAUCAUCAGCAGACAUGACAAUGAAAACAUAUUUGAAGAGAGCAAUAAUAGUAAAUGUCCAAAAGAUAAAUGAAAGCACUCCAAAAAUUUCUUCAUCAUCUUCUUUAAGGCUCAAUUUCCCUGAGAAUGAGGUCUUGUAUACAUAAAGAGGAGAAGUACUUAGGUCACCAUAAACUACUCCAAGACUUUGGUAUGCUAGAGUCAGCACAUUUAAACAAGAUGUCCUCUUUAAAUUCUGAUACAUGAAAUGAAACCAAGCAUAAGCUUNNNNNNNNNNNNNNNNNNNNNNNNNNNNNNNNNNNNNNNNNNNNNNNNNNNNNNNNNNNNNNNNNNNNNNNNNNNNNNNNNNNNNNNNNNNNNNNNNNNNNNNNNNNNNNNNNNNNNNNNNNNNNNNNNNNNNNNNNNNNNNNNNNNNNNNNNNNNNNNNNNNNNNNNNNNNNNNNNNNNNNNNNNNNNNNNNNNNNNNNNNNNNNNNNNNNNNNNNNNNNNNNNNNNNNNNNNNNNNNNNNNNNNNNNNNNNNNNNNNNNNNNNNNNNNNNNNNNNNNNNNNNNNNNNNNNNNNNNNNNNNNNNNNNNNNNNNNNNNNNNNNNNNNNNNNNNNNNNNNNNNNNNNNNNNNNNNNNNNNNNNNNNNNNNNNNNNNNNNNNNNNNNNNNNNNNNNNNNNNNNNNNNNNNNNNNNNNNNNNNNNNNNNNNNNNNNNNNNNNNNNNNNNNNNNNNNNNNNNNNNNNNNNNNNNNNNNNNNNNNNNNNNNNNNNNNNNNNNNNNNNNNNNNNNNNNNNNNNNNNNNNNNNNNNNNNNNNNNNNNNNNNNNNNNNNNNNNNNNNNNNNNNNNNNNNNNNNNNNNNNNNNNNNNNNNNNNNNNNNNNNNNNNNNNNNNNNNNNNNNNNNNNNNNNNNNNNNNNNNNNNNNNNNNNNNNNNNNNNNNNNNNNNNNNNNNNNNNNNNNNNNNNNNNNNNNNNNNNNNNNNNNNNNNNNNNNNNNNNNNNNNNNNNNNNNNNNNNNNNNNNNNNNNNNNNNNNNNNNNNNNNNNNNNNNNNNNNNNNNNNNNNNNNNNNNNNNNNNNNNNNNNNNNNNNNNNNNNNNNNNNNNNNNNNNNNNNNNNNNNNNNNNNNNNNNNNNNNNNNNNNNNNNNNNNNNNNNNNNNNNNNNNNNNNNNNNNNNNNNNNNNNNNNNNNNNNNNNNNNNNNNNNNNNNNNNNNNNNNNNNNNNNNNNNNNNNNNNNNNNNNNNNNNNNNNNNNNNNNNNNNNNNNNNNNNNNNNNNNNNNNNNNNNNNNNNNNNNNNNNNNNNNNNNNNNNNNNNNNNNNNNNNNNNNNNNNNNNNNNNNNNNNNNNNNNNNNNNNNNNNNNNNNNNNNNNNNNNNNNNNNNNNNNNNNNNNNNNNNNNNNNNNNNNNNNNNNNNNNNNNNNNNNNNNNNNNNNNNNNNNNNNNNNNNNNNNNNNNNNNNNNNNNNNNNNNNNNNNNNNNNNNNNNNNNNNNNNNNNNNNNNNNNNNNNNNNNNNNNNNNNNNNNNNNNNNNNNNNNNNNNNNNNNNNNNNNNNNNNNNNNNNNNNNNNNNNNNNNNNNNNNNNNNNNNNNNNNNNNNNNNNNNNNNNNNNNNNNNNNNNNNNNNNNNNNNNNNNNNNNNNNNNNNNNNNNNNNNNNNNNNNNNNNNNNNNNNNNNNNNNNNNNNNNNNNNNNNNNNNNNNNNNNNNNNNNNNNNNNNNNNNNNNNNNNNNNNNNNNNNNNNNNNNNNNNNNNNNNNNNNNNNNNNNNNNNNNNNNNNNNNNNNNNNNNNNNNNNNNNNNNNNNNNNNNNNNNNNNNNNNNNNNNNNNNNNNNNNNNNNNNNNNNNNNNNNNNNNNNNNNNNNNNNNNNNNNNNNNNNNNNNNNNNNNNNNNNNNNNNNNNNNNNNNNNNNNNNNNNNNNNNNNNNNNNNNNNNNNNNNNNNNNNNNNNNNNNNNNNNNNNNNNNNNNNNNNNNNNNNNNNNNNNNNNNNNNNNNNNNNNNNNNNNNNNNNNNNNNNNNNNNNNNNNNNNNNNNNNNNNNNNNNNNNNNNNNNNNNNNNNNNNNNNNNNNNNNNNNNNNNNNNNNNNNNNNNNNNNNNNNNNNNNNNNNNNNNNNNNNNNNNNNNNNNNNNNNNNNNNNNNNNNNNNNNNNNNNNNNNNNNNNNNNNNNNNNNNNNNNNNNNNNNNNNNNNNNNNNNNNNNNNNNNNNNNNNNNNNNNNNNNNNNNNNNNNNNNNNNNNNNNNNNNNNNNNNNNNNNNNNNNNNNNNNNNNNNNNNNNNNNNNNNNNNNNNNNNNNNNNNNNNNNNNNNNNNNNNNNNNNNNNNNNNNNNNNNNNNNNNNNNNNNNNNNNNNNNNNNNNNNNNNNNNNNNNNNNNNNNNNNNNNNNNNNNNNNNNNNNNNNNNNNNNNNNNNNNNNNNNNNNNNNNNNNNNNNNNNNNNNNNNNNNNNNNNNNNNNNNNNNNNNNNNNNNNNNNNNNNNNNNNNNNNNNNNNNNNNNNNNNNNNNNNNNNNNNNNNNNNNNNNNNNNNNNNNNNNNNNNNNNNNNNNNNNNNNNNNNNNNNNNNNNNNNNNNNNNNNNNNNNNNNNNNNNNNNNNNNNNNNNNNNNNNNNNNNNNNNNNNNNNNNNNNNNNNNNNNNNNNNNNNNNNNNNNNNNNNNNNNNNNNNNNNNNNNNNNNNNNNNNNNNNNNNNNNNNNNNNNNNNNNNNNNNNNNNNNNNNNNNNNNNNNNNNNNNNNNNNNNNNNNNNNNNNNNNNNNNNNNNNNNNNNNNNNNNNNNNNNNNNNNNNNNNNNNNNNNNNNNNNNNNNNNNNNNNNNNNNNNNNNNNNNNNNNNNNNNNNNNNNNNNNNNNNNNNNNNNNNNNNNNNNNNNNNNNNNNNNNNNNNNNNNNNNNNNNNNNNNNNNNNNNNNNNNNNNNNNNNNNNNNNNNNNNNNNNNNNNNNNNNNNNNNNNNNNNNNNNNNNNNNNNNNNNNNNNNNNNNNNNNNNNNNNNNNNNNNNNNNNNNNNNNNNNNNNNNNNNNNNNNNNNNNNNNNNNNNNNNNNNNNNNNNNNNNNNNNNNNNNNNNNNNNNNNNNNNNNNNNNNNNNNNNNNNNNNNNNNNNNNNNNNNNNNNNNNNNNNNNNNNNNNNNNNNNNNNNNNNNNNNNNNNNNNNNNNNNNNNNNNNNNNNNNNNNNNNNNNNNNNNNNNNNNNNNNNNNNNNNNNNNNNNNNNNNNNNNNNNNNNNNNNNNNNNNNNNNNNNNNNNNNNNNNNNNNNNNNNNNNNNNNNNNNNNNNNNNNNNNNNNNNNNNNNNNNNNNNNNNNNNNNNNNNNNNNNNNNNNNNNNNNNNNNNNNNNNNNNNNNNNNNNNNNNNNNNNNNNNNNNNNNNNNNNNNNNNNNNNNNNNNNNNNNNNNNNNNNNNNNNNNNNNNNNNNNNNNNNNNNNNNNNNNNNNNNNNNNNNNNNNNNNNNNNNNNNNNNNNNNNNNNNNNNNNNNNNNNNNNNNNNNNNNNNNNNNNNNNNNNNNNNNNNNNNNNNNNNNNNNNNNNNNNNNNNNNNNNNNNNNNNNNNNNNNNNNNNNNNNNNNNNNNNNNNNNNNNNNNNNNNNNNNNNNNNNNNNNNNNNNNNNNNNNNNNNNNNNNNNNNNNNNNNNNNNNNNNNNNNNNNNNNNNNNNNNNNNNNNNNNNNNNNNNNNNNNNNNNNNNNNNNNNNNNNNNNNNNNNNNNNNNNNNNNNNNNNNNNNNNNNNNNNNNNNNNNNNNNNNNNNNNNNNNNNNNNNNNNNNNNNNNNNNNNNNNNNNNNNNNNNNNNNNNNNNNNNNNNNNNNNNNNNNNNNNNNNNNNNNNNNNNNNNNNNNNNNNNNNNNNNNNNNNNNNNNNNNNNNNNNNNNNNNNNNNNNNNNNNNNNNNNNNNNNNNNNNNNNNNNNNNNNNNNNNNNNNNNNNNNNNNNNNNNNNNNNNNNNNNNNNNNNNNNNNNNNNNNNNNNNNNNNNNNNNNNNNNNNNNNNNNNNNNNNNNNNNNNNNNNNNNNNNNNNNNNNNNNNNNNNNNNNNNNNNNNNNNNNNNNNNNNNNNNNNNNNNNNNNNNNNNNNNNNNNNNNNNNNNNNNNNNNNNNNNNNNNNNNNNNNNNNNNNNNNNNNNNNNNNNNNNNNNNNNNNNNNNNNNNNNNNNNNNNNNNNNNNNNNNNNNNNNNNNNNNNNNNNNNNNNNNNNNNNNNNNNNNNNNNNNNNNNNNNNNNNNNNNNNNNNNNNNNNNNNNNNNNNNNNNNNNNNNNNNNNNNNNNNNNNNNNNNNNNNNNNNNNNNNNNNNNNNNNNNNNNNNNNNNNNNNNNNNNNNNNNNNNNNNNNNNNNNNNNNNNNNNNNNNNNNNNNNNNNNNNNNNNNNNNNNNNNNNNNNNNNNNNNNNNNNNNNNNNNNNNNNNNNNNNNNNNNNNNNNNNNNNNNNNNNNNNNNNNNNNNNNNNNNNNNNNNNNNNNNNNNNNNNNNNNNNNNNNNNNNNNNNNNNNNNNNNNNNNNNNNNNNNNNNNNNNNNNNNNNNNNNNNNNNNNNNNNNNNNNNNNNNNNNNNNNNNNNNNNNNNNNNNNNNNNNNNNNNNNNNNNNNNNNNNNNNNNNNNNNNNNNNNNNNNNNNNNNNNNNNNNNNNNNNNNNNNNNNNNNNNNNNNNNNNNNNNNNNNNNNNNNNNNNNNNNNNNNNNNNNNNNNNNNNNNNNNNNNNNNNNNNNNNNNNNNNNNNNNNNNNNNNNNNNNNNNNNNNNNNNNNNNNNNNNNNNNNNNNNNNNNNNNNNNNNNNNNNNNNNNNNNNNNNNNNNNNNNNNNNNNNNNNNNNNNNNNNNNNNNNNNNNNNNNNNNNNNNNNNNNNNNNNNNNNNNNNNNNNNNNNNNNNNNNNNNNNNNNNNNNNNNNNNNNNNNNNNNNNNNNNNNNNNNNNNNNNNNNNNNNNNNNNNNNNNNNNNNNNNNNNNNNNNNNNNNNNNNNNNNNNNNNNNNNNNNNNNNNNNNNNNNNNNNNNNNNNNNNNNNNNNNNNNNNNNNNNNNNNNNNNNNNNNNNNNNNNNNNNNNNNNNNNNNNNNNNNNNNNNNNNNNNNNNNNNNNNNNNNNNNNNNNNNNNNNNNNNNNNNNNNNNNNNNNNNNNNNNNNNNNNNNNNNNNNNNNNNNNNNNNNNNNNNNNNNNNNNNNNNNNNNNNNNNNNNNNNNNNNNNNNNNNNNNNNNNNNNNNNNNNNNNNNNNNNNNNNNNNNNNNNNNNNNNNNNNNNNNNNNNNNNNNNNNNNNNNNNNNNNNNNNNNNNNNNNNNNNNNNNNNNNNNNNNNAAGCUUUAAAAAAUUGUUCGGACUAAAGAUUGUAGUCAAUCAUCGAAAUGAAGCCAUGAACAUGAAGAGCCCUAAUGGCAGCAAGCCUAUGAAAGAGGGAUAUUUACUGAACUGAUAACAAAUAAGAAAAGAGGGAUAUUCCAUUAGACCCACGUUUAUUUGAAAUAUUGAAUCAUGAUAUGUAAAUGAAAAGCUAAAUAGCACAUAGAAAACAAAAAUAAAACCUAAAGGGGGUGUUUGUUUCAAGGUUAAGAAUGACAUUCCCGGGAAUACAUGGCUAGGGAAUGAUUAUACCCAUGUUUGUUAUGAGGUUGAGAAAAAAAUAUUCCUGGGUAUAAAGAUUCCUGGGAAUGGAGUAACUUCCCAUAACUUCCAUUAUUCCCAUGUAAAGAGAUGGGAAUGUGCAUUCCCAUGAUAUUAUGCAUAGAUUUAAAAAAAAAAAAUUGUAACUUCCAAUUUUUCCAGGAAUGUCAAGUUAUUUGCCAAACACUUUUUUUAACAAAUACCCAAUAAUCAAAUUUUCAUAUUUUCAUUCCCGGGUAUAUUAUUCCUGGGAAUAAUUUGUGUUUUCCAAAAACAAACGCUCGUAUGCACAAAAGUUCAACCAUACUCAACAGGCACACAUUGCAAAAAUUCAAUUAGUUUAGAAAUUAUGGUAGGCAAAAGCCAUAUGUAAUACAUGAAUUUCUGAUACUAAUCGAAUGGCAUUAUUGUGUACCAAAACAUUUGAUUUUGUCAAUGUAAGCUCCCAUUUAUUUAUCCAUCAACUAAGCCAACAGUCACUAUAUCCUUCCUCCACAUACUUCCUGCAAUUGAUGAGCUGCAAGGUUCUGAUUCAUUCAUUUGACGCACAUCCAUCUGAAAUAUUGAAUCACGAUAUAUAAAUGAAAAGUUAAAUAGAACAUGGCAAAAAGAAAUUACUCAACAGGCACACUCUGCGAAAAUUCAAUUAGUUUAUAAUCCAUGGUAGGAAAAAUCCAUAUGUAAUAUGUACAUAAUUUCAGAUACUAAUGAAAUAGAAUUAUCCAACAAAAGACAAAUGCUAGGAAAGACCCGAAAUGAAUUUAUAGAGUGGCACCCCUCCUUACAUGUUGGUUUUGUAGGGUUGAGUUAGACCCAGUGUACAAUAUAAUAUGGCAUUAGAGCCUAUGGAUUCAGACCACCUACCAUUUAUAUCCACGCACCAAGUCCAAUAGUGUUGGGCAUGAGGAGGUGUAUUGGGAAAAACACAAGCCCGACAUAGGAUAAAGAUAAGACAUGAAAAAUUUAUAAAUAGUGGCACCUCUCUCCUUACAAAUCGGUUUUAUAGGUUUGAGUUUGGUCCAAUAUAGAAAUCUACUACAUUGUAUGGUAGAAUGUUAGAAAACAACCCAAAGUGAAAGAAUAAAAGGAAAUAAAUACGGUUAUUUAUUAUUUGCAUAUACCUGUUGAUGAAGGAAUCGGUGUGCGACCUUGUAUUCCCUCUGGAGGAUGAUGUGCUGAACAGAACAAUCUGAACGCCCACGGUGAAGAAUAUUGUUGCAGCCCUGGUGAAGAACAAUGCUGUAGUGCAGAACAGAACAAUCUGAACGCUCCUGGUGAAAAAUAUUCGAUACGAAAUGCUCGAUGCUCUGAAAUAAAAAUCUGAACUUGCUUCGAAUUUGAACAGAAAUUCUUGAUGCCGGUGGAAUCUGGAGAGAGGCCAUGAAAGGUGGAAGAAAUUUUGGAAUUAGGAUUCUAUUUAAAUUUGCUUGUUUUGAGAGUAUUUGGGCAUCCAAUUGACACCUCUAGUCUACACAGUGAACCACCACAUUAUGCAAACGUGCACCUUAGGUAUAGACAAUAACAAAACAAUAUAGAAUGAAUUCUUAUAAGUUAGUUCAUGAAAACAAAAUAUUUCCAUUUUGAUAUCAGAAAUGGUCAACUCAGACGUAUGCACCCUUCACUCUUAGUGGUAAUGGACAGUCUUAUCAUGUAUUACAGAUUUCGAUUCCCCAAACAAAAAUGGAUAUCUAAUACAUGUUCUCUCACUGAACCGAUUAGAAGUUUUCUACUGGAAUAGGUAGCAACUGAACAUAGAUCCAUUUUCUAAAGAUCAUUGAAAAUAUUUGUCGGGUCGAUUGAAAAGUCAAGUAAAUGAUAAAAUCUGGAUUUUAUUUAUAAAAAGAAUCGAAAAAUCCAGAAAAAAAAAGUACCUGUUGGGCAAUAAUGUUCUUUCUCUCCUUUUCUUUAACUUUCUUCUCAUUUUCUGCUUCAACUUUGUCUUUUAUAAGCUCAUCUACCUUGCUCGUAUAUUCCCGAAUAGACUAGAGAAAAAUAAAAAAUGAUUAUUAACAAAAGAAAAAAAUGUUUGUCCUUAAUAAUAAUUGUAAUGAAAGAGACCCUUGUAAAAAACAUACCUGUAAGAGAUAAGGGAAGGAAAAAUCCAUCAUAUUGUUCUUCCAAGCUAGCUCUAAUGCAACAUCUGGCCGUAUUAGAUCAUAACAAGUAGAGAGGCACGAUGCAAAACACUCUUUCUUCCCCUGAAAAACAAAGACAGAAAGAAAUCUUGACCAAGUAAGCAGUAAUGAAGUGUAGAAAGAAUGAAUAUAAUUCAUAACGAUGAAGAGGUCACACCGCAGAAUGUGACAGGGCCUAAUCUGGCAAGGAUCUAAUAAAUGUACACCUGCUCACUAAAAUAAACAAGCAAAUCCUCUGAGAGUUUCUGGUCACCAGAUUGAUAGCAAGUUUCCAUGCAGUCCUUGUAAAGUUUGUCUUUCUUUAACAUACAAAUGGACUGUUUCCAUCUUCCAGCUUUCUUGUAAAUAUAAGCAGCAACACGUCUCAUCUCAAGGAGCUCGUGCUUCUCAAUCUGAUCAUGUGUAUUGUUGAAACCAAUCAAUAAUCAUUCAAGAUUUAGAAGUUUGCGAAAAGGAUGUAGAACUCAAUUUGGCCAAAUAAGUAAGAUAAGGAAAAUCCACCUUCUGUGCAAGACCUAUCUGAUUGAAGUUGUCAUACAGAUCUAUCGAUUUACGAAGUCUAUCGUAGUCCACCUCGUCAACAUAAAUUUCAUGCAAAGCUUCAUUAAUAGAAAACACAUUGCUGCUUUGAACUUCAACCAUGUACGGCUUUAUCAAUCGGAUAUGGCCUGCCUAAAAAUCAGAAAAUUCGAGCAACAAGUAUAAUUAUUGCAUUAAUCAUUUGCAACUAAUUAUUUACAUAACCUAAUAAGAUUAAAAUUACAGAUAUUAGGCAAUAGAGUACAAGAAAUAUAGACCUUCUGCGCUAUUUCUACAAUACGGGCAUGUUCCACAUGACGGGCAAGCACAUUAAGAAGAUCAUUUAUAAUAUCAGGAUGUUCUUGCAAGUAGAAAUGAACAGCCUUAUAAUAUAGUUCUACACGACCAACAUUUACUAUAAUAUGUUUGAAUUGCAUGUGGUCCCAUGCUUCUCGAGAGUGAUUCAUUACAGUGAUUGCAGCAUUAUUAAACUCUUCAAAUUGCACAUAUAGGUAUGUGAGUUCUUUCCAGAGUUGAUGUUCAUCACACGCCUGAAAAAGCUUGAGACUGUUGAGGUUGGUUGAGAACAACUUAAUGUGCUCCAUUAACAUCUCAGGACGAUAUCUUGCGUAAAGAACUCCCAACUCAGUAAAGAUACUCUCAUGAGCACACUCCAGUUCUAUCCCUUUCUCCAUUAGAGAGAUGAGUUCAUUGAAGCGUCUUCUGUUCUGAUAAUACUUGCAAACUUCUUCCAGAUCGUCCGCCUUCAUAAAAAUGAUGAGUGAUUAGCCAUAAAAACGGAAAAUAACAAACAAAUCAACAGUUUAUCUGCUACUUAUUGUGUAUACUAAUAACUAGAUGUUCUAUACUUCACCGGAACACAUCCCAUUAACUUGCAUGCAAUGAAAUUGAAAUAUGAGCGGAAAACCUGGAUACUGAAAAUUGGAGACAUAGGGACAGGGGUGGUAUUACUGUCAGAAAAAAUAAACGAAAGUUUAAGCUAGAAAUCGUGCCACCUGAACAAUAACAUUGAGACCACAAAUCUGAGCUAAGGAGGAUUCCCCAGCAUCAAUGCAGGAAAAACAAACAUCCUUCCAUGUUUUCAAACUGUUUGCUUUCUUAGCAGCAUCAACAGCAUCUUGGAAUUGUUGAAGCUUCACCAAUGUCACUGCUAACUUAGCCCAGUCAGGGAUAAAAGCAAAUAUAAUUUUUGCAGCCUCAUAAAGCGCCUCAGCAUACAAGCGGUCUCCAACAUUUGGCAAAUUAGAAACAUUUGGCAUCAAAAUAAACUCUUCAAUUUCUCCAAGCCGACCAAUCUUUGCAUACGCAUAAAUGAGCUCACUGUCCACCUUGGGCUCUUUGGUCUUCUGCCUAACCAUGAGAAGGUACUUUACUAGGUCAUGGUAUACAUUUGCAACUUCAGCAGCCUUUAUAACCUCUAAAAACUGAGUGGCAUCAUCUGCACGGAUGAACAACUCAAUUGCAUCACUUACUAAGCCUUUUCUUAGUUUCGCCUUAGCCACCUGGCUCCAUACAGAAUCUUCUUCAACGCAGAAUGCAAACUCCAUAGCUCGAUCAAUGGUCUUAAGGUUAUCUAGCAGAACAUUAACAGCCUUAACAUUCAGAUUAAAUUUCUUGAAAACGGCAAAAGCUUCUUCAUAUAAGCGUGCUUCCACUGCCGCCUUCCCGACAGCAGAGCCAUCAAAGUUGUCCAGCCUAUUUAUGUAACCCAUGACUCUUAAAGGAUCUGCUUUUAUUGCAGCAAGGAUCAGUAAGCUUUUUAGAGUGAAGUUUGCACUAAAAGCAGAAUUAUGUAGCACAAUCUUGUCGAGAAGGUCAAUCACUUCAUGGGUAAGAUUGGCAGUCAUAAAAGCUUUCACUGCAGCUGAAACUUGGUCAGGACUCUUGCAUUUAGGCAAAGCAGUAGACACCACUUGAUCAAUCAACUGUCUUCUAAACACGUUCCCAGGAUUUAGAACCUCUUUCCAGAGGCCACCAUCCAUCCGUUCCAUAACAUAUCUGACACAAACAAUAUCAUAAAUAAGACGAGUGUCCCAGACUAGCAUUUUGAAAUACAAUAGCACAAUAUUAAUGAAGAAUUGUAUACACACCUGGCUUGGAGUUUGAACAAGGAAUUUUUAUUGGUCACAUUAACAAGCUCAUAAUCACAUUUCCCCCUUGUGUAAGCAACAACGGCAAGUGUUGGGUCCCUUUGCUCACAAUAUUUACCAAUAACACGAGAAUCAUAAUAUAGGUUGGUUGUGAGAAAAUGUACUGGAUUGCUAUUGCUGUCAAUGAUGAUUCUCCCAAGAGCAUUAUGCACAUGUACAUCUCGGCUCCCCUCCCACACAAGAUCCUCCAAGAUCUGAGUAAGCAAACGAAGACGAUUCCUGCAUAUAGAAAGUAAAAUGAGAAAAUAAUAUGGUAAUGUGGAGAUGCAGGGCAGAGAGAAAAAUAGCAUACCUCUUUACAAAUUCUUCAACUAAAGGCUCAACUGGGAAAGGAGAACGAAUCGAAAGUACAAGACCUUUAAUGAAAUUUUCAGGGCAUCGAUCAUCUAACAACUGCCCUACAACUAGAGGAAUCUUUUGAGGAUUGACCUAUAGGUAAGAAAUAUAAUGUUAGAAAUUCACGUUUAAGAUUAGCAUAGAAAGAUUCAAAAUUAAAUGCAAUCACAAAAAAAAAGUUACCCUUUGAACAUAUUCUUCAACAUAAUGAAGCAUGUUUUGACUAUAGAGAUAAUGUAUGAGAUGAGGAACAAAACCAAAACGAUCACACACAUUAAUCAGUGGCCGUGCAUUUGGAAGGUUGGUCUUCAUUAGAAAGUUCUUUGUCUUCUCAGCAUCAUAAUAGCAUGAUUCCCGGGUUACACGCUCUACCUCCGUAAUAUGUCCCGUUUUAACAGCUACUUCAAUGUACUUGAAGUGAAUGUCAGGAUUCUUACUGUACAAUACAGAAUCAAAAGCCAAAAUUAUUAAAGUAAUUACUACCAAAAGCAAAAUAUAGUCUGUCUGGAAAAUCAAUGCCAUUUUCAUUCUUCAUUUAGAAAUACCUAGAUCUCAAAUGUGCACCCAAGAAAAGGUAUAAUCCUUCAUCAGAAUUGAAUUUCUCAAAGAGUUUGAUGCAUGCAUCAACACCCAGCUGUUUCGAAUAUUCCUUGGAAGUCUGCAGAUUAGGUACUAGUAAGAUUAUUUUAUACAGAAACUAUAAUAACAAGAAAAAAUAUCCAUGUUACAGUACCUGCACAAUUAUUUUAAGAUUUCCCCCAAGGUUGACAAGUAAAAGUUGUUCCAUACACUCCAGUGCCCAUUUUCGAGGAAGGGUUCCAAAAAACUUAACAAGAGCCUGAAAAUCACUUCAUAAUAAGAAGACAACAUAUAAAAGACUAAGUAGAUACAGUCACUCUAGCACCUGAAAUCCAAACCUGAUGUUCAAUGGCAUCAGUUUUCACAAUGAUGCGUUUGAUGUCAGGCAACUCAGUAUAAUGCUGCACAAGAGACAGACACGAAACUUCAAGAAAUUACUGACAACAAAUUACAGUCAGUCAUUGGUAUGAAAAGCCAAGAACCUGAAGAGCCCGGAUGAAAAGGCCGGCCUUUUCACAAAGUUUAGCAAUACGUGGACGAUCAUAAUGACUAAACACGCCUUUUGCCAAUAUAGAAUCAGCAACAUUUGGAAAGGUCUUAAGAUUGAUUUCCAGCAGCUAAAAAUGAUUAGAGCAAAUUUUCAUAAAAUCACAAAAAAAAUAUUGUAUGACUCCAUCAACUCGUAGAUAAAGAUUAAGGCAAAGAAAAUAAAGGAACCUUUGUUUGAAGAUGUCCAUGUUCAGGUAGGUCUGGCUUCAGCAGUUCCAACAAAAAGGUAGUUGCCUCACGGAUCAUAUUCCUCUAAAAAGUAACAGUAGAAACAUACAAACAAAAUUAAGGGUUGACGACUUGAUGUUUCCAGCACAUAAAUAAAAAACAAAAGGAAAUGAUUGGCUCUUUAUUUAACAAAUAGUUCUCGGUACUCAAAUUAAAGGAAAACAUACACGGGAUGGUUAAAAACCACUAUCAAUGCGAGUUUUCGGAAAGAGAAGGUCUGAUUCCAUUAGAUUUUUCAUUUUUCCAUUAAGUAGAAAAUAACUUUUCUGAAAUGCAAAAACGCAUUAUUCACUCUGCCACUUAAAACAUUACAUAAAGAUUUCAUAAAAGUCGAAGUAGAACAGGCUCAAGUAAUCAAGUAUUAUAGGUUCUAAAAAGGAAAAUGAAGAAUGAAAUGGAGACAGAAAUUGUGUACAUGAUACUUCCUUUUCUAAGUUAGGUCAAAUUACAAGUUACGCUUGAUAUGGGAGAACAAUGAAACCUACAUCAAUAAAACAAAAGAUAAAAUUAAAUAGACCUGAAGAAACAGAUCGGCUAUUUUGUUGUAGUCAACAGGGCAACCCCCCUCCAUUCGCAACAUCAUCAGAGCAAAAUCUAGAGCACCCUACAAUGGAACAUGUUCUGAGUAAAUGAAUAAACAAAAAGUAAACUCACAAGAUAACAGAUAUUCUAGAAAGAUAAACAUCAUAAGUAGCACAGAUGAGGUGAUAUCAUUUUAUGAUGUUUGGAUGUUUGGACUUCGGAUGCAUUCAACCAUCAUGCAUGAGGUGCUAUAAUUUUAUGGGAAAUGUUAACGAGUGCCCCCCGGGGCACUUGUUAAGCACUUUAAAUAGUAAGUUUUAAAUGAAAAGUUGUGUAUUGAAUGUAUUGGAAAUUGUAAUAAUUGACUUUUUAAAAGAAUAAUUACUAAAUUUGGGAUGCUUAAAGAGUGCCCUGGGGGCACUCGUUAACAAGACCUAAUUUUAUAAGUGCACCACAAUGAUCAGAACUGAAAUAAGUUUACCAAUAAAGUAUUUCCAUAAGGCAAAACUUGAUCAUUUCAAAUCGAACUACACUAACCUGGGCAUCUGUUUGCAAUAUUGUUUGCAGAAGGAAUAUGUAAUCAAGAGUGUAUCCAACCUGCAGUAAAUAAAAGGAGAAAAAUACAUCAUGCACUGCAAAAAUAAUAAUAAUUAACUAUGUAAUAAAACAAAAGUAUAACAUUCAUUUAACAGUCCAAUAUUACCACUAUUUUCAUGAUUUUGUAAAGUCUAAUAAAACAAAUGUUUCAUUACCUGCUUUGAGUAUGUCAAAAUCUUAUCAUAUUCCCUCCUCUCAGCAAAAGCUGCAAUAACCUUUGGUGUGGCACUUGCUUUAGUAUAUAUUUUCAAUGCCAGGUCUUUAUCCACUUUCUGCAUUAGAUGUGUGUCUUAUAAGAUUGAAUAGACAAACGAAAGGAAUAUAUAGCAAACUAAAUAUGGUUAUUGAAUCGAGAUUCAAAUAGUGAAUCAGAAGAACUAUUUUCUAAAUUGAGAAUUGGAUCUUAUCACAAAUCGUAAGAUACAUUAUCAAAUAGUUAAGAGUACUAGAAUCGAGAAUCGAGAUACAACUAGCACCUAGCAUCGAGAAUCGAGAUACAACUUGCAUGUAUCUUAGGAUAUUGAUAACCAUAAGUAUAUUCAACUGAUAAAGAAACUAAGAAUCAAUUAUAGAUUUGUAUGAGAACAGAACCUUCACAAGGUCACCAAGCUCUUCAGUGCAUUCAAGUUUAUCCUCUGCUAGCCAUUUUCCUAAAAGUUUCUGUUUGUUUCGACUUACGGCUAGCCGUGACAUUUUCAAUGACUCAAAAGCAUCCAGUUUUCCACUAGAAAACAGAUGGUCAAAGUAUUGUAAGCAUGAUGGUGCAUCUUCCAAAGGUACGUUCUGAAAAAUAAUUUACAGAAGAUAAUUAACAAAAGAAAUGAACAACUUAAUGAAAUCGUCAUGUUAUUACUCUUCCAUCCCAUUAACAAAAAAAUAAAUGUAACAUCAUGAAGCACGAACAAUCCUUGGAUUAGGCAUGUCCCAGUGUCGGACAUGUGUCGUGUCCGACACCGACACAUAUAAUUACACUGAAUUAAGUGAUUUUCUCAAAUUAUUAGCGGUGUUUGGGUUUCAGCGUAUGUGACGUGUCCGGUGUCCGUGUUUGUAUCCGUGCUUCACUAUUUUAUUCCAACUCUACUUUCAAAAUAAUACAAUAUACAUCACUCUUAUGUCAAUUAUACUUCACCAUACAUUUAUGGCGAUACUUAACACUCUCAAUAAUUAAUAACUCUAGUUACGACAUUCCAGCUUGAAGGUGUGUGACGAGUAUCUAGUAUCUAACCGUUGUGUUUGACUGCUAUCAAUGUCACUGUCGUAUUUAGUGUCUGCCUCAAUGCUUCGUAGAUUAAUAAUCAUCCUUAUGUAAAAUUGUUGCACACUUUUAUUUAUUUACAAAUUUUCUUAAUUUAUAUAAAAAUACCUAAAAAUGAAAAUUAAACAAUCCGAGUAAUAAGCACAGUUAAUAACCGGAAACAGCCGUUAAGACCUAGCUCAACUAACAAUGUCGAUAUUGUUAGGCUAAACAACUUUAUUAGGCUAAACCGGACAUUGCAAUUGCGUGUGAGUUUCAGGUGUUGGUGUUUUGACAAGAAAAAAAAUAGGAAACAGACACACACUCUCGCGCAGAUGAAUGAAAAUUGUUAACAAGAUUGCAAAAGCAGAGUGCAAAAACCAUUAAUAUAACAGAAAAUAGGGUUUGAUCGAUAUUUGGAAUGGGAAUGUGAGAAAUUACUAACCGUUGAGGAUUCUUUCAUGGAGUUAGGAGUGUUAUCACCCGCCAUGACGAUCGAAACAGAGUUUUAGAGAGAGAGAGUUGAAAUUUUGAAGAAGAAAGUUUGCGAGUAAGAGAUUGGAACACAGUGACAGUGAGAGCGAGAGUGAGCGAGUGGAAUGAAGAGAAUAGAGGAAAAACUGUUUUAUUAUAAGAGCUACGUGUGCUACAAGCAAGCAUAAGCAUUUAUAUUUUUUUAAAAAUCAAGGGCAAGAUUGCAUAACCAUAUCUUAUAAACAAGAGUAAGACAAUUUUUUUACCUUUAUGUGUACCGUUUGGCUAGGUUUUUUUUUUGUCUAAAAGCUACUUUAAAACAAAGUUAAAAUAAAACUCUUUAAGAAAAAAGUUAAAGUUGUUUGGUUUCUUUAAUUUUUUUUUAGUUCUAAAGUUAUUUUUAAGUUAAAAAUUAUUUAGCAAAAUAUUGUACAAAAUUUUAAAUUUAUUAUUUUUUUGGUGGUGUUUGGGGUUCGAACUCGCGACCUUGCAUAUAUAUAAGUACCGUUUGGCCAUGCUUUUUUUCGGUCUAAAAGCAACUUUAAAACAAAGUUAAAAUAAAGCUCUUUAAGAAAAAAGUUAAAGCUGAUUGGUUUCUUUAUUUUUUUUUUAGUUCUAAAGUUAUUUUUAAGUUAAAAGUUGUUUGGCAAAAUUUUGAUUUUUUUUUUUUGUGGUGUCCAGGGUUCGAACCCGCGACCUUGCAUAUAUUUAUACAUUGUCAAUAUCAACUGAGUUAAGCUAGAGAAUAAUUUGUUUUUUCUUUUCCAAUUAUAUUGUAUAACAAAUUUUGUUAUAAGAAUAUCAUAUUUUUGGUGUCAUUUAAAAAAAAUAAGAAUUUAUAUUAUAUGAUAUUAUAUUUGUUACAUUGUUGGAGUCAUUGACAAAGAUAUGUUUAGUUUUUUUAAUAAGAAAAAAAUAUGCAUAGUUUGUUACAAUAUAAAUGUGUAAAAUAUAUAUAAGUAUAAUUUUUUUAAGCAUCUAUACUAGUACUUUUAAUUAAAAUCAAAAUUUUAUAAAAAUAAUAAUUGUUACAAUAUAAAUGUGAGGAUGAGAGCGAGAGUCUGUGAGGAUGAACGGACAGUCCGACUGCGGCCACAACGCAGGGAGGACGUCCGGUGUUCUUCUUCGCCGGCGGAGAGAUCCAAUUGGGGGGGAAGGGAGCCAAGCUGGGUGCCACUUAAAGGGGGGGUUGGGGGAGAUUGGCUUGUUGUGAGUCCUAGAAUGGGGAAAGCGCGGCGACAAGGAGAUCGAGGUCGGGAUCGGCAGCGGAAGGUCAAGCGGUUCCGUGAUUGGGACGAGGCAGGCAAGAGACAAUCUAGAACUAGGGAUUCACGCAGGUUCGGUUACGGCAGCGAUGCGGAUUUCUACCAAGACAGGCUUGCUGAGCGGUCUGAUGAGGAAUUGAGGAAGGACUGGUUGCGGUUUGAGAAUAGGAAUCGCGCUAGUGGUCACAGCUCUGGGGUUGCUGGUUAUGCGCGUCGGAUUCCGGCGCUGGACAGGCUUGGUGAGGGCGGUAGGAAGCAGGACACGCGCGACAUCAGCGGAGCCACCAAGGCCUUGACGAAUGCGGCUCUUUUUCGACGGUAUGUCACGUUUUAUUUUACUAAUUUUCCACCGUUCUUAUCGAAUUUUUAUUUACGAAAAGGGUUUGAGGUUUGUGGCAUGCUGGACGAGGUUGUGGUACCCCGUAGGUGCAAUGUUAACGGAGAACGGUACGGUUUUGUGAGAUACUCGAAUGUCCGGGAUGUUAGUAAGUUGUUGAAAGCCGUGAAUACUGUUUGCUUUGGUAAUUUCCAAAUUAAGGCAAAAGUUGCUAAUUUUGACAAGGCGGCAGCUAGAGUGGUUGAGAAUUUGGUGGUUGGCGCGGGUGCGAAGGAUACCGCGGGAGGAGGUGUUAAGGUCGGUAAGGGAGUUAAAUCAGUUGUUGAGGGUGAUGUGAUGGAAGCUGGAUCGAAAGCUGUUGAAGGCCAAUCGGAUGGACUAGAGGGACGGGUGCCACAAGCCAGAGUGGGUGCGUUGGAUAACGUUCAGGUUGGUGACGUGACGGUGAGCUUGGGUAAGGGGCAUAGUAAGGAGCAACAGGGCGGUAGCGGGAAAAGUAAGUUCGUUAAGUUUGAUGUUCGUCAUACAGGGGGGCGACCUUCAAUCCAAAAUUUGGUCCGGAUGUAUCGUUCAAGUGUGGAAGAUCUUCAGUGGGCCCGUUCAGGUGUGACUGCUACGGUGACUAAUGGUGAGAGUAUCAGGGGCGUUCAAGAUAGAAUUGCGGAUGCGGGUAUAUCAGAAAUUGACAUCAUUCCAUUAGGCGCUGACAAAGUUUUCAUUCGUAGUAUGUCCGAGGUUAGUGUUACAACUAUUUUGAACGAUGCUAAGGAUUUCUUUGCUUAUUUUUUCACCAAUAUUGUGAGAUGGGAUAAGAAUUUGGUGCCGUUCCAAAGGGGGGCCUGGUUGAGGUUGUAUGGUAUUCCGCUGCACGCUUGGAAUGAAAGCUUUUUCAAAUUAUGUAUUCUUGACGUGGGAAGGCUUUUACGUAUGGACACAUGCACUGUGGAAAAAGAAAGAUUUGAUUAUGCUAGGAUUCUGGUGGCUACAAAUUCUUUAGAGAUUAUAAAUUGUUCGGAGAAGCUUUUGAUAGAUGGUGUUUUGGUCACUGUGAAAGUGGUAGAGGAGUGGGGUUUUAAUAUUGGCGAUGAUGCUUGCCUUUACGAAGAGGAGGAGAAUGGGUCAAUUGAGGGUCAGGCUGACCCAGAAGAUGUGCAUAUUGAUCACGAACAUGAGGUUAACGCAGAUUUUUUGGUUGAUAAAAUAGUCCAAGAUUUUUUUGAUUCGGAGAGUAACGGAAGAAUUUUUGAAGAUAAGGUGGAGAAGGCGGUCUCAAAGACGGUUAAGCUUAAAGCGGUAGGUGGUCAAUCGAAAGUGGGUAGGUGUAGUGAAGCCUUGCUCGAGGGGGAUUUACAACCUUUACGGUUAGAGCCCUUUGUGGAUCAAUUGAUGGGUAGUGCGUCACCUGAGUGUAAGGUUGAUGGGCAUGGCAGUGCCGACGUUCCUGUGGAUAGAAGUGUUGAUGCUGAUGAGUGUCCAAGUGAUGGGGGGUCAGUUACUGUUAGGAAGCUUCGAACUCGUCGAAUGGUUUCAUGCCCUCCCAGAGCUGAUCGUUCAGUGGUAUCUGGUCCGUGGAGUCUGGAUUGGAUAAAUGAUCAACAUCUUAGUGACGUAGGGGUUGUGUCUUCUUCUCGGAAAUUUGACGCUAAGGGUAAGAGGCUCAAGGCUUGUCGUAAUAUUCAAGAGGAUGUUGUUGUUAAGCGAAAGAAGGUGAAGGGGUUAUUGCGUCAUUCAGUUCUUAGCUUGAAAAAAGUGGCACGGCUUCCUACUAAAGACCGGAAAGUGGUUAUGAAAAUUCUAAAGAAAAAUGAUCGGAAGUUUAAAGGAUCCAAUUCAAUCAGAAAGACGGCUAGGAUGAUUUCUAAAGACCUAUCCGAGAAUUCAUCAUCUUCUAGCUCUAUUAAUAAUAGUGACUGGAAGCAUUGGGUGGUACUUCAUGGGAGUGACAAGGUGGUGGCGGAGGAUGUGAAGACCCUAGGGGAAUCUAUUGGUGUGAAUCUUAGUGGGUACAACAAUAGAUUUGGGGUGUUAGCAAGAAAAGGGAUGGGGAAAAAGAAGAAGUUAGCUUUUGGUGAUGGUGGUUCAGGAGGGGCGGUUGAGGGUGUUGUGUAGGCGUGGUAGCGGUGGCUGGGAGGGUGUGGGAGAUGAAGUUGUUAUCUUGGAAUGUAAGGGGGUUGGGUGGUUACGAGAAGAGAAAGGAUGUUCGAGCUCUGGUGAGGGAUAAGCAGCCGUUGAUUUUAUGUCUGCAAGAAACGAAGUUGCAAAUGUGUGAUGUUAAUGUGUGUUCGUCGGUUUGGGAUAGGCAGUCGACGGAGUUCUCUUUUCGCCCGUCCCAAGGGGCGUCAGGGGGAUUGCUGACCGUUUGGGAUGCCUCGGAGGUUGAGGUGUGGUCGUCAGGCUGCUUUGAUCAUGUUUUGAGUAUUCAUGGCCGGUUCAUUUCUUCAGAUGAAGAAUUUCACUUAUUCAAUGUGUACGCUCCUUGUGAUGGAGGAGCUCGACAGAUAUUAUGGGUUGCUUUAACGACUCGUCUUCAGGCUCUUAGGGGUAAAAAGGUGUGCGUUUGCGGUGAUUUUAAUGCGGUCCGGAGUCGGGAAGAACGUAGGUCGGCGACGGUUUAUGGCGGUGUGUCGGAGUAUGGUCCUUUUAAUCAAUUCAUAGAGGAAAAUGGUUUGCUUGAUUUACCGUUGUGUGGGCGUAAUUUUACUUGGUUUAAAGGGGAUCGUCGUUCAAUGAGUCGACUUGACCGGUUUUUGGUUUCUGAAGAGUGGAGUUUGGUUUGGCCCAAUUGUAUUCAGGUUGCGCAUUUGAGAGGUUUAUCUGACCAUUGCCUGUUGAUUUUGUCUGUUGAUGAGGAAAAUUGGGGGCCUCGACCGUCGCGGUUCUUGAAAUGUUGGUCAGACACCCCGUGUUAUAAGCAGUUUGUUACUGAUAAGUGGAAAGCUUUACAGGUGGAAGGUUGGGGUGGAUAUGUUUUAAAAGAAAAAUUCAAAUUAAUCAAAUUGGCGCUGAAAGAGUGGCACAUAUCUCAUUCGCAGAACGUAGCAGUGAAAAUUGAUUCUCUUAAGGUCAGGUUGGCCGAGUUAGAUGGUAAAGGGGAGGUCGAGGAGUUAUCUGACGCAGAAUGUGUUGAGUUGCAUGGUGUGUCAGAAAAUAUUCAUUUGUUAUCCAGGCUUCACAAUAGUAUCUGUUGGCAGCAAUCGAGGAACCAGUGGCUGCGUGAAGGUGAUGCGAACUCUAAGUUUUUCCAUUCCAUUAUGUCCUCUCGUCACCGUCAUAAUUCUAUAAGUUCAAUUUUGGUUGAUGGUACUUUGGUUGAGGGCAUUGACCCUGUUAGGAAGGCGGUGUUUACCCAUUUUGCGACUCACUUUCAAUCGUAGAGUGUGGAGCGACCAAGUGCGUCGAAUCUCCAGUUCCGCAACUUAUCUUUGGUUGAGGGAGGGGGCCUGAUUAGACCUUUUUCGGUAGAUGAAGUUAAGGCUGUUGUGUGGGAUUGUGAUAGUUUUAAGAGCCCGGGUCCGGAUGGAGUAAAUUUUGGAUUCAUAAAGGAGUUUUGGGUUGAACUGAAAGAUGAUAUCAUGAGGUUUGUCACUGAGUUUCAUCGAAACGGGAAGUUGGUAAAAGGUAUUAAUACUACUUUUAUUGUUCUUAUCCCAAAAGUUGAUAAUCCGCAGAGGCUUAAUGAAUUUAGACCUAUCUCUUUGGUAGGAAGUAUGUACAAAAUUAUAGCUAAGUUGUUAGCUAACAGAUUAAGGUUGGUGAUUGGUAGUGUGAUUUCUGAAACUCAGUCUGCUUUUAUUAAGAAUAGACAGAUUCUUGAUGGUAUUCUUAUAGCCAAUGAGGUGGUGGAUGAAGCUAAAAAGUUUAAGAAAGAUCUUAUGUUGUUUAAGGUGGAUUUCGAAAAAGCGUACGACUCUGUUGAGUGGGAUUACUUGGAUUCGGUUAUGGAAAGAAUGUCGUUUCCUGUCUUAUGGAGGAAAUGGAUUAGAGAAUGUGUGGGUACUGCUACAGCUUCUGUUCUUGUUAAUGGUAGUCCUACUGAUGAAUUUCAACUGCAUAGUGGCUUGCGUUAGGGGGAUCCCUUGUCCCCUUUUUUGUUCCUGAUUGCGGCUGAGGGUCUUCACACGUUGAUGAAAGCGAUGGUUGACAAUCAGUUGUUUACGGGGUACUCGGUUGGGGUGGCAAACCCGGUUGUUGUUUCUCAUCUGCAAUUUGCGGACGACACUUUGCUGCUUGGCCAUAAAAGUUGGGCUAAUGUUCGGGCUCUUCGUGCGACUCUUGCCAUUUUUGAGUUGAUGUCCGGUUUGAAAGUGAAUUUCAAUAAAAGCUUGUUGAUGGGUAUUAAUAUCUCUGAUUCUUGGUUGAGUGAGGCUGCUUCGGUGUUGAGCUGUAAAGUAGGUAAGAUUCCUUUUUUGUAUCUAGGUUUGCCUAUUGGGGGUAAUCCGCGGAGACUUUCGUUUUGGGAUCCUGUCGUGAAUCGUAUUAAAUCUAGAUUGUCGGGGUGGAAUAGCCGGUUUCUCUCUUUUGGUGGUCGCUUGAUCCUUCUGAAAGCCGUGUUGACUUCUCUGCCUGUCUAUGCUCUUUCCUUCUUUAAAGCUCCAACAGGUAUAAUCUCUUCCAUUGAUUCUUUGUUUAAUAAUUUUUUUUUUUUGGGGGGGGGGGGGGGGGGGGGGGGGAGUGAGGACCGUAGGAAAAUUACUUGGAUAGAUUGGAAUACUGUUUGUUCUAAAAAGGAGUUAGGAGGGUUGGGGGUUAGGAAGUUGAAGGAAUUUAAUGUAGCUUUGCUAGGGAAAUGGUGUUGGAGGUUGUUAGUAGAUAGAGAUGGCUUGUGGUAUCAGGUUUUAGUCGCCCGUUAUGGCGAGAUCGGUGGGAGAUUGGAGGUGGGGGGCCGGAGUUGUUCUUCUUGGUGGCGGGAGGUAGGGAGGAUCUGUGAGGGUGGGGGCGGUGUAGGGGGUGAUUGGUUCGGCAGUAGUGUGAUUAGGAAGGUGGGGGAUGGUGCUGAUACGUUGUUCUGGUCUCAUAGGUGGUGUGGUGAUCGUCCUUUUAGUGAGCGGUUUGGCAGGUUGUUUGACUUAGCUGAGAACAAAGCCAUUUCAGUGGCUUCUAUGUUCUCUCUUGGCGUGGUGCAGGGGGGGAGGGUGGAGUUGGAGGCGAAGAUUGUGGGCUUGGGAGGAAUUUUUAUUAGAGGAGCUUAGGGCUUUACUGCUUGAUGUUUCUUUGUUGCCUAAUGUUUCAGAUAGAUGGUUGUGGCUACCUGACCCUGUGGGGGGUUAUACUGUUCGAGGAGCUUAUGUUAUAUUAAUAGAGGGCGCUCAUCCUCUUUUGACCGAAGCAAUGGAUCUAGUUUGGCAUCGUCAGGUCCCCUUAAAGGUCUCGAUUUUUGCUUGGAGACUUCUCCGGGAUCGGUUACCUUCAAAAGCAAAUUUGGCAGCUCGUGGUGUUCUCAGUUCUGAGGCGACUCUUUGUGUUAUGGGCUGUGGUCAUGUUGAAACGGCCGAACAUUUAUUUUUAUUUUGCCCAAAUACUGUUUUGUUGUGGCAGCAGGUGCGCAAUUGGCUAGGUUCUAUGGGGGCGGAUCCGAAUAAUCUUCAUGAUCACUUAGUGCAGUUUACUUACUCGACAGGUGUUGGUAAAGCUAAACGUUCUUUUCUGCAGCUAAUUUGGAUUCUGUGUACUUGGAUUGUGUGGAUCGAACGUAAUAACCGCUUGUUUGGUAAUGUUGUAACGGAUGUCCCAAGGUUAUUGGAUAAGGUUAAAUUGUUAUCAUUACGGUGGCUGAAAGCAAAAAAAAAACGUGUUUGUUUAUGGUACUCAUAUGUGGUGGUCUAGUCCUUUGUUAUGUUUAGGCAUUGGUUAAUUCCUGUUUUUUGUUCUUUGUGUUGGACUCUGUAACAUUUUGUAUCUUGUAGCAGAAUUCUAGGCACAUCUUGUGCUUGGAAUAUGCUAUGUUUGUGUUAAUAUAAUUCCAUUUUGAUGUGUUCAAAAAAAUAAUUGUACGCAUUGCGCAACACUGAAAAAAAUAUACGCAUUAGUGUAACAAAAAAAAAAAGACAUACAGACAUAAAAUAUUACUCUAAACGCUAAUGUGUGUGUGUAUAUUUGUGAGGUUGAAGAAAGGGAAUAAAAAUAUUUGGUGUCAUUCAAUGACUGCAUAAAUAAAAAUAUUUGUGAGGUUGUGAUAAUUAAACGAUAUUAAAAUUAAAUAUAUAAGUGAUUAAUAGAUAAUAAAAUUCCUUCAAAAAUAGAUAAUAAAAUUAAAUUGAUCCUCCUUUAAAAAAAUUAUAUGGACCGGUUCAAAAAAAAAUUAAAUGGAAGAAAAAAACAAAUCAAAAUAUAAUAUUAAAAAAUAAAAUAUAAGGUUGCCUGUGUGAGUUGAAGAGAAGUGCUUGUGAAAUAAAUUACAGAGAAGUAGUUUUUUGAAGUAGCAUUCAACAACUUUUAAAGCUCAUUCCAUUCAAUUUUAUGAAUUCUAAAAAAAAUACAUUUUUUCGAAGGUACUUUAUUGAUAUUGUGUUUCGCCUAGCUUCUCUUUAAAAAUGUAGAGAAGUUGGAAAAAAAGUCGAGUCAAACGGUACCUUAUAAGCUUAUUUGAUUAAAAUAGAUUUGUUUCGUAAUUUUCACUUUCUCACAGGUUUAUAUCUUAUUUUCACUAAUUUAUGGUUUUUUUUUUUUUAAACACCACUGAAAUUCACGCACACAACAAAGUCUCAGGUUUAGACUCGGAUAGAGGUGUCCAACCUAACCAUUGACAGAUGAGUUAGGCUUUCCAGACAAUUUAUGACAGUUUUUUAUAAGCUAAUUCAAUUACCUUGUAGUUUAAAGUUUAUAAAGUAUCAUUAUUUAUCUCAACAAUUUUACCCUUCAAUCUUAAUUGAAAAAAAGUAAAUAUUAAUUAAAUAUAUCAUUUCAUAUUUAUAAGUUAGUUCAACCGCUAAUUAUUUAAAACAUUACAAAUCCAACUAGCUAGUUUACUUGCUAUCAACUAUAAGAAGGCCGAUAAGUUAUCAUCUAUAAUUUCAUGACUGUUGCUUUUCUGACAUCUAAUAUGUCUUGGAAACACAAGUAAAUGACUAAAAAAUUCAACAUAGUUAACUGCUGUCGAUUUUCUAGUUAUAAGCCAGCAGUAGUUAACUACUGUUAGAGAUAUUUUAAUAUUUUACUUGUGUUUUUAGGAAGUUUAUGAUGUUAAAAAAACAAUCGUCUAAUUUCAUAUGAUAUAAGGUUUAUCGGUUCAGUAUUUGCUAUUUUACCAAACAAAAUCAAUAUAUGAAAUUGGAAGGGAUGAUAGCUUUAUUAAGUUGGAAAGUUUAGGUGAGAUAGACUCGAGAGUUAUCCAAAAUCAAGGUAUACCUUGAGACUUAACAAAUUCAUUUUUAACUAGUAUAACUUGUCCCGUGUGUAAUAUUUAUUUUUACAAUUUGUCUCGUGUUUAAUAAUUACUUUGGCUUUUUAUCAAUGACAAAUCUUCUAGAUGUAUGAUAACUAUUUUAAAGGUUUCAUCCUCAAAAUAAAAAUAAAGUUAAAAGGUUUUAUUUUAUAAAGGGUAAAUAUCUCUUUUCGUCCCUGUAAUAUUAGUGAAUUUUGGUUUUAGUCCCUGUAAAAAAAGGAUUUAGAUUUGGUCCCUGUAAUUUCAGAUUUUUCCACUUUUGGUCCCUCAUUCCACCACGUAAGCAGAAUCUGCAUACAUGGCACGUAAAAAUGAGGGACGAAAAGAGGUAUUUACCCUUUUAUAAAGCAAACUAUCGUUAUUUAUUUAGGAAAAGAAAUUUUUUUGACUGUUUUCCUUAAGUUUGUUGUCGUUUUCUUCUAAAAAAAAAAUAUUUUGUUAAAAAUCGAGAUGUUACAAUUUUUUUUUGUUUUGUAACACAGACUUUAGGACUAUCGGAAUGUACUCCCUCCGUCUCUAAAUUAUAGUCGUAUAAAGUUUAUGCACGAUUAUUAAGGAAAUGAUUAAUUGUAUUGAUUUCAAUGGUAAAAUUAACAUCAUUUACUAAGAUACUCUUAUUAACAUGUAGUUAGUGAAAUAGUUAAGUUGGAUGAAAUUUAAUAAAUAAGGAUAUAAUGAUGGAAAAAAUAAAUGAAUGUUGCAUUAGUAUUUGUAAAGCGACAAUUAUUUUGAUAAAAAGAAAAAAUGCGAGAUUAUUAUUGUGAGACGGAGGGAGUAAUCUGUAGCAUAUAAUUUAUGACACAAUUCACUUCAAAAUUACAUAAAUAUACGAGCGAUCAGUUUAGAGUUUAGUAGUAAGAGUUCGAUCAUCUAUAUAACUUUUAGACAAUUGUAAAGCAACGAUUAAUGUCACUUAAUAAAUUUUAGAAAUUACAUAUAAAUAGAAGAACAUAUACAUGUUUGUAAACUCUGCUACUGAUGUGUGAACAGAAAAUAAUAAUUAUUUCAUCAAAAAAGAAAAUAAUAAUUAUGACAAAAACAUUAAUUUAUGUUAAGAUACAUGUUUGUGACAAACUUUAACAUGUUUGAGAGGAUUGAUGAUGAGGUUACUAUUGCUUGGUACAGCACAACCAACUUUCUUCAAUUCUAGAAAAGUUUGUGUAGUGUCAGGAUCAAAGCCACCUGCAAACUGAAUGUCUUGAUGGGUGAUGAGUUGGAUAAAAAAGUAAAUGUCAAAUUCAGAAAGUUCUGAGGAAUGUUAUUGUACCUGAUGUACUCUGAAUGCAAACUUAACUCCUUGUAAUAAGAGGUUAUUAUUAUCUUCAUGCAAAGCUUCAUGAGAUUUUAUUUCUUUAGUUAUUCGUUUCAUGAAUUCCUUUGCUAGCCUCAGUGAACAUAGCUUUAUCUGCAAGUUAUUAACAUGAUAAAGCCUUUCAAUAGGUUUUUAUGGUAAAUAAUAAGAUACCCUUUUGAAACAUGUAUAUCAUAAAAGGUAUAGAUGAUUCUGAUGUUAUUGUAGUGAUACUAUCUAUAUUAUGUGACAUGCAUCAAACAAAAUCAUUCAAUUGUGUCAUGAACUAUGAUUAAUUUCAUUUUAUGGAUUGUUGGUUCAAUUGUAUACAAUAAAGAAUACAAUAAUAUUGGAAAAUGUAAGACCUCUAGACAAUUGCUUUUUUAACAUCUGAAACUUCCUAAAAACACAUAAAAUACUAAAAUGUCCUCAGCAGUAGUUAACUACCGCUGACUUAUAACUAGAAAACUGACGGUAGUUAACUACCGCUGGGCUUUUUAGUCUUUUUCAUGUGUUUCUAGAAAAUAUUCAAUGUCAGAACAACAGCCAUCAGACCUCUAACCUCAUCUAAAAAUUUAUAGUAUGAGAGUCUAUUCAUUUGGGUUAUCCACCAAUUUAUCCAUGCACCUAGCCCAAUAGUACUAGGUGUGAUGGAGUGUGUUGAAAAAAACCAAGUCACGCAUUGAAAAUAGAUAAACCAUUUAUUUGUUUUCGUGUUUGUACAUCAAUAUCCAUAUGUUUUUUGUGAAGCUACUACUCUCAACAGCUUCGUAAAAAUCAUGUCAAAUGGUCAAUGGGACGUGAUAAUUUUGGUCCAACUGCCAAACCAAACAACCACAAAGUUUUUAAGAGUGUCACUUCUCACCUUAUUAAUCAUAGAGAUGAGUUGGACCCAAUAGAAAAAAAAAAAAAUCAUAUUUUGUGAUUUCACAUAAGCUUGAGUUUAAGCAAAAUUAACCAAUUCAAAAUAUUUUUCUUCAUAAUCUUUAGGACACUAGACACAUAUAAAUGCAAGCAUUUUUUUUAAUGUUUUAUAGUGAUCUAUAAUGCAUAAACAAGGUAUGAAUUUCUUACCUGACCAACAAGGCCAGUGUCCAUCAUCCACUCCCAAGGGAUAUGAAAAUUCCUAUAUUUCUUACUUGAACUCUCCCUUAUCCUCUCUUUACUACUUACACUUCCCUCCAACCUGCAAAAUUUUAAAAGCAAAACUUUCAAUUAAUUCUAAGUAUUGCUCAAAAACUUUAGUUAAACUCAACUCUACAAUUUUUGUACAUGCUCGCCUGUCUUGUAAUGCUUGUAUCCUUUUCAGGGCCAUAGAAAUUGGCUCUUUUGGAUUAUCCUCAUAUGAUGAAACUUCUGAUUCAAGAUUCUUUAGUUCUCUAUAGUUACAAGCAGCUUCUCUUAAUGCAUCUACUUUUUGUUCUGGCCAUUGUGGAAAAUGCUUUAAGACUGAUCUUUCAUCUACCAGUGUUGAUAAUUCUCCAUCAAGCCAUUUGAUGAAUGUUUCCACCUCAGAUAUAUCUGCAUAUGAAGCUGAUUCUACUUGUUUGAUUAAGAAACUGAUGAAUUCUUUUUGGCUUUGAACUUCUGAUUUUAUCUGUCAAAAAAAUGUAUCAAGUAUCAAUAAAAGAGUGUUCAUUGUUUUAUAGUUAAAGCCUUGCUUGGAUUGGUUUCUUUGAGCUUAUCUAUUGGAAUAAGUACUUGUGAGAUUAUUUCGGAGAGCUUAUGGAAACAUCUUAUUACAUGUCCAUAAGUUAAUGGAUUUAAAUUGUUUUAUAUGAUUAAUACUUAUGCUAUAAGCAUUAGUUUAAACUGUUUAUCCAAACAGGCCUAAAGAUUUAACAUUAGAAAAUUUUGAAGCUAAAUAUGAGAAGUUUGGAACUAAACUUACAGCUGAAAGAUGUUUUGACCGAUUUUCGAUUUCCUCAAUCAUGUUUCUGGUGAAUGCUACUGCAGGAAUUCCAUUGUGAUGAGUUUUGUUUUCAAUGUUGGCAUCUUUUCGUGUAAGCGAACGAUACAAUUCGAUUACUUCUGGCACACGACGAACUGUUUUCAAACCGAUAGACGAUUUUGAUGGUGUUGGAGGUGGUGGAGGUGCUGCUGUUGGCUGCAUUUUCAUUCCCUUCUCAUUUUUAUGUGAAGGUGAAAAAAGAGUAGAAGCAGGUUUUGGAGGAGGAGUUGGUGGCAAAACUAUUGAUGACUUUUCCUUUCUAGGUGAAGUUGAUGAGUCUUGAAAAUCUUGAUUUUCUGAACUCUUUUCACACAUGAUUGCUUGAAGUGCAGGUUUAAGUGUAUGGUGUGAAUCUGAAUUGUUAUCAUCUAUGGAUUUUUGUAUCUUUUUCCAUAGUAUGGUUUUUCUCUCCAUAUUGUGUGCUUUGAGUGAAAUUAUCUGUGAUUUUAAACGAGAUACUUCUUCUUUAAGUUCUUGGUUUUCUUUCUGUAGUAACUCAUUUCUAGCCAUGUGAAUUUCAAGUCUUUUUUUGAAAGAUGUUGUGAUCUCAGACUCAUUCUCUACCUGCAACAUUUUCUCUCCUUUUUUCACUCUAUAACAUGGUUAUCAAUUUGAUAUCUUGUACACUGAUUUUUGUUAUAUAUUUGGUCUUGUUUUUGAAGUAAGGUUGGUAUGUCUUGGAGUUAAAUAUCCAAGAAUGCCCUCUAUGGUACUAAUAAAGGUAAAUCAUCAUUUAGAUUCUUAAAUAUGUGAGAUGCUUUUAUAAUUGUCUCUGAAUGUAUAUUUUGUUGGUUAGUUUAGUACUCGAAUAUGUCUUUUGUUAUUUGAUCCAUUAAAAUACUGAUAAAAAAUAUGUUUAGGGAUGUUUUAGUAAUUUUGAUAUAUUCAAAAAUAAUAGUGAUAGGGUCUCACAUAUUUCUAAAAAUGAAUGUUUACACUAUUAAUAGUGACCUUAUGGGCCUAUUGGGAACAAUGGUAUUGAUAGAGUAAUUUGGACAUUUCACAUAAAUUUAAUGCUAUUUGACAUGAAGAUUAAUUAUGAUGCCUUUGUAAGAAAAUUUAUAAGUGAUUGAAGAUUACUUUGGUUUGCUGGCAGCAAUAGUAUGUGAAAGCUGCCUUUAGAGUGUCAUGUUAGGUACAACAUUAAAUAUGUUGGUCAAAUUUAAUGCUAUUGUUUCUAGAUUAAUCUAUGUGAGGUGAGAGAUUUCUUGCUCUCUAAUUUGUUAUUAUGUCAAAACUUUUUUAGGUUAGUGGUACAUCUAUAGUGUAGAAGUUGUUUAAGUGAGGUUUUAGUUAGUAUAUAUGCUUGUCUCAUUUCUACUUUGAAUCUUGUUCCCUUUUCUUCAAUUGAAUUUGAUUUAGAAUUCAUAAGUUAUAGUACAUGUGAUGUGGUCCAAAAAAACUAGUCGGUAUACUGAAUGGUUGAAAGUCCUAACUUACCUAGAUGGAACUCUUUUUCAAUGUGUUUGGUUUCAAUGUGGAAAGUAUUAACAAUGACUUUAUUUUCCCCUUAUGUCAAACAUCAUUGUAGUUUUGUGUAAGGAUGAAAAUCAAUUCUUAGACAAGUUGAGAUAUUGCACAUGUGUUAUUUUUUUUAGAUUGAUUCUGAUAAAGCAUAUGUUUGUUUUCGCAGUAGAAAAUUGAUUGAGGUGUGUUAUCUUUUAAACUAGGGUUUGUAGCUUCAACGUAUAAUUUUUUUAUCUCACUUUAAAUAUCAUAACCAAACACAAAUAAUUUUUUUUUCAUAUUAUGAAAAUCAAUUCUAACACAAAGAAACUUAUUUUUUGAGUAAAAAGAAUUAAAUAUAAACUAAUUUGUUGCUCCUUCAAACACAAUAUAGCUUCAUUGUGAUAGUUGUCUUUCAUUUCACACUGAUUACACUUCUUGUAGUUGAGUGGCAUUUGGCUUAUUCUUUGCUUGUGAAACAAUGAAAAGAGUGGUAGGAAAAAUGUGUCUCAUUCAGUGAUGUUUAUUGAAGAGUAAAUAUUUUCAUAAUGACUACUACGUCAUACCAAACCAGAUUCUUAUGAUAUUUACAUUUUUAUAUUUUUUUUGUUUUAUUUUUUAAUUUAAUAUGUUGUUUCAAAGCCUCUUCUAAACUCUUUUAUUUUUCUUUCAUCCUACUCCUUCUAUAGUUGAACAUUACCACCCCUACACACCGAAAGUGUGAAUUUGAUGUAGAUUGGUUUUCUGUGACAUGUUGAGGCCUACUAUACUUUAGGUGAAGAACGUGACUAAAUUUUUCAAGUUUAAAGUGUUGUUCAAACUUUCAUAACAAAUCAUUUUUUCAUCUCUUGAAUCUUGAUUAAAUCUUGGUAUCCGACCUAAUAGUUGAUUAACUCGAAAGGUCUAAUCUAAUUGUUCAUUUGUGGAGGCCAUUUAAACACACACAAAAUUGAGAGGUUCUUAUAAUAUUUUAGACAUUCAUUCAAAAUUUCUAAUGAUACACAUGAAUCGACUUAAAAGCAGAGACCAAAAGUAGCAAUGUAAAACUUUUGGAGAACCAAAACUCUAAAAAAAAAAUUAAAGGGACUAAAAAGAAAAGAUAGAAUAUUAGUAGGGACCAAAAAAUGUUUAGCCCAAAAAUAAAAUAAUGUUAAUUGAAAGACAUUUUAAGAAUAACAUUGUUAAAUAAAGUAAAACUAACAUAACAAUUUAUAUACCAACAAUUGGUAUUUAAAAAAAUAUUAAGUAAAAAUAAUUAGUUUUCAACCUUUUUCAGAUGUAAUUUUAUUUUAGCAAUUUCUUUUUCCACACUACUUUAUUAUCACGCGUCCUACUGAAUUCUGAAAAUACCUCCGUUCGGAUUAUAUAGUCUGAAUGAUUUUUUGAAGGUUUUCAUAUUAUAAAAUUUGAAACCUCUAAAAAUCCAGAAAAAAUACAGAAUUUUGCACUGAUUCAUCCAAAACGUGUAAAUGUACAGUUUGAAAAAUACUAUCUGAAAACUCUAAUAAUAUUUCAUAUUACAUAUUCAGAAUUGUGUCAAACUCCCAAAAGACCAUUUCAAAGAUAAAUUACAGUGUAUGAUAAUGAAAUUUAACCAACAGGUUAACAAAAUCGCAAUGAGAAGACACAAAGCAGAAUUGAAUCAAAGAAAUUGAGAUGGAGGAAAGACCCAAUCCAAGAAGAAGACAGCAAAGAAAAUUGAAUGUAUUUUCUAUAGAAAGUGAAUAGAGAGAAAGAAAAAAAAAAAAAAAAAAAAAAAAGCUAGAAUGCAAAAGAAAGGGGAAAAAGAGAAAAUUGGAUUUUCUCAAGAAAAUGCAGCGGAAAAUAUCUUUUAAGGUGGAUACCAGAUUAGCUCUUAUACCAUGUUAUAAAACAUGAUAUACAUAGAAGGAACAAGAGAAAACUCAAAAAAUCUUUCUAUUUAUGAUAAAUGUAAAUGUUACAAAUGAUAAGAGAGACAUCUCAAAAAAGAGAAUAGAUGGACUAGUGAGUAAAUGAAAUAAUAGCAUAGUGGAUAUUUUUCCUUAAAAAAAAGCAUAGUGGAUAUUUUCUUAUUAAUCAAAGUUUUCCUUAAUCUGAACUUUGUUUUAGGAGACCUUAAUUUGUACUUAUAAAACUAUUUUGAAAGACAUGUAUUUUGAAGAGAGGGAGUAGGUGAUAAUGUAAGCAUUGAAUGCAGUUUGAACAAGUCAAAGACAAAGUGUGUUUGGUGGGGAAUGUAAUGUUAUGAGGGAAUUCAAAUAUUUUGCGGUGAAUUUUAUGUUUGGAUAAUAAUUUGAAGAAUUUUCAAAAUGAUGGGAAUUUAUGAAGUAUUUUGUUCAAGUUCAAUUUAAAGAAUUUCAAAUGACACCUCAAUUUAGGUGAAUUUCAAAUGAUUGAAAUUUGACCUCAAUUUUUUCAAAAUUUUCAAUUUGACCUCAAUAAAUUUCCAAAAAAUUAUAAAUUGACCCCUUAAAUUUUUCAAAAAUUAUAAUUUGACCCCUCAAAAAUUUUUAAAUUUACAAAUUGACCCCUAAUUUUAAUUUUCAAAUUUGGCCCAAAAUUUAUAAAAUUUAUAGAAAUUUUUUAUUACUCCACCCAAACAAAAGUAUUGAAAAAUGAAAGAAAUUUAAUCGAAUCAUUUAAAUUGCCUAAAAUUUAAAUUCUUUAAAAUUGUAUAAAAAUACUUGUACAAAUAUAAUUUCUUUAGACGUUAUUGAGGUUCACAUUAUUCAUCUAUGUAGCAACCAAUUUUGAUGUCUUUGAGACAAUUACAUAACAUGAGUACCAUUGAAACUCUCUUUUAAACUCUCUCUAACACUCACUAUUUUAUUUAAUGAGAUCGAUAUGUGUUCUACACUUUAAAAAUAGGUCAUACCUAAAUGGCGAAAAAAACUCGUGAGUUUCACAAAAUAAAAGAGUGAAUGUUGAAAAGAUAGUGUUCCAAAAACUUCUCAUUAAAUAACACCUUACAAAAUCUAAAUCAAAGUUAUUAUAGAGGCUCAAUCAAAACUCAUCCCAACAAUUGUACAAUCCAGUAGUAUCUAAUAAAUGUGUGAUGUAAAACUAGAUUGUUUAUUGGUGUUCAAGUAUGAAAACAAAGAAAAUGAGACAAAGAAAGUCAAUAAUGGACCCACAAUGAUAAAUUUGUGAUUGAAAAUCUGUGUCCUACAAACAUCCCAAUCUCCUAAUCCUAAUGGAACCUUGCAAGUUGCAUCAAUUAUUGAAUUUUGUAUAUACCAAUUACAUUUUUUCUCACCGUUCUUCUUUUUACUACAACACUUCUCAUAUUUUCAACUCUUUCUUUUCUGAAAAAAAAAUGGCUGAAGCUUUACUUGGUGUUGUGUUUGAAAAUCUACUAUCUCUUGUUCAAAAUGAAUUUGCAACCAUUUCUGGAAUCAAGUCCAAGGCUCUAAAGCUAUCAACCACCUUAGAUUUGAUCAAGGCCGUUCUUGAAGAUGCUGAGAAGAAACAAAUAACAGACCGCUCUAUAAAGGUAUGGCUUCAACAACUCAAAGAUGCAAUCUACAUACUAGAUGAUAUUCUUGAUGAGUGUUCCAUUCAAUCCACUCGACAAAAGGGCAUAUCUUCUUUUACAUUAAAGAAUAUCAUGUUUCGCCAUAAAAUUGGCACUAGGUUUAAAGAAAUUACAAACAGAUUCGAUGAUAUUGCUGAAAGUAAAAACAAGUUUCUUCUACAAGAAUGUGUUGCUGUUAGGGAAAGGUCAAUCAAUGUGGCUGAAUGGCGUCAAACUAGCUCUAUUAUUGCUGAACCAAAAGUAUAUGGUCGAGAAGAUGAUAAAGAGAAGAUUGUCGAGUUUCUUCUCACCCAAGCAAAGGGCUCUGACCUCCUUUCCAUCUAUCCAAUUGUUGGCUUAGGUGGUAUUGGGAAAACAACUCUUGCUCAAUUAGUUUAUAAUGAUCACCGGGUGAGUGACAAUUUUGAUACAAAAAUUUGGGUUUGUGUUUCUGAGGCUUUCUCUGUUAACAAAAUUUUGUGUACUAUUAUAGAAUCUUUUUCAAGAGAAAAGUGUGAUGCCUUAGAUUUAGAUGUUAUACAACGACAAGUGCAAGAAUUGUUGGAAGGUAAAAGAUAUUUGCUUGUUUUGGAUGAUGUGUGGAACAGAAAUCAAGAACUGGAAUUUGGAUUAAGCCAAGAGAAAUGGAAUAAGUUGAAAUCCGUGUUGUCAACUGGAUCCAAAGGUUCAUCCAUUUUAGUCUCCACUCGUGAUAAGGAUGUUGCUGAGAUCAUGGGAACAUGCCAAGCUCAUCAUUUGUCUGGUCUAUCUGAAUAUGAAUGUUGGUUGUUGUUCAAACAAUAUGCAUUUCGACAUGAUAGAGAGCAGCAGACUGAGCUUGUCACAAUAGGAAAAGAGAUAGUAAAGAAGUGUGGGGGAUUGCCUCUUGCAGCACAAGCAUUGGGAGGCCUAAUGUGCUCAAGGAGUGGAGAAAAAGAAUGGCUUGAAAUUAAAGAUAGCAGGAUUUGGUCUUUACCGAAUGAGAAUUCUAUUUUGCCUGCUUUAAGGUUGAGCUACUUUCAUUUAAACCCAACCUUAAAACAAUGUUUCACUUUUUGUGCCAUGUUUCCCAAAGAUAUAGAAAUCAUGAAGGGAGAUUUAAUUCAUCUCUGGAUCGCCAACGGAUUUAUAUCAUCAAGGGAAAAUUUAGAGGUAGAAGAUGUUGGAAAUAUGAUUUGGAAUGAAUUGUGCCAAAAGUCAUUUUUCCAAGAAAUCAAGAUGGUCGAUGAUUCAGGAGGCAUUUCUUUCAAGUUGCAUGAUCUUGUCCAUGAUCUUGCUCAAUCAAUUAUAGGAUCGGAGUGUUUGAUUUUGGACAAUACAAACAUAACUGACCUGUCAAGAAGCACACACCAUAUUGGUUUAGUAUCUGCAACACCGUCAUUAUUUGACAAGGGUGCUUUCACAAAAGUUGAAUCGUUGCGAACAUUGUUUCAGAUAGGUUUUUACACCACAAGAUUUUAUGAUUACUUCCCAACCUCUAUACGGGUUUUACGCACAAACUCUUCCAAUUUAUCAUCGCUAAGUAAUUUAAUUCAUUUGAGGUACUUGGAGCUGUUCGAUUUCCAUGACAUAAAAACCCUACCUGACUCAAUUUAUAGCUUGCGUAAUUUGGAAAUCUUGAAACUGAAACAUUUUUCUAAACUUCGUUGUCUACCGGAACACUUGACUUGCUUACAAAAUCUCAGACAUCUUGUUAUUGAAAAUUGUGAUGCAUUGUCCCGUGUGUUCCCUAACAUUGGUAAAUUAUCUUCCCUAAGAACAUUAAGUAAACACAUUGUCCGUUUAGAGAUUGGAUACAGCUUGGCAGAAUUACAUGAUCUAAAGCUAGGGGGAAAACUAAGCAUUACUUGCCUAGAAAAUGUUGGAAGUUUGUCUGAAGCUCGAGAAGCCAAUCUGAUAGAUAAAAAAGAACUUCAGGAAAUAUGCUUCUCAUGGAACAACAGGCGUAAAACCAAGACACCUGCUACUAGCACCGAGGAAAUACUUGAAGUGCUUCAACCUCACUCAAAUCUCAAGAUCUUGAAAAUACAUGGCUAUGACGGAUUGCACCUCCCAUGUUGGAUCCAAAUUCAAAGUAGUUUAGCUGUUCUUAGACUUUCUUAUUGCAAAAACUGUGUGCGGCUUCCAUCACUUGCUAAAUUACCAUCUCUCAAAAAACUCCAAUUAUGGUAUAUGGAUAAUGUGCAGUAUGUGGAUGAUGAAGAAUCAAGCGAUGGUGUGGAGGUUAGGGGUUUCCCAUCUCUGGAGGAGCUGCUUUUAGGUAAUUUACCUAACUUGGAACGGUUGUUGAAAGUGGAAACAGGGGAGAUUUUUCCCCGCCUUUCUAAGUUGGCCAUCGUUGGUUGCCCUAAACUUGGGUUGCCACACCUUUCAUCGUUUAAAGAACUCAUUGUAGAUGGAUGUAACAAUGAGUUGCUGGAGUCAAUCUCUAGUUUCUACGGCCUAACUACCCUUGAGAUUAAUAGAGGUGAAGAUGUGACAUAUUUUCCAAAAGGGAUGUUGAAAAACCUGACCUGUCUUCGAACUUUGGAAAUAUCUGAUUUCCCAAAAGUGAAAGCAUUGCCAAGUGAAGCCUUCAACCUAGCUUUGGAGCAUCUUGGUAUCCAUCACUGUUGUGAGCUUGACUCAUUACCAGAACAACUUUUUGAAGGUCUACGAUCCCUUCGAACCAUGGAGAUUGCUUUCUGUGAAAGAUUGAGAUGCUUGCCAGAAGGUAUUCGCCACCUCACAUCACUUGAGGUUCUGACAGUUUAUGGUUGCCCAGCUGUAGCAGAGCGAUGUAAGGAAGAAAUAGGAGAGGACUGGGACAUGAUAGAACACAUUCCAAAAUUAUCUAUUAAUUAGAUUGAAGAAGAAGAAACUUUUGACCAACAUUGAUUCCAUUACAAUAUGCCAAAUAAUAUAGAAUCAUUUGUAUAUUAAGACCAUGUAUAUUCCAAUCACUGCAAUAUUCCAAAUAAUAUAGUUGAUGGCUACUUUGGGAGUGCGACAAGUUUUUAAAAUGACAAUUGGUUUUCUUUUUCAAACAUUAUCGUUAUUAAUUACCUUAUUUGCUAAUUCUGAACUAUAGUUUCUAUAAUGUCAGGUGCUGGUUAUGUUAGACAUUAGUAAGGGAACAUUAAGUUCACUAUAAAUACAAUUUUUAUACAACAAGAUCAGAUGAAAUUUUCAUGAAAGGGUUAACUUGAGAAUAACCGUACAAUCUAAUUACAUCAUAAAUAUAUACAUGAAAAUAGAGAAUAUUUACAUUUACAUAGAAGAAAAUAAAGGAAAUAACAUCUCAAUAAAUAUAAAUGAAGUAUUUUAAUGAUUGUGUCAUAUCUCAGUAGCUACAUUUCAACAAAAGUACAAGUAUAUAUAUUCUACUUUUUGAAACACUUUUUGAAUUACAUUCUUAGAUACAGAAUCAAAGACUCUUUAGAGAUCAAUGAUGAAAAACCUAGAACCUAAUGAUCUUGAUCAUUGGCUAGUAGAAGUCAUUGUUAAUGUUUAUGACCAACAUUUACAAACUAAAUCUAUUCUUUUCUAUGCAAAUAUCUCAGUAUAAGGUUAGAGUUAUACAUGGUAAACCAUACCGACUUCUAGCAAAGAAGUAUGAACUACUUCCAACAUAAUAUCAGGUUCUCUGCAAUUUUUGCUUAGAAAAGCAUAAACAACAUCUAUUCCAAAUUUCUUUAAAAUGGAAGAUGAUUUUUUUGCCUCUGCAUAGGAAUGCCCAACUAUAUAAGUAAUACCUGAUUCUUUGGCUUUUAAAAUCUGCAAUGACUCGACUUUAUAGGACUCGUCUUGAAGUUGUUGGCCGUCACAUGAAAAUGCUAAAGAAUUCUUUUCAGAAUGUGACCAAUUCAAUUUCAAAGUGUGUUGUGAAGCACCAAGAUCUUCCGCAUUUAAGUUUCUUCCAUCAUCUAUAGUCAAUUCAUUUGUUUGUUCUUGAACACAGUCUUCUGAUUCUAUAAACUGUAUUAUUGCAGAUACCAAUUUAUUAUCAAAAUUGUAAUUCUCUUGUUGUAUGUCUUUGUAACCGUAUCGGACAAUGCACCGAAACAUGUAGAACUCCUUCGGACCAAUCCUGCUGAUGACUAAUCUUUCACUUUCACUGACAUAAGGAACUUGAACUGAUUUAGCACAUACAAAAACUAACACCUGAUGGAAUGCUGGUAAAUUUGUAAUAAAAUGACCAAAAAUAGCCGGGAUACCGGAAGCAAGAUUAGUGAAAAUGAGACCGAUUCCUGGGACACGGACCAUGCCUAAACAAGGUCCUAAUGAUAACAUCUUGCUCAUCGAGACCUUGUUUUCAACAUCAAAUUUGUGUUUCUUCAUUGUUCCAUAAUUCCAUGUGAACAUUAUGGCCAUAAAAAUGAAAGAGAGCGAAAUUGGGAUCCAUCCUCCUUCAGGGAUUUUGCAGACAGAAGCUGAGAUGUAAAGAAGUUCAAUAGAUCCAAACAAUAGGAAACAUGUAAGUGCUUUUAUUAUCCCUUGUUUCCAAACAAUUAUAAUUAUUAGCGUCAUCAAACAUGUUGUCACAAACAUAACAGUGGUGAUAGCCAACCCUGGAAACCAAGAAAAAUAGUUUAAAUUUAGUUUUCAAUACUUCAAGUAUCAUAUAAUAAGUAAACUUAAGAGUAAACAGUCAUUUUCCCUAAAUGUAUGAAGCUUAAUCACAAUAGCAACGAUUGUAUCCGAAUUACAAAAUUAUCCCUAAAGCGUCUUUUGUCUGUAAUUUUAUGGACCAAAUUGACUACUUGAUGAUAGAUUCUAGAACUAUACUAAUUAAUGGAAGAUACAUUUGAUGAUGAAACGGACUAAUGAAAGACAAGUUUAUGUAGUUUUUUAUUUUAUUUUUAUAAUUUGAUACAUUAGAGACUAUUGUGACAUCGCCUCACAUAUUUUAGGAUAAAAAUGAUUGAUUAAUCUAAACACAAUGGAAAAGGAUAUCAUACCAUAUGCAUGACCCAUCAUGUUUGUAUCCCUAAGGCCAAUUGUGACAGCUAAACAAAGGCACAUUAAUAUCCAAUUGACUUCUGGAACAUAAAUCUGUCCAUAUAUUUUGCUAGAAGUAUGAACAAUCUUGACUCGAGGAAAACAAUUUAAUGCACAGCAUUGGCUUAUGAUGGAAAAAGUUGCAGAAAUCACUGCUUGACUUCCUACAACAGCAGCAAAAGUGGCCACUAUAAAAACUGGCCAAAAUACAGCUUCUGCAGAAAAAUAGUAGCACUGUUACCCUAGAGUUAUCAUAAAUAAUAUCGAUAUAUUUGUGGUUUAUUAAAGUGAAUUCUUGCCUGGUAUGGCUUUGUAGAAACUUCUCUCAAUGUCAUAAUGGUGCUUAGAGAGAAAUGCAGCCUCACCCAUAUAUGCCAAAAUCAGGCAGGGAUAUACUAAACAUGUGAAAGCUAUCUGAGAUUUACGUGUAACUGUUAAAUCAGAUUUCAUUUUUGUAUGCUAAACUAAUAUACUUGUGAUCAAUAUUGUUAAUUAUUGUAUACUUUUAAUUUACCUUUAUUGAGAGUGCAGAAAAAUGACCCAUGUCAGCAUACAUUGUCUCCACACCUGCGACAGUAUCACGUAGGAAAAUUAAUCUCAUAGCUCUUUAGCUGCAAGAGAAAUGAUAUUUUGUACAACCAAAUUUAGACAAUUUUUGUGACUUUUUUUAAGUGUUCAAAUAGGUGAUUAAUUACGUUUAGUAUAUGAUUAAUAGAUAUAUCAGGUGUCAAAACUUAUUAACCACCAACAUAACUUCAUCAACCACAAAUUUGGAAGUGGUUAGCCAUAAUUUUCAGUUAAGUACAUACAAAUUUAUGGUUAAUGCUGUUACAUUGAUAGUCAAUGAGUUUUCACAUAUAGUAUAUCCAUGAACCACCUACUGAACGCAAUUAACCACUUAUUUGAAGUGUGUUAACCACUUAAAAAGUUGUUGCGAAAAUUGUCUGAAUUUGGUUGUUCAAAUAACACAAGCUAGACAACUGUAAUAAAAUUGACUAACUUAUAUUACCUGUUAUCGAAAGCACAACUCCACUUAAUGACAACCAUCCUUCGAUGCCAGUGGUUUUGAGAAACCUAAACAUAUAGACUGGAGAAAGUGCACGAUAUACUUGUCGGUUCCAUUGGAAAAUAUUGUAUAUACCAAUACCACUGAUACACAAAAGCCAUGCUGCAACAACUGGGGCAAACAUGAAGGCAACUCUAUGUGUUCCAUGAUGCUGAAUGGAGAAAAGGCCAACUAAAAUGAUACAUGAGACUAUAACAACAUAAUCUGCGCAAUACAUAGUGUAGAGUUUCAAAAUUAUGCAUUGAAUAGACAUAAUGGUAAUGAUCGAAGUUCGGUUGGCUUACUGUCAUGGAGUUGGUUGAUCUUAACUUGAACUCCUGAAACUGCUGAAAAUACUGAAAUGAGACAUGAGAAGGAUGGUCAUAGAUCGAAAAGGAUAAACAGUACAAUUAUUUAUUCUCUGUAAACACCGAAAUACUAUAAUGAUCAACUCUUGAAUCAGUAUAUUCUCUGUAAACAGUACAGUUAUUUAUUCUGAAAUGUACUUUUGUCUAAUCACAUUAAUGAUGAAUAAUGAAUUCUAGCAAUUAGUAAUCAGCUAAAGCUAUAAUUUAAGGAAUGCAUGUGUGUAUCUGUGACAUUGCCAAUGUUGUAUAACAUAGUUCAUUUUGGUUCAAAUAUUAUGUUUAGUCCCUGCAAAAUCAAAUGUUGUCAGUUCAAAUAUUAUGUUUAAAAAAGCUGAUGUUGUGGACCGAGGUACACACCAUCAUUUCCAUGUAGAUGACAAUGCCACAUGUCAACACCACAUUGGAUGAUAGUGACAUAUAGCAUGGCCACACGAAGCUGAUAUGCCAUGUCUAACUCCUCGUUUUUACUGACGUGUUCUAUUAGUGUUUGAUGUGUGUCACUAUUAUCCAAUGUGGUGUUGAAACAUGACAUAGUCAUCCUACAUGGGAAGGAUGUCAUUUAGUCGUAUUUGCCACAUCAGAUAUUUUAAAUAGAAAGUUGACACUACGGACAAAAAACAAAUACAUGAUUCUGUAAGGAUGAAAAGAAAGAGAAAGAAAAAAAAAAGGUAUUUAUAGGGACUAAAACCAAAAUUUGCUCUAUUUAUGGGGACAGAACACAUAUUCAAACCAUUCUGUUUUUUAUAAGACCAAACUCCCUUUUACUUGUACAACAAGUAACCCAUAGAUUAACAGAAGGGAUGCUCCUGAUCAAAGUACCUGAUAUUGCAGGAGUAAUCACACCAUCACCAAUUGUCAUGCAAGUUCCCAACAAAACAAAGAUUAACAGUCCUUUCUGGAAUCUAGGAUGCUUUUCAAAGAACAGCUUCAAAAGAGAAGAUUGCCAUGUAUCGGCAGAAUCUUCUGUUGAAUAAGCAGAUAAAGUCUCAUCUGUUGGUUGCUGAUUAGGCAAAAUGCUUAGUCUUGCAUGUCUGCAGAGAAGUGAGUAUAAUGCAAAUGUGCCUCCUGCAGUAAAAUAAGGAACAUAAGAAAGAAAUUCUUAGAUGCUCAUGAACCAAAGAGAUUGAUCUUGAUUUCUACCAAUGGUUUCUUAUAUAACAAAAUUAUAACAAUGUGUUCCCUUUUUAUUUUUUGUUUUAAAAUAGUCCCUUAUUUUACAAAUGUUACAUUAAAUUUAUCCAUUUUAAAUUUUAAAACUAUCCAUUAUUGUCCCAUAAGUCCUAGCUCAACCGGUGAAAAUGCCGAAAUUGUUAGGCCGGACAUCAUGAUCGAGAUUCGAACCCCGGCACCUCCACUUUGUGUGUGUGAGUUUACGAUGGCUUUACCAUUUCUUCUAUCUACCAAAAAAAAAACUACUCAUUAUUUUGUAAAAGCUAUACCAAGGUGGUCCUCUCUGUAAAACAAAGAACAAUUUCAUUACCAAAAAUACCAAAAGAAAAUUGAAAUCUAAAAUAAAGAUAAGGAACCAAAAUUAUUUAGUCUAAAAUUAAUCUUCAAAUAUUUAUCUGUUAAUUAAGUAAUCAUAGUAGACAUCAUGACAGAGAAGGAAAAUUAUGGCUCAAAAUAAUUAUAUAAAGUCAAAAAGAACAAAUAACAGAAUAUACAAUGCUUCUGAGUUCUGUCAUCAUUUUAUUCAUUUGGUAAAGCCAAAAAAACAUCCAAAUAUCCUUUAUGGGAGUUUUGGCUGAAUAAUAAUGUGAUUAUAAAAAUAAUUGAGUUGACUUAAUCAACUUAAAAGCCAAAGGAACUGAAAAGAUACACACCAAAAGUACCAACAUCAAUGAUUGAAGAUUGUACCUUCUCCAUUAUCAUCAGCAGACAUGACAAUGAAAACAUAUUUGAAGAGAGCAAUAAUAGUAAAUGUCCAAAAGAUAAAUGAAAGCACUCCAAAAAUUUCUUCAUCAUCUUCUUUAAGGCUCAAUUUCCCUGAGAAUGAGGUCUUGUAUACAUAAAGAGGAGAAGUACUUAGGUCACCAUAAACUACUCCAAGACUUUGGUAUGCUAGAGUCAGCACAUUUAAACAAGAUGUCCUCUUUAAAUUCUGAUACAUGAAAUGAAACCAAGCAUAAGCUUUUAUAUGACAAAUUUCAUAUAUGAAAUGCAAAAAAAUGAGUACCUGGUGAGAUAUUCCUUGUUCUACAAUUUGCUCAGAAGGAUUCAUUGUUGAAACAUAUAUAGAAAAUGAGGUAAGUUAUGAAGAGAAUGAUGAGAUAGAGAAAUAUAUAGAAAAUGAGUAAUGGAAGAAGUGAAGUAGUAACAAGGCAAGUGGUGUGUGUGUCCAAAGAAGUUAUAAAAUGCAUUCAAUGCUCUUUUAACUUUCUUUUGUUGGACUUCAUUAACCAACCUAACACCUUCCCCUUACUAGUGGUAAACAACUUUUUCUUAACUAUUUCUUUCUGUUCAAAUAGUAUUUUUUCAAAACUAAUGUACAGUGUUGAAUUGAAUUUGGAUAAAGUAGAUGUUACUGAUUUCAAUUAUAAGUAACUUAUUGUCAUAUGAGUAGAGAUAUAAACGAUGAUUUAUAUAUUUUCAGAUUUUAAGUUUUUAAAAAAUAAAACUGUUUUUCCCUUUAUGUCCUUUGUGCAUAAGAUUGAUUUUUCUAUUUUUGUUUCAAUUUUCGAGUUUUACAUGGAAAGUAGUCGGAAUUAGGUCAAAAACUAAAUAAAGUCGGACUAAAAAUUAUUCCCGCUAACAAUUGAACUCGAAUUCUCUUAAUUCAUCCUUAACUAAAACUCAUUUAAUACUUGAACCAAAUUCCCAGGACUUUAAACAAUGGAUUGGAAGUCAACAAUGGGCCAUGUUGUUUGGUACUCAUUUAUAUUGUGUGAUUUGGUAAAUACCUCUUUCCUUAUUCAUGUGUCAAGUAAUUAGUCUCUAAAAGCAAACCGUUCCUUAAAAUGGUCACUGAAACAGGAUUGGAAAAAAGUUUUCAUAAAAAAUUGCAAACAUAAAAAGAAAAUCCGAGCAUAAAGGGCUAGGAUUCUAACCCUGAAAAUGAUGUGAAUUUGUCUCCUUGUCGUCUAACAAUACAAAUUUCAAACCCCCACGGUACAUUUGUAAAAUAGUUGUAAAAUAAUUAUUAAUGUCACUUUAAUUAAUAAAAAUAUACAUUUCUCAAUUUUUUUAAAUGUCUUAAAUUGAAAUAUUAUGUUAAAAUUUAAUACGAUGCACUAAAAAAUUUCAUAAAAAUGAAAAUAUUAAAUAAUAUCGAACAUUUUUUUUCCUCAAACAUGAUUGAUCACCAUCUUAUUAUAUUACAAAAGUGGGACAUAUUGGUAGCUAAAUAUAAACAUUGCACUAUAUGAAUGUCUGGUUUUCAUUGACCUUUAUUACAUCCAAUUGAGGAAAGAACCAAAUUUUCCACCAAACAAAGGUAUGUGAUUGAAGCCUUUUUUCUUUCUUUAAUUUCAUAAUCCUAUGCAAAGUUCCUUCCACAAUGGAAAUUCACUUAGGGCACCAUGUUUUAUUUAAAGAACAAAGUAUGGUGAACCUGAAUUAGGCACCCAUAGUAUGGUGUUAAUUAAUAAAUUACCAAACAAUAAAGAUACUAUGAAGACUUCAUAGUAUUACAUUACUUUGUCUUGCAAAUUGUAUACUUCUUUUUAGGUAGUUGAUGUUCCCAUCUUUGUGUGGGUUAAUUAUAAUAUUGACGGUUCAACAAUAAUAAAAAUAAUUAAAUAUGUAAUCCACUAUACAACCAAACUGCGGGUGAGUUAAAAAUAGUUUUUAGAAGAUCAAAUAUCACUUAUGUUAAUCUUUCUCUCACUCACGUGCAAUUCACAUGCUACUUAAUCUAAUCCCAAUCCAUGAUACACUUUAUUAUAUAUUUACUUCAGAUGUGUUAUGAAGUCGUAAUAGGAUAAUGUUUGUAUUCGAUUAAUACUUUUACACUAUGUUUAUUUUUAAGAAAAGAUCAUGAGGAGGAGAGAAAGUUGAGGGAAAGAAGCGGUUUUUAUUAUUUGGAAAACUCUGAAAAGGUUAAGGAAAGAAAGAAUUAGCUUAUUAAAAAGUUUUCCUCACAAAAAUGGAUAGAAAGGUUGAAAAACAUCCUCAUAGCUCAGUUGGUAGGGAUAUUGCAUAUUAUAUGCAGGGGUCGGGAUUUCAACCUCAGACACUUCACUUCUCCACGAUUAAAUUGUGUAAGCUCUAGCCGCUAGGUUACUUGACAAAAAAAAAAAAAAAAAGUUGAGAAACACUCAUAUUUAUUUUUUAUUUUUCAAUUUACCAUCUUAUUUUUUAUUGUCUCACAAUUGCAUUGCUCCAAUGCUCACUACUACACUUUCUUUUUCCAUGGAUAUUGUAUGUAGACAGAAAAGUAUGCUUAUAUUGUUAUAAUAUUUAUUUAUUUGUGUGUGUAUAUAUAUGAAUAACUUUUCAGGUAUUUAUGUCAAUUAUUAAAUAUAGAUUUUUCUUUCCUCUAACACUUUCUCUUCUUAUACUAAACAACUAAAAUAAUUCCUUACUUUCUACUCUUUUUCUUUCUUCAUGUAAUCUUUCCUUUCACUUUCAUUCUCCAACCAAAUAAAGCCUUAGUUUUUUAGUUUUAAAUUGAUUUUUUAUCUGUAAAAAUGUGCACCACGUUAAAUUGGUUUUUAGUUUUAAGUCAUAAAAUAUAUGCAUCAUUGCGUUAUUUCCAUCAAAUCAAGUUAAAAAACUGCAUACGUUGUGCUUAUUGUUGAGUUGGUGUAUUCAAAUGUGAGUAGUCAAUACAUGUGUUCAAAUACAAGGAGGCUCAUUAAUCUCUAAUCCUCGUCGAAGGCGCACCACAUCAUACCUCAUGCACGCCUCACCGCACAGGUGUGUUGGAUCAAUCUCUAACGACUUCAUAACAUGCCAGGUUUAUAAGAGACAACUACAACAUCCCCAAUUAUAUAAGUGUGGCUUCACGCCACACCGAAGCUGCAUUCAUAUUUUUACCAUAUUUCUACUCAUUUUUUCUUUCUUAGUCACAUAGUGACUUAGCGUCGGAGUAUUAACAUGUUUUAUAAGUUCCGUUCACUUCAUCAAAGAAUCCCCUGCAUCAUAUCGAAGAACAUCUUUUAUCUCAUCGAAAAUUGUCUUGUACAAGCACAAACACCAAUUACUUGCACAAUCUUUUCGUUGUGGAAAAAAUUAUAGUUCUUGUGAAUAAUUUUGAAACCUAGUGAUUCAUAAGGUUAUCCACUCUCAAUCAAGUCUCAACAACCAAAUUAUUGAUUUUCUCCUUUUAAAUGUAAGUCUAACCGUACAUCAAUUAUGGCUCGUACAUUGCAUGUUUGAAGAGUAAGAGAUGAGAUUUUUUUUUUUUUAUUUGGAAUGUGAGAGUUUCAACUUUCAAUUAUGAAAUUCCAUAAUUUAAAAUUUUGAGAAAAAAAAAUCAAAAAAUAGAAUAAGAGUAUCUAAGUGAUUUGACACAAUUGAUUGUGUUUUACCUAAGAUGGAAGUAUUCAGAGUGAUAAUUGAAACAAUUCUUAACCCUUUUUACGUACUCUCUAACCGAAAUUCAAAUUAAUCAAGUCUUAGCUUUUCAAUAGAAAUUGAAGGAUUACAACAAAAAAAUGAAAAUUAGAAAAGAUAAUUUUAAGAAAAAAACUUAUAACCCUUCGAAAAAUAAAAACUAUAAACUCAUAAGUGUUUGAUUUCUUGCUCAUGCAAACAUAACCAUAUAGGAUAAACAAAUAGAAAUGGUAAAUAUCUAAUGGUAACAUUUUUCUUUCCGGCAACUACACUGAGAGCAUCAAUAUCAAGACUUUAGCACAUAAGAAGCAUCCAACUCAAAAGAUUCGUCUAAUCAUCCAUAAUGCGAGAGUCUUUUAACUUAAGUAUCACAUUAAAUAUUUUUAUUUACUCAAUAUAAAACUCCUAUUAUAUUUAUGUUCGGAAAUAAUUUGAUGCAAACGGUAUUAAAUUGAAUGAAAAAGAACGAUGAUCGACGCCGACGAACCACUCACCAAUGGAACCGGCUAUGCCCCUGACUUUUCUCAAGAAACGAAUUAAAUGAAGGAACAAGUAAAAUUUGAACUCAAUGAAAUAGAAUUUUAAUUCAAUAAAAUAACAUUUUAAUUCUCCAUAGAAUCCUAAGGAAAAAUGAUGCACAUGUAUAAAUUUUGUGUAAAAAUAAAAUUAUUAAUUCUUCAUUUAAUGACAAAUUUACAGUAACUUUUCUUUGAAGGAAAAUUUACAGUAACUUAAAAUGUAGGAUAUAAUAUAAUGCAUAGCCAACUUCAAUAAAUGUAUCUCUCAAAAAAAAAAAACUUCAAUAAAUGUAUCAUCAUCCAUAGUUAAAUACAUAUUUGUUCCUUUUUUUUGAAUGAAUUGUUCCUAUGAGUAUGACCAAGAUUAAAAUGGACCAUCCUUUUUCUAGACCAUCCUUUUUCUAGAGAUGAUAUGAGGUCCUCCUUUUUUUUUAACCAAAACAAAGUUAACUAUUAUCAUUAAUCAAUCAAUGUUCAAUAUAAGAAGGAUAAGAAUAAAAAAUACGGUGACUAACCCAAAAACAGACCGCCUUAGCUAAAAUAUGAACAACCAUGUUCGCUUGUCUUCUAACAAAUUUCACCUCAAAAUUAAAAUAUAAAGAUAACUGAUAAAUAAUACUAAAAACAAUAGCAUCAUACGAGGUCCUCCUAAGUUGGCAAAAAUUGUGAAAUGAAAAGGGAUAUAGGUAGAAACAAUUGUUGGGUCAACAAAUGUUAGAGACAACUGUAUGGAAGGUAUGCUUUCUACAUCACACAUUAAUGAUUGGUCCCUCCUUCAAUUCCUUUCAUUCAAUCAGCUCUAUAUACCUUCAAAAAUCAAAAGAUGGUGCACGAGUGAAGUUGACUAGACCUUUCAACUUUAUCCAAAAGAAGAGACAAUAGUCAUGCUUUUGAUGCAGCCUUCUGCCCAUAAAACCAUACCAUAUUUCCUACUCACUAUAUAGAUUCAAGUUGAAGUAUUUUUUCAAUAAUCAAAUCUCUAACCGUUAGAAAGAUAAUUCUCAUAAUAUUUGGAUGGAUAUUUUUCAUAAAAGUUGGAUAUGCACGUGUUAAAGGAACUAAAAAUAGUAAUUUAUAUUAAAAAAGAACAAUUAUUUAUUAAAAAGUUUCAGAGUAUUUAAUAUAAAAUGCACAAGUUCCGAUACAAUCUUACUAUUUUAAACUUUUUAACAUGUGCAAAUAGAAAAACCCAUUUUAAAAGAGCAAUGAUAUUUGUACAUCCAUUCCAUGACAAUUUUAGUGACAACUUUGUUUUUCUCUCUUCUUAUUGGUCAAAAACAAUGGAGAGAGAAAAAGGAAGAGAGAUGAUAAGACCAUCAUGUGAGUAUGAGAGAGAAAGUUGUACAAAAGUUGUCACAAAUUGGUUGUACAAAUAUCAUUUCUCAUUUUAAAAUAACUAUGACACAUGGAAAGAGUUGUCGUUAGUAAAAAAUCCAACAAUAUUUAUUAGGGUUAAUUAAGUUUUUGGUCCCUAUAAAUAUUUGAAGUUUCGUUUUUAGUCCCUAUAAAAAUAAAUCACAUUUUUUAGUCCCUACAAAAUUUUAUGUUAUAGCAUGGGAGAAAAUAAUUAUAAAACAUGGGAGAAGUUGUCCAUGGUUAAAAUUUUAAAAUAUUUAUUAUAAACGGGAAAAGUUGUCGCUGAUAGAAAUUUCAAAAUAGCUAUUAUAUAGAUAGGAUAAAAUGUCAUUGAUACAAAUUUUAAAAUAAAUGUCAUACACCAAAGAAGUGUUCAUUAUAAAAAUAUUAUUAUACAUAAGACAAGUUAUCGCUGAGUUAUCUUGAAAUAAUUAUUAUGCAUCGGAUAAGAUAUGGCUGAUACUAAUAUUCAUUGAAUUAACAUUUAUUUUUCACAACUUUUAUAUAUAUAUUGCAUGAGAAUGAGUAACUUAUGUGAGAAUGGUGAGAAUAAAUUGCAGUCAUCGGAUUAGAAGCAAUGGAUUAGAUUAAAACAUCACUUAAGUGACUCAUGUGCCAAGCAUGCGACCAUUCUCUUCCUCUUUUCCAUCAUUCACGCGUCCCUUAUUUUUCUUCUCCCUCUCUCCUGGGUUUGCGGUUCCAAAUUCCUUGACAUCUUUUGAUUAUUUCAUUUUUUUUUAACCUUGAAUUGUUAAAAAGAUGAACCUUAAAAAGAUUAAGGGAACAAGAACACAUGAAGGAACUCUUACUCUCCCAAAUUGAUAUUAUUAUUUUAAUUGAUAAAAUUUCACGAUUAUUUUUUCUAAUUAACCAAUUCACCUUCAUUCAUAUAUAAUAUGAUUUGUAACUCCAGUAUUACAGAUUUUAGAAGGGUUUUCUAUUGAAUUUGAGUCUGAAUCCAGAAACUUCAAUAACAUAUACGAUGCUCUCCUUGUGCCUGAACUGGUGGGGACGCUGCAAACGUGGUGGACAGUGAAGGCUGCGGGUUUCGUGUUAAUGAGGAUUGGCGUUGCCGGAAAAGAUGGUUGAAGUUGAAGAUGAAGGGAAGAAGAAAUUGUUGCAGCGUAUAAAGGAAGAAGAAGGGUUAACCAAAAAGUUGGAACGCAUGAGUGAAACUAAUGAGAAUGGCACAUGCUUGGCACAUGGGUCACUUAAGUGGUGUUUUAAUUUAAUCUAUUGCUUUUAAUCCGAUGGCUGCAAUUUAUUCUCAUCAUUCUCACAUAAGUUACACAUUUUCAUGUGAUAUGUCCCCUAUAAUAUAUAUAUAUAUAUAUAUUAUAGAUUGUUUGAGAAAGUUACACAUUCUUGAAGGAUUGUUUGAGAAAGUUACUGCUGAUGAUGUUGUUAAGAUCAAUCUUGGUUAUUGUUCUGUGGGAAACCGAAUUGGAAAAGAGUCUUAUGGAGAAACUUGAUAGGAAGAACAAAAGGAGAUGGAAGAGUGAGAGUCAUAGACUCAUAUAUAGUUAUUAACGUGGGAGAGAGAAUGAAAGAGAGUCACGUGCUAUGUAUUAAAUUAAAAUCUAAUCAAAACCGUAUAUUUAAUCUAAAGGCUGAUGUUUCAUCCUCUCACCCUCUCAUUUAAAAACUCCUCUCAACACCCUAUAUAUAUAUAUAUAAACUGAAAUAAAUCAUCUCCACCAAAGGUUGCUGCACGGGUAUCUUACUAGUUUUAAGGAUAAAACCUUUAACGUAACGACUAGAAAAGUUGCGGAAAAAUUCAACCAUAAAUAAACAACUGAAUUUUGAUAUACAAAGUGGAAUUUCUCAAAACAAUAGUGCUAUAAAUCGUGACAACCAUUCUUGCGAAUAUAUCACGAGCAACCAUUUCAUAUAAUUUUUUUUAAAGUCUUAGUUUUCUUUUUUAACCUUCUCUGCAGUAUAAGAUGGACUUGAAUCGGUACAUCAAAAUGUUGUUGUUUCAAAUACAGACGCCAUGAUUUAUGAAAUUAUAGAAAUUCUAACUCCAAACUGAAAUUUUGAAAAUUUGGAUGAUAAUUUGUCUAUAGAAGAAACAAAAAAAAAGGAUCAAAUGACAUAUAGAGGAAACAAUGUUAGCAUUUCAUGUAUUUUGUAAAUUUUGAUGUUUAAUUCAAUCUGCCCUGAAUUGGUUCAUCUUUUUUUUUUUUUUUUUGAAGGAUGGUUCAUCUUUAUUAUUUGAUAUUUGAGUAUGUCAUAUAUUUUGUAAAUUAUAGGAAGAAGAAGUAGAAAUCAUAGAUGAAAUGUAACGAUGCGACAAAGUUAGCUUAAAUGCAAUGACUAUAUUCCGGUAUAAAUGAUCCUAAAAUUUAUACCACUAAAGUAGUCUCACAUGACUAACACCCACAAAUAAAUCCUUUGGAUCCGUGGUUUCAACAUUGUGGAUCACCACUUGUGAUUCCAACAUUAUGAAAGUCACCUCGAUAUGCAUUCGUGAACAUAUAUUUUCAACCAAAACAUACAUGUAAAUCCAAAGAAUUUAACAUGAUAUCCAACAAUCAAUAAUUUUAUAACCGAGAAUAAGUAAGACAGAUAAUUUCACAACGCACAUGUCAAUUGACAAUACAUCCAUCUUGUACAUCCAUCCUUUGGUCUGCAGCGUUGAGCCUCUCCUUGGCUAAUUUUGCAGGUAGUAUGUGAGUUUCCCUCGUUGACGAGAUCGUGGUGGCCCACAUUCAGCUUUGAGUCUCCUUCACAACAUGAUUUGUUGACACGAUCUUUGAUGCGCAGCUCCACUGGAUACUUGUUUCUUCUCUUGUCCUUCUUUGUGGUUAAAUGGCACUACAAACACGAAACAAGGGUAUUAAUCAUCAUUGUCCAUUUCCACUUAGUCUUGACUCAAUCUGCGAUCCUUGCGACCACAUACUCGGUUAGUGGGCUCGAGAAAGAAUUAGCUUCCUUUGCACGGUUUUUCCAGAAUUCUCCUAACCUUUAGUCGGUUGGCGUUUCCAUCAACUAAAGUUUUUGGGUGAUAAAAUCUUAACCUCAAGUUACCACAUCAAAUUAUCAAAAAAAUUGGGUGAUGAAAUCUUUGACUCGAGUUACCACAUUAAAUUAUCAAAGUUUUUGGGUGAUAAAAUCUCUUACACAAUUGACAAAAUUUAAGGGACAUUUUGGCCACUCCACAUUUUUAAAGAAGAUGGAAUUUUUCUUUCGCAACAAUUACUCACACACACACACUAAAGAUUCAUCAUUAAGAAGUAUGAAAUGCAGCAAAAUAUCCCCUAGCCCUAUAAUUCAGCCAAAUCAAAAAGAAAAGAGGAAUAAAAAUGUUACCACUUCUUGAGCUCAAAACCAUCACAAGUCCAAGAGCUAACUUACUCUAUCAAAUGAUCUUAGACACACAAAAACCAAAUAAUGUUCUCAUUUGAAUCUACGAUUCUUAAAGGGUGACGUGUUUGAAUUUUGCAUAAAAGUUAAUAAUAUUAAAAUAAUCUCUAAAAAAAAUAGAAUUUUUAACAAAAUAUGAUUUUUUUUUAUAUUUUUAGCGGUUAAAAAUUCAUAUUUAUCCGUAUUUUGUUAAAAAAGAAGAAGAUAUUUUUACAAUAUUCUACACAUUUUUGUUUAAUUUCGUUAAAAAUACAAAAACUACAUAUUAGUUGACUUAAAAAUAGAGAUAAAAAAUGGUGAUUGAAAAUUGUAUAUGGAUUAACAGCUGAAGAAAUUUUUUAGAGGGAUUAAAGCAAAAAAUUGAUAUAUUUAUAUGAAAAAAAUAUAUAUUUAACCUUAUUUAAAAUGUAGUGUGUUUUAAUCAUUUUCAGGUUUCAUUUUUCUUCAACCAAUUCAAAAUAAGGGAAUUCUAAUUUGACUUUAGCACUAGUGUGAUUUGGCUUGUAGAUUAACUUCUACUAUAUGGUAAAAAGAGUUUACUAUAUGACUUUCCAUCAAUCCAAGCAUGCAUCAUCAUCAAUCAUGAACUUUUCUUCCUCUCUUAAGCUAAAUCAAAUGAACUUUUCUUCCUCUCUUGAGCUAAUAUUGAUGAAUUUGGCAUCCAACAAAUAUUGUACCUAUAGACUUUCUAUAGCCUAGAGGUUAUAUAGUCCUGGGUAACACCAAGAGCUAAUACACCUUGUCAUGUUGUUUACUUACAUGACACCAAAUUACAUACAUGAAUAUCAACAAAAUUUAAUGAUUAAUUACAAAACAUUAGUAUUUAAGUGGUUAAGUAUUACUGUAUUUUUUAAAUCAUUCGAAAUUCUAAAAUGUGAAUAAAAAAAUAUUAUAAUAAUCACUUUAUCAAAUUCAAUAUGAAUAAAAUGAUCAUUUAUGUGAAAUUGUUCUGAGAAGUUAAAAUUUCAAGUUGUUUAUAGAGAUGCACAAAGGAAAAUUUAUAUUGUCACUAGAUCACUUGUUUUAUUAUAUAUGAGUGUAUUCAAACGUCAACAUUUGAUGUAUUUUUUUCAUUACUCCAAAGAGUGCUCGUAAAUAAAUGACUUUGAAUAUCAAUUAUUAAGUUAUUUCUUUUAACGUUCAUUAUUUUUUAAUAAAAUAUAAGUUUGUUUUUUAAUAAAAGAUUUUUUUUUUUGAAACUCACUUAAAACUGAAAUCUAUUAAAACAGGGUUCCAUAAUAUAUAUGAAUCACUUCAAAAACAAUUUUGGUUUACAUUCAAUGUCAAAUUAUUUAGUAAAUCAAUAGGAAUUAUACAAUUAAUAUGAAUGAUAAUGUAGAAUAAUGAUAAGUGCUAGAAAGUAGUGAUUCAAUGUAUAUUUAAAGCACUUUUGUAAUUUGUUUCACAAGUUAUUUAGGGAAAAGCCGAGAGAAAAGUGAAUAAUUGCCCUAUUACGUUUUAUGUAUCUUACUUUAUUCAUUUGUGCAGGAAUUGAAUGUCAAGACACCAAGCAAAGAAGAAAAUCAAAGAAAAUGUACAUAGGUCAACUCACCAUGGCGAGUCAAGGGCGAGCCCAAGGCAAGCAGAGGCAGAGAGUUCCAGAGACCACUCGCCCCCAACUUGCAACGGCGAGUGGAAGGCGAGAAACCUCGCAAUGGCGAGCCCAGGGCGAGGAGGAACAGAGAGCAAAGGUUCAAAGUUCGCCAUGGCGAAUAAUAUACUCGCGAGGCGAGUUAAGGCGGCCAAAACUCCUCAGAGCUGACGUGGCAGAAACCCACUGGUGAAGAAACAUCAACUCGCCAUGGCGAGCAUAGACUCGCGAGGCGAGUUGAAUCAAAACAGGAAAAGUAUAAAAACCCAUUCAGUCAUUUCAGUUAUGAGAUUAUUACUUCCUUAGAGAGAGAAUAGGGUGAAAAUUCACCGUUUUCAUAGAGCAAGAGUGAGUGAGUGUGGAUUCAUCAAGAUUUGUUGAGAAAUCAAUCUCUUAUCAUUGAUCUUCAUAUUUCCUACCACUUUUGUAAUGUUCUCAAGACAAUGAUGAAUUAAAUCUCCUUAGUUUGGAUUAGAGGUACUUUAUUAAGUUGAUAAUGUAAUCUUUUGAUCUUGCAAAUAUAUGAUUCUAGCAAUUUACAUGAUAUUGAUGAUAUUCUUGUAUUUCAUUCCUUAUCUUUGAUUUAGAUGCUAUUUAGAAAUACUUUUGAAUCUGGGUUUAGAAUAUUUAUCUAUCAAAACAAUGAUUCUAGACAUAGGAUUGAUGUUUUGAUAAUCACACAAAGUAUCGAAACUUAAAGCUUUCAUAUCAUUUAAUAGAUUGAGAAAUCAUCGAUUAAACGAUACGAUCAAAUAUUGGAUUGUUUAAUAGUUUGGGAAAUCAACGAUUAAAAAACACAAUUGAACUUACAAGAUCAUUUGGACACGAAUGAUGUCGUCGACCGAUACGUGAUAAUAUCGAUAAAACGCUAGAAUCCAUAUAUGUGAUUAUUAGGUUAUGUUUGACGCUUAAUCAACGAACUCUAAUUCCAACGCUUUUACACCUUAUUAAUCUUCGUUUUUAUCUUCGUAUUUUAGUUAUCAUAGUUUUAAACAAACAACCAAAUUACUCUUGAACUUAAAAUGAUAAUCGAUGUUGAACGGUUUGCGAUAUCGCACUAAUCCCUGAAAAGACGAUACAUAAAUACUUACUUUUGAUUGGUAGAAAAAUACUACAUCAAAUAAAUCAUUCAGUUACAAAGCAUUCUUUUUAAUUAGAUGAUUUCAAUAAAAUAAAAUAAAAUAGAUCAUACAAUAUGUUCUAGUUGUGCAUAAACAAGUUCUCAUUUCAAUGAUGCUUUAUUCAAACAAAUAACUUUACCAAUAAAAAUUUCCGUUUACUAUCAUGAAAGGUUAAAAUAGUUGUGAAAAUUUAGUUAAAAAGAUUUGUUCUUAUGAGUAGCAAUUUUUUUAUGUUACCUCCUUGCUAUGUAUGUUAAUGGGAUAAACGUAGCACACGGUUAUACUUAAGAGAUAUUUUAUAACGAUUAUUAUUUUAUGAAAUGUUUUUACAGUUUUGUAAAAGUGCUAGAAACUAUUUAAUUAUUUAAAGGGGGUAAUGAACUUUAUACACUAUAAAAAGAUCAUAUAAUUAUACUUUUUACAUGCAAAAUGCAAAAAAUAUGACUGAAAUUCUUAAGUUUGUUUAUGUUAUGUUUCUAUUUAUUUCCAUGUUUAUUGUCACAACAGAAGUUGGUGGUAAGUCAUUUUUUCAUCCUUUUCAAUUUUCCUUCUUUAGUUUGUAUUUUGUACCCAACCUUUUUAUCAUGUUUUAGUAAUAUUGUUAUAUUAUCUUUUUCUUUACGACAGGUGAAUGUAUAAAUGAUAUUGAUUGUCCACAAACUGGGAACUUGUUUUAUGUUUUUAUUUGCAAAAAUCGCAUAUGUGAAUUGAUUAACAAAUACCCUCAAAAUCUAUGAGUACUAGUUCCAAGAGAGUAAAAAAACUUCUUACAAAGGAGAUAUGUAACCAUAUGAUAGAAUAUUCUAUGAGAUAUCAUUUGUUAUUGUACUAGCAUCUACUAAUUUUAUAUUUCUUAUCCUAUUAACAUGAACUUUGUAUUUUUGAUUUUGUACUCUAAGAUAAUGGUAAGACAAAAAGGAGAAUUAUAUAGAUUGUCUUCUCCUCUCUUAAUUUUGGAGGUAUUAUCAUGACAUCCGGUUCAAUCAUAUUACAUCUUAUUUUUUAGUCCACCACCUAUAAGAAUAAUUGUAAUAGUUAUAUUGAAAGAUAACUCUAUCUUACUUCAAAACCUAUACUUUUGUUUUAAUGUUAUAAUGUUAUUACACUUGUCACUUUCAAACACUUAUUUAUAUUUGUUUUACUUUUUUAUGAGAUCUAAUAGUCUUGGAUACCUUUUUUAUUUUAGAAGAUGUGGAAAACUAGAAUGUCACUGCAAAACAAUAAUUAGCUACUAAAAUAACAGUAAAGAAGUUAAUUAAUUGUAUAUUUUGUUGUGUCAACAACAGUUUUUUAAAUUGUUGUAUAACUAUAUGAACUAAGCUUAAUAGUGCAUGUGUUAUAUAUUGACGUAAAUUUAAAAUAUUUUUGUCAUAAUAUUGUUGUUGUUGAUUUUUAUAUUAAUGAAUACCUAUCAAUAAUUACCAAUAAACAUAUUUAAUGUGUGUUCUUUUUUUUACCAAAUUUAUGUGGGUUCUUGACAAGUUGAAAUCUAAGGAGGGUGUAUUGAAUUAGAAUUUAAAAGACAAUUUUUGUAUGAAAAAGUCUUGUGGAUUUUAAAAGACUAUACAUAAUUUUAGUGAUUUUUAAGACUUUAAAAGACUAUUAAAAUUUGUAAUUUGGAUUUCAAAGAAUUUAUACGAUAAGAUUUCAUGGGAUUUGAAAUGACUUUAUAGGUUUAUAAGAUUUCAAUGUGCUUUUAAAGAAUCAUUAAAGAAAAAUGAUAAUAACACUCUUUAUGAUGAUAAUUUCAAUACACACCUUUUCAUUUUUUUUUUUUUUUUAAGGAAACACUUUUUCAUUUGUUAAAAUUCAAAUUAUUCCAUUAAAAAAUAUAUUGUUUUUGGUGUAUUAUUUUGUGUAAAUUAUUGUUCUUGCAUAUCCAUGUUUGUCUUUUAGAAUUUUGAUUCACGUCUGUGAAGUGGGGUUCAAAUGAAGAAAUUAUUGAUACCCCAGAUUUAUGGAUUAAGAUUUAUAUAUAAAAAAAAAUAACAAUGUUUUAUAAAAAAUCUAAGGUCCGAACUCAGUUCUUGUUACUCCUCUCUUGGAUGGAUCCAACUAUCUCGCAUGGAGUCAUUCAAUGAUUCGUGCUUUUGGCGUGAAAAACAAAUUGAAAUUUAUUGAUGGUUCGAUGGAGAUUCCUGAUGAAAAUGAUCUGAAUCGUAGUGCGUGGGAACGAUACAAUCAUCUAAUUCAGUCCUGGAUCAUCAAUUCAGUUUCAUCUCAAAUUGCUCAAACACUGGUUUUUCAUGAAUCCGCCAUUGAUGCUUGGUUAGAUCUCAAAAAGUGUUUUUCUAAAGUUGAUAGAAUACGCAUUGCUACACUUCGAUCCACAAUCAACAACUUGAAACAAGGUUCAAAAUAUGUUUUAGAUUACUUUAUUGAGAUGCAUACUCUAUGGGAGGAGUUGAAUUCUCAUAGACCUAUGCCUCACUGCGCUUGUCCCCACCCUUGCCGUUGCGCCUCCGUGAGAGAAGCUCGCAAUUUUAGACUUGAGAAUCAGGUCAUUCAAUUUCUUACUAGAUUGAAUGAUCAAUUCACAGUUAUUAAAACUCAAGUUUUCAUGAUGGAUCCUCUUCCAUCAAUCAACAAAGUUUAUUCCUUAGUGAUUCAGGAAAAAAGCAAUAAUCACUAUGUAGAUUCUUCCGUUGAUGAUCAUGUUUCUUUGGUGAAUGCUUCUGAUUCACGCAAUAAGCCUCAAGAGAGAGGAACAAGAUAUUCUACUGGACCUAAACCUCCAAGACAUUGUAGUUUUUGUGGAAGAAAUAAUCACACAGUUGAUUAUUGUUAUGCUAAGCAUGGCCACCCUAAUUUUCAGAAGCAAGCUCCCUCUAUCAAUACUUCAAGCAGUAAUGAAACAUAUGAAGCUACACCAGGAAGUUGCAAUGAUGCAUCUUUACCUAGUUCUAGUAUUUCACAAGAGAAGUAUGACCAGCUUGUUAUCUUGCUUCAACAAGUGAAUCUGCUUCCUUCAUCAUCAACACCUCCUGCUAGUGCCAAUCACAUCAAUUCACCUUCUAUGUGAGGUAUAUCAUCCAUUUUCUCUUGUUCCAUUUCAUCUAAAUCUGAUAUUUGGAUUUUAGACUCAUGAGCUAAUGAGCACACUGUUUCCUCCACACAUUGGUUAACUUCUUAUCAUAAAUCAACCCUAAACCUGUGAAUUUACCUAAUGGUACUUCUGUUCUUGUUCAAUAUAUGUCGACACCAUUCAAUUUUCACCUUGGAAAUGUCCUAUAUUCUCCAUUAUUCAACUUGAACUUGAUUUCUAUUUCCAAGCUUUUUCAGUCUUUACAUUGUCAUGUCAUUUUUCAUGAUAAUAAAUAUUUCUUAAAGGAUCUUCACUCCUAGAAGAAGAUUGGUUUGGGUGAUCAGAUUGAAGGUCUUUAUAGAUUAGCUUUAGAUUCCUUUAAUCUUCCUCUAUGCAAUAAUUUUUCUGUCAAUCAUAUUUCCACCAAUACAAAUUUAACCAUCCCUUCUUCUACAUUAUUGCAUUUCAGGUUAGGACAUGUAUCUCAUAUGAGAUUAUCUCAUAUGUCUCAACUAUAUCCUAGUCUUACUUUUGAUCAUAAUACUACUUGUGACAUAUUAACAAAUAACUAAAUAUGGUCUUUCAAUAAAAUAAAAAAUAACCUAAUAGUCAAUAGAUCUCGCAUGGAAAAGAGACAGGGGCCUAUCUAACACCCAUCCCUUAGAAGUCAAAACUAGCAAUGUCCAUGAUAUGCUUUAAUGACGUGAACAAGUUAAACAUAGGAGUAAUUUUGUUGUUUUUCUUUACAUACCUUAAAACUUCUAAAAUGUUGAUAAAUAUAGUUAAACAAGAGUGCUAUUUGGUACGAUAGAUUCAACGACGAAACGCAGCAAAUGGAUACGUGCAAAGAUUGGAACAAGUAUUACUCCACAUUUGGGGCAAAACAUGUUGUUUAGUGCGGUGAUUAAGCUUGUUAACACCUUUCGUUAGUUCUCGUUGAUGCAUUGCUCGUAACAAUGAGCAUUACACAUAGUUAAAUUAUCUAUUAAUGAGAUCAUGUUCUUGAUAGAAAAAGUUAAAUUUUCGUUCUUACAAAAUAUGAACUAACUCGUGAAGACAACAUGUUAUUGAUUUUUGUUUUAAUCGAUUUUUUAUUUUUUAUUUUUAAAUAAAGGAGUCGAUUUUUAUAUUAAAAAUCAAAUUGAGUUGUGUUUUAGGUCAAAUCUUAUCCAACAAGAUUUUUUUUUUGGUAUAAUUAUUUCUUCAUAAAAUUAAAGUAGAUUAUUAUUAUAUUAAAAAAUGUGUAAAAUUAAUAAAUAAAAAAAAUUGUCUAUCCUUUUGUUUAUCUUUCUCCCCAUCACACACAUACAUAUCUUAAGAAACAAACAAAAAAAGUGAAAAUCUCAUACAAUGACACAUUAGUCGUUAAUCAACACUCUUCUCACACUUCUCAUUUUCUUCACAUUGCUUCUAGCGACGGUAACUAACCGUGGCUAAAACAAAAUGGCAACAAUUAGCGACGAAGAACGCGACGGUAACGGAAUUAAUCAAACACCGUUACGAAUCCCUGAAUUGCUCUAUGUUUCUGUGAAGAUGGAGAAUCCAAUCCGCGCUCUCGCUGGAAAUCUUUUUCCUCAUGUUUUUUGUUCUUCUGCAUUGCUUGGGGAUUGUUUGGAUUCUUCGAAAGCUGUAAUUUUGAUUCGUACCCUUUUUACUGUUUUAUUUGUAGUUUAAUGGGCGAUUCUGUUUUUUUUCUUAUUGUUGUUGUUUUUGGUUUAGAUUUUGAUGGAACGUGAAUCUGCGUCAAUGUGGGAGUUGAGCUUUGUUGUUCCACAAAAUCACGGUAAUAAUGUUUUUAAGUUAAUAUUUGGAUAAACAACUUAAUUAAUUGCUUAUAGCAUAAGUUGUUAUUAUAUGAGUAUCAAAGCCCGUUUGCAUUGACUUGAGCUUAUCCACCGGCAUUAGCACUUGUGAGACAAUUUAGGAGAACUUAUGACAUGUUCUUAAGCUGUUUUCAGCUUAUGAAAAAAAAUAUAGAUUAUACCAAAACAAUUUAACUUUAUUUUAUCUUUUGUUAUAAUUUAUUAAAGUAGCUUGUACAUGAUGAUAAACACUUAUACUAUAAUUUGCAAAUUAAGUUGUUUAUCCAAACAGGGACUUUAUGUAUUCUAUAACAAAAUAUAAAAUAAAUUCAAUCUGUUUUCAUAUAAGCUAUUCUAGAGAACUUGUGGAGAUAAGUUGAAGAGAGUUCACGGACAUGUCUUAACCGGUUUCCAUGAACUCUCCCAACGAGUCUGACAAGUGCUUAUGUUAGUAGAUAAGCACAAAUAACCAAAUCCAAUCAGGCCCUAUGAAACGAGAGAAACUCUUCUCAUAAAUUCUUUAAGUAAGCACUAAGUGGUCAUUUGGUUUUAAAUGUGUAAGGUCAUGUCACUAGUAUCCAUAUAGUCCCUGAAUGUGUUGAAAUUACGAAAAUAUCUCUGAAUGUGUCUUCUGUGAGUAAUUUCAUUGACCAAACUGACCAACGAAAGACAUGUUAGAGCCCCAAAUGACAAACAACAUCUACAUUUAUGGAUGUUUUUGCAAUAUUGAUAUAUUCAACGACUGUAGCGAUUGUGUCUAUCCUUCCGAGCAUGUGAAAAUAAGAUGACAUUAUUUUUGUACUCUUUCAACCUUUUUCUUAUGUUGUAAAAUAAAUUCAAAUAAGCUCUUCCAAGCAUUAUUUCGCCGGUGCAUAAACAGAAAAUAAUUGACUUUUCUAAUAACGCAGAUAAUAACUGUAUUGGCAUCAUCAUAAGAAGAAGCUUUAAUGUCAGGACUUCAUUUUGUAACCUGACGUGUUGACUUUGUUUGAGAAUUUCAGAAGCUUUGGAUUUCAAAUUCCUCCUAAAGCCAAAAGACGACAAUUCACCUUGUUUUCUUGAGGAGGGUCCGAAUCGUGUACUUGUAGCGGGAGCAUUGCAAGAUGGUGCUAGGCUUGCUUCAUUUAAGCUUGAUAAUGAUCAUGCUGUUGAGUAUAAAGUAUUUGUUCAAGCAAGCAAAGUUUCUUCCUUUGAUCUGGCAGCUAGUUGGAGGGCUUAUAAGGAGAAUUUUCAUCCUUCGGCUGUACGCGGGAUACCUGACGUCAGCAUAAAUUCAGAAGUUCAGACAGAAAGCGAGGUAAGACUCCAACUGCCAGUUUGCUUCAUCUUGUUUACUUUUUCCCCUUGGUUCAAGGUUCACCACAUUGUUUUUCUUCUGGUAGCUGUAGAACAAAGACUUACUCUGGCUGCAAGUCUUUAGAUGAUUGUGCUAAAAAGCCUCAUGUGAAUGUGCAGGAUGUCUUAUACUUUGUUUUUGCUGUAAAAUAAGUGUACUGUUAAACGUGGUUUAGUUAAGUAUUAGAUAUGCUAAUUUGUCUCAUACUAUGUUAUUUUGUGGUUAUAAUGGUAAAUAGUUGCAUUAUAUAGUUAGUAGACAGCUGCAUCGAAUUGAAAGAUGUUUCGUUUUCAUUCUUUAAAAUAAAAUAACAUGAAUCAGCCUAACAGGUGACUUGCAUUUCAUAUCCUGUUUUUUUUUUUCCUUUACUUUUUCAUGUUUUCUACAGUUUUAAUUAUGUGUUGUAAUCAAUAUUCUUAUAUUAGUGCAGUCAUCACUGUGAUAGUCCAAUUACUUUUUUGUUGAUGCGCAACUCUAAUUAUUUUCCCAUGAAAUUGUAUCGGCGCACUAGUCAUGCCUCAGGACUCUUCUUUAUUAACCGCCAAUUUUAAUUUUAAUCUCUUCGUGGAACUGUAGUUUGUCAUUAAAUGUUUUUCUAAUCUGAUAGUGCAAAAUGGUUAUUAUUAAGGUUCAAGUGAUUAAUCUAGCACAUAAAAAGUUUAUAGUUGAAUUACAUGUCUUUCUCAUACAUUGCCAUUUCAUCCACCACAACUUGUAGUCCAAUCAUGCAUCUUAACUGGUGGCCUUGAUAUGUUCUACUUUUCUUUUUCUUUCUAAUUCCAACUUAUGAAGUUAUGAUAAAUAUGUUUUUUUGUGAACCAUUUCUAUGGACCUCAUGGCUCACACUUUAUUUUUCUAUUUUUUUUUUUAGAAUGUCUCUUCUGCGAGUUUGGAACUUGAUCUUGAGCAUUAUGUUGUCCCAGCUCCCUCAAGUUCUCCAAAUUCAUCUGCUGUAUAUGCAGCUGACAUGACAGAGAAUCCCAGAUCACGGAAUAGUGGGUAUGGCAGCAAUUCAUAUUCCGCCGGAGAUGACAGUGGUUAUGUUGAUCAACCUGAAACUGUAAAUAUUUAACUUUCAAAUUCAUAUUUAAAAUUUAUGAUUGACUUUUAGAUUUUAUAUUGGGCCUAACAGACUCAUCCUUACAUGACCAGUUUGUAUAAUGCGGGUCACCCAUGCUUUAUACACACUACACAUGCCAUAUCUCUGAGCAAUGUGGGACUAAAUCCACCCUUUUAAGCCCAACACAUUGAAGGUGUUGAAGGUUGCAAUUGCAACUAAGGCAACUCAAAUGCCGCAUGUUGGAAAUUCUGCCUUUAUUGCGAUCCACCCCUAGUCGCCCAAUUGCGACAUUUGAGUUUCCUCAUGUUGCCUUGCCUUGUAUUGGCUUUGAGGGGGUGGAUUUAGUCCCACAUCGGUUAGAUAGAACUCUUGAUAAGAGUUUAUAAAGAGGAGGCACUCCCUUACAAGCCUGUUUUGUAAGGAUGAGUUAGGCCCCAAAUUUCUACAUGGUAUUUGUAAGGAUGAGUUAGGCCCCAAAUUUCUACACCGCAAUUAGCCGGCAAGGGGCGGACCGCAAUUAAGGCGGAAUUUCCAACAUUGACGUUAAAUUUUAAAAGAGAAUAUUUUGUCAAACAACUGUAAGAUCGACGAUGUUGUACGGAACAGGGUGUUGGGUGGUAAAACACCAACACGAGAAUAAAAUAAGCAUAGUGGAGACAAGGAUGUUGCGUGGGAUGUGUGGUAAGAUCAAAUGAGAUAUGAUUAGAAAUGACAAUAUUAGAGAGUUAGAGUAACAUGUAUAAUAGAAAAGAUGGUGGAAAAUAGGUUUAAGUGGUUUGGGCAUAUUCGGAGAAGACUUGUAGAUUCUGUAGUAAGGAGAGUAGAUAAUGGAGGAUAGUCAGGUCACGAGAGACAUAGGAAGACCUAGAAAAACUAUAAGAGAAAUUGUUAAGAAAGAUCUAGAGAUGAAUGAGUUGGAUCGAAAUAUGGUUUAUAAUAGAACAUUAUGACGUGAUAUGAUCCAUGUAGCCGACUCCACUUAGUGGGAUAACGUCUGGUUGUUUAACUUUCUCAGAGAUUUUUAAUAAAUACUCAUGCACAGUCAUGUAAACCGUAAAGUACUGACCCUUAUUUUAAUAUUAAAACUAAUCUCCGAAUUCUAAUUAAAAAGGAAAGUAAAUGAUGAAUAUCUAUCUUAGAAUUUGUGGUUGGGCCUUACACAACCCAACAAAACCGGCUUAUAAACACUUGCUCAGGCAAUAUCACUUCCAAUGUGGGACUCUUAACACACACCCCUCACGCCUAGAACUAGACAUCUGGAGCGUGACCCGAGUGGUCCGAUAGCGGAAACUUGAUAGCGGUGGUCCAACAGAUCUUGGAUAGGCUAUGAUACCAACUUAAAUGUUUUUAAAAUGAAUGGCUUGUACAUAUCUUGCAAUGAGAUAUUCAAAUUCUAACUUAUAUACAAGAAAGAAUCUCUCAAGAAAAAGAAAACAAUGAAAUUAAAUCAAUCAUAGUAAAUAGAGAAUAAUCAACAUUCUAAAAUACUGUAAAGUGGAAUAAUGAUAUAGUGAAAUAUUUUUUAGAUUUUUCAACACUCACUGUCAAGCUAAAACUUACCAAGAUUUUAGUUAGUUACAACUUUACAAGUAUGUGUAGCAAAUAGUUGUGUAUUUGAUGUUUUUAAAAUGCAAAAUACCAGUACUUGAGGUUAAGAGGAAAAAAAGAAAGUAAGCUAGUAGGUUAUAUUAAUUAUUGAUUGUGCAAUGUAUCAUAUCUAAUUGGCUAUGUUGAUGUUCCAACUAGGAGAUGGAGGUCAAUACCCUGGUCCCAUCUAGGGUGUAUGAAUGUCGCAAACUUGUUAAAUCUCUGUCAGUGGGAACAAUGUCAACACUGCGAAAGGAAGAUGGUCAGAGGGGACCUUUUGUUGAUAGGGGUGUUGGAUUUCCAAGAAUUGUAAAAUCUUCUAGUUUAAAGUCAUUUACUGUUGAUCUUAGUUUGGACACUGAUACCGAGGUUUGUAUAAUUGAUUUUCACUUUUGUUUUAUUAUUCAACUUUAAUUUUUGGUGGACUGAUUUAUAUUGCUUUUAACCGUUAAUUGUGGUUGUUUACAACAUUUGCUUCUGCCCCUCCUUUUUUCGGAUAGAAUUCAUUUCCAGCAGCAGCUGGAGCUGUUGCAGCUGGUGCCGUUGCUGAUCAGAUGCUGGGUCCCAAGGAGGAUAAACAUUUGGCGAUUGUCAUGGUAUUAUUCUUGCUUGUGAAAUAACUAGUUAUGAAGUUGUUUUAGCAACUUUUCUGAUAAUAUUUAUUUUUGGCUGUAAAUUGAGACUCAAAAAUAAAGGAACAUACCGUGAAAUGUUUGAAUUUGGAAGUACAUGGUGAAAAUGUCACAUUCCCUUUUGUAUUUAAUCUAAUUUAGUGAAUUAAAGUAUUUCGAAUUGAAUAAUUCAAACUACUUUUACUUAGGUGAGUCUGCCAGCUCGAGGUAAAACUUUCACUGCAGCUAAACUUACAAGAUAUCUUCGCUGGUUGGGUCAUAAUACAAAACACUUCAACGUUGGUAAGGUUGUUCACAUUCUUGACUUGAUUCUUCUUUGUAAUGAAGGUUAUGUCUGGAUAUCUAAUGGAGCGUAGUGGAAUGAAAUGAGAUUAAAUGAAGAGUGGAAUAGAACAUAAUGAAAUAGACUUACCAUUCCUUUCUUUGCAUAUUUUAAUCAUGCAAUGGAGAAACGGGCUUGUUUCAUUCUAUUCCACCCAAAAUGGAGGGGAAAAGUGGGAUAUUGGAUGGAAUGGAACCCAUUUCAUUCCAUCUUAUUUUAAAUAAUUCCAAACAACGGAACCUUCAAUGAUUUCAUUCCAUUUACUUCCAUUAAUCCCAAUCUAGCCCAAUAGUCUUGCACCUAGUGGAAGAUUGGAAAUAUAUCAAGUAUGAAGUUAACAUUCUCACAUUUUGAUGUCACAGUAUCGUCGCCUUAAGCACGGAGCUAGUCAGGUAAACUUAAUGGAAAUGAAUCAAUAGGAUAGUUUAUUUCUUAUUUAUUUAUUUAUUUAUUUAUUUAUUAUGUGCUUCUAUAUAUAGAUUCCAUUCCUAUCCGUCAGAUUUGCACCAUUUAUAAAUAUGUGACAUGGGGCUUUGAUUUGUUAACAUGUUUCAUCACCCAACACAAGAGUACUAACCUUCUGCAGCACCUAGAUUUGACAUAUUUUACAACCAAAUGGAAUAUGGUGUAGUUCUGUGACUAAAAUGGGUUCGUAGCACACACUCUUUUAACAAAAUUAAGCUGAAGGUUGGUAGAUUAAAAUUACGGAUUAAAGGAGAAUGAUAAGAAGAAAUAUGACGUUAGUGAAGUAUGAUUUGAUACAAAUUUGACGAUACUAGUUUGAUAGUGACUUGAUACCAAGGACUUAAAACUAAUCCUUAUUUGUAGUAUACGAGACUCCUAAUCCUAAAUAAAUAGGAAACUCAGAAAACAAUCAUGGUAAUAGUGAUAUAACAUGGAAUCUAAUUCUAGGAGAUAAUUUAAGACACUCUAAGAUUAUAAAUGGAACCAAGAAGAUAAAUAUAAUAUCAAAAACAUUAUGAGAUGUUUCAUGUAUGUUCUAAUAAUCUAUUAUACAACGAGUUUUUACAACAAUCAUGAUUCAUAGAAUCAUGGAUGAGCUGCUUGACCUACAAAUUUAAGCAAUCAAGUGUUGCGACCACAAGUUUUAACCUGAAAAAUUUAGAAUGAAUGAUUUGCAUUACACAACGGUGCAGAACAAAAUAUAUAUACUAGAGUAGAGAGUAUCACUUUAAAUAAGGAAAAGUAGAGUUGAGAACAAGGUUUUCUGGUGCUGAAUAACUUAAGAGAUUAGCUCUCAACCUUUUGUAUUUAUAAUAAGAAUAUAUACAAAGUAAAUCCCAUGAUCAUAGGGAGUAAAUCUGUCCUAAUUAUAUAAGAGAUAUUUACAAGGAAAUAAAGAUAAUAUAAAUAAGGAGAUAAUAUAUCAGUCAAUGAUACUAUUAUUACGCAUAUCUCAACACUCCCCUUCAAGCUGGAGCAUACAAAUCAUAUGCAUCAAGCUUGUCACAUAUGCAAGUGAUCCUUGGUCCUCGAAGAGACUUUGUGAAGAUAUCGGCUAGUUGAUCAUUACUAUUAGAACCAACAAAAGAAGUAGCAAUUUCACCAGACAUAAUUUUCUCACGAAUAAAAUGACAAUCGAUCUCAAUAUGCUUAGUUCGCUCAUGAAAGACUGGAUUAGAGGCAAUGUGUAGGGCUGCUUGAUUGUCACAAAUGAUACUCAUAGUGCCUAUUUUACUGAAGUGAAGCUCUUGGAGAAGAUGCUUGAGCCAUAUGAGCUCACAUGUAGUAAGUGCCAUAGCUCUAUAUUCUGCCUCUGCACUUGAUCUAGCAACGACAUUUUGCUUCUUACUUUUCCAUGAAAUCAAAUUGCCUCCAAUGAGAACAUAAUAUCCAGAUGUGGACCUUCUGUCAGACGGACUUCCAGCCCAAUCUGCUUCUGUAUACGCAACAAUAUCUGAAUGACCUCUGUCUGCAUAAACAAGAUCUUUUCCAGGGGCUCUCUUGAUAUAUCUUAGAAUUCUAACCACAACAAUCCAAUGAAUAUCACAAGGGGAAUUCAAGAAUUGACUAACAACACUGACUGCAUAUGAAAUAUCAGGUCUUGUCAUGGUCAAAUAAUUCAGCUUCCCAACUAACCUCCGGUACCUUCCUGGAUCUGAAAAGGUCUCCCCUUGUCAUGGGCGUGAGAGAGGUGUAUUGGGAAAAUCCAAGUCUCACAUCGGAUAGAUAAGACUCUUGAGAAAAGUAUAUAAAGAGGAGCAAUCCUCACCUUACAAGCCGGUUUUUUGAGGAUGAGUUAGGCCCUAAAAUUUUAACAAGUAGUAAAUUAAGGAUUACCACUCAAGAGAGUAUCACACUACAUCAAUUGAUCACUAUGGGGACUCACUGUAUUAAAUAUUUGUUUUAUUCUUGGAAUCAUGAUUUUAAAGUUGGCUGUCGUGCUUUGUUGGAAAGUUUUUAAUUUAUGUCAUUCUUUUAUGUAGUCUGCUGAUUUCUUUCGAGCUGACAAUCCUGAAGGCAUAGAGGCACGUAAUGAGGUAACUUCUGGCCAGUAAAUUAAUUCAAACAAGUAAUAUAUGAGAGUAAAGUUUAUUGAUUUCUGACAUAACUUGGUUAUAACUAAAAUUAUCAAGAUGUUGCUUCUAAAUUUUUUUCAAUUUUAUUAAAAGAAAUAAACUACUUAUCUUUAAAGGCCUUUAACAAAAUUCCUUUUUUUUUUGGUUUGCUUUAGUUGUCAAUUGUUCACUUGCGUUUAAAUCAAUUAAUGACUAAAGAUCUGAAUAUAUUGAAAACAAAUCAUUUCGGGAGCUGAUUCUAAAGUGUUGCAUUAAAGAAAAUCAACACCAAUUGAUGUUAUAAUACAAAAUGAGUUUACUUAUAUCAUUUAUUGAAUGGCAACACCAUUUACGACCCAUUUUUGUAGAAUAAAAAUCAGAAAAUAAACGCAUAUUGACAAAUACCAGAAUUUACGACUACUUGCUCUUAUUCAAAUGCUCUAUUUCUAACAUUGGUUUAUCUUGAAUGAUCUUGUUGGUGUUGACAUCCAGCAAUUGUAGAAGACCCAAUCAAAAUAUUCAUUUUGAUUACCUUUUUAAGACUGAUAUAAUGUUACUUUUAGUUUUUGGUAUUCAUUUUGUUAUGAAUGAUUCUGAUAACGUUAACACCAUGUUGACCUUUCUCUGUGUACAUGAUUUUAAUAUCAUCCAAAUCCUGUACACCCAGGUAGCAAAAUUGGCAUUUGAAGAUAUGAUAACUUGGAUGCAAGAAGGUGGUCAGGUAAAUUCAUUCUUGCUGGGAACCUUUUUUCUUUUUUGUUUUCCUUUAAGUUCUCUGCAUAAAUUUUUAAGUUCAAUUUAGGUUGGGAUAUUUGAUGCCACAAACAGUAGCAAGCAGCGAAGAAACAUGCUGAUGAAAUUGGCUGAAGGAAGAUGCAAGGUAUUUUAAUCACAGAUAGCUACUGUUAUUUAGGUAAUAUAAAAAUGGCGUAUGUAGUUUUAAGGUAUUUUUACACUCUUCUGAUGCACCUUUGUAUUUUUAUUGCAGAUUAUCUUUCUGGAGACAAUAUGCAAUGAUGUAGACAUGAUUGAAAGGAAUAUUCGUUUUAAAAUUCAGCAAAGUCCUGACUAUGCAGAAGUGUAUGUUUGCUUUAAAACCUGUGACAUCUUGUCUCAAUCACUUUGUAGAAACGUGCACAAUUAGCUUUUCUUUUGCAGGCCAGAUUUUGAGGCUGGGCUACGAGACUUCAAAACUCGUGUAGCCAAUUAUGAGAAGGCAAUUCUUUCAUAUAUACUUUUAAUAACUUUUCUCGGUGAGCUUUUGCUUUAAAUAAUGCUGAUUUCAUCAUAUUACUAGGUUUAUGAGACGGUAGAAGAGGGAUCUUACAUAAAAAUGAUUGACAUGGCCAGUGGACGUGGUGGGCAAAUACAAGUAAGUUUUACCUGCAAUUAUGUGAUUUGUGUGUGUUGUAAAUUGCCGUCUACUUGGCUCAUUGUUUUGUUAGCCAGUAACAAUAUCACAAGUUAUAUAUGCAUGUCUGUUGACCAUACUCUAGUUGUUUUUUAGAUGAGUAAAAGUUUAUUUUUGUAGAUACACUUGAAAGUUUGAUUAAUAUGAAUAUUAUUGAUUGAUUGGUAAGUUACAAAUUACAGGCUCUAAUAAUAUUAUAUAGACAAUUAAACAUGAGUCUUAAUAAAUGAUAGCCAAGAAAAAGGAAAUAAAGUUUAUCUUGAUAAUUAUACAUUGUUAUGGACCUUAUGGUGAUAUGUACAACACAAAAGGUUGCCUCCAAAAAUUAUACAAUGACCAAAAGUGGAUCUUCUACCAAUAGGAGAGCCUGCCUUAUCUGCAUUUGAAUAUCAUACAACUUAAGUUGGGCCCUUGUUUUCAUAGAUCAGACCUUUUCAUCGGGCUUCUUUAAUACACUUCAAGAUGUGAGUUACGCCGAGAUGUGAAUUAUAGCAUCCCAAUGUCCUUUACAAGGUAAGUUAAGAAAUCAACUUUCCAUAUUAACAACAAAGGAGAUCUUUGGAAGAGCAAAUUGGGAUAAUUUUGCUUGGUCACUAGUCUUCUGUAUCUCUUUGGGUUUGAUAGUCUUCACCAUGGAGGAAUACAUUCUUCAUAUCAACUUGGAGAGACUUGACACCAUUCUUUUGUAACAUUUCAAGACUUGGAUGACCUAGUUGAGCAUGUACUAGAUGAGGGUAAUCUUUGGUGGUGCAUAUUCGGGAGUGGUUAGGGAGAUGAUAGAGGCCAAGUAUUAGGGUGGUGGACAUCCGGGAAUGGUCAUUGGUUAAAAUAGGUGACAGCUGACAACGGAAAAUUGGCAAUAGCAGUCGCUAUGGGUGAUUCUAAGUGGCAGCGCUAAAAAAUAUGCAUUGUAGGUGUUGGCAGUUGCUAGGUAGGCAGCACAGGGUGGCUACGAUUUUGACGUAGAAGUAAAGUCUCCUAAAUCGAGACUGUUGAUAUCAACUUGAAAGGGUCUCUUAGUAAUCUGAAUAUUAUUGAUUAAUAAAUUACAAAUGACAUGCUCUAAAAUAUAUACUAUUGAACAUAUUUCCUAAUGAUAGUCGGAAAAUCUAUCUUAAUAAUUAAAGAACAUUAUAGUCAUGUAUGUUCAGAAGAAUAAAAGGAAAUAAUUAUUUAUUUUAUCCUAAAAUAGCCCCGCUUAUAACUAUUCUAAUAAUUAGUUUAGAUGUAAAACCCUGGUUUAGCCGUUUAGGUGGAAAUUCAAAUGACAUAGUUUCACUUGCUCUUCUAAUUUUAAAUAACUUAUGACAGCAUAAAUUUGAGUUUGCUUUGUGCCUACCUUAAUAAUUAUUUCAUUUUCAUGGUUCACUGGAAGCAUAGAAUUGAAAGCGUGUUUUAUAAUUUUGUUCUGCACACGCAAAAUUUAUGAUGAAACUUGUACAAAUAUUCUGAAAUUUUUGUGUCUCCAUGAUUUUCUCUAGCCAUAAGAAAUAAGGUCUAUAGUAUGACAUUGAUUUAUUAAUUAUUCACGAUUUAUCUCUUUUGGUUUAGGUGAACAAUAUCAGUGGCUACCUACCUGGCAGAAUUGUCUUUUUCUUGGUAAGCUUCUUCAAAGAUUGUAGUUAAUUACAUUCAAAGUCUUGCAUUAUUAAAACUCAGGCAGGAAAAUAAUUGAUUUAACAUUAUUAAAACUCAAGAAGUGAAAGGGAAAAUUAGAGAGAAUCACUGAUUCUAUUUCAGCUAAAUGAUUUCAUUCAUCUGAUUUUGAUUGAGAUACGUCACUGGUAUGUAUAGAGGUUAGAGUGGGCUUACUGACCCAGAUACAACUAUGAAAACCAAACUGUGAUUGAUUCAACCCACAGCUAUGAACGAAGCUGUCAAAUGACUAACCAAAGCCACCUGCUACCGACACUAGUCAUAAUCGAAUGUUAAUUACAAUAUAACAACAUAGUGGGCUACUAUUGAGAAAUUUCAUGAACCAACCUUAACCUUAAUCAAGAGUCCUUUGGGCUUAAAAUGUUAUAGGUUCAUCUUCCUUAUGCUAAAAUCAAACUAUUAGGUAAUGGUACAUGAAUCAAAGUCUUUACCAUUUGUGUUAGAGGCAUUGAAACCAUUUCAUAAACCAACUACCCAAAAUUUUUGAAACUAUUAGGUAAUGGCACAUGAAUCAUUUUAUAUCACUAAUUAGAAAAUUAGUGAAACUUUUCUGUCACUAUAACCUUUUCAAAUUGAGAUAUUCGCUAAUUUGGAAUAGGUUUUAGCUUAUUGCAGUUUCUCAAAUGAGAUGAAUAUCUAGCUCCUAACUUACCAAAAGGCCCUUAUAAGUUUAUAAGUUCUUAUGGACAAGCAAGAUGGGAAAGCUUCUUAAAAAGUUGAGGGUAGUUUCUUUCGUAACAAAUAGCAAUCCUCUUUUGCCUAACUUCCCAAGAUAGUGUUUUUUAGAAGUCUAUUAUACACACUCUCCAAAUGCUACUCCAUGUUAUUUGAAGUUUCUCAAGAGUAUCUGGUUAUUUUCUUCAUGUCUUGCAGAUGAAUACGCAUCUUACACCACGCCCAAUAUUACUCACUCGGCAUGGAGAAAGUCAGGAUAAUGUGAGAGGCAGAAUUGGAGGAGAUCCUGCAUUAAGGUAUAUUCUCAUAUUUUCUUGGUGUAUAAUUGCCGAGGACACAUGCCGACAAAGGUACUUGUAUGAAUGAAAACGAAAUUCCUGUUUUUUGCCUUAAAGAACUGGUAUCAAAAUAAAUUGUGGUACGGGUAUCGUAAGACUUCAUAUGUUACUGGCUUCUGAUUGUACUAGUUGUAUUUCAUUCGUACUUGACCUAGAAUAAUGGUUUAAGUAGGAGUUUUAGGUCCUUUUUUUAUAACAUUUAAUUAUUUGAAGCAUAUUAAUGGUGAUGAAAAACUGAACGAUAGUAUCACUGGUUGAUUAGGAACAAUAACGGAUACUAAAGGUAGUUGUGAUAAGUCACGAAUGAGAUGAUUAAAAAGAAGUGCUAUGAAGGCACUGUGACUAUAUGAAGUGGAAAAUCUGAAUCGUAUUUCUCUUAUUGUUAGAUAUUACUUUCUUUUCUUCCACCUUGCUCGUGAUUUCUCUUUUUACUACUUUACUUGGGUGUACCCUCGUAGCUGAGAAGCAAAAUAAGGCUAGCAGCUCAUUGUUGUAGCCUUAUUGGUUUAAAGGGCCGUGUUUUGUAAAGAGAAGUGGCAAAGUAGAAGUAGGGCUUAAUUGGUUUGAAGGGAUGUGUUUUUUAAAGUGAAGUGGCAAAGUAGUUAUGGUUUCUCUAUCUUUGACUUAUUUUUUAAUGUGAUACCUGAUUUCUUUAACAGUUGCUGUAAAUUUUAAGCUGACUAACUUAACCAAAUUGUUUCAACAGUGAGGCUGGAGAACUUUAUAAACAGAAGCUUGCCAAAUUUGUUGGAAAACGUCUCAAAUCAGAACGAGCUGCUUCUGUAAGCUUUUCCAAUAGUAUGGAUUAAAUUCUGGCAUUCAUUUUUUCUUCAAAUAAAUCAUAUGAUUACAAGAAAUUAAUGCUAGUAUGCCAUGUGCCUUCUAGCAAUACUCCUUUGUUUGCUAUAGCAACAUAUAUCAUUUAUCUUGAGUUGUAUUCUAGUAUCAAUGACAAUGAUGAAGAUUAUUUUUCACUUAAUCAUGCAGCAAACGGUUAUAGUGUUAGUGAUUGGCAAUGUAUUGUCAGUAACUUAUUCCUUAAUCGGAUUAAGUAUAGGGAAAGGAGGCGCAGACCUUCAAAGAUCUACAGCACUAGUUAGAAAAGAUUCCUUGGACAAGAAAUGAUACAUGAACUAGAAUUACAAAUUUUCAUUAUAAUAUUGCCUUUUCAUCAUUUUGCACAUCUGACACUACCAAAUACAAAGCAUUCUUUUCACAUAUAGGAUUUUGUAGAAGUUAUAUAAAACAAUGAUGAAUGGGUUAUUUCCAUGUCAGUUAAGCGCAUGCAUGAACGUACUGAAAUGAUGAAUAGUUUGUGAUAUUUGUCACCUCUGUCUAGAUAUGGACCAGUACACUACAGCGAACAAUUCUGACAGCAGGCCCCAUUGUUGGAUUUCCUAAGGUUAGUGUCAUCCUUAAGUCAGAAAAUAUGGAUUGACAUAAUUGCACAUUGAUUGUGUUCCUGCAUCGACUUUCUAUACAUUUUAGAUACAAUGGCGUGCACUUGAUGAGAUAGAUGCCGGGGUGUGUGAUGGAAUGACAUACCAAGAAAUCAAGAAGAACAUGCCAGAGGAGUAUGAGUAUGUCUCAAACUUGUAAUCUCACUUAUUUGAAAGCUGAAUGAACUAGUAUUAUUAGAUAAAAAAUCAAGUGUUUAAAAGUAGCAUAAUGCCAAUUAAAAUGUUUAAGUGUAUUUAGUUAUUUUAUUUAUAUUUUGGUUAUUUCCAUUGCAGAUCCCGCAAAAAGGACAAACUUAGGUAUCGUUAUCCUCGUGGGGAGUCUUAUUUGGACGUUAUUCAAAGGUUGAUACAUUGCAUCUUUAACACUAUUUAGAUCCUAGCUACUACUUGUUUGACAUAAAUAACUUAAGUUUUCAUGAUAUUUCAGGUUAGAGCCUGUAAUUAUUGAGCUUGAGCGGCAACGAGCACCUGUUGUUGUGGUAUCUCACCAGGUAUUGCAUAUAUGAUGUUAAAAAGUAAACUUGCAUUUAUGUAUCUUUCACUGGUUUUAAUUCUUGACAUUUUUGCCAAUACUUCUUCAUUGCAGGCAGUUUUGAGGGCAUUGUAUGCUUAUUUUACGGACAGGCCUUUGAAAGAAAUUCCACAUAUGGAGGUAAUAUAUGAGUUAAUAUUUAUCUGAAUGCAAUGUUCUUACUGUCAUAUAUGGAGUUGAUGCAAAAACCUGAUUGUGUUUUUGGCAAAUAUUUUAACUUUGAUAUGAAAAUGUUAGUAUAUUGGUUGUUAUGUUCGUAUUUUCUCCUUCACUGAGAGUUGAACCCUGAUUCUUUUACGCUUUCAACUCAUUUAACCUUUGGCAAUUAUUUAAGCACAUCUUUUGGUUAUUUUCAUUAAAAAAUAUUUAUGUGGUUCACCCACCAAAAUUUCAGAAACAUUUUAAUGGAUCAAGAAUUUGAACAAGAUAUCUAAUGUGAGGUUUGCUCAUUUGCAGGUGCCACUUCAUACUAUAAUAGAGAUAGAGUUGGGAGUUACAGGUGUCCAAGAGAAAAGAUACAAACUAAUGGACUGAUGUGAGUAUAGAAGAAGAGAAGAAAAGGGAUGUUAACAAAAGAUUUGAAGUAAACUUUUUUUUUUUUUUUUGUAAUGAGGAAAAAAUGAUGAAUUAUCAUGUAAAUUGUGAUCCUCUUAAAAGUUAUUUAUUCAUAUUGAUGAGCAUAUCUUAGUUCCUUAUUUGAAGAAUUUUAAAGUUCAAAACAAAAGUAGCACAAGUUUUUACUCAGCAAACUCAAAGUUCCCAUCCUUUUCAGUUCACUCCCUUUUUUGCAAAUCCAUUAAAUGCUGAUAGAAUUAGUUAAAAACAACUUAAAGAAGUAGGUAUGGACCAACAUGAACAAUUUUUGGUCCUCUCCUGAGAGACUACGAGUAGCAGGUUUGCAGGUCUCAGCAUUUGUAGGCCAACUCAGACCAAUGAAAAACAACCACAAAUAAUUUUCCAAUUUUUAUGUCUAUAUUACCAACAUUUCUCAUAGAAAACUUUCAAAUGGCGUUAAUUUAUAGAGGUCAUUAAUGAAUUUUAUGAAAAUUCACCUUAAUGAAUUAUAUAAACACCUAUUGGAAGGGACCAAGACAUUCUGCAUUUUGCCGCAUUCAUGUAGUCACGAUAUCCAUGAUUUGAUAUCGGACGUUUUUUAAGAUCAGUAUAUUUUCUCAAAAGAAUCUGACGAUCUCGAUUUAACGAUCACACAUAUUGUGGCCGCAUGAAGAUGGCCACUGCCAACAGCAUGCAAUCCAAUUUUCUAUUGGAUGAUGUUUUCCAAGAAGCUUUGAAGAAGUAGAUACCAUCAGCAUGCUGCAUGCCUACUCUAUAAAAAGUAAAAACUAGAAAAAGGAAAGAAAGAAAUAAAAAGUAGUGAUAGAUGCAUCACCGGAAACAUGUAUGAAAAUAUGGCAUUGGCAUGGAAUCUAUGCAAAGAUCUCUUACUGCAGUCAGCCGUGGACUGAGGGUGACUAUAGUACUACUACUACUAGGGUGGUCAAAAUAAAUGGAAAGACGAAAAAGUCCUUCAUUUAUAGUAUAGGUUUCCAUUCACAUGGGACCCCUGAAUUCUCACAUUCAUCCAUCUUGAUAUCUUUAAAACAUGAAUUAGGAGGGUCCCAUUUUCUGCCUCACUAGCUAAACAAAUACAACAGCCACUCUAACAUUGACAACUGAAAUAUUGUUGGCGUAGAACUGAAAUAUUGUUGGUAUAUGCAUAAGUUUGUUUAUUGAUCAACCAAUAGAAAUAAAUUUGUUCAUAAUAUAAUAGCUAUUUCAUUUAUGCACCAUAAAAAUAACUAUACAAGACUUAAUUAUAGAACCCUUCUUUACCAUCAUUCAAUCUUUAUACGCAGACGAUUUGUUAAUGAUUAUAUGAAAUUCACACACACAACUAUGAAAUCUCAUAUUCGUAUUUAAGUGAAAAUUUCAGUUUAGUAAUAUGAUAUGCAUAUGUAUUGCAAAUUUUUAAUUGUUUUUCUAAAUAUAUUCAACAAACUAAUGUUAGGAGUGGAGAAACUAGUAUUUGACUUACUCACUCUAACACUCUCUUAAACCUUCUCAAAAUUGUACAAUAUCUCAUUUAUUAGUCAUAAGUCAUAAGACCUUUUGCUACACCAAAAUAAACUAAUUAAAACUAAAUAUAAAUAAAUUCACACUCAAACCCUCCACAUGAAUCUAAUAAAACUCACCUACCUACCACCUUCCACUGCCAUUGCCUUCACGGGUGUUCAUUUCUCCCCCCUCCUUUUUCUCUUCAACCUCCCCUCAUCCCAUCCUCACAUUCAUCACUCCCUUGGAUACAAGGACUCUUCUCCUUUCACAAAACCAUACUACACUUCAUAAUUUCUCAAUUCCCUUCAAACAUAUCCACAUACACAACAACAAACCAUAACAAAACAAGAAUCUUCUACAUUGUACACACAAAUAUGGUAUUAUUAAGGUUCUCUUUGAACAUAUAAAAAAAUCUUCUUCACAAACCACUUCAAGUUCAAUCUUUUCCUAAAAAACCAUUCCAAAUCUAUUUCACCUAUUAGACCAAAUUUCACUUCUCAACUCACGCUGAAAGUACCGAGUGUAACUUAAGUCAGAGAUGCUAAACCAACCCAACUCAGAAAACUCAUCCACCAAUCCAUUGAAUCAACUAGCACAAAACAUGUCCUCCGACAACUACAUCAUGCUUGCAGCAAUCAUUUCUCUCCUCCUAGUAAUCAUCUUUGUCCUCCUUCUUCACCUCUACGCCAAAUGGUUCCUAGCUCAAUCCAAUCCUCGCAGUCCGGUGAACCUCUCCGACAUUCCAAUAUCUCCCAACUUCCACCACCAUUUCAACAUCCAAUCCCCACCAUUUAAAGGACUCAACUCAACAACACUUUCAACCAUUCCCACGUUUGUGUCUGAAGAAAAAACACAAGAACUAGAAUGUGUGAUUUGUUUGAGUUACAUUGAAGAAGGAGAGAUUGGAAGAAAGUUACCAAAAUGUGGACAUGCUUUUCAUGUUGAAUGUAUUGAUAUGUGGCUGAAUUCACAUUGUAACUGUCCCAUUUGUAGAGGUUUGAUUGUUGAGGAAGAUUCUCAUGGUGGUAAUGUUGUUGAGAUUGUGAUUGAUACUCCAAGUUAUAGUGAGAGUGGUUCUGUUUCUGUUUCAGAAACUAGUUCUUUAUCUUUGUUUGGAUUUUCUUUCAAGAGAAUUCUUAGCAAAGUUUUUCUUUCUUCACAUGUAAAUGAAUUAGAUAAUGGUUCACAAUGAUAUUAUUUAUUUUUUGUUCUAUUGUUUAUAACUAUAUAUUAUAUAUACAACCAUGAGAAGUUAAUCGCUAUGAUUAGACAAUUUUUGUUUGUUUCAGCUUGUUUAUGUAUAUCCUAUUAUUGUUAAAUUGUUUGGUUUCUUUUGGAUAUGUAAUUUUCAUUUUUAAUUUCUUAAUUGGUUUAAGACUUGAGAGAAUUAAAUUAAAUCAUACACACUCAAGAACUAAUAUAUCAACCUAAUCACUUCUACAACAAAGCGAUUGUGAACGAGACUACAUCAACCAUAUUUAACCGCGAUUUUUUUCUUUUCAAUAUUAGAGAUUGUGUGCGUGUUUGAAUUAAUUGUAAUUUUGACGAAAUCACGAUGAUGCUGUAAUUUUUUAGAAGAUUCAAAGUAAAACUUUUAUCAAAAUCGUAGUAAUAAAAUGGGAUUUUACUAAACUCACACUAUAAGUCUCUUUACUAAUUUUAAUGACAUUUCACAUGCAAGCAAUGUCAUGCAAAUAUCUUCUACAUCUAAUUAAUAAUAUAGAAUAUAAACAAAUUAUGUGAAUAAAUAAACAAGACAACAAAAACACUUGACUAAUAUUGUUAUGUUUCUAUGUGAAGGAAAGAAGUGUGGCAAGACCAAGAGAGUGUCUUCCUCAAAGUCAAACGGAAAGAAAAGACAAGAGGAAGUACUUAUUUGGCAACAAGUGUCUGCCAUCAUCUGUCAUGACUUAUGACACUUUUUUGCAGCAAUUCAUUGUUCUGAAAGUCUAGGCUUUCUUUUGUUUCUAUUGUGAUUAAAUAGUCAAGCAAGGAAGGACAAAAUGAUGGGCCAUGAGGAAAGAUAGAAAUGCUAGAAAACACAGUCUUAUUAUUGAAUGAAAUUGGUGUGAGUCUCAUUGGUUUAUCUAAGAUUUAUUUCUAAAGUACGAGACUCAGGUGAAUUUUAUACAAUAAAAGAGUGGUUGUCAGACAAAGUGUUAGAAAAAGAGUGUUUUAAGAUGGAUCAAAAUAUAGGAUAUAUAAUAUAUUAAUGGAUCGACUCAUUUCACAUUUCACACUAUAGUUUCGGGCGUUAACUAUUAGUUAAGUAUAUGAAAUUGUAAACCAUUAUUAAUUUAAUAGAUGGAUUACACUUAAAUUUACAAAAUUUCAAUCACAUAAUUAGAUGAAAAAAAAUUGUCCCCGAAAAUUUAGUUAUGUUGGUAAGGACAAUAAAUAUAUGCAAGAUCUGGGAUUCAAACCUCGCACACCAUUAAAAGAUGAGAGAAAAAAUUGGUUAAGAAAAUUAAAAGAGAGAGACAAAGGCAAUAAAGAUAGAUAAUUCUUUUCGAAUGAAACACGUAUUUUAACACAUAAAAGACAACACCACAAUAUGUCGAAGAAGUGUCAUGUCCGAUAUACAUGUUCCAUGCCCUGACACGAUGCGGAUUGAGAUCAUCUCCAAUAUGCAUCCCUCUUCGACAAAGAAAAUGAGUGUGGAAGGUGAGAGAAAAAGGGGAAAACGAUAAAAAGAUUAAGAAAUAAAAAUAUUAGAGAGAUAGAUAGAGAAAAAGGCUUAAUAACAGUUUUCGCCCCUUAAGAAAAAAAAUUACAAAACUGCCCCCUAAGUUUUGCAACUGUAGCAGUUUUGGCCCCCCAAGGAAAAAAAAAGGGUUAAAUAUGUUUUUGGUCCCUAUAAAUAUACCAACUUUUUCGUUUUAAUCCCCCUAAAAUUUUCCUUCAACUUUUAGUCCCUAAAAAAAUUUUCAUCUUCACUUUUGGUCACUCUUUUAAAGUAAACUCAUAUGUAGAAUUCAUAUUUUUGAAUAAAAAUUUGCAGAAAAAUUCUUAAUAUUAUAAGAAUCUUACCCCAAAAAGUUUAGAAUUUUUUAACAAAACAUAAAUUUAAUAUGAAUUUUUAUAUUUUUUAUGGUUAAAAAAUUCUAAUUUCUUUUUGUAAUUUUUUUUACAAUAUUCUACACAUUUGUGUACAAUUUCAUUGAAAUAUACUAAAAUUAACUUUAAAUUAGGGAUCAAAAGCAGUGACUGAAAAUUUUAUAGAGACUAAAAGUUGAAGGAAAAUUUUAGAGGGACUAAAACAAAAAGUUGGUAUAUUUAUAGGGAGCAAAAACAUAUUUAACCAAAAAAAAAAAAAAAUAACACUGGGCACCUCACUUAGGGUGCCACGUCAGCGUAGACAGAGUCAAAAUUGGCCUACAGGUGCAAAACUGCCACAGGUGCAAAACUUAGGGGGCGGUUUUGUAGUAAUUUUUUCUUAGGGGCUAAAAUCGCAACUUUGAGAAAAUUAGGUGGCUGAAACUGCUAUUAAGGCAAAGAAAAAUAUAGGAGAGAAAUAGGGAAAAUAAGGAAAAAUAUAGGAGAGAAAUGGAAUAGAUGAAGUACAUGAUUUUUAAUUUUAAAGAAUAAAUUCACAACUCUAUAAUUUUAUGAAUUAAAUUUGUGAUUCAAUUUAUUUUUAAAACAAAAGUUUAUGUCCUCUGGGAGUGGGACCUGGUCAAUGUUUUAUGAAGAAGCUCUUCUGCAUGAGCCCAGCUAUGUAAAUACGGUCAAUGAAACUGCUACAAGUGAGGCCAUUUAUAGUGACCUUUGCUUUGUAAUAUUUAUUAUUUAGUACACAACUUGGCCCUAUAUAGUCUAACUUAGCUAAAUAUCAUGCAUGCAGCUUUUGUUUUUUGACUCAUCUAAUGAUGCAGCUGAAACUAUAAAACAUUGAUGAUCUAGAACCAGAAUGCUACACUACAUAGCUUCACACAUGGAAAUAUUCUUGGCCGAAAAUACAGUUUUGUGCAUGGAACUAAUAUCCAAAAUAGUUGGAUAUUAAUAAGUGAGCACUAAAACAAAUAUUCUUGUUUGUGUUGUUGGAUAUCAUCUCACUUUUAUUUUUUUGUUGGAUAUUUGUAUUGACUGCAUUGUGUUGUUGGAAUCAAUGUUCCAACGUAUCUCUGUAAGAUGUUGGAUACGAUGUUCCAACAUCCUGGCACGGUUCAGUGUGCCUGAGUUCAUGCUUAUUUGUACGGGCGCCCUUUAUUGUUUAAGGAAACAAUAUUUCCUUAUCUUAUUGAUCAAGCAACGCGCAUAUCUUUACAGAAUCAGUUGUGGAAUAUUCCUAAAGUUGUGUUUAUAUUUUAGGAAAUAUUUGAAGUUGUUUUGUGACGAUCCUAAAGAUGUUCCGACAUUAUAGGACUUUCCAUAUUUGUUUCUAAUUCUUGUUUUGCAGAUCAGUUGGACGAUCUGUUUUGUUCUGAAGCCCAACAAGUUUAUUUGACUUGAGUUGCUUCAGUAUAUAAGGGAGACUUCAAGACCUAAUGAACUAUUCAAGCCGUAAUUCUAAAAAGUUUAGAUUUUUAGGGUUUUGAGUAUACAUGUGUUCUACUCUUGUAUCAUGUUGAUGCAAGUUUAGUACCUUUAUUGUGAGCCUUUCUUGUGUCGUUUGUGAUACAUGUUAAGGACUGUGUGUUAAGUUGUAUUCACUUGUGUACUACACCAAAGCUUGUAAGCAAGGUGUUAGUUGUAUGUUUGAAGGUAACUUCACCGUUAGUUUGUGUUUUAGGUCUGAUAGGUCACAUGGGUUGUGAUUGACCAUAGGAUAGUGAGAUGAGAUCUCAGAUCUAGGAGUUCCUAGAUUGAAAUCAAUAUGGGUAGGUCCUAGGUCUUUAGUGUAAACGAGGAGUUUGCUGAGAGCUAUAGAAUAAGGACUGCACUAGUGGAUUUCCUUCCUGGAUUGGUAGCCCCCAGAGUAGGUGUGUUUGUCACCGAACUGGGUCAACAAACUCACUGUGUUCUUUACUUUCUUGUCUUUUAUUUCUUGUUUUUUAUCUCUGUUUAUUUCGUAAUGUUGGAACAUUGAACGGAACAUUAACGUUGAAACAUCUUACAGAACAUAUUAAAACAAGUGCGUUAGAAUUUCAUUUUUGCAUACCCUUAGUGACAGUUAACUGUUACUCCCUCCCUAACAGUCUUUGCCGAGCAAUAAUUAACUCUUAUUGGGGGUAAUAAUUAAAGUGAGAUGAGUAAAAUUCUACUAUUUUUUGCCGUCGAUUCUUGGAGAUAUGAGCUCUUAUAAUCAAAGUAUAGCAAGGUAAAUAAAGCAAAAAAAAAAAAAAAAAACAACAAAAGCAUCAAUCGAUAACAAAGUAUAGGUUUUGUAAAAUCAUCUGCUAAAAAAAAAAAGGUUUUGUGAAAUCAUAAUGGGUAAGUGUGAUUCCAAUAAAAUUUAUUGUGAUACAAAACAUUAGAAUAAAAUUGAUUUCUGCCAUUCCUCUAAGAUUUUGAUGAUAAAGUAUUGAAAAACAAUUGGAUAUACUAAUAAAAUCUAUUCAACGGAGUAUAAUAAAUGUGCAUGACCAUUGAUGAAGGAUUUUUACCUCUCAUAAAACUAUUUACACGUAAGUAUAAUAGGAUCGUGUCCACAGGGAGUUGCGUAUUUCAUAAGCAUUUUCACAAUAUUUGUCACAUUAAGUGUUAGGGUAUAAAUUGUUUGUUUGUGUAAAACUAUUUUCCUAAUCGACAUAAAAGUAAAACGAGAAGAGAUAGGGCUAUUCCGCUUGCGGUCAGAGACAUCAACCAAGCGUAACAGCUGCAAUCUCUCGAUCGAUUAACGGAUUCUAGCUUUUUAAACUAUAUUAUCACAAUCACUCGACAAUAUCAUUCGUGUCCAAAUGAUAUCGUUAUUUCUAAGAGAUCGUUUAAAUAUCGAUUUCCCAAACAUUUAAACGAUCACAAAGUCGUUUGGGUAGUUUAAUCGACGAUUUCCCAACCGAUUAAAUUACCCAAAAACAUUAAGUUCUAGAUUAAAAGUGAUUAUCAAAUAUUAACAUCCAUGUCUAGAGUGAUAACUUAAGAUAGAUUAUUAUUCUAUUUCUAGAUUCAAAAGUAUGUGUCCAUAUCAUUUUGAAUCUCAAUAAAACAAUAAAAACAAGAAUAACAACAAUAUUGAAUAAAUAAGCUAGAACCAUAUAUUAAAAGAUCAAAAGAUUACAUAAUAGCUUGUUUGAAUACCUCAAAACUACAAGAGUAGAUGUAGCUACAUAUGUCUAUGAUAGCUUUGCAAAGGAUGAAGAAAGGGUGAAGAUUCCAUGACAAGAUCCAUGAUGUCUCAACAAAUAUUGGCUUGAAUCUACUCCUAACUACCUUGCUUUGUGUUUCUCUCUCUAGAAAAGCCCUAGUCUCUCUCUAAAACCAGAAAAAUAUGAAUAAAAAUGUAAUAGAAUAUUUUGGAAAGAGAAGAGAAAACUAUUUAUAUGGGCUGACUGCGUGCCAGUUCGCUUAAGCGAAUCAUAGUUCGCUUAAGCGAACAUCCAGGAAAUCUAAUGUUGACCAUUGAGGAGCUGCCACGUGGUCCUUAUCUUCUGAAGUUGGAUGAACUUCGCUUAAGCGACACGCAAGCGAACGUGUGAGCGAACUUUCUUGGAGCUCUCUGUAACUAGUUCGCUUAAGCGAACCGUAGGUCGCUUAAGCGAAAUGACCUUUUCUUCAUGAGCGAACUGGAAGCGUGCUAGUAAGCGAAGAAUCCUGGUGCUCUCUGGAACUUGUUCGCUUAAGCGAACCAUAGGUCGCUUAAGCGAACUGAGCUUUAUCAUGAGCGAACUGAAGGCGUGCUUGUAAGCGAAUAGAACGGUUGCUCUCUGUAACUGGUUCGCUUAAGCGAACAGGGGUUCGCUUAAGCGAACAGACCUUGGUUCAGGAGCUUCCUUCUUUUGGUCCUUGCUUGUCAUUUCCUGCAUAAAUUGGGUAGAAUCAGGCAUGUAAAGCAUAAAUGGUAAUAUUACACUCAAAUGGUAGCUUUUCCUUAGAUAACUUGCAAAACAAGUCACUAAUUUGCCUAAGUUAACACAUGAAAUAUGUUACUUUUGAGCACUUAUCAACCAUAUAAUAAAAUCUAUUGAUGAAUUGAACAUGUAUUAUAGCAUGAGAAGCACUAGAGAAGCUUAAAAGACUAUAGUAGAAGAUAUGAAGAAAGGUCAACCAGAAGUCAACAUCUAGGAUCAGAAGAAAGGAUGCUCAUCAGACUCUGAAGGAUGCUACUCAGACUCUGAAGGAUCAUCUGACUCAGAAGGCAACGUGAGACUUGGAAGACCCCCAGCUCAGAAGAUCUUGAGGGACCCAGACUCCACGUCAGUUUUGUCAUCAUAUGUAGUUAUCUCUAUCAAGGAUCUGAGUACAGUUUUGUUUUCUUCUGACAACAUGUAGAAAUGGACAAAGAACUUCAUGGACAAAGAGAAUGAACGGAUAAUUUGAGUUUAAGCUAAGCAAAGGAAUUUCAAAUGAAUAUUCAACGGAAUUAUCCAUAUCAGGAAAUGGUCCAACGUCCUUGAUUUGAAACUUCUCAACAACUCUUAAUGCGAUGACACUCUUCUCCAUCGUCUCUCAAAUCCCUGCCUAUAAAAUGAGCUGAAGACCUGAAGAAGAUCAACAAGACUCUGCUAUUUUUACCGUGUCAUUACUAUGUCAAAAUCAAAUAGAGAAAAAACACUUAGAAUUUCUUAUAUAAGUUUAUAUCUUAGAAAUUCUAAAGUCUUAAGAAUAUGUUCAAUAUUUUUCUGUUUAUACCUCUGAUUCUAUAUCAAGUGUAAGAACAAAUUUGUUUACUUGUAAACAAAUAGAAAUCUCUUGCUUGUGAAGUUUGAGCACUAGAAGUCUCUCUCUCUCUCUCUCUCUCUCUCUCUCUCUCUCUCUCCCUCUCCCUCUCCCUCUCUCGCUCUCCCUCUCCCUCUCUCUAUAUAUAUAUCAGAUUCUGACCAAUGUUUAAAACUUAAAAAAAGAAUCAAACACAAUUUAACCCCAUUCUUAUGUUUUUCUCACCUUCAAAACAUGCACUAACUCAAUAUACAAAGUUAUAUAUAUGGAGAUCAAUUUACUGAAAUAGUAAACCUUUUAAAGUUGCUCUAAAUAAAAAAUAUAUAUAUUUUUAUAGUUACAUCCCGGUUACAUACAUAAGAAGAAAAAAAAGCUCUUACAAUGAUUAUGAAAUACAGUAAAGUGUAGUCAAUUUUCUAGAUUUUGUAUAAAGCAUAUAAGUUAAAGUGACUACAAAUAAUACCUAAGAAUAUAAUUAAUGAUUUGAAAAAUCCUCUCAACGUCUUUGAGUCAUGUCUGAGCUCCGUCAAGAUCAUAUCUGCCCUUAAAGUUAGGCGGAUGGUUCCUCAGAAAAGUCUCUAACAUACGAACUCCAUCAUUACCUCCAACAUUAGGCUGUUGCCCUACAGCUUGAGCCACAACUUCCAACACAGCAGCAAUAGCAGCAUCCUUCCUUCCAGCCAUCUCGGUUCACUAUACAACAAACAUUAAUUAGGAAACACAACGACAGUAUUCAACUGUCACACGACACCAACGACUCAACUACUUGGUCGAACGGACCGACUUGCUCUGAUACCAAUUGUAACACCCUGUUUUUCCAAUAUAUAAAUAAUAUAAAAAAGAUCAGAGUUCAUCACAAACAGGAUGUCACAUUUCGUUCUUCAAAAUAAUAUUUAACACAAAUAGAGUUAAAAUCCACUCUUUAUUUAAAUCAUCUGCUAACAACAAUUUUCAACAACGUCGCAAAAUAUUUAUUCUUUCAACAAAAUGGCACUAAGGCCUCAACAUAAACAACGUCAAUAAACAACAAAGUCCCCAUCCUGUUAUGUAUCAUAGCGACUCCUAAGACGACACGGGGAAUAACUCACAUCAGCGGUUACUUCUGGUUAUCUGCACGUUACCCACGUAGAGGCAACAUUCAAACAGAGGGGUGAGAUUUCACAUUCAAUAAUAAUAAGCAUAUAAUUCUAUAAAAGAAUUUAACAACACAAAAUAGCAUCAAUUCAUCAUUAACGAUAUUAAUAAACAAUAAUUCAUGUGAGAGAAUUUAACAACAUAAAACAACAUCAAUUCAUCAUUAACAAUAAUUCAUGUGAGAGAGUUUAACAACUCGAAACAACGGCAAUUCAUCUUCAACAAUGCUUCACAUAAUUCCAAUCAACAAUUCAUCAAUUAUCUUCACUUCAACAAUGCAAUAAUAACAACAACAACAAUACAACAACAACAACAAUUCGACAAUGCAACAACAACAACUCAACAAAUGCUAAUAUGCAUGUGGUACCAUCAGAGCAUCAAGCUCCUUACAACAGAGCAUCAAGCUCCCUUUUAUUAUAUAACAGAGCAUCAAACUCCCAUCGAUUAAAUAACAGAGCUUCAAGCUCCAUUUGCUUAAAAUUAACAGAGCAUCAAGCCCUCUUCGCUUAAAAUGAUUAUGUAUUAGAAAGAACUCGAUUAGUACUUUUAAUGGCAUUUUAAGCAAAAAUUAGCAAGCGAUGUUUAGAUAAACUGAUCAGAUAAAGAAACCACAUAAGAUUGAACUCAACCUUCCUUCAAAACAAAAAAGAAAAAUAUUGAACCCAACCUCUCUCUCUCUCACUCUUCUUCGGAACACCGUGACCUUCAGAAAGUUUCGGUUUUCAUCUUUGUUAACCAGACGCAACCUCACAUCACGUUUAUCGACCGUUCUCUCUUCAACUUUCCAGAUUCGACAUAUCUCCAACAACACUACUUCAUGGAUCGACGAACCGCAUCGUAAGACCUGGAUCGCGGGACUCAUGGACACUCAAUCAACGAGUCCUGAGUUAUGAGAUCUCUUAUAUGCCUGUGACAUGGAAAGGUAUAGAAAAACCAAAAGCCGUAAUAGUCAUAACAUGUCAAGAAUCAAAUACAAAAUAAGGUCCGAGUACCAAAUUGAUCCAUGUCAAAUAGUGUACACGUACCUGAGAUUGAAAGACGUGAAGCUAAUGUAAUGAGAGAGAGUUUAUUAUCUUAUGUUUGUUUUGGAUCUGAUAUGAUUUGUUUAUUUCGGAUCUGAUUUGCUUUGUUUCUUUCUUCUGGAAAAGAAUAUGAUAUGCUUUGUUUAUUAUUAUGGGGUAAUAUUAAAUUCAACAACAGUAAAUCAUUGAUGGUAAGUUUGAUAAGUUAUUUUUAAUUAAUACAUGAUGAGGACAUUUAUUCAAUCAUUGAUUUUAUCAAAAAUAAAAUAAAAUAAAAUAAUAUCUACCAUUGAUUUGUUAAUUUAACCUAUUCAAAGUGAUUUCUGUACUUUAGAGUGUGAAAUGAAUAAGAGAAUUGUUGUUCACACAUUUGAUAAGGCUGAGAAACACGAGUAAAAUUCGUUUUUGCCCCCUUGGCAGUUAACUACCGAGCAAUUCAUCAUCAACAAUGCUUAACAUAAUUCCAAUCAACAAUUCAUCAAUUAUCUUCACUUCAACAAUGCAAUAAUAACAACAACAAAGCAUAUCAUAUAACCUCAUAUCAUCAACAUAUACAUUCAUAUAAUAAUUCAUCAAUCAUGAGCAACAUCAUAUAACCUCAUAUCAUCAACAUAUACACUCAUAUAAUAAUUCAUUAAUCAUGAACAAUAUCAUAUAUAUUCAUAUAAUAAUUCAUCAAUCAUGAACAACAUCAUAUACAUUCGUAUUUAUCAACAUAUACACUCAUAUAAUAAUUCAUUAAUCAUGAACAACAUCAUAUACAUUCAUAUAAUAAUUCAUCAAUUACGAACAACAUCAUAUAUAUUCAUAUAAUAAUUCAUCAAUUAUGAAAAACAUCAUAUACAUUCAUAUUCAUCAACAUAUACACUUAUAUAAUAAUUCUUUAAUCAUUAACAUCAUAUAACCUCUUAUUCAUCAACAUAUACACUCAUAUAAUAAUUCAUUAAUCAUGAACAACAUCAUAUACAUUCAUUCAAUCAUGAACAACAUCAUAUAUAUUUAUUAAAUAAUUCAUCAAUCAUGAACAACCUCAUAUAUACUCAUAUAAUAAUUCAUCGAUCAUUAACAACAUCAUAUUCAUCAACAUAUACAUUCAUAUAGAUAUUAAAUCAUCCAACAAAGAUAUUCACGUCACACCAAGUUAGAUCCAUCACAACAUAGGUUAAAUACUCUUAAACACCUUAAUUCAACUCAUAGUACACAAGUUUUGAAUUUUGGAGACAAUCCAUAAAUUUUGGGUUGACUUACAAAUAGUUAUGCGGAAUUUUUAUAAAAUUUCACUAAGAUUGAACUCAACCUUCCUUCAAAACAAAAAAGAAAAAGAUUGAACCCAACCUCUCUCUCUCUGUCACUCUUCUUCGGAACACCGUGACCUUCAGAAUGUUUCGGUUUUCAUCUUUGUUAACCAAACGCAACCUCACAUCACGUUUAUCGACCGUUCUCUCUUCAACUUUUCAGAUCCGACACAUCUCCAACAACGCUACUCCAUGCAUCGACGAGCCGCGGUGUAAGAUCUGGAUCGCGGGACUCAUGGGCACUGAAUCAACGAGUCCUGAGUUACGAGAUCUCUUCUAUGCCUGUGACAUGGAAGGGUAUAGAAAAACCAAAAGUCGUAAUAGCCAUAACAUGUCAAGAAUCAGAUACAAAAUAAGGUCCGAGUACCAAAUUGAUCCAUGUCAAAUAGUGUACACGUACCUGAGAUUGAAAGGCAUGAAGGUAAUGUAAUGAGAGAGUUUAUUAUAUUAUGUUUGUUUUGGAUCUGAUAUGAUUUGUUUAUUUCGGAUCUGAUUUGCUUUGUUUCUUUCUUUUGAAAAAGAAUAUGAUAUGCUUUGUUUAUUUUGGAUCUGAUUUGCUUUGUUUUUUUCUUUUUGGAAAAGAAUAUGAUAUGCUUUGUUUAUUAUUGUGGGUUAAUAUUAAAUUCAAUAACAGUAAAUCAUUAAUGGUGCGUUUGAUAAGUUAUUUUUAAUUAAUUCAUGGUGGGAACAUUUAUUCAAUCAUUGAUUUUAUCAAAAAUAAAAUAAUAUCUACCAUUGAUUUGUUAAUUUAACCUAUUCAAAGUGUGAAAUGAAUAAGAGAAUUGUUGUUCACACAUUUGAUAAGGCCGAGAAACACGAGUAAAAUACGUUUUUGCCCCCUUGGCAGUCAGUUAACUGCCGAGCAAUUCAUCAUCAACAAUGUUUCACGUAAUUCCAAUCAACAAUUCAUCAAUUAUCUUCACUUCAACAAUGCAAUAAUAACAACAACAACAACAAUGCAACAACAACAACAACAAUUCGACAAUGCAACAACAACAACUCAACAAAUGCUAAUAUGCAUGUGGUACCAUCAGAGCAUCAAGCGCCCUUCGAUUAAAUAACAGAGCAUCAAACUCCAUUUGCUUAAAAUUAACAGAGCAUCAAGCCCUCUUCGCUUAAAAUGAUUAUGUAUUGACACAACCAAUGCAACAACAACAACAACAACAACCACGACAACUUUGCAUUAUGACUUCAUAAUUCAUCAAUCAUAAACAACAUCAUAUACAUUCAUAUUCAUCAACAGAUACAUUCAUAUAAUAAUUCAUUAAUCAUGAACAACAUCAUAUAACAUCAUAUCAUCAAGAUAUACACUCAUAUAAUAAUUCAUUAAUCAUGAACAACAUUAUAUAUAUUCAUAUAAUAAUUCAUCAGUCAUGAACAACAUCAUAUAACGUCAUAUUCAUCAACAUAUACACUCAAAUAAUAAUUCAUUAAUCAUGAACAACAUCAUAUACAUUCAUAUAAUAAUUCAUCAAUUACGAACAACAUCAUAUAUAUUCAUAUAAUAAUUCAUCAAUCAUGAAAAACAUCAUAUACAUUCAUAUUCAUCAACAUAUACACUCAUAUAAUAAUUCAUCAAUCAUUAACAACAUCAUAUAACCUCAUAUUCAUCAACAUAUACACUCAUAUAAUAAUUCAUUAAUCAUGAACAACAUGAUAUAUAUUUAUUAAAUAAUUCAUCAAUCAUGAGCAACCUCAUAUAUAUUCAUAUAAUAAUCCAUCAAUCAUUAACAACAUCAUAUUCAUCAACAUAUACAUUCAUAUAGAUAUUAAAUCAUCCAACAAAGAUAUUCACGUCACACCAAGUUAGAUUCAUCACAACAUAGGUUAAAUACUCUUAAACACCUUAAUUCAACUCAUAGUACACAAGCUUUGAAUUUUAAAGACAAUCCAUAAGUUUUGGGUUGACUUAGAAAUAGUUAUGCGGAAUUUUCAUAAAAUUUCACUAAGAUUGAACUCAACCUUCCUUCAAAACAAAAAAGAAAAAGAUUGAACCCAACCUCUCUCUCUCACUCUUCUUUGGAACACCGUGACCUUCAAAAUGUUUCGGUUUUCAUCUUUGUUAACCAAACGCAACCUCACAUCACGUUUAUCGGCCGUUCUCUCUUCAACUUUCCAGAUCCGACACAUCUCCAACAACACUACUCCAUGCAUCGACGAGCCGCGGUGUAAGAUCUGGAUCGCGGGACUCAUGGGCACUGAAUCAACGAGUCCUGAGUUACGAGAUCUCUUCUACGCCUGUGACAUGGAAGGUUAUAGAAAAACCAAAAGCGGUAAUAGCCAUAACAUGUCAAGAAUUAGAUACAAAAUAAGGUCCGAGUACCAAAUUGAUCCAUGUCAAAUAGUGUACAUGUACCUGAGAUUGAAAGGCGUGAAGGUAAUGUAAUGAGAGAGAGUUUAUUAUAUUAUGUUUGUUUUGGAUCUGAUAUGAUUUGUUUAUUUCGGAUCUGAUUUGCUUUGUUUCUUUCUUUUGAAAAAGAAUAUGAUAUGCUUUGUUUAUUACAGAUCUGAUUUGCUUUGUUUCUUUCUUUUUGGAAAAGAAUAUGAUAUGCUUUGUUUAUUAUUAUGGGAUAAUAUUAAAUUCAACAACAGUAAAGCAUUAUUGCUGCGUUUGAUAAGUUAUUUUUAAUUAAUUCAUGGUGGGGACAUUUGUUCAAUCAUUGAUUUUAUCAAAAAUAAAAUAAAAUAAAAUAAUAUCUACCAUUGAUUUGUUAAUUUAACCUAUUCAAAGUGAUUUCUUUACUUUAGAGUGUAAAAUGCAUAAGAGAAUUGUUGUUCAGCAUUAGCACCAGCACCAGCAUUAGGCUGUUGCCCCACAACUUGAGCCACAACUUUCAAUGCAGCAGCAAUAGCAGCGUCGUUUCUUCCAGCCAUCUUUGUUCUAUACACAACAAACAUCAAUCAAAACAGCAUAAAGACAGUAAUACAACUGUUACUCGACACUACUCGACUCAACUACUUAGCCGGAUGGACCGACCUGCUCUGAUACCAAUUAUAACACCCCGUUUUUCCAACAUAAAAAUUUCAUUUAAAUAAUCAGAUUUUUCCACAUAAACGGAAUGCUACACUUCUUAAAUCAUAAACGAAAAUAAAUAACAAUUUAUUCUUCAAAAAUCCAACAACAUAUCUAAUACUUCGCAGCGGAUUAAAUUCAACAUCUAAAAUAGUCUUGACACAAAGGCCUCAUCAAACAUCUUAUAAAAUUCAAUUUAACAACUUAAUCAUGUAUAUUCAUAAGCAAUACGUAAGGAAUAGAAAAUAGCCACAAAGUUCUCAUCCCGUUAUGUAUCAGAGCACCUAAAGACACACGUGAGAGAUAGUCCACUCACGACAGCAACUUAUUCUCGAUCACCUGCAAGUUACUCAUACGAAGGGCAACAUUUCCAAGCAGAAGGGGUGAGAUUUCACAUUCAAUAUAAUAAGCAUAUAAUUCAUCAAAAGCAUUUAACAACUUAUAUUUCAUCAAUUAAUAACAUUACUCUUAUUAUAAUGCUUCAUUAAUAACUCAAUCAACUUCUAAUCAUUAUUAACUUCAUAUUCAUCGCAUUAUUAACAACUUAGACAUCUCAUACGACUCCAAUAAUUUGGAUCAACAUCUUACAACUUAACAACUUAUACAUCUUAAUGGUAUUAAUUCAUCGCAACAGCAAGACAUCAUCGUUUAAACAUAUGCAGCAAGUCACCAUCAUUAAUAAUCAUCAAUUAUAACAAUUACAACUUCAUAUCAACGUCUUUCACAAUAUAUAAUAUUUUCACAUUUAAUCAUAAAAGUAAAUUAUCAAUAUUAAUCAUCUUAUUCAUCCUCUCUGAACCUCAUUAUAAUCCUUAACAACUUCAUUCCUACCCCAUGGGUCGACUCAUAACAUCACGUGCGACAAAAGAUCGCAAGAAACCUAAACAAGAUUGUCUGCCACAAGGUUACUCGCGAGGCGAGGCUCUCUACUCGCUAUGGCGAGUUCAGAAAAAUGGUGCACUCGCUAUGGCGAACUCACUACUCGCCAUGGCGAACUGAAAAAGGGUGCUCUCGGGAGUUUUGACAUUUUUCACUCAAAAACCUCAUUCCUGACUUCUCUACGUCCAAUCUUGAUCUAAAAACUUGCCCAAUCAUUCCUAAACAGGUUAAGGCACUCAAAACCAUCUAAAACUUGACCUCUAACAUCAACUCACAAAAUCAUGUUUCCUUCACUGGUCAACUCGCUAUGGCGAGCAAAUUCUGGGCUUACUCGCGAGGCGAGAGGGUUUACUCGCUAGGCGAGCGAUGAACUUCGUCACUCGCGAGGCGACUACUCAUACUCUCCAGGGCGAGCGAUGAAUGUUAACUCACUCUUGGUUCUAACAUCAAAACUGAUUCUAAACAUUGUUCUAUGAAUAUUAUAAGGUCUGGACACUAUCUCUACAUCAAUCUAACCGAUUAUUCAUCUUAAUUAAUCAAUUCUCCAUCUUUUAACCUAAUUCUCAAACUCUCAAAAUCAUCUCCCUCUACUUGUUAAAUCCAUUUUCAGAAUCAUACAACUUAGAAUUAGAGAAAGUCAGUCCCACCCUUACCAUAAUAUUGAUGAUCGGCGGUCUCUCUCCCUCUUGGUUCUCCUCUUCUCUUGUUUUCUCCCUUUUUCUCCAAAAAGCAGUUUCACGUAAAAGCUUUGCUAAACUUAGUUUCCUCCUUAUAUCUCUCCUCCAUCCACUUUAUCUUAUUUCCUCUAUUUCCACAAAACUCUUCUAAAUUCCAAAACAGCGCCACAUCUCAAUAUUUAUUUUAUUUUCAAAUCUUAUUCUAGUAAAUAAUAAAAUAAGUCUUUAAAUAACACAUCACAUAAAUCAUCAAAGUGGAUUCUAAACUCUAUAAAAUAAUUAAAUAAUUAAAGAGGGCGUUACAUCAGAGACUCCAAUAUCAAAUGUAGUCAUCUCCACCACCGGCCUAUUGUAACAAGAUGCAACGAUGUGUCCCAUAUCCGGCAAUGUCAACCAUUUGUCGGGAGUUGCAAAGCUACUAGUAUUUUUGGGAGGAUGCAAUCCAUCCAAAAUGUACUUGUAACAGUCCGCGCUCAUAUAUACCUCGAUGUAUUUGUUCCUAUGCUCUUUCAACUCUUUAAUAAGUGCUCUCCGCACCAUAACAUGACUUUCUUCCGUCAAACCCACGCGUUUGGCAAUAGUCCUAAACCCACAAUGUUUGUCACCAAUAACAUCCACAAUUCCGUCAAUGUAUUGUCGUCCUCCAUUAAUCUUCCGGCAAGAAGGUGCCCUGCUACAUACCGCACCAUCUCAUGGUUGUGAACGCCAUUAAGAAUAGCCAAUUUCCAAGCAUUGUUUUCCCUCACGACAUAUCCACGCACCUUGAACAAACACCCACAUUUUCUUGAUCUCGUUGCCUCAUGCUUCACUUUUGUCUUCGGUAAUUUGUGCUCGCCGAACCAACUCCAACAUAGUAUUUCUACCUUCACAAGAUCUUCUAAUGAUAAUCGUAAAUCCAGCCCUAUUUGCUUGUCGACGGACCCAACCGAGCAAUUCGUUUUUAUCUUUCCAUGUGUCUCGGGUCGAAAAUAAAUGAGUCGUGUCCACUUCGUUGUCACGAAGUUUCCACACAUCGGAAUUGACGCUUGAAGCCUCAACUUUAAUGGAAGCUUCGACCUUAGCGGGAGCUUCAACCUUAAUGGAAUCGACAACUCUAGGUUUUUGAUCACCCGAAUCAUCACCCGCAUUCUCAACCUUAUCUAUAAAUAAACAACAUACAAUUACUAAACUAAUUAAUAAACUUUUAUCUAAUAUCAUAUAAUAACAUAAACAAAAAAAAAAAAAAAAGGGAAAAAAAUUGGGCAGUAGCUACUGCCAUUUGAAAAUUUUUAAAAUUUUCUAAGUUACCGCCGACAGUUAACAACCGCUCACACCCAGCGGUAGUUAACUGCCGCUAAAGGUCGUGACAAUACAAAAAAAAACCAGAAAAUUCAAUAAAAUGUAAUGGAUUUUAACGUUGUAAUACCUGUUCUUUGAUGCAUAUUAUGUGUAGAAACAUCCUAGCAAUCGAUCAACAAUGAUUUGGAAGCAAGAUUUUGACACAAAAAUUUUGAAAUGAGGAUUUUUUGGGUAUGGUAUUGGUGAUCUAAGGUGAUGAAUGAAUAGGAGAUGUAGGGGUUUUCUGGUUUUGGGGGGAAAACCAACGGCAAUUAACGACCGCUGGAACCAGGCACGUCAGUUUGAAUGGGUCAACCUUUACUCUAAAUGGCUGAGAUGCGGAGAGCGCAUGGUGAGAUAUCUGCCGGAGAGGGUGCUUCGUUAGUUUGGGUGGGUUCAGACCAUACCAAGACAUCCUGUUCAGAGUGCACCUGUUGAUGUUAACUUGGCGGAGAUCACAAACCGCUUUCAUCGUACACUUGAUUAUACGCUGACACCUCAGGAGUUGGGAGAGAUUGCAGUUCAUGGUGUGGAUGCAGAAGAAGGAUACAUCGAGUGGUUUUACCAGGUGUCUUAUCCACGCACGAUUCUUCCCGACAUGCCGGUACGUGUUCCGAGGCCACCGGAGCGUGAGAUCCUUGAUGCGUGAGCUACUAAGGAGGAUGAAGAUCUUGCGUACUUACAACUUAGCGGAAGGAUGAGCCGCAUCAGAGACCACAUCUAUGUUGUGAUGAGAAAUUGUCUGGUGCCGAAAGGGACUGAGGAAUGGCAGCAUUUGGGGGAUGCAUUGAGAGAGGUGCAUGAUGGGAAAGUUUACCGUCGUCGGGGAGCUACUUAGGGUGGCAGGGGUGGUGGCAGAGGUGGCGGUGGUACGGGUGUAGUUAUUAGGGGCUGAUAGUAUUGUAUUUUAUGUUUAUGUUUGAACAUUUUGAAUGCUUUUGAAUUAUGUAACACCUGGAUAAUUUUUAAUGUUAUGUAAUCUUGGAUAAUUUUUAAUUAUAAUUGAUUAAUGUUUUGUUCGAAAAUUAUGUUGUGUUGAUUAUUUUAAUGUUUAUAAGUUCGAUUUACUGUUAGAACAUGUUAGCGGUAUGAUAUGUCUGUUUGGAAGCAAGCAAAAUGCGCCAAAACAGAGGCUCAGCCAAAACAGAUGGCUUCUGCCUCUGUCCUGAUGCAGUCCAGAUUAUAUAAUCCUGACAGGUUUAGCACAUUCGGAUUAUGUAAAUCAUCGUUCACCCUCCCCCCCUUUGUUGACUUUCAAUGGGGUCAUUUACACGUUUCGGAUUAUAUAAUCCGGAAGCUAUCUAACUUUUUCGGAAUAUAUAAUCCGUAACAAUAUAUUCAUAAAUGGCAUCAUCAUCCAUCAGGGUGGAUGAAGUGCCAAAAUACACGAAUAAAUCCGGAAUGAGUUCGGAUUAUAUAAUUCAGACUAGGGGUAUUAUGGAAAAAAUAUAGGGCGCGCGAGGAAAGGCAUAGGGUGGGAAAAACAACACUCUAAAUCAUAAUGCUUCGAUCUGCACUAUAUAUACCACAAGUCUCACUCUGUUUUUAUUGUGUUUUCUUUUAAAGCUAUAUCUUUUGAUUUUGCAACCCAACCUAGACCACAUUGACUAGAAAGUGCAUUCAACGUAGAGACGUGUACGGUUUUUCCUUCAUGUUAUUUUUUUUUUUCUGCAACAUCUUUGUUCAACUCUUUAUUGAAUGGAAUAUUCGAUUUAUUUAACUAAAGCUUUAAAUAGUUUCCCCAAUAACAAGAUGAAUGGUUGGUUAUAUAAGGAAAUGGAAGAAAAUAAAAAUUAAACUUUAUAUGCAAGAUAAAGACCUAUGCCACUAGGAAUCAAAAUUAUAGGAUCCCAUAAUUAGUUCCACCAAUUUGUCUUUUAAAAAACAACACUUAGUGGAAUCUGUGUAUAUAUACUUUUACCAAAAGUUCAAGAAGCACAUUUUCUUAUGAAAAUAAAGAGAUUUUAACAAGACAAGAAAGUGAUACUUUAGAUUACGUUGGUUUAGUGGCAUUGUAGCACCCUCAUUGCUCCAUUCUCCACUAUGUUUUGCAUUAGCAUGCAUUUAGCUUUGUCAAUAUUAUUUUUAGGUAGCUUUACGCAUUUUUCUUUGGACAUUUUUAUUUUGGAUUCAAUUAAUAUAAAAAAUGUAAAGAUUUUUUAUAUUGUCAAUUAGCAUUUUUUUUCCUAACCUGCCGUAAUUAGAAUCUUUGAUUCUGAAAGAGGUAUUCUCAUAAUUUAGAUUCAUUUGAAUAUGUUAUGAGACUAAUAUUCAAGUUAAUGGACAUUUAUUUAUUUUUUAUUAGAAUUGAACUACCUUCUAUCUCUCAAAUGGACGUCACACAUGUUGUUUUCUUAAAAAAAAUUAUAUUAAAAAAAUUAUAUUAUCAACUCUCUCAAUACCCUCUUUAGUAAAUUGACUUUUAUGAACAUUAAAAGUCACACAUAUGAGAUAAUUUAUUAUGCUUGUAAUAUACUAGUGUCAAACUAAAAUCUUCAAGUCUUUAUUUUACGGUAAGUUUAAACUUCAACAAAGUAAAUAAUUACUUAUAUAUAGAACAUUCCUUAAUUUUAAGGAUAUGAGUGUUACCUUAAUAAACUCGCAAUAUAGUAGGAAAAAAACAUUUCAAGGAAGGAUACGUACAAAGUCCUGUUUAAGAUAACUGGAUAAGUAAAACUUGUUCAAUAUAAUUCAAUUUUAGAUAUAAGUCUUGACUAUACCGGUCUUUAGAUCAGAUAUCGAGUUUUCAAAAAAAAAUAAAAUAGAAUACAAGGAGAACACAAAUUUAAUCGAUCUAAUUCAUAAUUAGCGAUAUAAAAUUGACGAAGUUAAGUAUAUCAAAUUCUAGAUAAGUUUGAUAUAUAUUGGAAGAUGAUGAAUGAACAAACGCGGUCAGCCUUAGGUUAUUUAUUGAUAAAAAAUUAUCCAUCUUUAUCAUUUUUUCUCUUUUAAUCUAAAUAAAUUAUUUUUACAUUGAUUUAAAUUUUUCUUCUGUGAUUCCGUUUUUCAGUUGAUUAUUGUUUUGUUUGUUGUCAAUUGAUAAAGUGAGGCAUUACUUGUUUGAUAAGUUACAUAUAUCAAACUUUUUUUUUGUCAAAUAGUCUAAUGACUAUAGAAUUCACCUUUAACACGAAUUAGUGGGGUGUUGGAGUUUGAAAUCCGACCCUUGCAUAUUUCAAUGCAUUGUCCCUAUCAAUUUAGUUGUGCUCACGGAGAUAAAAUAUAUUAAAUUUUAUAAAUUUGAUGAUAUAAUUCACAUAUAAAAACUUCUAAUUAAUCCCUUCAAAAAAACUUCUAAUUAAUGUAAUAAAACAAUUCUAAUUACUUUCUUUUUGUUUAUUGUUUCAUUCAUAAUAUUAUUAUGUAUGUACAAUACGAUCGAUGCAUGCUAGAACCCUCACAUGACCUUUCAUUUUCUUUCCAUUUCGAUCAUUGUUUACACUUUCAAAUGGCAAUUUUAUGGAUGAUAACAAAACACAUUUGAGCACAAUUAAGGUACAAAAAAUGUUCAAGCCCAAAGGGCAAGAAUAGACAUAGAAGCAGAACCCAUAGUUAAUGCAACAAAAGAAGCCUUUUUCAAACGUGGAUCAGAAUUCAUAAGCUUGUUGUGAAAGAAAUCAGCUGCUAUGAGAUCAACAAGUGCCAUAUAAAUUAGAAUUCCUGAAGAAAUUGAACCUAGUAACCCUUCAAUUAUUAAGGCAUUAGGGUUACUAUCAUCAUAACCAGUCAAUGAGAAUAAUAUCAUCCCUAAAAUUAUCCCCAUUGGGGUUGUUACUGAAAACAUGAAGCACAUGUAUGCCACUGUUCCAUAGCUAAAUCCUGCCUGCAAUUAUUAAUGGUAAGAUAUGUAUUAGCAUAACACCAUGUAACAUAUUUAAGAUUUAAAAGGUUAUUUCUUUUUAUUAUUUCUAUUCUUUGUUGUCCAUUGUAUUUGAACCUAAUGAUAAGAUUUUGACAUUUGGAAAUUCAAAUCUCAUAUGUUAUAAUCUUAAGAUGGUCAAUAGUGACACUAAUUGAUAAUAAUUUCCCAAUCCUCAAUAUUACUAUUAUUUUCUUAUAUAUAUUUGACCAUCUAGACCAUUAGAAUGGGUUUGUGUGACUAGAAGAAGAAAAUUGUUUUAUCCACGUAAGAAGUUGUUUAAAAACACAUAAAAAUGACAAAAAAAACUUCAAUGGUAGUUAACUAAAACUCGUUUUUCUUGCUUGAAGCGAGCUGCAAUUAAAUACCGUUGCGGUUUUUAGUUAUUUUCAUAUGUUUUUUGGUCAAGUAAUAUAUUGGCUAGAAUUCACCUCAUAAGGUGAAUAAGUGGAGUAUCCGAAGUUCAAAUCCCAAUCACUACAUAUAACAAUACAUUAUCUUUGUCUACUGAGAUAUGCUCCCAGUGAUAAUUUCAUGUGUUUUUAAGCAACUUCUUACAUGAAAAAGAAAUUUUCCAAAAAUAUAAUUAUGGGUAAAGGUGUAAAAACAUUAUACUAUUUGACCAUUUAAACCACCAUCUUUCUAUUAUUAAAAUAUUUGUCACUGACUUUGGUCAACAUGUUAAUUUUUGACCAUUUAAACCAUCAUCUUUCUAUCAUUUUCCAAAUGACUUUAUGACUUUGGUCAACAUGCUAAUUUUUUUUGAGUGGUGAUACAUGUACACCCCCAUGUGGCAAUACACCUCUUACACCCACACAAAAUUUUGACAUGUGGCAAGGAAAAGAGAGAGGAGAUGAAAGAGAAAGUAUGGUUGUGAGAUAAAUUUACCAAAAUAUCCUUAAUGCAUGGGCUUACAAUAGGGUGUAUGAUUAAAGGAUGUUCAUGUAACAUUUUCCUUUUUUUUCUAACAAAACUAUGUGUUUGUCACUGAAAUACAAUACAAGUACAUAUAUUGUUGUUUUCCUGGACAGAGUGGACAACAUGUUGAGUUGUCAAGAAAAUGAAAGAGUACGAGUAGCUAAAAUCAAGUUCUGUCAUGAAGCAACAAUAAAAACAAAACAAUAGAUUUGGAGAUAAGAAUCUCCAAGUCCCCAACAAAUCAACAAUAAUGAAAAUCAAUAAAAUCAUCUUCAACAUCAUUACACGUUUAAACAAAAUCAUGUAGCCACUGGGCUAGGAAUUCAAAAAUUGAGGUUCGAACUCUGACUUCUGCAUGUAUGUUAGACUUAUAUAGUAACAAUAUCACUGUAAUUCUAGUAUCAAUCAUAACAUCCAAUUAACUUUUUAUCUUUCAUAAAUCCUCUCUCUAAUAAAUAUUUCUCAGCAAUGAUAAUAAUCAAAGUAGAGCAAGAGAAAGAAAGAAUUAAGAAACUAACCUGAGCAACACAACCACCAAGACCCAUCCCUUCAAAAAUCUGAUGAAAAGCCAAAGCAGCAACUAAAGGCCUUAUAGUACAAACAUUUUGAGACAUACCCAUAGUCACACCAAUUAUAACUGAAUGAAAUAUUAUCCCAAUCUCCAAUACUUGUGAAACCAAUCUUUGUUUCAAUUUAAUUAACUCUUCCCCUCUUUCACAAUCUCCUUCACCACCUUCCAACUCCAUCUCUUUCUCACCCACCGGCGCAUACUGUCCGUGCUCCACGUGGGAACUCGCUACGAGGUCCACGAAGAGCGCGAGAAUUGCGCCGAUGAGAGUUACUAGUCCUGAGAAGGGAAAAUCCUUCCAAGGAUGACGGGAUGCCACGUGGCAGUCAGCGAGUGCUGCGUAGGCGUCUGGGAGGACGUGGACUAGGGAAGUGGAGAGUAUCACGCCUGCCGCGAAACAUUUUAUUAAUACUAAUGCUCUAUCGUAUAACGGUUUUCCUUGGAAGACACGAGCUAAAAGUACUGGCGCCGUCAUACCGACGGCGCUGGUGAUGAAUAUGACAAAGAGGGAGAUUAUUUUUAGAUGUGAUGCCGCGGCGCCGUCGCGGCAUGAGGUUUCUCGAGCUAUGUCUUGUGAACAUGAUGUUGCCAUGUGAGAGAGAAGUGUUGGGAGAGAGUGAAUGUGUUUGAAGUUGAAGAUGACGAGGAAGGUUGUUUUGAAGAGGGAAAAGAAAGUGAGUGAUAAAUGAUGUGGACCAGUUUCUGUUUUUGUUGUAGAUUAUGCACCAUGUGGGGUAUCCUAUAGAUGUUGUUUUCCAUUGUUACGUGUUGGAAUCUUGAAUUAUUCUUACACUCAUUUGUCAUUUCUCUUUUCUUUCUUUUUUAGAUUUCUAAGAAAAUAAAUUUUGAAAACAAGUGAUAAUGAUAACAACACUUACUCUAACUUUUAUUUUGUUGUCAAAAAUAAAUCGACAAAUAUCAUUAAAACUCACAUAUAUAACUGUUCAAUAACGAGUUUAAAAUCGGAUGAACGAAGAUGUACGUCAUAAAUUUUGACAAAGACAACAAAGGUAGGGUUUGUCAAAAAAUAAAACAGAGGCUGGUCUUACAUACAAUCCUAUUUUUAUUGCUAGCUUAUUGAUGAAACAUGUUUUAAUGGAGCUACUUGUAUUUUAUUUAAUAAAAGAAUCGAUAUUACAAAAGAGAGUUAUAGUAUAUGUUACUUACAAAAUAUAUAUAAUUGAAUAAAGUAUUGAGAUUUUUUUUUUGGUUGAUGUUGAUAUUAGUAAGUUUACACAUGACCUGCCUAACACGUAUUAAGAUUUAUUACGAAAUUUGAAAACUUAGUCACGGUUGUAAUAUGGAAGAGAUAACAUAAAUUUUAGUUUUUUACAAAUUUUUUACGAGGACAAUAUAAUUUUUUUUUGACAAAGACAAAUAUAAAAAAUAAAAUCUAUUUUUAAACUUCAAUACAUUAAAUUUAAAGAUCAUGCAAACUUGUGUCUUAAGGACACAUGUUAAAGAACUAUAAAUAAUAAUUAUUGAUUUUAUCUAUGGUACAUUAAUAAAUAGGGAGCUUCUAUGAAGAAGUCGAGAAAUUGACUUUUUUAGUGAAGUCGUUUAAUUCAACCAAUCAGAUUUCAAGUCAUGACACGUCAGAUGUUGGGAUAAAUUUUAAUAUGGAUCACUUGCUUCAUAUGUUCCACCAUAGACAAGUUUAUUUCAAAAUUUUAACGGUUAGAUUUGUUUGGUCUCUAUGUUAUUGUGGUACACCCUCUACACAUGAUUUUUCUUAUUUUUCCAAUUCUCUUUCCUCUUUAUCACUCAUUCAUCUCUCUCAUAUUUCUUUCUCUUUCUUUAUUUAUCCAUAUUCCCUUUCUUCCAGAUUUUUAUCAAAUCACUAUGUCACUCUUCAACAUCUUCAUCAUACAUUCAUCGUCUUCAUCAUCUUCAUGUGAAAAAAAAUCGGAAAAAAAAGAAGAAAAAGAAAUUACAAAAUUAAAAAAAAAAACAUAAUAAGUAAUUACAAUUGCAUAGAAACAACAACAACGACGUAAAAAUGCAGAUGAAGCUAUAGAUCCAUCACAAUAAACCUACCAUAGAUUCCAAAACGUCAACAACAAUUUUUGGUAUUUUUUCUUGAAAUUAAAUUUAUUUAUUUCAAUUUGAUUGCUUAAAGUUACAAAACAUUGUUUGAAAUCGCAAAAAAAUGUUACUUUGUUCAUGAAUGUCUUAAAGUUAUGUUGUUUUGGUUUUGGAUCGCAUGGGUUUUAACCGGGUCAUUAUGACCCGUCUGGAGGUAGAAGAUGAAGUAUUAAAAAAAAUUAAAAAAAACAUCUUUCAACAUUAUGGGAAUCGAACUUGUGACCAACCAUUUAAAAAUGUUUGCCUUAACCAACCAACUAACCACUAUGUUUUGGAAAAUUAGGCGUUUUGAUUUUAUUUAAUGGGUUUUAAAUUAUAUUGAAUGAACAUAUAAUUAUCAUUAAUUUCAUGCUUUAGAAAUUUCAAUACUACUCCUUUUUAUAAGAUACAAAUGUAGAAAAAUUCACCGACCAAGAAAAUCAAUUUUUCUACUGUACUACCGGAAAUUAUAUAAAAAACAAUUAUAUUGAUAAUUUUUUUUUGUUGAUAAUAUUAUUAAACUUUUAAAGAUAUCAAAGAAAAAUCAUAAGCAAUAAUUUAAUGUUUUUACUAAUAAAAAUUCUUUUAUGUGUAAAUAAUAUAUAUUGUUUUUCUUAUUAUUUAUGUCAUAAUAUAUUGUUUUUCUUAUAAUUAAUAGGAAAUUGACCAUAAAGUCUAUCAAAACAGUGACACUAAGAGCACGACUGAAGACAAUUUUGAAAAAUUUAUGAUACAUAAAAAUUCAAAAUAAAAUCACUUCUCUAACCGUACCCACUAAAGUAAAGUCAUAGCCCUUAUGUUUUAAAAAUUGGACAUGUCAUUAACACAGCAAGGGUAUUGAACUAAAUUAAAUCAAUUGACUUAGUUGAAUAGUUGGUCUCUAUAAAAAAAUUGUAGGUUCUUGUUAAUCGAUGUCUUUAGGGUAAUAGUUAAAGAAUUUACAAAUAAAUUUUUUUCUUAAAAAUAUUUAAUAAAAAACAUUUAUUAAUGUUGAUAUUUUGAAAGAGUCAUGAGUUUUCAAAAUAAAUAAAUUUCUUUUGGAGAUAUUUUAAAAAUAAUAAUGAAAUAUUAAAGUUUUAUCUUCGAUGUAAGUUGAUCUGACAAACUAUCACAUUUGAAACCUAGUCAACAUGGAAGGACAUUGAUUUGACGAUCAAAACGAACCAAAUCGACUAACGAUAUCAAAUAUAAUCAAUCAGACCGUUGAGUAUGACCUUAUUAGAAUAAGAACGAAGUAGGAACUGGGAUUUUGAAAAUCAGAAUCUUCGGUGUAAGUCGGUCUUACAAACUAUCACAUUUGAAACCUAGUCAACAUGGAAGGACAUUGCUCCAACGAUCAAAACGGACCAAAUCGACUUAACGAUGUCAAAUAUAAUCAAUCAGACCGUUGAAUAUGACCUUAUUGAAAUAAGAACGAAGCACGAACUGAAAUUUUGGAAAUCAGAAUCUUUGAUGUAAAUCAAUAUGACCAACUAUCACAUUAGAAACCUAGUCAACUAGGAAGUACGCUUGUCCGAUGACUGAAAAGAGUCUAGGUCACAAACGAAAAACAAAUAUAAUCAAUCAGACAUUUGAAUAUGACCUUAAUAGAGUAAGAAGGAAGUAGGAAUUUGAAAUUUGCAGAUCGAAAUCUAAUUGGUAAGUCGAUCUGACAAACUAUCUCUUUAGAAACCUAGUCAAUCGAGAAGUACACUUGUCCAACGACUGAAAAGGGUCUAGGUCACAAACAGAAACAAAUAUAAUUAACCAGACCGUUUAAUUAGAUUAACUUUUUUCUAUAAAGAUAUAGGAGUACAAAUAAAUAUCAGAUCGACAAAAUAUUUUAUUUAAUCUUUUUAUUAACCAGACUGUUUAAUAAUUUUUAUUUUUAAAAUCAAUAUUUUAUUUCAAAUAAAUAUCUCAACAAACUAUUGAUCUUAUCCAUAGUAAUAUCUCAACCAGACCGUUUAUGUAAUACUUUCAAUCCUAUCCAUUAAAUAUUUCACUCCAUUUGUUUAAUAAUUUUUGGUUUAAUGAAUGAACGGUUACUUCAAUUUUAACAUUAUUUGUUUCAAUAAAUUUAGUUUUAUAUUUAUUUUUGAAUUUAGAAAUUUUCAAUAAGUAGUAGUAUAAAUAUAUAAUAUAUUUCACCCAAUUAAUAUAACAAGUACUUGAUAUAGUGGUUAGUUUUUCAAGGAUUUACUUUUAAGUACACGGUUCGAAACCUUGAGCCUUCAAUAUUUUCAAAUUUUGAGUAUUUUUUUUCUAUAAAAGUCAAAGAUGUUCCAAAGUAAUUGCGCAUUUAUUUUGGUAUUUACUAUUAUCAAUAGGCAUACCAAAUCUAAUAAAUGCUUAAUUAUGUCUAUAAUGAAAGAAAUCCACAUGUUAACUUUUUUAUCAUGAUUUUUUCUUAGCUUUCCUUAAAAAAAUUUGCUACCGUAUUAAUUGGAAAGGAAUUGGAAAACAUGUCAAUUGCAAAACAAAAAUAAAAAUAAAGAGAGCAGGGAUCGAGUCCGCGACCAAAAUGUUUUGAAAAUUUGCUAAACCACUACAAUGCAUACAAUCCAUUUGUUCCUUUUUUCGCUCGUUUCUAUUUGUAAUAAAAAGUCCGAUUAAAAAAAAAGUGGAAGUCGUCUUCAACCUCCAACCGGGUCGUCUGAACCCGAUUCAGACCAUUGGCAUCCGAAAUUGAACCCGAUGAUUUGUACUUAUUUUCAAGGUCGAAAAUGAUGAUUAUAAUUCGUUUUCAAUACUCUUCUAAUUCUCCUCUUCCUUCCUAUCUAUUUAAAUCACAAAAUCAGGUGUUUGGAAAAAAUGUUGUGUUGUUCAAACAACAUUUAAACCAUCGUCGGAUUACUGCUGUUAUCGUCGCGUUCAUCCUAUCUUUGCGGCCUAUGUUGCUGAAUAUUACGACAUAGAUCUGGAAACUUUAAUAACACAAAUCAUGACAUUUUAAUUUUUGGAGGUGAAUUUGAGUAGCUAUUUUGUUUUUUGUUCAAUAAAGAAGAUGAUGAAGGUAUGAACAUGGUGAUGAUGUUCAUAAUCUUCCUGGGUUUAUUUAUUUUUAAUAAUGAAAUAUUUUUUUAUAAAAAGGAUUAUCUUAAAAAGGUUUAUUUAAAUAUUUUUUGAAAUAGAAGGAAGAAAAAUUCAAAAAGGAGAAAAGAAAUAAAUAUAGUGUGAAAGGCAACACAAUAAUACUAGUGAAAUGCUUAAUCUGAUGAUUUAAAAAAUCUAAAGGCUAAAAUACAAUUAAAUUUGACUGAAGGUACACAAUACAUACCAUGCAUCCGCCAGUAUAACAUGGCAUAACUAACACACGUGGCGUGUUCUUAUUAGCUGUAGGGUUACUUCACCGAAAAAGUCAUUUUGACAACUUCACCGUAGAAUUUCCCUAAUAAAUAAGUACUCUAAGAACACAUGUUACCACUUUUCUAAAUUUAAUAAUAAAAAUAACAAAAAUAAUACUUAUAUAUUGUAAGUAAAAGCAUAACUUAAACAUAAAUAAAAAUAGAUGAUAAAUAUUUUAAAAGUUUGAACUUGAUGAAACUUUAAGUAGUCAAAUUUAUUCAUAAUUGACUAUAUACUAAAAUAUUCUAGCAUUUUUUUCAACGCGAACCACUAAAUUAUUUGCAAGAAAAAAUCAUCGACUUUGUACCAAAGUCUUCUUGCCUUGACAAUUUUUAUUACCAGAAAUAUCUCUCUUUCUCUCUAUAGUUCUUGUUAUAUCUCUUUCGAUCAACGAACUUGUUUGGAUAGAUAAAUGUAUUUUGAAGGUAGCUAAAUUUAUUAAAAAUGUAUAUAUACUUUUUUUUGUUAGGAAGUAUAUAUACUUUUGGGUAGUCAAAGAUACCUCGUGAUUAUUAAAGGCUACAACCUUGAUUGUAAUUGAGCAAAACAAUGGUCACUCAGAAAAGUGAAUGCUUUAUAUAAAUGAUGGUACGACAAAUAUUGCGGUUAUGUGGCCAUGAUGUUGUAGAGAUUAUGUCAUUAUCUAAGUGAUCAUAUGCGAAUAUAUUUUAUAUAGAUAGCAAGGCAGUGAAAGAGAGAAUUGUGUUACAUGUGAAGUGAUUUUUCCUAUCUUAGAACUCUAUUUGGAAUAAGUGUAUCUUUGUAUUCAACUUCUAGUUUGAAGGUGCUUAUGAGUUUAUGCUUUCUUCCGAUUUUGUGUUGUAUAUUAAACAUUUUAAUUUUAUGAUAUGGUUAUAAUGUAGAUUAGGGACCAACUUGUGAUUGGUUUGAGAUUUGAGUGGUAAGGAACUCGAGUACUUUAAACAAGUGGUCAGAAGUUUGAUUUACGACUCUUGUAUUUGAAGAAAAUCUAAUUGGAAGAGAAGAAUUUACCUUGUAUGUUCAAUAGGCUUUGCGGCGAGAUCAAUCAUGACUAAGCGGCAAUGAAUAUAUCAUAUCUAUAACAUGAAUAUAAAAAAAAAAAUAUAAAUCCGAGAUCAUAUAUUUGGGAAAAUAGUUAACUUUCAUUGAAUGACAAUAUAAAACUUGUAAUAAAAUAAUAACAAUUGCUCUUUUCAAAAUAAUAAUAAUAAUAAAAAUAAAAAUAAUAACAAAACCAUAAAAAAAUUCUAAAAUGUGUGAAAUCAGGAUUUGAGCAGGAAAAUUUUAAAUUUUUUACAAAAUUAAAUUUAACAUAUUGUUUUGGUGAAUUUAAAUAAAAAGAAUAGUAAAAAGGUGGCACUUUGAUUUUUUAAAUAAAUAGAACAGUGAAAAAAACUUUACUGUAACAAAUAUAUUAAAGUCAAUCAAAACUUUAAAGGAUUUUUUUCUCAAACAAAAAAUUAAAGGAAUCAAACAUAUAACCAAUAAAAAGAAAGAUAGUAAUAGAGUAAAAAGUGUAAAAAAAAAGCCUAUUUUUCCAUAUAUAGACCUUGUUGGAAAGUUAAAAGAACAAAAAAAGCCUAGGAGAAUUAAUGGUUUAGACUAACGAAUGGGUUAUGGUCGGGUCUAAACAUGACCCCUAAUUCUGGGUUCUAGAAAUAUGGCCUCUAAUAGUAAGUAUUUUAAAUCAAUAAAUACCAAGAAAUAAUAGAUUGUUUAUUAUUUAUUGGUAUUGGUAUUUAUCAAUAAAUACCAAUAUAAAUAAUAGUAAGUAUACUGUUUUUUGAGUACACAAUUAAAAAUCAAUAAAUAAUAGAUUAUUGGAAUACCUCAUACUAUUAAAAAGAAUAAGUGAGUUUAACUCUUAGAAAAAGUGCUAAAAUCUAAGGUUAUGGGACCUUGAUUAAUGACUUGUGUAAAAUAUGACGUACAAGAGAUGCCUUUCGGCUGCUACGAAAAAUGGAAUGGCAAGUGGUUCCUAACAUCGUAAUCUAUAACAUGAUCAUUGAUAGUUCAUUUAAAGACGGACUUCUAAUUCAGGCACGACGUUUAAAUUCCAAGAUUGUUGUCUCUUUGAUGAAAUGCAUGUAAAAAUCAGCUUUCUAAUAUUGUAACUUAUAGUUCUCUUAUCAAUGGUUUGUGCAAAUCUGGGAGGAUCUCUUGUGCAUAGGAACUUUUUGGUACAAUCAGUGAUGACGGUCCAACACAAUGUUAUCACUUACAAUAGAUAAAUGCUUUCUGCAAAAUCCUAAAUAUUGACAUGGGAAUUUCCUUAUUUGUACUAAUGUUUGAAAGGGGAUUGACUCGUACAGUUUUGACUUGUAACAUCUUGAUUAAAUAGGUAUUGCAAGAGUUAAGAGGAUUGAUGAAGCCAUUAACCUCUUAAGUGAAAUGUAUAGCAAAAAUUGGGUUCCUGAUUCUGUAACUUAUAAUUCUCUUAUUGAUGGCUUGUCUAAAUCUAGGAUUAUAAGUUACAAUAUGUGUUCCUGUUGUGAAUCCCAAUUAAAACUCACACAAAUGAAAUAAACAAUGAUGUGUGGAGCAAGAGAUAGUGGUAAUCUAUGAGAACAAAUGGUUUUCAAGCAACAACAACAAAACAGCCCUAGACUAGUGUAUAGCAAAAUCACAUAUAUAGAUAACAAAGCAUAAACAAGAUAAGUAAGAAAGGAAGAACAAAACACCAAGAAGAUUGUUGACUCAGUUCAGCCAAUGUGGCCUAAUCUGGGGGAGAGAGCAGCUCUCCAAUCCAAUAUGAGAAAGUGUUACAAAGGGUUACAAGAAACUCUAGCCUUCAAGCUUUACACAUGAACAAACCAUAGAUUCUACCCUUUGGUGUUUCCCCACUCUCACAAUAUGAACCCUAAAGAGAAGUCACUAGAGGAAGCUUUAGAUCCUUCCAACUAAUGAACUCCUCCACUACCCAAGGUGAUUACAAUGUUUUUCCCAACCCAAGAGACACUCUCAACAAAGACACUCAACCCAUUGGUUCCCUCCUUUGUUAUCCAAGUUCUCUUAGACACGAUUUGCAUCUGACCCAAGAUUGACCAGUCCUUAUCAGAGAUACUUAACGAGCAAGUUUCUGAAUCGUGUCACGAUUUCCCAAAAUCGUGUCACGAUUUGGCGUCCUGCAAACUGGCUCACGGCACCUCGAAAUCGUGUCACGAUGCCAAAAUCGUGUCACGAUUUCUCUGUUCUUCCAGACCACAAAUUUGAAGCCAAUAUCAACAGUUCCUGAUGUGCUGCUUAUCAAUUGAUUCUAGGUUUUCUUAUGUAGUGAGUGAGUGAAUGGAGUUGACUCAUACUCUACAAUGACGUGAGUUUAAUUUUCAUUGUCGAUGUUAGGAUUUUGUUGAUGAAUAAUAUGUAAGUAAGAAAUUGACUCAUACUUUAUAAUGGUGUGAGUUUAACUUUCAUUGUGAAUGUUAAUAUUUUCUUGAUAAGUUGAUAGUAUGCAAGUACAUUUUGAAGGAAAAAAAUUACUAAUAUUAGUGUAACAUCUAAAUUUCAGUAAUUUUUUUUACGAAAGGCAUCAUUGAAUUUAAUUUGCUAAAUGAUAAUGAAAGAUCCAGGCAAAUAAAUUAUAAUGAUGGAUAAUGGCCCUAUUUAUCCCCUAACAAUUUUUUUUUUCUUUCAAAAAAGCCAAAUAUUUUAUUAAAAUAUGAGUCUAACACACACCUAAGAACUUAUUGCUUUUCUGAUAAAUUGCUUAGCCUCCUUUGCUGAUAAACCUUGGGUGAAUGAAUAGGAGGGUGAAUAUUUUUUGGAAGUUACUUUUUCCAUCUUUUGAGUUUCUCGUUUGCCCUAUUCGGAUUUUAAAAUCCAAAAUAUUUUAACGUAUUUUGGAGAAUUUUAUAAAGUGUUUAUGCUCAGAACUACAUAGAAAACGAAAAACUGAAUAAGAUGAGAAAAGAAGGUCUCAUAGUUUUUAGACAUUUCACUGAUAAACUAUAGAUGAAUACAAACCACUUAACCACAUCGUGCAAUUAAGUAAAAAUAAUAAACCCUAUAAUGUGCCUUAAGAAUGGUUAAGGAGUACAAUUUAAUAAUACAUUUUUCAGAGAUUAAUUUCCUUUUGGUGUAUAAUAUAGUUUUGAAUUGAUGCAGGAAGAUAACCCAAUUUUACAGAGAUUAAGAAAAUCUAUAUAUGGAGUUAAACUCACAAUGAAAGUUAAUCUUUGAAGAAAAUGUAAAAUUAAACUCCAUAAAAUUGGUCACUGAAUCUAUAUAUGGAGUUUUGACCAAUUUUGGAGAAGGAUUACAAAAUUCAAUCCAAGCAGUUAGUUUUUACAAAAAUGGAUUCAAAAACAUCAAAUAAUAUAUGGAGUUUACAUUAGAUCACUACUUAAAAAUGAUUAGUAUUGUUACUUUGUUCAAAUGAUUUCUACUAAUAUGGAGUUUUUACAUUAUUAGUGAAAUACAUUCUGAACAAUACAAUAUGGAGUUUUUACAUUAUUUGAUGUUUUUGAAUCCAUUUUUGUAAAUAUGGAGUAGUGAUUAAAAUGAUCACUACUCCAUAUUAGCAGUUAGUUUUUUUGAACCAUAAAUAUUAGUAUUGUUCAGAGUGUAUUUCAUAUGGAAAUCAAACCCUCCACCUCCUCAUCUCUUCAGUCCUUUAACUACCCACCCCACAUUGCCAACCUUAUUGAACAAUUAACUAGUAAAUAAUUUUUUGAUAAAACAAAUGAACAGUUUAGUAUUUAACACUUCUAACAUGCAAAGAGUACCGGAAAAAAUAUCCGAAUGAAUUCAUAAGCAAUUCCCCAACUCACAAUUAGAAACUUAAAUCCUUAUUCUAUCACUUAACACGUAUCAACGAGCAACACGCAAAAAAAUAGUGUUACCCUAAGCUAGCCCAUACAAUAUUACAUUACAUAAAAGGUUACAAUCUACAAAACUAAUGCAGCAACCCUUUUCAAUGAUUCAGAUGCCUUGUGAACAUCGGACUCUGAAUGCCCUGCAGAAACAAACAAUCUUAUUCCUACAGGCAAACGGCACUUGUCUAAUGUUGAUCUUCGAGAAGUCGCCACAAAUACAGAAUCUUCUUUCAAAACCUGUGAAUACAGAACAAUAAAUACCAGCAAAACCGAAAGUAAGAAAUAAACAUUGUCACAACAAUUCUUACACGUUCGGCAAUAUUUUCAAGCAGGCGUAGGUCAUCAUUCAAAGAACCCGUUGACUUCUUUAUUCUCAAAUAAACAAUUGGUGACUCUGGAUGACUCACAAUCGUGAAGCCUGGUAUUUCCAACAACCCUGCAGUAGCCAAUGCAUCUCAUAUAAAAGUUCUCAACAAAACAAUAAAAUGAAAUAAUAGACACUACAAUACAAUUCCAUUUAUGAAAGUAGCAGCGGUGAUAUCAAAGCCUACCUUUCCAUAACACAGCAAUGUUGUUCUUCAACUUUGUUAAUAUAUUGGGAUUUUCGUCAAGGACAUCAAUAGCUGUAAUUGCAGCGCUUGCAAGAUAUGGAGGCAAAGAAGCAGAAAAGACGUAGCCAGAGCUGCUCAAUCGCUGUAAGAGUUGAAAACACAGACAUUAGCGGAGGGAAAAUGAACGAGAAAUAAUAGCAUGAUCAACCAAUCACUUCGCCUUGAAAAUAAAUUCUUAAUUUCAGUACACUUGGAAAUCUAAGUUGGUUUAUGAAUCAGUAUUACAAAUGACACUACCAUACCUGGUGAUCUAUAACUCUUGCACUUCCGGUGCAGAAUCCUCCUUCUGUGGCCAAUGCAUGUCCCAUAGCAGCAGUUAUAAGAUCUAACUUCUCAACCUGCAGCACACGACCACAAUCACCAACAGCAGUAGAAAUUUGAAUGCAUUAACGGUGAAUCUGGUGGGACUGUAUGCACCCACACCCAAACGGAGAUUUUCGGUACAUACUGGAACUCCGUAGUGUUCAGUGAGACCUCUUCCAGAACUUCCAAGCACACCAAAUGAGUUGCUCUCAUCCAGUAAAAUACGAAACCGAUAUUUUUCCUUCAAUUUAAUGAUAUCAUCUAAGGGUGCUAUUUGACCAGAAUUCUGAAAUUUUUAAAAGUAAACAUAUGUUAACAAAUAAUGAUCAAGCAAUUUUAGUUUUCACUUAAAUGCUAGUAUGAAAACUAGUGAAAGAAUAUCUACUAUAAGUCAGAAUAGUUGACAAAACCAGAGCAAAUAGCAAUAGUGUUUUAAAGAACGACAUUGCAAUAGGCACCAGUCUAACAGCAACACCAUAUGCUCACAAUUUGUGUUUUUAAUACUUCGUUUAUAUCUUCAAUUUGCAUCUGUUUAUUAAUUACCAUACUAUCUCACUAGAAAUAGUAGUUCAUAUAACAACUUGCCAAUACUUCAAAUUGCAAGAAACGGGUAAUUCAUUCAACUGAAGGCUGUGAGCACUCCACUCGAAACACGAUAUAGAAGUGCAAAGCUAAUAAAAAUACGCUUCAACAAAAAUAAAAAUAUAACGCUAAUAUAGAAGUGCAAAGCUAAUAAAAAUAUAGAAGUGCACGGCUAAUAUACACAACAUCUACCUGGUAGAGAGCUUCGACAACAAUAUAACGCCUCAAAUUCUUGGUGUGCUUAUACUUAGAAGUAAGCUUCUCUAAAGUUUCUUCUAAAGAAUCCAUGUCAUUGUGCUUAAAAUACACGACAGUGCUUCUAGAAAGAUAAAGGCCAUUCUGUAUUCCCCAGUGGACUCCUUCAUCCCUGUUAAAAAAUACAAAAUUAUAUAUGAAACUAGAGCCUACUUGAAAUAUCACAGUUAUAUAAAGUGGAUGAAAAAAGAAUUAAGUUCAUUCUUCACACCAUUGUAAUAAAAAAAGUAAAGAUGGUAAUAAAACCAUCCAAAUAGUUCUAUAUAUGUGGUGUAUGGUUAUCAAUGCCCAAUAUAAAUGUCAUCAGACAAAAAAAUUGAACAAAAAUGGAUAGUAGAUGCUUAAAGUUAUGCAUACUUACGCCACAAUUAUAUCUCCUUUUUUAGAAAAAGCAGGAAUAGCACUGAACAUGGUGGAAAGUCCAUAAGAGUAUAGAAUUGAAUCAGGCGUUCCUAAAAAUUUUGCUAUUCUUGCUUCACAGUCAAGAUGUACAUCUGCACAGGGAAAAGUAUCAUAAGAGAACAUGCAUUUCCUCAAAAACAAACUUUAAUAUUAAAGCCUUACCAAUUGUUCCAUAAAAUCCACGGGGGCCACAUGAACCAACACCAUAUUUCUCUAAAGCAGAAGUGCAUGAGUCCUACAAUAUAAAGUAAAUAUAGAUUCAGUGUACUGAAGCACUGGUCAAGAAAAAGAAUUUAUUGAUAUGGGAUCAUGUCCUUACAAGUAACUUUUGAUGACCUAUAAGCCCAAGAUAGUUUGCUGAAGCAAAAUUGAUAACUUCUUUACCAUUAACUAUGGUAUGUGGGCCAGCAGCACUGCAUAAGAAAUUUAUCGCAAUCAGUAUUUUAAAAAAUGGAUAAUUGGCUGUUUUUUCACAAUACUGUUUAACUUACAUAUUAUGAGCUUAUCAUGUCAUUUAUCUGUCUAGAGUGCAAACUGUAAUCCUAAUGUCUCAUUUAUGUAUCAAUUAAGAUCAUUACAAAAACUUGUCAAGAGAAUAUACUUCAACCAAAACUACUUCUAGUGAACUAUACCAGUCUCUCUCUAUUAUCACAAUCUUACAUGAACCUUCCUAAUUUUAACUUCAAUAAAACGAACAGCUUCCCUAUAUGCUAUGAUAAAAGUUAGCAAUGAGGAAAAUGUAUGACAUACAAGGGAGACAUCUGAAAACGUAUGAAAUCACAUGAGAACUUUUAAUCUACACUAAUUUUCUUUAUCGCAAGAUAAGAAGAAAAAUGAUUUAGAAUCUAAAGGGUGGUCUUGUCCAGUGCAUAAGACUGCCACUGUAGUGGGGUCCAAGUAGGGUCUGAACUGACAACCUUAACCUUGCUACUAUGACUACCAUGUCACAAGGUGGAAAACCUACCAAUAUGCUAGGGCUUAUCCUAAAAAAAGUUCAUGAGUUUAAGUCAAAUAAAUGUAACCAUGGCAGUGAUGUUGACAAGUGCAAAACAUAAGAUUAUUUCAGGGAAGGAACGCAGACAAUAAAGCACACAAGUAACAAAUUUGAAAGUGUGCAAAACAUUUAAAAUGAUAAUAGAUGAGGAUGCUACCACAAAAGUAAAUGUAAUCACCUCUCCAGCACUGGUGGUUCAUAGUGCAUAUCUUUAUCAAGAGAAGGAAUAAGCGAUUGUGGAACCCAUUCAUCACAUAACUCGUCAAUUUCCUGCAGAAAUUAAGAAUAAAUUUAGAACAUGUCAAAAUAUAACACAAUGAAUCUCGAAUUAGAUUGUACAACACUACAACUAACAUGGAACACUAUGGUUAGAGUUCCACAUUAAUUUAAAACCAAAAAAGUUAGACGACAACCAACUGUUUUGAUCAUGAAUGAUGGGUCGACAGACAAAGGCAUUCGUUCUACUACUUUUUGGUGAACAAGCGACUGUAAGGGAACAAUUUUCCUAUUUUCAUUGGACACUUCUGACUUCUAAAAAAAAAAAAUAUGUAUUUGAAGAUGCUAGAUGAUGAAAUCAAAUUUGUAUCUGAGGAGUAUCAAGUAUGCAGUCGACAUGGUUAUGAAUACUGCUGAAAAUUUCAAGGUAGCAAGGGAAAUGUAAUCAUAAAGGGAAAUGUAAUCAUAUGCUGAAAUAUCUAAAAAGACUAACGGUUCAUCAAGUUACCGUAAAGGGGGGAAGAAGGAUAACCACGGACAUAUACUCUAGAACAAUGCUUAUUACCAUGUUGAAGAAGUCCAAAUAUGGGAGGAAUUUGACCAGACCUAUUAUGACUAGAUUUGUUACUACUAAUUUGGUUAUAGUUUGUAUCAGUGAUCUAAAAGCAUCAUUGAGAAGUAUGUUUAGGUCAAGGUCAAAUGAGUGAAAAUCAAGUAGGUUCGGAUCUUGGCAAGAGGGAAGAAAAGUAGCAAACAUUGUUUUAGAAGGUUUGAUUCGGAAGAAUGUAAUCAUAUCAUAUGCCUCAAGUUAGCUGUAGUUUCAUGGAUGUUAUAUUCUCCAUGAUAAUGGAGAUGAUCUUCUUGUAGGAUUGGACAUUUGAAUGACGAAUGAAUCAGCUCUAGUUUUUAUUUUGAAAUUUUUUAACAUUAGGAAUUCAUGUAUGAUUUGGUAUUUAUGUUGUUUGAUCUGGUGUUAUCAUUGGAGCGCUACAACGCUGAAGCGGGGCAUAGCAGCCAAUGAACAUCACUGCACCUUCCAUAUUGUUGUGGUUGUGUGCAUCAAUAAUAGCAGGAAAUGCCACCACCCCAUGAGUACCCAGGAAAAAUAUCCACAGAACAGUCGGAAAUUAAUUUGGGCUUUUGUGGGGGUAUUUUAGGGAUAUUGAGUUAAAACACUCAAGAGCAUGAGUUGCAUUAAAGUUAAGGCUUUGUUCCCAGUCUCUUUUGUCAAAACCUGAAAACAUCAAAAUGUUAGGGCAUUUUUCCCGAUUACUCCAGAAAUUUUAUGCGUCUCUCUCCGGCGAUUCUCUUUCUAGUUAUGUCCUCUCUCUGUAGAUUCUCUCUUGAACUUCUCUUUGCAUCUCCAGUGAUUCUGUCUCACGUGCAUUUGAGUAUAUUUUAGUGCUUCUGUCUCUCUGCAUCUCUGAAGAUUACUGGCAAGAACUGCUGCCUGUGUCAUUCCUAGGCAAGAAACUUUUAUUUGAAUUUUAAUGUUUAGACAAUUUAGUUACUUUAACCCUUAGAGGAUUAAACUUCUUGGUUAGUGAUUAGUGGUUACCACAAUUUUUGGUAUUUUCUAUGACUUUUUUACUGUUAAAUAUGAAUUUCAAGUAAUUUUUAUCAUUUUUUAGAAUCACUAUUUUGAGUAACUUUUUUUACAAGUCUAGGGGUUGAGUCUACAGAGGCUUCACAAAUUACCUAAAUUCUUGAAUAAUACAACCUUGGUAUAGAUUAUAGACAAUCACCCAAAAGGCAAGUCCCAAAUGCAUCAUGAAGAUAGAUGCUAUUAAGUCACCGACCAUGAAGCGACAGUGAUUACUUUCAAACUUCACAAAUUGAAAUGCUUCAUUUAUUGAUUCUUAAAACUUCAAGGCAAAAGCAUACAAAAUAUAAAUGCAAGAGUUUGUUCCUAUUUCCAAGUAAGCAACAGAAAAAAUGCAUAUGUUCAGUAAUAAAAGCAUGGCAAAGUCCACAAGUGAGGAGCAUAUUUCCAUCCAUCGAAAAGCUAAUGAUUAAUCAGAUUUGUAAGUUCUAAAACCUCAGAAAGAAUAUUUAGAAAUGCCCCAUGUUAGAUCCAUAGAAUUACUAAAAACUAUAACAGAUAAGCGUAUAUCACUCUAUUUAGAUAUAAGUGUUUGGAUAAAUUCUAAAACCUAAACAUUAAUAGAAACCACUUUUGAACUGCACAACAUACUCAUACAAACUCCACACACACAAAUAAAUUAGAGACAAAUCCUAUUAGCAUUUCAAUGACAUAAUAAACCAAUAAAGUCACUUUACCUUUAAAAAUAAAAUCCUAUUAAUAUACCAAAUGCCAACUUUAUUUUCAAAUUAUAAAUUUUAGACAGCUCUACAUAGCUAACACACAUUCAUAAAAUAACUAAAAAAAUCUAAUACAUAAUAACAACAACCAAGUCUUAUCCCACUAAGUAGGGUUGACUACAUGGAUCAAACGAUGCCACAAUGUUUUGUCAUAAAUCAUAUCUCUGUCCAACUCAUAUAUCUCUAAGUCUUCCUUUGCCUCUUGCGACUUAACUACCCUCCAUCUGAUCUAUAUUACAGUAUAGUGAAAAAACUAGAGUUAGAUGAUAGGUUAACUAGAGUUAACAAGUUGGUUAGGUAAUUAGGGAGUUAGUUACUCCAACUCACUCCCAUAUAUAACUCACUCUGUUGUAUUCAUUCUCUUUUAUCAAUCUAUUCAUUCCACUAUGGAUCUCUAUGAUUAUCUCCCACGUGAAUACUCUUAUACUAGCUUUUUUGCUACUCACUAUGAUCUUUAUCCCUAUGAAUCCAUGAUUCAUAACAAUCUACUCUACAGCAACAACUACCAAUCCUUAUCCCACUAAAUGGGGUCGGCUACAUGGAUCAAAUUACACCACAAUGUUCUAUUGCAACUCUCUAAUGUUUUCAUUCAUUCAUAACCAUAUCUCGUCUAGUCUUACCAAAAAUUGUGCAUAGACGAGAAAUCAAAAUAUAUACACACACGCUCAAAAAGAUAGCAUCAUACCUUGUUUGUCAAGGGUCUUUUAGGAGGCUUGUAACUUUUCUGAGAAAGCAAGAAAAGUAUGACCACCAAGAGAAAAACUUCAAUAAAUAAAUGUCCUGCAAACAUAAGAUAAAAAAAAAAUCAAAUUAAUUAAUCAAUUAAUCAUCCAUCUAUAAAGUAAAAAGUAAAAGAUAAUUAAGUCCAUAACAAGAAAUAUUACCACCAAAAUUAUAUCCAAAAACUAUAGCUCUUGCAGAAGGUGCAUCUAAAGCAUAUGUAACCCAAUUUAAUGUAGUGUUCACGAAAUUAACAGCAGCUGAAGCCAUCAUUAGCUUAAUAUAUCAAUCAAAAUAUCAAUGAAUCCUUCAAUUUCACUCAUGCAUGUGAGUUUUCCACUAUUGAAAUUCUUAAAUCAUGAAAAGUUUAAAUCCUGCAAAGUAUAAGAAAAUCAAAUAUAAGCAUUCCAAUUAACAAAUGGAAUCGAAAAAUUUGAUUUUGAAUAAGAAUCUAAGGAAUUGAAUUGAUGAAUCGAAACGACGUGACCUACCUUAUGAUUGAGAGUGAAACGACGAGAGCUUGAUUCCAUGGGAGAUUCAGAAAUGAUAGGAAGAGAAAAAGAAGAGAAAAGAAGAGAAAGAGAAAACAAAUAUUUUAUUUUAACGGUUAUGAUGGUGCCACGUCAGAUCUCGUUAGCGCUAACUAAACAGUUGUCAUUAGGCCUGUGCAAAAUAACCGGUUUGAGUAGUAAAUCCAUAACCAUACCCGUAACCAUUCUAAAAUAACAACAAAUUUUUAACCAAAUAUCAACCAAACCCAUUUAAAAUGGAUCGGUUAUAAACCAUUGUUAACCAGUUAUCCCUAAAAAGAAAAAGCCCAACCAGUACCAAUUUUUCUGCUUUCCAAUAGAGAAAUGAUAUUUGAACAUCCAUUUUGUGACAACUUUUGUUACAACUUUCUCUCUCAUAUUUACAUUAUUUUUUACUUUAUCUCUCUAUUGCUUUGAUUUUCGUACAAAUACCUAUUCUUUCUUUAUAAAUUAUGGUUGUCCCCAUAAGUUGUCAAUUAAAGGAUGUUCAAAUAACACUCCUCUUUCCAAUAAUACACCAGUAGAAAACGCUUUCAACUCACUCCGAUGACGUGUGCACGGCGGUUCCAUAGACGGAGAUGAAAACGCAAGAGGAGGAAGAGAAAAUCUAGAUGCAGAUCUAGCCAAUACAACUUGUCAUGAUGCGGCAUCUGUCUUUCUAUCUGGAUUCACUUCUGCUUGGCUGCUUGUUUCUUUUCCUUAUUUGCUUUCAUUUUAGGUGAGUUAUUGCAUGGUCCAAUUGUAAAAUUUUCCUAUGUUAGGCUCAUAUAUCUUUACCGGCUGGAACCUGUAAUUUCCUUAUUUAGUGGUAUCUAACUAGUUAUGUACAUCAAUGUUUUUUUUUUACACAAAUAUCAACAAAUAAAAAAUGGAACAAAAUUGCUCUUUUAGAAGGAAAAUAUAGCGUCAGUUUUCAAACUAAAUAAUUCUUUGUCAAUAAUAUAUAUUUAUAUAAACUGAAAAAAAAAUUACUUUUUUUUUUCUCGCUAAGACAUAAAAUCCACAUAAAUUAAACACCAUGAGUUUAGUUCAGUUGGUAGGGAUAUUGCAUUUUAUACCAGGGGUCGGGGGGGUUCGAACCCCGGACACUCUAUUUCUCCACAAUUAAAUUGUGUGAGCUCUAGCCAUUAGGCUACUUGACAAAAAAAAAAUCCACAUAAAUUAGUUAUACAUCCCUAAAAAUAUAGUGAAUUUUAAUUUCUAAAAGACAACAAAAUAUUUUUAUCCUAACAAAAAGUUUUUUGUUUUGUUUUUAGUUCAAUUUAUGUUCAUAUUAAUGUCAAGAUUAUCACUCUUUUAUGUUCAAGAUGUAUCCACGUAUGUCUAUUUAUUAUGUUCAACAUUUGUAUGUCCGUAUUAUGCUAAAGAAAUGUCAAACACGUGUCAAGAUUAUAUUUAUGAAGGACAAAUAAACAAAACGAUUUUUUUUUUAGAAUGAAAAUAUUUUGUUUUAUUUUUUUAGAAUAGAAUCAAAAUUGCUUAUAUUUUUAGAGACAAAAAACUUAUUUAACCCUUAAUAAUAUUUAUGAAAGACACCUAGAAAAAUAUUUAUGAAAGAUACAACAAACAAUAUUUUUUGUGUUAGCCCUUCAGUUCUUGGGGAAAGAGGGCUCUAAUAAUCCGAAGUUUAGACAAAUAUAAGUAAAGUCUGAUCUAAAAUUGUUGAUAUACGCAGAAAUCAAAUUUAAAUUCUUUUAUUAUUAUAAAUAAAAGAAUAACCACAAAUUCAAUUUACUUGAUUUUUGAGCCAAAAUGUGUUUUGAAAUUAAGGGCUCUAAACUUACUUGAUUUACUUGAUUCUAAAUGUGUUUUACUUGAUUUAGUCUUAUCUAAAUGUGUUUUACAAGAUUGCUCCUCUUCUCACAUUUAUAAUUGAAUAUAUGGUUAUUGAAAUGUGUUUUUGAGCCCUUGAGAGAAAAAAUCAAGUAAUUGAACUCAAGUGGUUAUAGCCCUAAUAAUCAAACUCAAGUAUUGGAAAAGUCAAAACACAUUUCAAACCACAAAUUCAAAUUGUUGAUAUACUUGAGUUCAAUUAUUUGGUUUUUUCUUUCAACCCAAAAUAAUAAAUAAAAGCUAACAGUGUUAGUAUUGGAAAAGUCAAAACACAUUUCAAUAACCACAAAUUCAAUUAUAAAUGUGCGAUUUCAAUUUUAUAUUUUUAAAUCCAUAUAAAGUGUGCGUUAAAACAAAUGCAUAUAAAUUUAGGUCGCUUAAUAUUUAAACCUUUCAAGUUACCUCUUUCAAAAACAACAACAAAAAAACCUUACAAGUUACCGGUCAACAAGACAAAGCAAUCCUAGCCAUCCCUAUUAAUUUAUAUUAAAUCAGUGGUUGAGUUUAGAUGAGCCUAAGAUGGGGAAAUUUUACAAUUUCCCCAUGCUAAACGUCGCCUUAUUUUUAACUUUCAAACAAACUUUGACUUUUCUUCUUUUGGAGUUGUUUCAUUUUGACAAUUCUUUUCAAGUUUUGAAAAACACAAGAAGUGAGUGUUAAUGAUCUUCUAGUUCUAGUAGAAUAGAUGAUCCUUCUAAAUUUGUCAUGCAAUUACUAAUUAUUUAUGUGGCACAUAAUCAGUGACAUAGCGAUGAUAGGGAAGAACAUGAUUGGAAAAGAAUAUGGAUACUCCACAAAUUUUAAAUAAAAUGACCAUUUUGCCCUUAAAAAAACUAGACAAGACUAUAAUACUUUUUCUUCUUAUUCCUUCUCCAAAACCAGUAUCUUUGUUCAUUUUCUUCGGCAAUCGCUGUUGUUUAAAGGAGGGGUAACAAUGGUACAAUCUAACAAACAAAUCAAAAUUCUUUCAAAAUUGAACCAACCCAUUUCUGAAUGUAAAAUAUACUCAAAAUGAAAGCAUAUCCAAUUCUGAAAACAAACAAACAAGUCUAAUCAAAAUUCUUGCAAGCGUCGAUGACAGAUCAUAGAAUGAUAUGGUGGGUUGUUGUUUUUUAAAAUGAUCGAAGCUUUAAUAGUUUCUUUCUAUUUCAUGUGAAGCUUUCAUGGUUAGGGCCACGUCACCGGAGGUGUUGCCUGUUGAUAGUUUGCGUUUUUGUUUCAUGUAAAGCUUCCAUGGUUAGGGACACGCAACUGGAGGUGUUCGUUGAAAGUUGUCGAAAAUGUGGAUAUGUGAUGAAGGCAACAACAAACAAUGAGUAAAGAGUAUAAUGAUGACUAGUGAGUUCAAAACGAAUUUCAAAGAGGAAACACACAUGGAGUACGAAAUUGAACUCAGAGGAGGAUGCGAUGGUUGUUUUGACAGGGAGACAGAAGUGGUUGUUGAUGGUGGAGACAAGUGAAGGCGGUAGUAUUUUAGUAAUUUUGCAUGUGUCUUGGAUCAUUAAGGGUAAAAUGGGCCCUACUUGCAUGGUCGUAUAUGAGGCAGGGCGAGGAGGGAGACCAUCCUAAUCCUCAAAAAAUACAAAUUUCAUAAACUAAAGAUAUACUUAGUAUGCUUGCAAAUCAUUUUUUCAAAGUAUCCGAAGAAAAUUCAUUAGUAUACCAUCUUGUAUCCAAUAUACACCGAUUAUUAGGAGCGAAUCAAACCUAAAGUUGGUGUAGAAACAUAUGCAUUGGAGUUCUAAACACAGCCUUCAUUGUUCAAGUGUUGUAGCAUUUUUCCCCAACAACAGUUUUUUAAACCAUGCAAUUGGGUAUUUGUUCUUAUUCUUUGAUAACCACUUUUCUAAUGAUGAACUUUUAUUUGAUUGAGAUUUUUUUUUAAUUCAAUUGUAAUGUUCGCUUAUUUUAAAAAAAAAUUAAACAAUUAAAAUAAGAGCUUAAUUCAAAGAUGAACAUGGGUUACAGUGACAUUCUAUAUUCUAAAAAUAAAAGAAAUGAUAUUUAUAUAACUAUUUUAGACUAUGUUCAAUAGGUUGUUGAAUGCAAACUUAAACAUGUUGAGACCAUUGAAGAUGGGUGUUGAAAGUGAGUGGAAAGUUGAUGUGGAUGAAAGAGGUGAUGAAUGCAUUAAACAUGUUGAACUCUCUCCCGUCAGGCCACGUGGCGCAAUCCGGUUCGUUCAAAAUGGCGCGUGAGAUGCACGCGUCGAGAGGGCGCGUGGGGAAGUUGUGCACGCGGAGAGAGAGAAAGAGAAAUGGAUAAGGGCAGAACACGUGGCGUGUUUCGAUUGGCUGGUUGAAUUUUUAUCAUCUUAAUAUUUUGGACUCAAUUAUUUCAUUGCAAAUAAUUUUUUUUUUUAUACCAAACUUCGUGAUUUUUUUCUCUAUAAAUUGAGACUUGGAUCAUUUGAUUUGGACACAGAAAAAAAAAACCAAGUUUUUCACUCUUUUAAUCUUAUUAUUAGCUUUCUAUUAGCUUUUCUUUUGAAGUUUUAGUCUCUAUUUAGGGAAAUGGAUCCCAAUACCAAUCAAUUCAACACCCAAAAUUCUUCUAAUUACCCAUUUAGCUACCAAAAUUCCAACAAUUAUCAACACCCAAAUCAAUUUUGGCUUAAAUGCUCUUUUGGUCCCUUAAAUAUUUAUUUGGUAUCGCUAUGGUCCCUUAACUAAAAAAAAGAUUGUUUGAGUACUUUAAUUUAAUUUUCGUUACAUUUUUUGGUCCCUUCUAUUAGGUUUCUGUUAGGUUUAAUAAAAAACGUUAAGUGUGGUACACGUGUCGUUUUGGCAUUGGCUCUGGAAACAUUAAGGGACCAAAAUGAUACCAAAUAAAUACUUAAGGGACGAAAAGAGCAUUUAAGCUUUUUUUUAUCAUCUUCAUCAAAACCUUCAUCAUAUUCAUCAAUUAAAUUCAGAAAAAAAGGAAAUAAUCGAAAAAAACUAAAAAAAAUAAAUAUCCACCGAUUCAUCUUGCAAGACAUUGAUGCAUCUUCAACCCAAAUCCAUAACCCCUCUUUUAUUUAACCAUGCCCAAAUUCAUCUUGCAGGACAUUGAUUCAUUUUCGAGUUCAAUAACUCAUCAUCAACAGUCAUCGUCGCCGUUUCUGGGAGGAUCUACUAUCCACUGUCGUUUUUCUAGAUUCAAGGUUUUUGUGAGAGAGAAAAAUGGAAAUGGUUUUAGGAAACUAUGAAGAAUAAGAUUGAAGAAAUGGUGGAUUUUGGGUUCUAAAUUGGUAAAUAUUGAAAAAGAUUUUUUUUCUGGGUUGGUGUGUUGUUGAUGAUGAAGAUCAUGAAGAAGAAGAUGGAAGGAGAAGGAAGAAGAGGAAUAGUACAAACCCUAACGUUUUUUUGAUUUUUUUUUAACAGAAGGGACCAAAACAGGUAACAGAGAUAAAGAUAAAGUACUCAAACAAUCUUUUUUUUAGUUAAGGGACCAAAGCGAUACCAAAUAAAUACUUAAGGGACCAAAAGAGCAUUUAAGCCAUCAAUUUUUCAACCAACAUCCUCAAAACCCAAAUCAAUCCCCCAACCAACAUCCUCAAAACAGGUCUAAUUUUGGUUUUGCCUCAAAUUUCAAUCACCCAUAUUAUAGAUCUAUGAUGUGAUAUCCAUCUCAAACACCCCCAUUUAAUGGUUAUAUGCCAAUGGUGAAUGAAAAUUUUCAGAGUGUUGGUGAAUAUCCUGAAUUUUCAUCAUAAAUAAAUCGUGGUGGAAUGACAAGAGCUAAUGAAGUCACUCCAAUUCCAGAGGAUACAACUCCUAAGAGCAAGAAAAACCAGCAACCAUCAUGGAACACCGAACAAAAUUUGGUGUUAAUUAGUGGGUGGAUAAAAUAUGGAACAUGCAGUGUUGUCGGGAGAAACCAGACAAGUGAAGCAUAUUGGGGUAAAAUUGCUGAGUAUUGUAAUGAGCAUUGCUCAUUCGAUUCUCCGCUCGAUGUAGUUGCAUGCCGAAACUGUUUUAAUUAUAUGAGCAAAUGAAUAAAUAAAUGGGUUGGUGCUUAUGAUGGCGCUAAGCGUUUGCAAGGAAGCGGUUGGUCGGAAGAUGAUGUUUUCGCAAAAGCGCAGGAAUUAUAUGUAUGUGGGAAGAAUGUUCAAUUUACUUUAAAGGAAGAAUGACACGCUCUCUGUGAUCAACCACGUUAUGGUAGUCAAGUAGGAGGAAAUGUUGACUCAGGAAGUAGUGGAUCUAAGAGAUCUCACAAGGACUCUGUAGGAUCUAGUGCUCGUCCAAUGGGUAGGGAGGCAGCUAAAAAAAAAGGUAAAAAGAAAAGCAAGGACGAGACCUUGGAGAAGGUGGAAAAGGAGUGGGUUCAAUUCAAAGAAUUAAAGGAGCAAGAGAUUGAACAAUUGAAAGAGUUAACCUUGGUGAAACAACAUAAAAACAAGUUGCUGCAAGAAAAGACUGAAGCUAAGAAAAUGAAAUGUAUCUAAAGUUAAGUUAUGAAGAGCAUCUCGAUGACCGAAUGAAAGAGCUGUUGGAAAAGUUGGAGCGUGAGCUGUUUGAAAAUUAAUUUUAAUCAAAUAUUUGUUUGUAUUCAGUCAAAAUUAUCAGUGUUGUCUAGUCACGAGUGUUUGCUUUAAUAUUUGUCAGUGUUGUCUAGUCCCUAGUGUUUGCUUUACCAAUUAUCCGUGACUUUUAUUUCAAACACUAUUUGAAGGUCUUCCUCCAUUUGUUGAAAUGUGUGCCUACUGUUUAAUAAAAUGAUACUAUGACGAUGCAAUGUUUCGUCGUCGGUACCGGAUGCAAAAGCACGUUUUCAUUCGAAUCGUUGUAGACCUUUCAAUUAGUGAUAACUACUUCACCCAAUGAGUUGAUGCUGCCAACAAAGAAGGUAUAUCACCGCUAGCAAAAUUUACCACAGCAAUGCGAAUGUUAGCAUAUGGUGUGGCAACAGAUGCGGUCGAUGAAUACAUCAAAAUAGGAGGUACUACAACAUUGGAGUGCUUACGUUCUAGACCGGUUUGAUGAUGUGGAACAGGGAAAGGCUCCAACGGUGAAUUACUUUGUGAAUCAACGUCUCUAUAAUAUGACAUACUAUCUAGCUGAUGGUAUCUACCCUUCUUAUCCAACUUUCGUCAAAUCAAUUAGACUUCCUCAAAGUGAACCCGAUAAGUUAUUUGCAAAACAUCAGGAGAGCUGUCGGAAGGACAUCGAACGUGCUUUUGGAGUGCUUCAAGCUCGAUUUAAAAUCAUCUGUGAACCAACUCGCUUGUGGGACAUAGCCGAUUUGGGUAUCAUCAUGAGUUCAUGCAUCAUAUUACAUAAUAUGAUUGUUGAGGAUGAACGAGAUACAUAUGCUCAACGUUGGAUUGAUUUUGAGCAAUCUGAGGGAAGUGGAUCCAGUACACCGCAACCAUACUCGACCGAGGUGUUACCCACUUUUGCAAAUCAUGUGCGUGCUAGAUCCGAGUUGCGUGAUCCAAAUGUUCAUCACGAAUUGCAAGCAGAUCUAGUGAAGCACAUAUGGACAAAGUUUGGAAUGUUUCGUGAUUGAAGAUGAUUUGUAUCGUACUAAAUAAAUUACUUGUGUGUUGUGUGCUUGUUUGUUAUCUUGCAUUUUAAGCUAUUUGUGUGCUGUGUGCUUAGUUUAUUGUAUUGCAUCUUAAGUUAGAAAAUAAAAAUAAAUUAUUUAAAUAAAUUGUGUUUUUACAAAAAAAAAAAUUGUUAAGUGUUUCUUUAUUUUUAUUUAAUUAUAAUCGAUAAUUGUAAUUUUAUGUAAUUAUCAAAACAAAAUAUAAAAUUAAAUAAGAAUAAGAAAUAAAAUUAGGUGGUGGGGUAGAGUGUUGAAUGAAAAAACCAUUGGAGAGGUAAAAAUUGAAUGAGUGUUGAAUUAAGAGAGAUAAAAUGGUGUGGAGUGUAGGGAAUUGAAAAAGUGGGUGUUGAGGGUUGUUGAAUGUUUGUGACCAUUGUAAAUGGUCUUAGAACAACUUUUGGAUCUCUUUCAUAAUCUUCUUGUGUUCUUACUCUCUCUCUCUCUCUUGUUUUUUUACCAAUAAAAAAGAAGAAGAAAGUUGCCAAUAAAAUGGUUGUACGCAUAUUAUUACUCAAAAAUAAAUUUAGAAACAUUCUUUUGUUGUUUAUUCUUAAAUUGAAGACAAUGUAACCAACCAUCUCACGAUCCACACAAAUGGAAGUAUUAAGUUUCGUUGAACAUAGUUCACUUGACUUGAGGCUUAAAUAAUACUACUUUUAGGUGGCAAAAACAAUCAAGGUAAUGGUUUCACUGAAUUAGAAAUUCUAGUGGCCAAAACAAUCAUGGUCACAAAUUCAAAUCAGCAUAACAUUUUACGAAACAUACCACAUCAAGUGCAGCUUAGCUUAGAAUCUUAUCAUGUAUGCAUUCAAAAGUUUUAUAAUACAAUGCCAAUAUUAGCUUCUACCAAUAAACCUGACCUUGUAUGUACUAAUGUACACACCACUAAAAGUCAUACAAAUGCUUUCUCCAAUGUUUUAACCACAUAAACCAUAGUGUAAAUAAUCAUUUUCUUCACCUGUCACCAAAGAAGCAGCAAUUAGGAACAAACUUUAUAGAAAAUACCAUAAAGAAUCGAUUGAUAGCGAUAAUGGCUUGGGUAACCUGUAAGAAAUUGUAAGUUUAAAAAUGCAGUCUUCAAAAAGAACUUAGAUGCACUCAAACCGGUUUGAGUUACGACUAACCUAAAUACUAAGAUAUCAGAGGCUAUGCUAUAUAAAUUGGGCGACAAUUGUCAUGCAACUCGAGUAACGAUCUAAACAUCUAAGAUUGAAGUAUUUGAUGCAAUAUAUGAAAAUGAGCCAUUUAUAUUUAUUUUUCUAUCUAACAUAAACAUCUCAACAAAUAAUUUAUAUCUAUUUGAUUUUAUCGUCCAAAUAUUUUAUUUUUUGUUUUUAUUACUUUCUAAUUUAUUUUAAUAUAAAAUUAGAAAGGUAUGAAUAUCCAUAUAGUAAAGUAUUUAUAAAUAUUUGCAAGUUAAAUAUCAACGUGUAAAUGAUUUUUUAUACAAAAAAUAAAUGAUUAUAAAAUAAUUGAAAUUAUGUAGAAUUUAUUCCUUAAAAUGUAUUAUUAAUAAUUGUGGUAUUAAUGGUCAUUUUACAAUUGUUCGGUGUGAGAUUUGAACAAUGUCUCUUAAAGAUAAAAGGCAUAUAUAUAUUCAACCCAAUAUAUUAUACCACACACUUUCACAACAAAUUACAAAUCAAAGAAAAACCAUUAAUUAGAAAAUCGAGUUAUAUUUUAUUUCAUGACAAGAAAUUUUUUAUUUAAGUACUAUGACAAUUGUAUAGUUUUACUAAUUUAAUAACGGGUACGGAUUUCUCCGAGUCUAGAUACUUAAAAAAAUAUUUUAUUUUAUUCUAUAUGUGUUAAUGAUUUUACAUUUGUACUAAACUCGGUUAUUUUCAUCCUCAUGUGCAUCUAUUAAUUUAUAGGUACUUAAAGUAUGAUUUGCUUUAUUGUAUUCGUGUAUACCCAUUAAGAUAUUUGUAGUGUACCGUUUCGUGGUAAAUUUUAUUUACGGACACCAUACAUUCAUAAUUUUGGUCAUCCUUAAUUAUAUGUCUAACCCGAAAAAUGCCGGAUAAAUACACUAGUAUUACCUAAAAUUAAGGUAAUAUAAGAGAAGAAUUGUCUAAUUUUACCUAAAAUAUUUUAUCAACAUUUUUAAUCCCCGUCACAAGUUUUGGUCCUUAGAAAGCUAGAGAAAAAAAGUUAUAGGAACUAAAAAAAGUAAUUUUAUUUUGUAUGAACUAAAAACAAAACGCUAAUAUUCAUAAAGGCCAUUUGUAAAAAAAAUAUUCAUAAAGCUCAAUUACUUAAUUAACCCUUAUUAUUAUCAGCGUUGUUAUGAUCAUCAUUGUGGUUGUCGUCUUCGUCAUAUUGUUCCUUCUCGUUUUUCUCUUGUUUUCAAGAUGAUGGUUAAUUUAGUGAUCUUAUUUUUGAGGGCUUUUUUGGGUAGAUAAAUAUAGAAGUAUAGAUAUAAAAAAAAAGAUUUAACAAUUAUAUUUGCGUAGAUUCUGAAACAAUAAAACGAGUAAAACUAUGGAGCUAAAAAUAGUUCAAUUGAAGUUAAGGAUUUAAAAAAUUCACCGUUAAGAAAUUAGGGUUAAAAACAGAAGACUUGCUUCUCAAUUAAGUAUUCUUUGUCAAAUAUUGCUCCCCUACAAGUCAUACUGAACCCCCCCACUCCCUUCUCCUUUUCGUUGCCUUCCGUAAUCUUUCCUCCCCCUUCGGAAUUAGCAAUCCUCGUAUUGAACCCAUCAUUCAUCCAUCCUCUUCAUAUCGACGACAAUGUGUUGGUAAGUCAGUUCGAUAUAUCUCUCUGCCUUCUCCGUUUUGCUUUGCUUUCUCGGUGCACUAUGGCCAAACCAUUAGGUGAAAAAAAAGGUUAGUAACCACAUACCGGAAGAUCUUGCAUUAUUCAUUCUAUCAAAACUUCCUUUAAAAUCUUUAAAACGUUUUGGAUGUGUAAAGAAAACAUGGUCUCUCUUAUUUGAAAAUUCUUAUUUCAUCACCAUGUUCCGCACUAAUUUCAUAUCUAUUCCUCACUCUUACUAUGAUGAUACAACACUCAUCCUACAAGAGAUUGUAGAGACACCUCUUAAAUGUUAUAUCCAUUCACUUUCUGGUGAGAGGUUUGAGAAUAGACUCAAAUUCCAUAUGCCAAAUCCAUUUCAAGUGGAGGACCCUCUCCUCUAUAUUUUAGAGUCUGGAUCUACUAACGGAACUCUUUGUCUCUACGGAGGACCCGAUGAACUUGUAUUGUGGAAUCCAAGUACCGAUGAAUUGAACGUCGUUCCUUCCAGUUCUAUGGUCUCUAUGCCACCUUAUCGGGAUCCUUACACUACUCUUCAUGGAUUUGGUUAUGACCAUGUUAGAGAUGACUAUAAGAUUAUUAGGUGUAUACAUUUUUUUCUACUAGAAGGCGAAGAUCUUUUUCGUCUCAACCUGUCGAAGGAAGAUGUGCAACGGGAUGAAAUAUCUUAUGCACGUGUAUGGGAGAUUUAUAGUUUAAGAUGUAACACUUGGGAAUAACUUCAUGUCGAUAUACCUCCAUAUUGUUUUUCAGGUUUAUUGUACACAGAUGGAAUAUGGCAUUGGUUGUCUAGAAAUAAUGCUCAACAUUACAUGGUGUCAUUUGACCUAAGCAAUCAUGUGCUUUUUAAAACAUUAACGCCCUUAGCAAUACCGAUAGACAUAGAUCCCAAUUUUGAUUUUGAGAAUGUGAGUAAAGAAUUGGUGAUGUUAAAUGGUUCCAUUGCUUUGAUCUCUUGGUAUGAAGAUACGACCACCUUUCACAUAUCAGUUUUAGGUGAACUUGGUGUGAGUGAAUCAUGGACUAAACUCUUUAUUAUUGGACCUUUGUCCGACCUUUUUACGUAUCCUAUUGGAGCAGGGAGUAAUGGUGAUAUAUUCUUCAAAGCAGGAGAUGGAAAACUAGUCUUUGAUUUAAGAACACAGAUGAUUGAGAAACUUGACGGUGUGGAAAAAGCAUAUUCCAAAAUAAUAAUCUAUAAGAAAAAUGGAGGAAUAAAUCAUUAGUUAGUUUUUGUUCUCAAUUAUUAGGAUCAUUUUAUCUUAAAUAAUAAAAAGUGGUUUAUCAAUCACCCAUUAUCAUAUUUAUGAUUACGAAGCAUAUGAUAAAUUAAUAAACCAUCUUGUAAUUAUGAAUGUUGCAGCUUUGACAAAUUUAUAUUGAAAGUAUUUGUACUAUCUUUCUAUUUGUUUAAUUAUAGUUCUAUUUGCAAGAUGAUAUGAUUUCUCUUUCUAUUGUAUUGAAUGGUCUCUGGUUUUUUGGUAGCUAAUGGUUUUAUUAUGACCUUGUUAUGAGUUAUUAUGAGUUUAUAAGUUAUUUUUUCAUUGUACACAUGAAUUAUUACAAGUUUAUUAAUUAUUUCAACACUAAAAGUUUAUGUCAAAGUCAUAUUCCUAAGUUUUUUAGUUUUGUUUCCCUUUGUCGAUGAUUUAUGUUAGUAUCAUGUUGAUGAGUUUUUCUUCCUUUUUUGAUCAGUUUAGAGUGUUCUCUAUUUCUUGCAAUGGUUGUCCACAGACAAGUAGGUUGCAAGUAAAUUCAAUUUUCUCUAUUUAUUGAUUUAGUAUCAUGUUUGCAGAUUAGUAAUCAAUGAUUUAUGGAAUUUUUUUACAGAUUGAGCUCAAUUUUUUUGACCCGAGGAGUUCAUCAACAUCAUCGUUAAUAUCUUGAGACAAAAGGUGCAAUAGUGGAAUACAAUUAUCAGAUGCAACCUGUUCCAGUCAGACCAAGCAGUGCUCUUACACUUUCCAGUAUGGAGAUGGUAGCGGAACCUCAGGCUAUUACGUGUCCGAUACGAUGCAUUUGGAUACUAUUUUUGAGGGAUCUGACUACAAAUUCUUCAGCUCAUGUAGUUUUUUGGGUGAGCUUUCAUGAGCCUGAAAUGGUUGAUAUUUGAUAGCAUAUCUCUUGUUUUCUUUCUUCGUGUUAAUUAGUUUAAUCUAAUCUCGGAAACCGCUACUUUGUGAAUUGAGCAGUUGUAGUAACGAGCAGAGUGGAGACUUGACAAAAUCUGACAGAGCAGUUGAUGGUAUAUUUGGAUUUUGGCAACAACAAAUGUCUGUGAUCUCACAGCUCUCAUCACAAGGGAUUGCUUCUGGAGUAUUCUCUCAUUGUCUUAGAGGAGAUAGCUCUGGUGGAGGAAUUCCGGUUCUUGGUGAGAUUGUGGAGCCUAACAUAGUUUAUACUCCAAUUGUUCCAUCACGGUAAGUUUUUAGCUAACUGCACCCUUCGCAAAUAUUUCAGGCUCAUUACAAUUUAAACUUACAGAGCAUAUCUGUUAACGGCCAGGCACUUCAAGUCGAUCCAUCAGUUUGUGCAACAUAUCAAGCAACAGAGGCACCAUUGUUGAUUAUGGAAAAAAAAUCAUAUUCCUAAGUUUUAUAAACAUGAAGGCUCGAGUAAAGGUUAAAAUUUCAUCUUAUUUGCGUCAUGUUUCUAUUCUAAUUUUUCAACAUCUAACAAAGUAAUUAUGUUAGACAGAUUUGAACUUAUACAUGUCUUUCGGUUUUUACAUGUAAAAGAGAAAAAAUAAAUUAUACUUCCAUUUCCCCAUCUUUUCAUGACAUGUUCAUAAAAGCUGUUUUCAGCUUAUUUCCAUAAGCUGUCUAGAAAAGCUUAUGAAAAUAGCUACAUAAAGCUUUAAAGAGUUUUGUCUCCUGAGGUGAAAUUUCUACAUAAAGCUUUAAAGAGUUUUGUCUCCUGAGGUGAAAUUUCUACAUAAAGCUUUAAAGAGUUUUGUCUCUCCAGGUCAGUCUACGUAAAGCUUUAUCUAUCCACCUUCUAUGCUCUUAAUGUGACAUGACACUACAAACAUUUCUACAUAUCUUGUAUUUAAAAGUUGGUUAAUAUAUUACUCAUUCCCAUGCUGGAAAUGCUGCCACACGUAUGUAACCAUGAAAUUAUAUUUUAGUUUAGUUUUAUUGAGUUAUGGAAAAUGUUAAAUUGAUAACUAUGAGCCUUGCAUAAUCGAUAAUUUAUAGCUGAAUUGAAUUGAUUACCAUGAAAUGCUGCCACACGUGUAACUGUAAAUAAAUAUUAUGUACUAUAGGUUUAUGGAUAUUUUCCAAAAUUAUUUGGUUGUCAAAUCCAUUCCUAAUUCCAAAAAUCAGUCCAUCUUUCCUCUAUUUAAUUUUGCAUUUUUUAGUUUAGUUUAAAAAAUUGAUUAUGAUCUUUGGAAAAUGAAAUUAGAGGCACUGCUAAAUUGAGCUUGAUGUGUUGUUGUAUUAAGUGUUAGAUCAUUAGACUUUGAAGCUGAUGGCUUGUUGGGAGUCUAUGCUGAGAUUUUCGAUACAAUUCUGUCUAGUUUUUCUGCCUCUGCUGCGCAAUCUCGACUACGCAAUCGCAACAUAGCUUUUGGCAUGUUGCACUCUUUUCUUAGUUGCCUCCAAAUGUGAUUAGAUGCCUACAGUUUUGGGGUUUGAUGUUGUUGUUUAGCUAGCGUGCGUUACUGUUUUGAACUCAAUUCAGUUGAAGUUCUGACUUCUAAUUCUAUCUAAUUUUUCCUUAACAGGUCUAGUUUAUGUUGUUAUGGGGUAUUUUUGAUAUAUGGUGAUGAACUGCUGGUGGGUGGUGUUUGGUCCUGCAAUGAUGGUUCUGUUCAAGGACGAGUUACCACUAUUGUCGUGUUUUCUCGACUACGAGCAUGAAUUUGUUUUUUUGGUUGGGUCUAUGAUGGUUCUCAUCUUCCGAAACUGCCAUGUUUUUGACUGUUUUUCUUUAGUUUACUGCUGCUAUAUUUCUGUGUUUUUUCCCUGCUUUGGCGAGGAGUUAUCCCCGAUUACAUAUAGAUCAGGGAUUAGUUUUGUUGCCUAACACUACUCGAUGUCAAACCUUUGGACAAAUUUUCGUUUCCUUGUUACAUAUUGGCAUCCCCACUGACUCAAAUUUUGUCUAACUUUGUCGCUUGUAGAAUGCAUUCCAAAGUGACCUGUUCAAUAUAUACACGCUGCUGGGAAUAGUUUGCACUUAUGGUUGCUGCAAGCUCAGGGGAGAUGAGCUUUUCUAGAGGGCUUGGCUGGUCCGAUAUUCAACAUAGUUGACAAACGAUGCGCAUUUGAAUUAAACUUGUUUGAUUUGCUUAAAUUAGGGUGGUAGCUAUUCGAUUUAUAUUACCAAUGAUAUACAAUUUUUUUUUGAAGAGAUAUAUAAUGUAUUUGUUCUUUUCAUUAUCAAUCAAUUUCAGCUUGUUGAAAUCUUUGAAGUCAAAUAUAUAAAUAUUUUACUGAUUGAUCUACCUAGUCUUGACUAUUCAGUAACAUUUAUGUAACAAAACUAUAGAUUGGCAACAAAUUAGCUACAAAUUACCUACAAAAUAAGUAACAUUUUUUAAGUGUUACAAGUAAUACUUUCAAGUGUUACUGAAAUCAUUUAGUAACACCGGCUUUACCUAACAUUUAUCAAAUGUUACAAGAUCUAAAUAGUAACAUUUGUUUUUGAUUUAGUUACAAUUUUGAAGUGUUACUAAAUCUCAUAUAUGUUGUAGUGUGAUAGGAAAGAAGUGCAUUUUUGCAUAUAAAUGUUAGAAAAUGGUGUAAGUUCUGAAUGAUGGGUGAAUAUUGAUGUUUGGAGUAGUGAGUGUUGUGAAUUAUACACUUGAAUGAGGAUGACCGGAAAUUUUACUAAUAUAUAAUGUUGUUUAAAUGUACCAUAUAUAUUUUUAAUGAAUGUAUUCUCACCACUGCUUUGUUGUUUUGUGUUUGUGGUGUCUGUACUCGUGGGAGGACAUAUACUUAGGUUAAGGAGUUUUAGCUGCGAGGUAUUGGGAUGGUGGCGUUGGAAGUUUUAUUCCAUCUGAUUUAUUUAUGAAAAACUGUAUAGGCAAUUACGUUGUUUUGAUUCGAUAACACUAGGGUUAAGGUGUUUUCAUCGUUUUGUUAAGUUUCUUGGAGAUGAUUUUUGAAACUAUGAUUUUAUUAUGCUAUAGUGUAGAGACCUUAAAUUAUUUUAAUUGAAGUUGAUGAACUAUUUCGCUGCUUUAAUUAUGAUAUUUGAUUUAUGGAAAGGUAGAUUGUCGAAUAUGUGUAGCACCUAUUUAAAUAAAUAUACUUUUUAUGUUACAAUUAUAGUUUACACUUGAGUGAUUUUGAGGCUCCGAUGAUUGCCAUUUCGGUGUUGAACAUUGGGAUAUGGUCGACUGGGUCAUUCCUUCCAUUGAAAGUGGACUGUGAGGGUGGUUUGAAAAUUUUGAGAACUGGCACAUUCCAGAUCUCCGCCAAAAGGGUUGGGGAUCCAAUUCCUCCGUCUCCUCAUUGUUAUGGUGGAGCUCGUCCUGUUGUUGUUGGAUCAUGUUGAUUGAAGCUUGUAGGGCUUCGUUUUAUUGUUGCAGCUUCUGUAACUGGAUUUGCAUUGCUACAACGAUGUUUGGAUUGGCGUCUCCCCCAACCACCGAUUUUGUCUAGAGCGUUAUUGCUUUGAGAAUAUUGAUGGUGGCCUAGGAUAGUUUUACCGAAGCCCCAUAGUGAACACUAACUAUACUUGAAAUAAGCACAAUGAUAACACUCGACUCAGGAGAAAGCUAAGUGAUCAAGUUCUAGGUCUGUAUAUUUAUGGUUCUCUGAGUGUGACCCCAGGGUGCUAUUUAUAGCUCCCCCUACUUUAUGGCGGCAGACUCUAAUCUUUAUUAUGAUUCUUUAUUACAUACAACUACAUUUUUUUUAAAUCAGAUAUCACUAUUUUGAAAAAAUCUAUUUAACACACAUUAUUCUAUUAAGUCCAAAAAUUUGUUGUCAACAAAACAAAAUAUCUAGUUCAUUAACUUCUUUACUGCUAUUGUAGUAGCCAAUUAUAAUUUUGUAGUGACAUUUUAGUUUUUCAUAUCUUGUAAAACACAUCAAGGCAUAAGGCUAUUAAGACUACUAAUUAAAAGCUAAAAGAAAUAUAAAUUGUAAGUGUUUCAACCAAUUAUUAAAGGUAUUCUUAUAAGUGGCGAGGAUUUAUUUAAAAAAAAUUGAGAAUAUGACAUUUUUAUUAAUUAAAGUGAUAUUAAUGACUAUUUUACUACUACUACUACGGAGGGGAUUCAAACUCAACACUUUAAAGUUACAAGGUUAAACUCUUUUCGAUGAGAUAGACCAUAAAAUUAUAGGCGGUAGGAUGGAAAAAAAAAAAAAAAAAAGGUGUGAUAUGACCGAAUUGGAUUCCAAUGCGAUACUUCUAAAAUAAGAGAGAGAAGAUCAAUCUAAAUAAACUCUUUAAUUCCUUACUAUCAUUUUAGAGUAUAAAAUAGUAACUACAAGGUCUAUGAAAUUAAGGAAAAAAAUAUUGUGUGGCAGUACAAUAACUAAAUGAGAGCUCAUGAAAAAUGUAUCAUAAUGAAUAUUGCACAUUUCUUUUACUAGCACAAUAAUCCAUUCUCAUAUGUAAGGUGUUUCUGCACUCUUUUGGGUUUGGUACUCAUAUAAUCGGCGAAGCUUUUUAGUCAAUUCACAUUUGUGAUCAACACAUUUGACAACAUAAAACCAGUCUGUAAUUUGUGGACAAUCGGCAUCAGUUUCACAAUAAAUAUCUACUGUAAUGAAAAAGGAAAAGAAAAGAAAAUAAUGUUAACUAAAACAUGAUAAAAGAUUGUGUACGAACUGCAAAGUAAAUAGAAAAAAUUGAAAAGAAUGAGAAAUGACUUACCACCAUCAACUUCCGUUAUGACAAGAAAUAAGGGAAGAAAUAGAAUCAUAGCAUAAACAAAUUCGAGAAUUUCCACCAUAUGUUUUCCUCUUUGCAUGUCAAAAAUAGAAUAUGAUUUGAUCACCUUUUAGCGUAUAAAGUUCAUGCUCUCCUAAAAUUAAAUAAUUUUUUUUAUCACUUCUAAAAUUGUAAAAUCCUUUUAUAAAAUUAUAAUCAUUAUUAAAUAUUUCUUAAGUAUUUGUUGUGUUUGUCUCUUCAACACACCUAGUAGGCGGUUAAAUAACAAACGUUCUAAUCAUUAAAAUUUAUUCUGUUUUAAUUAACUUUUCAUUACUUUUUGAACCUUUCACGAUAGUAAAAGAUUUUUUUUCUUUGUGAACCAUGAUAAAGUUAUUUUUUGGAAUAAUACACCAAUAUUAUUAUUUUUUGGACAAGAAUGAUGCACCAAUAUUAGAGUGAGAACAUGUAUAUACAUAGUGGCGGAGUAUUACAAGGGCAUAGGUGUGCCCACGACCCACCCUCCCCCUGUAUUACAAGGGCAUAGGUGUGCCACGACCCACCCUCCUCCCUCCCUCCAAAAAAAAAAGUAUAUUUUUGUUCUAUUAGUAAAAUGAUAAAAUAUCCAUGACUUUCUUUCUGACUCCGCCACUAUUUAUACACAAGUAAAAUGUAUGGUAGGAUCAAUUCAUGUUGCUGAUAAAGUCAUUGAAAAAAAAUGAAUGUGUAUUUAAUUUUGUAAUUGCAUGAUUUAUUAUACAUUUUCUUUUUUUUUUGAAGGAAGGAAUCUGUUUUUUUAUUUAUUAUAUACAUUAUCAUUCAAAUCAAUUAUAUAAUUCAUAUUGAUUUAAAAAAUAAUUUGGUACUGAAUUGAAUGUAAACUAAAAUUGAUUUUAAAAUUGAUUCAUAUAAUAAUGAAUUGAAAUAUGUUCUCAGGAGGAAUGCAAUAUACUUGAUUUCAUGUAUAUUUGCAUUCCUCCUGUUUCAUUUUCCAACGUGCCUCUCCUUGUCCAUUUUAUCGUGUUCCAUCGUGGUGUGCCUUUUUCUUGGGCUGAAGAGCACAUCUUAGUAUCUAUGUACUUGAAGGAUCCGAUUGAUUUUUCAUGGCUCCUUUACCACCAUCUCAUGUUGUUGAUAUCAAUGUUAACAGAGAAGAGGUAGUGCUACUCCAUCUAGUUAGUGCUUCAAAUGAUUACACUAUCAGUAGUGCUUAUAGUUUCCUUCAACAAUCAGCAAAUCAAAAUAUCCUUGCAGAUGACAACCAUGUAUUUUGACAUAAAGAUGUUCCUUUGAAAGUCAAUUUUUUUAUGUGGCGUCUUCUUUUCAACCGCCUUCCAACGAAUGCUAAUUUAUGAGAGGAGUGAUUCCGGCUACUUGAAGGGUGUGGUAAUUUAGAGGAUAAACAAUGCCCGUGUUGUCAAAAAGAUCGGACUAAAGCAAUGAGAGAAUAAUACCAAAUCAGCUCAACCAUGCAAAAUCAACUCAUUUUGGUCUUGAAAAACACAACAUGGCAUUACAAUUCAAGAAUAAAAAAUAAAAUAAAAAUAGUUUUUGCUUUCGUAGAGAACAACAAACUAUUAAAACUUCAAACAAAGAAAAUAAAAUAUUGCAAAAGAAAUAAAUGAAGAGGAUAGUCAGCUAAUUAACCCAUGUAUUUUUUUUGUUACAAAGGCUAAAGAGCAAGGAAAACAAAAGAAACAAACAGAUAACUAAAGUCUCAAGUAAAAGGUUCCAGCAGCAUGAGAGGCAAAAGCUCCGCUGGAGGAGAGUCGUGGCGGAUGAGCUAAUUGUCAUGGCGGAUGAGCUAAUUAACUCAUGUAUAAAACAAAAUACAUUAUUCAUACAACUGAAAAAUUAGUUAAUUUCUAGAGUUCAAGAAAUACCAGCAGAACACAAAUAACAGCCCAAACAUUUUAUAACUUUGCUAGUUAUCUUCUAUUAUUCUUACCCCAAGAUCAGUAAUUAGUAAUAAUUCACUUCAUUGAAGAUUCACAAUCUGAGUUCAAAUAUAGAGUUUUCAAAAAUGACAAUGUUUUUUUAAAAGAGAGAGAUACAUAGUCAUACUCAUAUGACAUGCCCCCAUGAAGAAAAACAUGGACCAAUGUCUUACUUUGACAUCAUUUUCAACUAGAGUUUUGAUUUCUUCGUCUACCUUCUUUUGCAUUUCUUUGCCUAGCCCUAAAAUUAAACCCAAGAACUUGCAAAAAAAUAUAUGAACUAAGAAUCAAAUCAAUAAAGUGAUACAAAGUAGUGAAGGAAAAUGGUUAGGGUUUCAAAAAAAAUGGGACUUUUUAUCUUUGUUGAAGUCUUAGCAAGAUAAUGAAGGAAGGUCACUUUCCAUCGAAGAAGAAGGACACAAUUACUUUUAAAAUGACACUGUAGGGAUGAAACAAAAAUGAAAUAAUUAGAGUAUAGCACAUGCUACAGUGACCGGAAAGUUGGUCGCUAAUUUUUUAAUAGAAUGGGUAAACAAAUAUCAGAGAUUGAAUUUUCUGUCACUAAACACCGGGUUCUACUUUAGUCUCCAAACUACAUUUGGAGACGCAAAAACUUAUUGUUAAAAAAUAUUUUAGAACUUUAUGAUGAUUGAAAACUUAUUGUCAAAAUCCUUCGCUAUAAUCCCGAUUUCUAGUAGUGUUUAUGAUUGAACACUCAUGAUAUUUUGUAAGGUUUGAACAUAACUGUGUCUUGUGGCAAUAAAUCAAGCGCAGUUGUGUAAACCUUCCUAAAAUUAUUGUAGGCUAUUUUUGGAAGAAAAGAGUAAAGUAACUUGCACAAAAUUGAGAAUGAACAGUAAAUUUUUAUCACACCUCUCUCAUCGAAAUUUAGUUGUUCCAGCCGCAUAGAACAUUGUAAGCCACCAACAACCACCAUUCCAUCUUCAUUCUUCAUUGUUUUAGCCAUGAAUCCGUUCCUUAUUACAUGACAUUGUCUUAAUCUUCAUCCUAAAGAAGCUAGUGAAGCAAUCAAAUCACCUUUUAUCCAAAUAUCAUUCGCGCAAGUUGUUAAAAAUGUUUGUGAUAUACCUUUGAGACAACAAUUCCUCAACUUAGUGUUAAAGGUGACUGGAUUGCUAUAGUAAUUCCUUAAUAUGAAUACAAAGAUGGAAUCAAAACUUGUAAGGACAACUUGUACAAACGAAUUAUCUGGAAAAGCGUGCAACACAGUUGAAGUUUGGUGCCUUGCGAGCCAAGCUAUCGCCAAUAUGGAAAUCCCUAAGUAAUGGCGAAUGACCUCUCUGGGUAAGGGUUAAUUUCUGAGUCCUCCUUUACAUCUCUAGAGGAUGUUCAAAGUGUGAGAUCGAUAGGAUCUUGAAUCUCAAGAGCAUUGGAGACCUAAAGUACUCUUUGAUAUAAGCCAAUAUUUGAUGUAGACUUUGACUAUUUUGUUUGAGUCUUGGUUGAUAUGGACCUUAAAUAUCAACCCAAGUACGACGCUCUUGUUGAGAGAACAUGGUUUCAUUUUUGUGGAGAUGAGAAUAUUUUUUGUGAAUCGAACCAACUCGAAUUUAGUUUAAAACUCGAUUCGAUAAUUGAUUUAUUGAACUUAGUUCAUGAACUAAAUGAGCUGAAUUUAAGUUGAAAAUUAAGUUUGUUAAUUAUAUGAGUCGAACAUGAACUAUAUAUAGUUCGACUCGUUUGGUUCAUGAACUGACUCGAUUAUAUAUAUAUAUAGGACAUAUCUAAUGAGAAUAGCUUUGUUAUGUGAGAAUAAUGAGAACGCAUAUGGAUCCUUAGAUUAAAAAUAAAUGGUUAUGAUUAAAAGUCCUCUUUUAAACAACACAUGUUCUUUCUACAGUGUAUCAUGUUUCUAUGUUCAACCCAUCUUCAAUCCAAACAACACCAUUCCAGUAUUGCUUUCAUCUAUGCCACCCGCCGGUGACACGACAACUCCGGCAAUUUUUCGAUUGAUGGAGGAACAAUUUCCGAAAGGUUUCUGUAACUUAAAUUGAUUGUUCUGAGAUUGCAAAGCUGACUAAUCCCUGUCGGAAUCUCGUCGGAGAUGAAAUUCCAGCUGAUGCCGAAAAACUUACUGACGUGAAACAUUUAGAUCGACGAGAGUUGAGAGCUUACCGACGACGGUGUCUAUUUUUCCGGUGAGGCCAGGAUAACCGGAUCUAGAUUCGCCGAGAUUUAGAUCAACGACUUAAUGGACGGAAAAUUAAACUCUGACAAGGUUGCAGGGAUGGUCGGUGAUGGCCACAAAGUCACAUCACCCAAAGACGAUGAAGGAACCAAAACGUUUUAGAAAAUUGGGAAUGAAGAGGAAAAAAUUGAAUUAAUUUGGUUUUUCAUCUCUCGUAUUAAUUUGGAUCUAGAUUCAAUUUUAUCAUUUUUCAUCCUGUAUGUGUUUUUCAUAAGAUUGAUUUUGAACCAAUUAUGAGAGAGAAGGGAUACGACGGAUUGGGCGUGAGGAAGAAUGCAGGAUGGAAGGUGUGUUGUUGAGAAAUUUUUUUUUUUCUGCCCUUAUUUUUGCCAAAAAACACAAAACUACCCUACUUUUUCGAAAAAUUGCAAAAAUACCCUACUUUUUCUGAUACCCCUGGCACCACACAACCCCAAGUUGCGGGGUACCCUCAAAGUUGACGAAAUUUUUGUCCUUAUUAUACCCCACAACUCCAAGUUGCGGGGUACUUUCCCUAUUUUUUUUUUUUAAUUUUAAACUACCAAGCAAGAUGGACUUGCGAGGUAGUUUAUAAUUUUUUUUUUUUAAAAAUUAAAUACCCCACAACUUGGGGUUGCAAGGUAUUUUUCUAUUUUUUUUUUAAUUUUAUAAUUAAUUAAAAUAUAUUAUUUCAUCUACUAUAAAUACUUUCUUUCAUCUUUCAAUUUAUCACACCAUUUCAUUUUUUGAUAAUUAGUUGCAUUAUUUUGGUCAGGAUAUUAAUAAUGUUAAUUUAGGCAUUAAUAAUAAAGUAAUUAUAAUAAUAAUCAUUAUCUACGAAAAAUAAUAAUAAUAAUAAUAAUCAUAAUAUAUAUAAAAUAAAAAACUUACGAAAUAAAAUAAAUAUGCAAUAAAGACUAGAUUUCUACUGAUGUCUAAUAUUAGUGCAAUCUUUGCGGGAAUGAUCAGGCAUCCUACAAACGCCGCAUCUUCUCUCAGUUUCCACAUCGUCCAUCUCGGUCCUAAUGCGAGUAAUUGGUGGACGACCUUUCUUUGCCCUACGCAUCGACUUGUUGGGAACCACCUUCAGUCCUUCAUAAUCAGGCCAAUAUGACUGGUGGUGAACCACGUCGAAGUGGAUGUUGUAUACGGCGUACACACACUCAUUCGUGAAUUUGUUAUCGACAAAAGUCUUGUAGUCGUGAGAAAAGCUAGAACAUGCGGCAAUUACAUGUGAGCAUGGUAGGUGUAACGCUCUGAACCGUCCACAGUCACACCAUUUAUUUUGCAGGUCCACCUUGUAUUCUCCCUUUGGUAAUCCUUCUUUAUGGUCGAUGGUUUCACAGACAGAAAAGGUAUAUCGAUCCCGGUCAAACUGAGUGACAUGAUGACUGUUGGAUUUAAUAACCUCAUUCCUGAGAUAUUUCAUGAUGUUUUCUGAGAAUGGCUCACCAGAAUUUACCCUUGCCGCUGCUUCAUGUCCUCUUUUAGCAAACAAGGCCGCCAACCUGUAAUAGGAUGCUUUCACAAUUGCUGUGAUCGGGAGUCCUCGAAUUCCCUUAUACACGUUGUUUUGUGACUCUACCAAGUUACUUGUCAUGUGGCCCCAUCGUCGACCAUCAUCAUGUGAUUGAGUCCACUUUUCUUUGGGAAUGUUGUCGACCCAUGCUAAAGCCUUCCGGUCCGCGACAGCGAUUUCAGAGCGGUAGUAUUCGAAUGUUGGGAUGUUCAUGGCGUAACCUGCAUUGUUUUGAAAAAAUUUAGAUGUGUCUUCUUUAAACAAAUAAUAUGUCGAAAUUACAAGGAUAGAGAUAUAAUUUUUACCCAUGCCUUCAACUUUCUUCUUAAGUUCUCCAUCCUUGAACGAUCGCAUAAAGUUUUGUGCAAUGUGUCGGACACAAAACACAUGGCUUGUCGGAGCAUCAUGCCAUCCAUUCUGUGGAUCAUCAUAUGCGCUCUUUAUCGACACAUGUCUAUCAGAAAUGAGACAUAUGUUCGCCUGUGGGGUGACAUGCUGCCUUAGAUUUUUCAAAAAGAAACUCCAUGCCUCCUUGGUCUCCCCUUCCACGAUUGCGAAAGCAAUGGGAAAUAUCUUGUUGUUCCCAUCUUGCGCAACAGCUAACAACAAUGUUCCUUUGUAUUUACCAUACAACCAAGUUGCGUCAAUCUGGACAAUUGGUUUGCAGAAUUCGAAGCCCAAGAUGCACGGACGAAAGGCCCAAAAGAGACGCUUGAAGACGAUCUCAUUGACCACUUCUGUUGAUGGGUCUGUUUGAAAAUCAAUAAUUGUUCCUGGCAAAUCUUUUUCCAUGACCAUCAACCACUGUGGUAGUUCUUUAUAAGAAUCCUCCCAGUUACCAUAAAUUGAUUCAAUCGCCUUAUUUUUUGCUCUCCAUGCCUUUCUAUAAGAAAUUGUAUAAUUAAACUUCUCUCGGAUGUGUGCAAUUAUAACUUUCACCGUAAUUGAAGCAUCCAUAUGUAGUAGUGAUUUAACACUUUCACAUAUGACAUUGUAACUAAGUUUGCAAUGAUCUUGCGUCAAUUCUGUUGAGACACAUGUAUGAGGAUCCUUCAUUUUUCCAAUCUCCCAUCUAUCAGAUUUUUUCCUCCACGAGGCCCGCAAUUUGAAACCACAAGUAGUAUCUUUACAUUUGAUGACAUACCUUUCAUGAUCCGAUUGCUUCACAAAAUAAUCCCAUGAAUUUUUUAUGUGAUAAUAUCUAAUUGCGAGAAUGCAAUCAUUCUUGUUAUGAAAUUGCAUCCCCGGAGAAAUACCUUCAUCGACUGGAAGAGUCAUUGACUGAUAAAGCUCAGUUGAGUGGUCAUCAAUGACGUUGCGCAUAGACCUUGGUGGGUUGUAAGAAGCUCUGAUCGGUGAAAUUGGUAGUUGUGGCACAAUGUCUUCUUCGUCUUCUUCGUUCUCAUCACCGCUUUGUGCAGCAAGGAGUUCUUCAUCAUCAUCGUCAUCAUCAUCUUGAACUUCAUCAUUUGAGUGGUCCUGGAUUUGGGAGGUGAAUAUAUUUAUUUCAUCGUUUAAAGUUUGAGAUUGUGUUUGAGAGGGAUCAACUUGAGUUAAUCUUUGUGAUGGUUCGUACUGAUUUUGUGACCAUUGUGAAUGAAAAGAUUUUGAUGAUGAUGGAUUGUAGUGCGGUUGUGAUGAUGAUGGAUUGUAGAAUUGACUAGAACUUGAUGGGUAAUUUAACUCAAGAUUAGAUGUUGGAUUCUUCAUCUCAAACGUAACAUAAAGCUCUAUGUAGGACAAAGAACUGUGACUCUUAUGUACGUCAAACAUAAACUCGACAUCGUCGUUAUCGGUUAGUCUUAACGCCUGGUAGUGAAUUGUGCUAGCUCCAUGAAGAGGGUGCACCACUAAGCACUCGUACACGACAACACAUACAACCAAGUCCAUUUAUUGAGGAUUAUCUACGUCAAGCUGGAUUUUAUGAGGUUACGCAAAUAGGGCAUUAUAAAAUUGACAGACAUAUCGUAACCGCUCUUGUAGAAAGAUGGCGAUCCGAGACACAUACUUUUCAUUUUCGAACAGGUGAAUGUACAAUCACGCUGGAAGAUGUAUAUAUGUUACUUGGCAUACCUUUUGGAGGACAAAUUGUUACGGGUCCUCCACAUCUUUCAUGGGAUAUUUGUUUUCAACUCUUGGGAAUAGCUGCUCCAGAACGCAAAACUGAUGGUUUUACUCUCUCAUUGGCGUGGUUAAAGGAAAAUAUGGUCGAUCCAAACUUCAAUCAACAAUCACCUCCAGAAGUCAAAAUACAACACACUAGGAGGUACAUACUAUACCUCAUUGGGGGUUUCUUGUUUCCAAAUACAACUGGAUUAUAUGUGCACAACUCUUGGUUGUAUUUGUUAAUGGAUUUUAAUGAAACAAGAAAAUAUAGUUGGGGAUCGGCAGUUUUAUCUUACCUUUAUCGUGGCUUGUGUGAGGCAUCCCACCCAAACAUAAAAGUUAUAGCUGGAUGUCAUUUUCUCUUACAAGUUUGGGGAUAUUGUCGAUUGACUCAUAUCGCUCCGAGAAAUUCAAAACCACUCCAGUGGCCGUUAGGAUUAAAGUAAGCAUGGUCAACACCCUUUUUUUUUAUUUUUUAUUAAUUCCCGCACAUAUUCUCGCCUAUUACUAUUUUUAUUUUUUUAGUAAAUCUAAUUUUUUUAAUUUAAUUUGUUAGAUGGACAGGAGUAGGUUCAAGGUACUACGACAAUCCAAGCCAUGACACUAUAUCUUACAGAAAACAGUUUGAUGACAUACUACAGCAUGAUGUAAUAUAUCCUUCAUUUUUGAAUUAUUCCUUCAUAUAUAUAUGUAUAACAAAAUUAUUAACAAUACACUAUAUAUUCUCUUUUGUCCCAGUUUAAGUGGAGACCAUACAAGAGAGUUCCACACGAUUUGCCUGCUGACUAUUGGGAUUGUACUGCGACAACUUACCUUAUAUGUUUUGAUAAGGUUGAAUGGCAUCCAACUGAUAGGGUCAAGCUUCAAUUUGGUUUGUCACAAGAAAUACCAGGGGCCCCAAUAAACAUGCAGCAAUUCCAUAAGUUGGACAAACGGUACAAGGCGUGGUAUGAAUCAAGAGGUUUUCGCUUUCCACAAGAGAGCGAACAUUGGGACAAUCGACGCCUUUAUACAUUACCACAAAUGCGGCCAAAAUCUCUCACCCCAACUCAUUCGUAUAUUGAUUGGUUGACAACCACUUGCAAUCCACGUCUGAGGAUUUCAAUUGACAGAAUGCCAAUAAAUUCAGAUCCAGAAGAGGAAGAAGAGCCGGAGAUAGAACCAGAGCAUGAAGCUGAAAUUCACAACAACCAACCACCAAUUCAUGAUGAUUUUUGGGAUGAAGACUUUCUUAACCGACUAGAUGAUCCUCAAUCCCAACCACCUACAACACAAAACACUCAAGGUUCUAUAAUGUAUGAUUUUCUUGACACCCCACAACAAAAUAUCAUCCAACCACCACCAUAUACCACCCCAAGAAAUGCAUAUAACCGUAAUUAUCAGUCAACUUACCAACUGAAUUCAAUGUCAAAUUUUGGUUACAAUGACCCAAACCAAGCUGGACCAUCCACCGGUAACUACUUCUCCUAUAAUGACCCAAGCCAAGCUGGACCGUCCAACACCAAUUACCCCCCCCCCCCCCUACAACGACCCCCAAUACUCAAUGUACACCAACCAAAACUACAACCAACCAACACCAACAAACCUACUAUCUCACUUCUCUCCGGAUGCGAUGAACUCCAAUGAACAAUUUCUGGAUAUGGGUUGGCCAACAAGGGAACACGAUGUGUCGUUGUCGUUGGGUUAUGGCAGUCAGACACAAUCAACUGCAGAUAAUAAUGACGAAACCCAACAUGACGCUCAAGUAAAUCGUCAAAGAAAUCGUCGUAGACGAGGGUGUGGGACAGGAGGGCAUUUGUAAUAAUUGUAUAUUUGUUAUUAGUUUAUAAAAAUUAAGUUUUUUCUAUUUUUUUUGUUAUUGGCGCGGAACCCCAAGUUGAGUACCUUGCAACCCCAAGUUGUGGGGUAUUUAAUUUUUUAAAAAAAAAAUUAUAAACUACCUCGCAAGUCCAUCUUGCUUGGUAGUUUAAAAUUAAAAAAAAAAAAUAGGGAAAGUACCCCGCAACUUGGAGUUGUGGGGUAUAAUAAGGACAAAAAUUUCGUCAACUUUGAGGGUACCCCGCAACUUGGGGUUGUGUGGUGCCAGGGGUAUCAGAAAAAGUAGGGUAUUUUUGCAAUUUUUCGAAAAAGUAUGGUAGUUUUGUGUUUUUUGAAAAAAAGAAGGGCAGAAAAAAAAAAUUCGUGUUGUUGAAUGGGUUCUUGAAAAAUGAUAGAAUAAGGAGUGGAACAGGUGUUAUUUUAAAUGUCUUUUUUAAUCUCAAUCAUCCAUUUUUGAUCUAAUGGUUAAUAAACAUUCUCACCAUUCUCAUAUAAAAUAUUCAUUCUCAUAUGAUAUGUCCUAUAUAUAUAUAGAGAGAGAGAGAGAGAGAGAGAUUUGUUAGAACACACCCAUUAGUUUUUAUGUGGGAGUGUUUUAGCAAGUUAUGACUAAAAAGUUAAUAAAUACACCAUAAGAUGUAUGUUGCUAUAACACACCUUCUAAAAAAAAAGUGAGUGUGUUCUAGCAAAUUCUAUAGGCAUUUGCUAGAAUACACACAUAUUUUUUAGAAUGAGUAUUUUAGCAAGUGAAAAAUUAAAAAGUGAUUAAAUACACUUUAACGUGUAGCUUUGCUAAAACACUCCUACAUAAAAACUAGUGGGUGUGUUCCAGCAAACCCUAUAUAUAUAUAUAUAUAUAUAUAUAUAUAUAUAUAUAUAUAUAGGGUUUGCUACAAUAGACCCACCUUUUUUCAUGAAGGUAUAUUUUAGCAAGGUGCACCUUUUACUUUAGACAUAAUAACCCAUAUAUUUUAGCAAGGUAUAUUUCAUGAAGGUAUAUUUAAUAAAAUAAAAAAUAAUCUGAAAAUUUUAAUAAAAAUGAAAAAGAAUCCGGUAAAAUGAAAAAAAUUUGGAAAAAUUAAUAAAAAGUUCUAGAAAAUUUUAAAAAAUAAUAAAAAAUCUGGAAAAAUUUAAAAAUAUGAGAAAAAAUUUAUAUUUCUGGAAAAUUCAGGAACUUCUUAUAUUUCGAAAUUCAUGAAUAUAAUAAGAAAAUACAUUUUAUUUUUUUAAAAAAAAAGUUCAGAUUUUUCUUUCGAAAUUAAAAAGUUUGUUUUUUUUUAUUUUUUAUACAAAAAAUAAAAAUAUUGAAAAAUAUUUCAAUAAUUAAAAACACAUAACAUUAGAUCAUGAAGAAUAGAAUUAAGGGCUUCUUAUUCAAUAGUAUAACAUGACUUAUAUACUGAUGUUAAUCAAAAUCCAUUGUAUCUUGUUAUUCAUCUAGAUUAUAUUUUCGAAUAAAAUAAAAUUCUAGCAAUAAAUUUUCAUAAUUAAAAUAACUAUAUAAUAUUAUAUUGUCGAUUUUUUUUAUAAUUUUAAUUUAAUUCAGAAUGUUUUUAUAUUUUUUGAAAAAUUUGAUAUAUAUAAAUUUUUUCCAUAAUUUUUUAUUUUUUUUAACUUUUUCCAGAUUUUUUUUUAUUUUCGUGAUUUUUUUUCUUAAAUUUUCUAUAUUUUUUCAUAAUUGUUUUUUCAUUAUUUUUUAUUUUUAAUAAUUUUUCCAGAAUUUAUUUUUUAUUUUUAUUUUAAAAAAGAAAUACAAAUGCCACGUGUACCAUUUAAAAAAAAUAAAAAAUAAUAAUAAUGCAGUCAUCACGCCACAUAAUCAGAUAUGCACAGUAAGCAUGCCACAUCAUCUCGCCACGUCAGCAAUUAUGCACAGUCACAUAGAUCAGGGGCUAAAAUCAAAGAAUCUUAUUUUACAUGGUUGGAAACUUUUUUUUUACUGGAAGGUAAACCGGAACUCGCCUAAAUUACAGGGAUAAAUACAUAUUAACCCUUAAUGUUUUUUACUUUAUUUUUUCUUCUCUCUCUCAUUCUAUCUCUUUCGGUUCCCUUUGUUCUUCCUCUUUUUUUUCUAUUCCCUCAUUGGUAAUUCUUAGACAGUCACGAAUCAAGCACAUGAAAUUGAAGAAGAACCUUAAGCUCUCAAUGUUGCUCAAUAGCUUCUUUGUUAAAGGCACAAACGUUUGUUUUGCUUCAAAGAAUUUGGUAAAAUGAAGUAGUUUCUUGAUCUCUUCAUUCAUUCUUCAACAACAAUCACCAUUAUAACACUUAGAUCCCUGGAUUCAAAAUACUACGAGUUUGAUUCAAAAAAUUAUGAAUGGAAAGACCAUCUUAUUUUCCCUUGUUUUUAUACAUACCAGUUUGAUUCAAAAAAUUGAAUCAAGGACCGGUAAUGUUUUGAAAUUAUUGUUGUGGAUUCAACUGAGUUUCAAGGAUAAAAUUAUGUUGAAGGUGGCGAUGGUGAUUGGAAUGUCCAUGAAAGAAGAAUGGUAGAAGAAUAGAAAAAGGGAAACCCGACAUAAGAGAAUGAAAGAGAGAAAUGAAGAAAACUAAGGAAAUAAAAAACAUUAACACUGUGUUUCGUAGAGGAGAAAAAGGAGAGAGAGAAGUUGAAGAGAGAGAAAUAGGAGAGAAGUCCUUCACUUCUGUUGUUUGGUUGUGGUGAGAAACAGAGAAGGGAGAGUUAAAACCUGUGGGACCCACUGCUUUUUGAAUCUUCUCAUGGAUGAGGAGAAACAGGCGAGAGAGUUGCAAUUUUUGCAAUUUUCCAAUUAUGCCCUUCCAUUGCAUGAAGAAAAGACAAAAUCUUAAGUAUAUAAUUGAAUGGUUGUGUUCGUAUGUGAAGUUUAUUGCACUUUUAAUUAAUUUCAUAGUAAAAAAUCCUCAAAGUAAAUUAACUUAGCAACUAAAAUAAUAUGAACCACACUUCACUAUAAAAAAAUUAACUUAUUAACCACACUUCCGUACUAUAACUUAAUGAAAAUUAUUCAUUUUUUAAUUAAUUCAAAUAAAGAUUUUAGUUAACGUUGUUAAAAAAAAUGUAUUGCAGGUAAUAUAAAUUAUUUUUUUCACUUAUUCAAAAAAAAAAAAAAAUUCACAAAAAUGAACAUAAAUUAUGUUUUUCUACUCCAAAUAAUUCAAAUAAAGAUUUUAGUUAACGUUGAUAAAAAAAAGUAUUGCAGGUAAUAUAAAUUUAUUUUUUCACAAAAGGAAACAUAAAUUAUGUUUUUCUACUCCAAACAAUUAUUUAGUUUCUUUUUAUUUUGUUUAAGGGUAUUAUUGUCCUUUAAAAGCAAUUACAUUAUUCUUUCUCUUCUAUCUCUCUUAUCUUUCUCUUCUACCAAACAUUACAUCAAAUUUACUCAAUCUCUCACCUUUUUCUCUCUUCUCAAACUCUCUCUUAGGGUGUGUUUGGUUGUCAGAAGAAAGUGUAAAGAGAGAAAGAGGUGAGAGAGAGUUAGAAAAGAGAGAAGUUGAUGAGAAAUAGAGUAGAUUUGAGAUAUUGUUUGGUAUAAGAGAGAAAGAAGAGAAAUAGAAGAGAAAGAAGUGUGUUCAUUUUUUAAAAGACUUAAAUACCCCUAUACUAAAAAAGUUAAUAUAUGAUAUUGUUAUAUUUGAAUUUAAUUUCAUAUAAACAUUAAUGUACUUUUUUAUAUUAAUUUAAUUAAGAAUAAUUAAACCACAUUUUUACAGAGAAAUUGAGUAAAUUAUUUACUUAAUUAAUUAUUCAAGAUAUUUGAAUUUAAUCGAUUAAAUUAAUUCUUUUUUACGUAGUCAUUUAGAUUAAAUUAAUUCAUUAGUUAACUAAUCAGUAAAUUCCAAUAGUUUAAUCCUGUUUUACAAGAGAGAUCAAAUAAGGAGAAGCAUAUAGUUGCUUAGUUUCCUUCGCAACUUUUGUUCUCGACCUGCUACAACAAUAAAAGAAAAAUACUAGAAAACAAAAUGAUAAAUAAUACUAGUAGCCACUAGGGGUUCAGAACCGAACCGAUCCAAAAAAAAAACCGUCAACCGAUCCAAAAAACCGAAAACCGCAAAAAACCGAUUUUUUUUGGAUGUGUUUGGGCCAUAAAAAUUAAAACCGACCGGUUCGGUUCGGUUUUCGGUUUAUAACUUAAGAACCGGACCGAACCAAACCGAACCACACUUAUUAUACUGUUACUAGACUAUUCUAUUACUUAGGCCGGUUUUGUCAGCUGAAACCCUUCAGAUCGCUCUCAUCAGUUACCAAAGCAAACUAGCCAACUAUCAAAGUACCAAGUACCAAGAGCGUGUUUAAUUCUUUCUUACUCCCAAUGAUGACUUUUGCUAUUAAACUGAAGGAAUCAAAUGGUUCAUUCACUAAUCUACCAACACUCCAAACACUAAUCUCCUCUCUUCUCUCCCUUUGCAAUGCGUCGCUCAGGUAACAUUUUUGUGCAUACUCACUACUACUCUGAUAGUCUUUUCCUUCUCUUCAAUAGCUGAAUCAGAUGGAUUAGAAAGAAUGGGUUUUUUUUGGUCCUAUUUGUGAAAUCCAUGAUCAAAGGGCGCUAUUGAUAAUGUAAUUUGGGUUUCUUAUAAUUUUGAAUGCUACUGGUAGCUUAUAUUUUUUGCAUUAUAAGGAAGGGAUGCGUCCCUGUAGAGUUUGGUAGCUAGCUUUUCUUAAAUAAAAUUAGCUUGUGAAAAUCCAUCCGGAAGAAUAUAUUAGAAAGGAUGGGUUCUAAUUAAAUAAAAUUAGAUUAGAAAUUUAUCUUAGAAAAAUUAGCUUGGGUUUCUUUAAGUAUUUUACUUAAAUAAAAUUUAUCAAUUUGUCAAAAUCCAUGAUCAAUAGUUGAAUGAAAUAGAUUAGAAAGAUCAAGUUCUUUGAUUCACUUGCUUCUUUGUGUAUAAAAAAUGUUGAUUGAUUUUUUUUUUUAUCACUUACUUCUUUAGUAUAAUUUCUUCUUGUAUAAAAAAUGUUUGGAACAACAAUUGUUGAUUUGUUUUUUUCCACGUAAGAAUGUAUGUUUGUUUAAGGAAAAAAAUAAAAUUCAAAACAAUCAAAAUUUAUGUUUGAAAUCUUCUUUGUUAUAGAAUUAUUUGUUAAUUCGUAUGUGUAUACUUUGCAGGCUGAAAACACUCAAACUAAUAAGAGUAGAAUAGCUGAAAAUGUUGAAUCUAUUGCUGAACAUGAACUACUUGCAACACUACCAUGGAUAGCAUUUGUUUAUAUUGUUUCAGGCUACAAAAGUUUCUUUAUAAUUGCAUGCUACAAAAGUUUGCGGCAACUUAUAUGUAUCCGGUAUACUUAUCCUACAAAUUAUAGAAUUAGGAAAGAAUUUUCUACAACAUAAUAUAUUAAAUAUAAAAGAGAUACUAUAAGUCAUAACUUUAUAGGUGUAGAAUAAGGAAAAAGCUUCUCUCAAAAUAAUUUUUAAUAAGAAUAUUACUAUCACUUUUUUACAAUUUGGAUAACCGAAAACCGAUCCAAAUUAAAUCGCGAUAAUUUGGAUCGGAUCGGUUCGGAUUUUUUUUCUACCACCAAUUGAACCGAGCCGAACCGCAUAUGUUUUAUUUUUUGGAUCGGUUCACUUUUUGCCUCAUAACCGAGCCGAACCGCACCGCAAACACCCCCAGUAGCCACUGUAUAUAUCACUGAAACAAGGGAGAAAUGUGGAAAAUAGAAAAAAGUUUGUGUCCAUUUCUCCGCACAUAUGGAGAGAAGUGAAAUAGGCAUGGGUCCCACAAUAUUUUGUCUCUCUUCUCAACCAAACACAAGAGAUUGCCCAUCUCUCUCCAACUUCUCUCUCCCUUCUUUCUCUCUUUUGUAUUUCUCUCCUACCAAACACAUCGUUACUUAUUUCUCUAGAUCUUCACAAUUUCUCUUCGUAACCAAACACACCCUAAUGAUUUCAGUCAAACAAAAUAAAAUCAUUUAUGACUAAACUAAAAUUACACGUAUGUCGCUUUGUCAAAAAGCAAAAAUAUGGAUAUUAAUGUCUAAAAUAAAAGGUACACCUUGUUAAAAUAGACCUUCAUAAAAAAAUAUGAGUCUAUUAUAGCAAACCUCAUUUAUAUAUAUUAUAGUUACUCUCAUUUUUAUUUAGAAGAUAUAAAAAUUAUAUUCAAAUAAUUCACUAAUAACAACAACCGUCGACCCUAUCAAUUGUAUCUUCGAACGACAUUUUGCAGUAACUAGUCUGCACAAAAUAAUCUCAUAACAAUAAUGUGGCAUGCGGAAAUAAAGUAUAGUUUUUUAUUUGACAAAAGAAAUAAAAUAUUGUUGAGAAAUAACAAUUUAUCAGUUUUUAUAAUGAAUGAAAAUGUGUAAAAGUUUUUAUUUUUAAAAGAAAAGGAUUUUUGUUUAGAAAAAAAAAAGGCUUAAUUGAUCCUCUCGUCUCUUAACUUAAUUCUUUUUUUUGAAUUGGUCCUGUAACUCUUAAAAGUCUCAAAUUGGUCCUUUAUAUGUGUUUCCGUCGGUCAAUUUAAUCCUAUUUCGUCAAUUUUAAUCUUCUAAAAAGGGAGACCGUUGGAUAAAGGAGGUUUGUGAGAUUUAACCAUGUAUCACCAACACCUAAUUUAUUUCACUUUUCAUCAUCUUCUUCCCUCAUCUUCAUCUUCAUACAAGCUUCAUCAAUCUUCAUAAAAAAAAACCUAUUUUUUUCUUUAAAAAAUUAAACCAUUUAAUUUCAACAAAUACUACAUAAUCAAACCCUUAAAUCUAGAAUUAACAUCACCACCAUAUUAAUAUAAACCUAGAAGAUCAACAACAAAUAACCCAGAAAACAAAACAAAACUCAUCAUUUUAACUCCUCACCUCAUCAUUAACAAAAUAAAAUCCAUUUCUUAAAACCCAUUUGAAAUUUGAAACCCGUCAUCACUUCAAAACUCAUCAGCAACAGUAAAUAUCUCUAUAACGACAGAUUCAAUGAAAGGAAAAGAGAAUCUUAAAACCCAAUGCUUGAUUAAAUAAAUGUCCCAACCCAUUUCUCACAAACCCAUUAAGCAUCAAAAUUCUCAUACUUGCAAUUGAUUGCUUUCCAAAUAUGAUUCCAACGGAGAUUUGAUUUUGUGUAUGUGGUUGUGAUUCUGAAAAGGACCGUGAGAUGGAGAUUUGAUUUUGGUGCAGGUUCAAGAACACAUGCAUGUUCUAGCGUUUCUGUUGAAAUGGUGUUGGUGUUGAGAUUCUGGUGAUGGUGUUAUUGUGGUAAUUCUGAUUUAGGAGAAGAGAAGAGAAGAAUAGGAGGAGGAAGGAAGAAUAUUAAUAUUUAUGGGUAAUUUUGAUUUUGUGGGUAGUUCAGAUUUGCUGGGUUUAUUUUUGGUUUAAUUGCUCAAUAUUUAUGAAGUUAAUGAAGAGGAAGAUGAAGAAAAAGUAUGAAAACCUUUAUCUUGAUAAGAUCCACAGUUUACUCAACCCUUUGCGGAGAACAAGUAUGAAAAUUUGACAAAUUCUAUUAUUAGAAAAUUUGAUUAAAUUGAAUGUUAUACUAACCCUUGAAUUAUUCAAACAAAUCAGCACCUAAUAACAAUAUGAUACAUUGAGCUGGAAAUUAAUGGAAUUCAAUGCGGCUAUAACAUAUGGGGUGCACCAUGUGCGAAGGUGAUUAUGAUGAUAAUGUUGGAUUUGGGUAUGAGAACAGUGUGAUCUUGGGAAGCAAUGAUAAUGCUAGAAUCGGGUAUGAUAUUUGAAGUUGGUAGGAUGGAUUUUUGAAAGAAAAAAAGAAAUGUAUUUUUUUACGAAGAUGAUGAAGAUUGUUGAAUGUUGGAUGAAGAUGAAGAUGAAGAUGAGGGAAGAAGAGGAAGGAAAGUGAAAUAAAUUAGGUGUUGGUGAUACAUGGUUAGAUCUUACAGACCUCCUUUAUUCAACGGUCUCCUUUUUUAGGAGAUUAAAAUUGACAAAAUAGGACUAAAUUGAUCGACAAAAAUACAUAUAAAGGAUCAACUUGAGACUUUUAAGAGUUAUGAGACCAAUUUAAAAAAAAAAUUAAUUUAAGGGCUGAAGGAUCAAUUAAGGCAAAAAAAAAAAAAACAGUUGUCAAAAACACAAGUACGUUACUAUUAUAAAUUUCUUUCUAUACACAAGAAUGGUGUUCUUUCUGUUAAGCAGUGAAUUUCUGCAUAUUAUAUUUUAUCGAAAAAUUGGUAAAAUAGAUAAACUUGUUCAAGAUGUUCAAUACAUUGAAUUAAAGUGGAUGCAUAAGACAAAUAUCAGUAAAUGACACACACCGGAACUAAUUACUCCAAAGAUCAUUAUUCUGUCGGCCACGUUUUAAAGGUUAAAGUGGAUCAAUCAUACUAUUCCUAACAAUUAUACAAUAAUGGACUAGAUUCAUAAACAUUGAUGUACUUUUCAUUUGUGUUCAACUCGGAAAACAAAGAGACAAAUAAUAUACCAAUAAAAGGAGUGAUAUUUGUACAAUUCUUGUGACAAUUACAUUUCUCUUCUUUUUAUUGAACAAAAAUAAAGGAGAGAAAAAAAGAAAAGAGAGAAUAAAAACACAUGUAAAUAUGAGAAAAAAUGAUUAUUUUAAAAGUUGUUUAAAUGGAGAUGUACACUUUCUCUAUCAAUUUGAUCCCGAUAACAAAUUUGUGAUUGAAAAUGUGUGUCCUAGAAACACCCAAUCAAUAAUGGAACCUUGCAAGCAAGUUGCAUAAACUUGUGGUUGAAAAUGUGCGUCCCACGUGAACGUUUGCUCACAAUUAUUGACCACCCUACUUUGCUGACUUUCUACUUUCAUUGCAUUUAUUCUCAAAGGUCUCCUUCAUAAUAGUUCAGCAUUCAUUAUAUCUAAACAAAUUUCUAAUCUUCUUAUCUUUUCAACUCUUUCUUUCUUUUCACAAAAAAAAAUGGCUGACGCUUUGCUUGGAGUUGUGUUUGAAAAUUUGACGUCUCUCCUUCAAAAUGAAUUUUCAACCAUUUCUGGAAUCAAGUCAAAGGUUCAAAAGCUAUCAAACAACUUAGUUCACAUCAAGGCUGUUCUUGAAGAUGCUGAGAAGAAACAAUUCAAAGAACUCUCUAUUAAGCUAUGGUUACAAGACCUCAAAGAUGCUGUUUAUGUGCUCGAUGAUAUCCUUGAUGAGUAUUCAAUCAAGUCUGGUCAACUUAGAGGAUCAUCCUCUCUCAAACCAAAGAACAUCAUGUUUCGCAGUGAGAUCGGCAACAGGUUAAAAGAGAUUACAAGGAGGUUAGAUGAUAUUGCUGAAAGUAAGAACAAGUUUUCUCUACAGAUGGGUGGAACUCUUAGGGAAAUCCCAGAUCAAGUAGCUGAAGGGCGCCAAACCGGCUCAAUUAUUGCUGAAUCAAAAGUGUUUGGACGAGAAGUUGAUCAAGAAAAGAUUGUCGAGUUUCUUCUCACCCAUGCGAAGGACUCUGACUUCAUUUCUGUCUAUCCCAUUUUUGGUUUAGGUGGUAUUGGAAAAACAACUCUUGUUCAAUUGAUCUUCAAUGAUGUUAGGGUGAGUGGCCAUUUUGAUAAAAAAGUUUGGGUUUGUGUUUCUGAGACUUUCUCGGUCAAGAGGAUUUUGUGUUCUAUUUUCGAAUCUAUCACAUUAGAGAAGUGUCCUGACUUUGAGUAUGCUGUAAUGGAAGGAAAGGUGCAAGGAUUGUUGCAAGGGAAAAGAUAUUUGCUGGUUUUGGAUGAUGUGUGGAAUCAAAAUGAACAAUUGGAAUCUGGGUUAACACAAGAUAGAUGGAAUCGUUUGAAAUCUGUUUUGUCGUGUGGAUCUAAAGGUAGUUCCAUUUUAGUGUCCACUCGUGAUGAGGAUGUUGCAUCAAUCAUGGGGACAUGGGAAAGUCACCGUUUGUCUAGUCUCUCUGAUAGUGAUUGUUGGUUGUUGUUCAAACAACAUGCAUUUAAACGUAACAAAGAAGAGGAUACAAAGCUUGUGGAAAUUGGAAAGGAGAUAGUAAAGAAAUGUAAUGGAUUGCCUCUUGCAGCAAAAGCAUUGGGGGGUUUGAUGAGCUCAAGGAAUGAAGAGAAGGAAUGGCUUGAUAUUAAAGACAGUGAGCUUUGGGCUUUACCACAAAAAAAUUCUAUUUUGCCUAAUGGAUUUAUUUCAUCUAUGGGUAAUUUGGACGUUGAUGAUGUUGGAAACACGGUUUGGAAGGAAUUGUACCAAAAAUCAUUCUUUCAAGAUAGAAAGAUGGAUGAAUAUUCUGGAGACAUUUCUUUUAAGAUGCAUGAUCUUGUCCAUGAUCUCGCUCAAUUAGUAAUGGGGCCAGAAUGUAUGUAUUUGGAGAAAAAAAACAUGACCAGUUUGUCAAAAAGCACACACCACAUUGGUUUUGACCUCAAAGACUUGUUAUCCUUUGAUAAGAAUGCUUUCAAAAAAGUUGAAUCCUUGAGAACAUUGUUUCAGUUGAGUUAUUAUUCCAAAAAAAAACAUGAUUUCUUCCCAACAUACCUUUCUCUUCGGGUUUUAUGCACAUCCUUUAUCCGGAUGCCAUCACUAGGGAGUUUAAUUCAUUUAAGGUAUUUGGAACUUCGUUCUCUUGACAUAAAUAUGUUGCCUGACUCAAUUUACAACCUAAAAAAGCUGGAAAUCUUGAAAAUAAAACACUGUGAUAAACUUAGCUGGCUUCCAAAACGCUUGGCUUGUUUACAAAAUCUUAGACAUAUAGUCAUUGAAUAUUGUGAAUCUUUGUCUCGUAUGUUUCCUAACAUUAGAAAAUUAACUUGUUUAAGAACAUUAAGUGUGUACAUUGUUAGUUUAGAGAAAGGGAAUAGCUUGACAGAGUUACGUGAUCUAAACCUCAGUGGAAAACUGAGUAUCAAAGGAUUAAACAAUGUUGCUAGUUUAUCUGAAGCUGAAGCGGCUAAAUUGAUGGAUAAAAAAGACCUUCAUGAAUUAUGCUUGUCAUGGGGAUACAAGGAGGAAUCUACGGUUAGUGCUGAGCAAGUACUUGAAGUGCUUAAACCUCACUCAAAUCUCAAAUGCUUGACAAUAAAUUACUAUGAAAGAUUAUCGUUACCAAGUUGGAUAAUUAUUCUUAGUAAUUUAAUUUCUCUUGAACUUGAGGAAUGCAACAAAAUUGUGCGGCUUCCGUUACGUGGUAAACUACCAUCUCUAAAAAGACUGAGAUUAUCUCGUAUGAAUAAUCUGAAAUACUUGGAUGAUGAUGAAUCUGAGGAUGGUAUGAAGGUGAGGGUUUUCCCAUCUCUGGAGAAACUCUUAUUAGAUUCUCUACCAAACAUAGAGGGGUUAUUGAAAGUGGAAAGAGGGGAGAUGUUUCCUUGUCUUUCUAGGUUGGAUAUCUGGAAUUGCCCUAAACUGCUUGGACUGCCAUGUCUUCCAUCUCUUAAAGAACUCGAGAUAUGGGGAUGUAACAAUGAGUUACUGAGGUCAAUCUCUACCUUCCGUGGUCUUACUCAGCUUUCCCUAUAUAACGGUUUCGGAAUAACAUCCUUCCCAGAGGGGAUGUUCAAAAACCUUACUUCUCUUCAAUCUCUGUCUGUAAAUGGUUUCCCAAAACUGAAGGAGUUACCAAAUGAACCCUUUAACCCAGCUUUGACGCAUCUGUGUAUCACUUAUUGUAAUGAGUUGGAGUCCUUACCAGAGCAAAAUUGGGAAGGUCUUCAAUCCCUUCGAACUCUAAAGAUUCGUAAUUGUGAAGGAUUGCGAUGCUUGCCGGAGGGUAUUCGACACCUCACAUCUCUUGAAUAUUUAUAAAUGUCCAACAUUUGUGAGAAGGGUGCAAAGAGGGAAUGGGGGAGGAUUGGGACAAGAUAGCUCAUAUUCCAAAAAUACAGUUUAAGUUUGAAUGGGAGGAUUAAGAAGCAGAGACGUUUACCCUUUAUCUGCCUUAAUCACCAUCGCAAAAAUAUAUUUUACUGGUAGGAUCUCAAUUUCCCCUUCUUAUGUUUGGAUUUCAACUGCUCAAAAAUCUUUAUUUUUAUUUUUAUUUUUGAUAAAAAAAUCUUUAUUUUUAUUCUCGUAGUUAACUUCUUUGGAACCCAUUCCACAGAAACAGUUCCUGAGUACGUACAUGAAAGAUAUUUUACUGCUCAACCUACGGACAAUUGUUCUAAUUCUGGUAAUUUUCUUCAUCAUACUUUUAUUUUUUUAAUUUUAUUUUUUGAUUUUUUUUUUAUAAUUUUGCUGAUUUUGUGGAGAUUGAAUUGAAUGGUUAGGAUUUCCUUUGAUACACAAGGGUGGGGUCGACAAAUAAAGGGAGGGAUUAACAGGAACAAACGUACCUAAUGAUGAAGAUGACAUGGUUCGGGUCGGAGCUCAGUGCACAGUAGAAAGUCUGAUCAUCAAGGUUUUCUCCAUUUUUAUUCUUAAGUUUUUGUUGGUCUUUUUUAUUUAUUUGUUUUAGACUGUUUAUUUGAAUGAUAUAUUGUUUGGCUUCCUCUAUGAUAGCUUGUAAAAUAGCAGCAAUGGUUCCUGAUAGAGUUCUCUCCUUGGCUUUGCUAAAUGCAACAGGUGGAGAUUUUCAAUGUUUGCCAGAGGUAUAUGUCCCUUUUAUAAUUCUUUGAACAAUUUGAUUUAUUUUUACGGCACUGUGAUUAGAGCAUUGACGACGCUAUUUUUGUAAGACGUUAACUACAUCAAUGAUUGCUAGCCACACUUUUUAAUUACAAACUUAGUUCAGGACGACUGGACUUGCAUACAUAAUAAGUAUAAUUUGUUGGUACUGAUUUUAGGUGAUCCUUUAGGACAAAUUUAGUUGAGAAUUUAUCUUUCUAUGGCUUUGAGUCAGAAUUUUGUUAAGAAUUUCGUAGUACUAAAAUCGUCUUGGUACGUUAUUUGCAGAUUUUUAAAGAAUAUUGACGGUUGUCGAUGCAUGCACUAAACUCUGACCAACCUGUGAAGUAUUUCUCAAGACAGUUAUCUGGAAGAAGAUGUAUGCUAGUUUUAUCUCUUCCCUGCAUCUUCUUAUCCCCAAAUUACUUUCUAAUUUAAAUUUCUAUAUGCAGGAAUCACUUGCUUUCUCUGUUUUUGUAUGGAAUAUGUCUACGAGUAAAAUUAUUGUGAGAAUUGGGCCAUAUCUUUAGAAUUGACGCUGAGCUUGUUAAUGCAACAAAUCAAAAUUCUUGGUUCAAGCUAUUAGCCAGGUGUGUAUACAGCUCUUCAUUAGGAAGGUGUGUAUUUAGCUAUUUCAUGAUUCUAGUCGAGUCACUCAUGUUAUUUCAUUAUGUUUGUGUCAGAUAUGUUGUGGAAUGCUGCUGAAUCGCAGCCAUGUUUGUGUCGGACAAUGUUAUUGAUCAAGUUGUGUUGUGUCCACUGCUUUUGCUGAAAGCAAGAGGAUACUUCAGCUGAACCACAGAAACUAUAAGAGGUGAUGAUUUUGGAUGAUAUCAAUGAGAAAUCAACCGUUUAAUUUGAUAACAAAGUGAAUUUUACAUCUUUUAACUCUUUAUAUUUUAGUAUAUUAGCAUUAGUCAUAUCACUUACAGAGAGCAUCUCCUGUGAAACUGAACAGGUGACACUUAUUUCGCUUCGAACUAUGGAUAUUGUUGAAUGUGAGGAAUUCAGAUCCCUGCCAUAAGGUAUUUGGCACCUCACUUCACUUGAGUUUUUGAAUAUUCGUGGUUACCCAAAAUUUGUUUAGUGGAAUGAAGACAUUUUUUAAGAGACUUUAUUCAUGUGAACCUUGUGAUUUUGUCUCAGACGAAAUCGAUUAAAAUUGUCAACCUUAUGGGUCAGAUUAUCGUUAUCGCAUCUCCACUUCCGUUGAUGCUGGUAUUGAUAUGGUAUAGAUCUUCAUUCCUAUAGUAUUAAUUUUAACAUAUAUUACUUGAUUUCAAUUUAAAUACAUGUAUCCAUGAAAAUAUGCAGGUGAUGGUCCUUCAUUUAUGAAAUAGCCCUUUCAUGUAUAAUAUAUUUAUGAAAGAGUCGGAGUUUCAUGUUCGAUCAGGGGAAACACCAAUAGCCGGAAUUGGCGACGUUGUUAAGAAAUAUUAGGAAUGAAGUUUGCUGCUGAAGAUUUCAAUUUCCUUUAACUGAUAGCUCUUUGCUGGUUAUGGUUAAUUUCAAGGUAAGGCAUAGUUCAUAUCUUAGUGAAUACUUUAACAUGAAUUUUCUGCCUCGUCAAACUAAUUUAUUUUAACAUACAUAUUAAAACCUUAGUCGGCUUUCUUUUUAUGGCAUGCUUCAACAAAGUAAUACUCUUUCCACCUCCUUGUGGUUGGAGUUGGUUUUCAGGACUUUAUAAUGCUAAUUACCUUCACAUAUCAUUUUUUCACCAAACAUAUUUAAAAUUCCAUCCUUAUAGCAAAAGAAAAACAAUAGUAUAUUUUAGAUGUAUGGUAAGAUUUGAUAAAGGAAUUGAAUGUAUUUUUUUCAUACAUACAGGCAAGGGACUGAACGUAUUUUGGCCUGAAAAAUCAAUCUCCAAAGAAGGCAGUGAACAAUGGUGAUCCAACACAUGAGCCAAACUCAAUUCCAACUAAUAACAGAUGUUGAAAAGAGUUAUAUAUAGCUUCUCCUAAGCCUCAGGAGGUUGUCCUUGAUUUUACAAUAUCUACUAAAUGGAAGGGGGUAGAGAAGUAUAUACCAUUGAUGUAACCAUCCACUAAGCAAUACACACAACCACAAAGGAUUUGAGGAGUUAAUGAAUAGUCCGGUGCAACAGUCGUGCGAAAAAAAGCAACAGAUGAAGUCUCAACAAACUUGAGUUCAUUAUCAUCAGCACACAUGAAUGAUCCUUAAGAAGGGACUUCAGCUUGAGGAUAUAUAAUAUUGAUUAACUUCGCAAAUUAGCUUCCACUGAAUAUAUUUAAGAACUCAUCCUUAUUUUAUUUCAAAUUCUUGUUUCUUAUCUGUUCAGUAAGUGAACUUGUUAUAAAUAUCCCUGUGUCUGGGAAGUUUGUUUAUAAUAAUUCGUGAUAAGAACUAGGAUUCGACAUAAAACAAAGUCAAUAGAAUUCUCGAUCUCUCAAACUCUGAAAUGCUUAUUAUUUUAAUGAUUCUAGCUAGAGCAAAGUGGUUGAUUUACUGCUUGCAGACGUUGCACAAAUGAAGGGUGGUUGUGCCUGAGUCGAACACAUCUGAUGUGAAAAUUGGAAAUAUUAGUGAAUAUACACUAUCAGCGUAAAAUUGUUUUGCAUUAACGUUCAGAUAGAGCUCAUUGUUUCCAUGUUUUGCCAAGCUAUGUUUUCAUCUCUACAAUGCAAUUGUAUAAUUCUUCUUUUCCGCCAUGCCUCCCUCGGCCUCAUCAUCGAACUUAGUUGAUUCUCCAAAUUAUUAAAAUCAAACCACCAGAGAAUGCCAAUAUAUUUAGCAAGGUUCCCUAAUUAUCCUGGUUAUGCACAAUUUAUCUGGCGCCAAUAUUUGUUUGUGCACUCUCCUUCUCUUUUUCUUUUUUAAACUGUGUGAUUACUUGUAAUAUUAGAUAGCUUGCGCAGCAAGUUACUCUGCCAUUCCAUAGAUCUUUACUGUGUACUAGCAUCAUAUGAUUCUAAUCCUAGAUAAUAGUUUGUUAGAGUUAGUUAGGAUCAUAUAGAGCUUUAUAUUAGCUUUGUUGUAACCAAUUUCAGAUCAAUUCAAUGAAAUCUAGAAUUUUCUCUAAUUUGUUAGAGUUACCUUUUCUCUUUUUCCUAAAAAAAAAUAAAAAUAUACAGCUUUAUAUAGCUUUCUUGUAACCAAUUUCAGAUCAAUUCAAUGAAUCUAGAAUUUUCUCUAAUUUUCUCUCUUUCUUCUUCAUUGAACUUCUGCAUUUUCUCUGAUUCCACCAUGGAUAUGGUGAAGUUUAAGAGAAUUAAUAGAAUAAAACCUAAAUAGGAUUAGAAGAAAACCUUUGUGUAAUCUAAAGACAAUAUACACAAAUAAUAAUAUUGUAGUUGUUGUGAAUACGGACUCAAAACUCACACCAAUACAAACUAUGAUGUGUGGAGCAAAGGAAAGUAGUAACCAAUAUCAAAGUGAACACAAGCAAUAAUCAACAAUAACAACACCUAGAUCUAAUCUAGGAAUCAAAGUGAAAAGCACAAAUUCACAAGCAAAAGAUAAAAGGAGAGAAGAGAGGAACAAACACACCAAAGAUUGUUGACCAGUUCGGUCCAACUUGACCUAAUCUGGGGGAGAGAUUGAUCUCUCCAAUCCACUAUCAAUGAGUAUUCUUACAAAGAAAUACAAAAGGGUUACAAGAAAUUAGCUUCAACAAGUUCACAAAGAACCCUAAUUUCUACCCUUUUUCCCAAUCUCACAAAUGAACAAGACACUCAAUGAUUUUCACUCACCAAGGUGUUUACAAUGUUUCGCAACCCAAGAGAACUCUAAUCAAAGACCCUCAACCCUAAAAUUACCUCCUCUGAUUUCCCAAGUUUCUCUCUCUUCAAGCUCUCCUUCAAAAUCUGCAAAGAACACUUAUAUAGCAGUUUUCAGCGUCAAAAUCGUGUCACGUUUUCCCAAAAUUGUGUCACGAUUGAUGCGUACGACCAACCUUAUCCUGAAAACUUGCCUAGCAAGUCGAAAAUCGUGUCACGUUUUCCCAAAAUUGUGUCACGAUUGGACACUCUGAAAACAUCUCUCGACAUUACCAAAAUCGUGACACGCUUGUCAAAUUGUGUCACGAUUUCUCUGUUUUCUAACUUUGCAAUUUGAAGACAUACACACCAGGAGUUGUGAACCUAAAGGAUACAAAUAGAAAAGGAAAAAAAAAAGAGCUGAAAUGGUUGAUAACAACACUUUGAAUAAUUUUGGCAAUGUUAAUGACAUGUCUUAGGGUAGUGGAACAACUAACUUGGAACAUAGUAUUGAUGCUAACACUAUUCAUGAUCACUAACUUAGUCAAUUAAAACAUCAACCAGAUUCUCACCAUGCUCCCUAGCAAUGUUGAAAUCUUUAAUGCCGUCCAUUCUCUUAACAAGGAUAAUACUCCUGGCCCUAAUGGAUUUGGAGCAUUUUCCUUUCAAACUUAUUGGAAAUUAUUAAACUGGAGGUUAUAAAUGUUGUUAUGCAAUUCCUCUCAAAUGGACGGCUUCUUCCUAAUUUUAAUCCAAAAACUAUUGUUUUGACCCCAAAGGUCCCUAAUGCUGAUAAUGUGAAUCAAUUUAGGUCUAGAGCGUUAGCCAACUUCAAGUUCAAAUUAAUUACAAAAAUCAAUGCUAGAAGAUUAACUUAGAUCAUGCCAUUAUAAAAAAUAUGUUUGAAUUACAAAGCUAUAGAUUUGUCAAUGUUUGAAAGGUCUUGGCCUAAUCUCCCUUUCUGUUUGUUUUCUUUCCUUUCUUUGAAAACAACGUAACUAUGUGAUACACUUAGAGCAUCACCAUUUACAAAAAAAAAAAAAAACAAUUGGCAUUUGCCAAAUAUUUUGAUACUUUAGACUGGCACUUUUCUAAUAAGGGUUUUCAAAGCUUUUGAUUUAAACUGUACUUUUUGCAAUUGGAUAAAUUGUAGUCUCAAAUCAACAAUGCUUUUUAUGUUGUGAAUGGCAAACAAGAAGUCUACUUUUCUUUUAAGAUACGAGAUAGACAGAGAGACCCCAUCUCCCAUUUACUUUUAUGUCGUAAUAAAGAAGUCAAUAGUGUAACAUCUCAUACUGUUUUUAGGAUUGACGAUUGACCCCACAAAUCAAUAUGAGUCUUUUUAGUAUAUUUUGUCCUUACUCGCACGCUUUUCGAGAAACUUUUCAGAAGGUCACCCAUCCCAAAAUUGCUCCAAGUUGAGCACGCUUAACUGUGGAGUUCUUAUGGUUUGACCUACCGAAAAGAAGAUGCAUCUUGUUUUUAUAGAUAGUACCAAACAAUUCAUAUAAGCCUCCCUUCAACAAUGAUGUUCCAUACUUGCACAACCUCAGGAUCCCCCUCAUUCCGAUGUGAUUUGGUUUUGCCUAUAAGCAUGCCAGGAGUCGGACCACUACCUGCCCUUGUCAGUCUCGGACGUUACAUGACCACCAAGCAGAGGCAUUACAUUCUCAACUGCUUCCGCUUGGUUCGUCCCCGAACCACAUCGUACUGGAGAGGUCUACUUUGAUACCACGUGUAACAUCUCAAACUGCUUUCAAGAUUGCCGAUUGACCCCACAAACCAACACGAGUCUUUUCAGCGUGUUUUGUCCUCGCUUGCACGCUUUUCGGAAAACUUUCAAGAAAGUCAUCCAUCUCAAAAUUGUUCCAAGUCAAGCACACUUAACCGUAGAGUUCUUAUUGUUUAGGCUAAAACAAUUUAUAUCUUGUUUUUAUAGGUAGUAUAAAACAAUUUAUAUAAAAACGACACACAUAAAAAAUAUUAAUUUUACUUCUUAUUGUAGUACAAUGGUAUUAUUUUAUAGUUAUAUUCUAGUUUUUCUUAUCUUCUAAAAUCCAACAAGACAUGGAGGCUAUUAAAACUAAUUAAAAUGUAAGAGUAAUAUAAAUUUUGAAGUGUUUCUCAUAUCUUCUAAAACCCAACAAGACAUCUAAAUUAUUUAUUAUGAUAUCAAAAUAAAAAUAAAGACUAUGAAGUAAGGUAAAAUUUAUUUAUCAACCUAACUAUUAAAGUUAUUCUUAUAAGGCUGAUAUGCCUAAAUUGUAUAACAUGAUGAUACCUCCAAAAUUAAUGGAGAAGAGGACAAUCAAAAUAAUAAUCUUUAUUAACUUAAAGUAAGUUUUUUUGGUACAAUAAAGCAAGCUUAUUACAGUAGAACACUAUAACUGCAAGUUUCAUCAAAUUAAAAAAAUAAAGGAAAAUGUUAACUUGUGCUCUUAAGACAUAAACUAAUGAAACAAAUAUAGAAAUAGUUUAUUGAAAUAUGUGCAUUACAUUUAAUUUUUAGUUUUUUAAUGAAUUGAAUGCACAAAAUUUUAUAAAAUAUUUCUUCUUUUAAAUUUCUUAACAUGAAAUCUAAGGACAUAACUUAACACUACCCAAAAAUAAAAUACUAAAAUUAUUGAAUGUCAUCCAUGGUCCGAAACUAAUAUAAUCAUAAGUGCGCUGCUACCAAUUCACAUUUGUGAUUAAUACAUCUACUUACUAAGUCCUUAGUAUUUUACCAUUUUGCCCCUUUGAGGGGCAUUUUAGUAAUUUUAUAUUGAUGGGGUGUGGUUAAUGCACCCUCAUCAUUUUAGGUGCAUUUCUCAUUUUGCUCUUCACCAUUUUUUUAAUUAUUUUAUAAUUUUUAUAUUUUUAAUAACUUUUACAAUUUUUAUUUUUUUAACUAUUAUUCAAUUUGUUCAUCCAAAUUCAGUUGCUUCUGAAUUGUCGUUGUGGGAGAGUAAGGUAUCGCUUGAUCCGGCAUUUUUCCAACUUCUCUACAUUUUUAAGGAGAAGUUAGAUCAAACACACUAUCAAUUAUUUUAAUUUCAAUAUUGUUUAAUCAUCACAACCUCACAAAUAAUUUUAUUCACACUGUCAUUUAAUGAUACCAAAUACUAUUAUUUCCUUUCUUCAACCUCGCAAAUAUUUACACACACAUUAAUGUUUAGAGUAAUAUUUUAUGUCCGUCUGUCUGUGUUUUUGUUAAGCUGAUGCAUAUAAUUUUUUUUAGUGUUGCUUGGUUGAGUGCUACUUCACCGAUUUGUUUUAACUAUUUUCCAAUUUUUAUAUUUUUAAAUACUUUUAACUAUUUUCCAAUUUUUCCUCCCAAAUUAAGUUGUUUCUACAUUGCCAUUGCGGGAGAUUAAGAUACCGUUUGACCCGGUUUUUUUUUUACUUCUCAACAUUUUUAAAAAGAAGUUAGGUCAAACACAAUAUCAAUUAAGUACUUACUAGAAAGGAAACAUUUUUUAAUGCAUAAAAUUGAAUGGAAUGAGCUUUGGCCAAAAGUUGUUAAAUGCUACUUUAAAAAACUACUUCUCGACAAUAUAUUUCACAAACACCCCUUUUCAACUCACGCUGGAAACCUUUUCUUUUAUUUUUUAAUAUUAUAUUUCAAUAUAUUUUCUUUUCAUUUAACUUUUUUUUUUUUUGAACAAUUCCAUUUAAUUUUAUUAUCUUUUUUUCAAAAGAUUUUUAUUAUCUUUUUAUCACUUAUAUAUUUAAUUUCAAUAUUGUUUAAUCAUCACAACCUCACAAAUAUUUUUAUUCACGCUGUCAUUUAAUGAUACCAAAUAUUUUUAUUUCCUUUCUUCAACCUCGCGAAUAUACACAUACACACAUUAACGUUUAAAGUAAUAUUAUAUGUCCGUCUGUCUGUUUUUUGUUACGCUAAUGCAUAUAAUUUUUUUUAGUAUUGCUUGGUUGAGUGCUACCUCACCGAUUUUUAUUAACUAUUUUCCAAUUUUCAUAUUUUUAAAAACUUCUGAUUAUUUUCCAAUUUUUUUAUUUUUAACUAUUUUCUAAUUUUUUUUCUCACAAAUUCAGUUGCUUCUACACUGCCGUUGUGGGAGAUUAAGAUAUCGUUUGACCCGUUUUUUUUUUCUCUUCAACUUCUCUACAUUUUUAAGAAGAAGUUAGGCCAAGUACAAUAUCAAUUAAGUACUUACUAAAAAAAUGUACUUUUUUUAAUGCAUAAAAUUGAAUGGAAUGAGCUUUGGCCAAAAGUUGUUGAAUGCUACUUCAAAAAACUAUUUGUCGACAAUUUAUUUCACAAUCAUCUCUCUUCAAUUCACGUUGGGAACCUUUUCUUUUAUUUUCAAAUAUUAUAUUUCAAUAUGUUUUUUUCUUCCAUUUAAUUUUUUUUUAGCCGUUCCAUUUAAUUUUUUAAAGGAGGUUCCAUUUAAUUUUAUUACCUUUUUUUCAAAGAAAUUUUAUUAUCUUUUUAUCACUUAUAUAUUUAAUUUAAAUAUCGUUUAAUUAUAACAACCUCACAAAUAUUUUUAUUUACGCUAUCAUUUAAUGAUACAGAAUAUUUUUAUUUUCUUUCUUCAACCUCGCAAAUAUACAGACACACACAUUAGCGUUUAGAGUAAUACUUUAUGUGUGUCUGUUUUUUUGUUACGCUAAUGCGUAUAAUUUUUAUAAAAUUUUGAUUUUAAUUAAAAGUAAAAUUGUAGAUGUCUUUUCUUCAAAAAAGGUAUAGAUGCCUAAAAAAAUUAUGCUUAUGUUAUAUAUAUAUAUAUAUAUGGGUUUGCUAGAACACACCCACUAAUUUUUAUGUGGGAGUGUUUUAGCAAGUUAUAACUAAAAAGUUAAUAAAUACACCUUAAGGUGUAUGUUGCUAUAACACACCUUCUAGAAAAAGCAAGUGGGUGUGUUCUAGCAAAUCCUAUAGGCAUUUGCUAGAAUACACCCACUUAUUUUUUAGAAGGAGUAUUUUAGCAAGUGAAUAACUAAAAAGUGGUUAAAUACACCUUAAGGUGUAGCUUUGCUAAAACACUCCCACAUAAAAACUAGUUGGUGUGUUCUAGCAAAUGCCCAAAUAUAUGUAACAAUUGGUCAGGUUCGAGGUUGCUCAUCAACCUACAUCAUCCGGUUGUUGAGAAGUUUAAGACUUAGUAAGUUUGCAUUAUGAUUUCACAAUACAGUGUUAGAGUAACUUAUUAUUUCACAAUCCGAUUUGAUUGAUUUUUGACCAUGUUUCUUGAAUUGUUGUCAUGACUUUAACACUUCUCAAGCUCAUAGUCAAACUUCAGUUAAAACUUAAGUCAGAGUUCGACUUCUUCUCAACGUACUUCAUACAACGAUUUUUCCAAACUGUCACAUGUUAGGCCAAUUGCUGAAUUUAUAAACUUAGUCAAUGUCUGCUUUUUUUAUGCACAAACAUGCUUUAAGUUUUUUUACGCACAAAUUAAAAAUACAUAUUGCAUUAUUCUUUAUUUCAUGUGCAUAAUUUGUGUUAGGAAACAUAUUGCAUCACUAUUUAGAAAACAACUAAAUUCAAUCAUAACCAGUUUGGAUUGUAUUAUGAGAGCUGCACCAAAUGUUCGAAGACAUCAAUGUCAGAUGGUGCUGGCUAUAUAUGCACAUGUGGAAGUGAUGCUUAAUUUCCAUUUGUUUCAACAAUGUUAAUUGGUCAACGGGGUGCAUAUAAUGUACAUGCAUGCAUUUAUCUAGAAUUUAUAGGAAGAUAAUAGGAUGAUAAAGUAGAAGUCAAGUUACAUUUUCUUUAGCUUAAAAUCAGUUAUGCUACCUUUAUUUUAUAAAUUAUAUGUAACUAUAUUCGCAUACAUCUUAUCCAUAUGCAUUAGACUAAUAUUGCAGUUAUUUUCCUGUUUAGCAUUUCCCAAACGAGGUGUCAAGAACAAUUCUGAAAGGAAAGCGCAAAACAAUCACUCUUAUUGAUGACCAGACACAGAGACAGUACAACUGUCAUCUCAUUACCGCCGAUAGAGCAAGCUAUGAAAAUUACUUGGGUGGUCAGUGGUUCAAUUUCUGCAGAUAACGAGUGAUGGAAGAAGGUGGUAAACUCAUCUUUGAUCUCGAAAAGUCACAGAAGAAAGUGCAAAUUCGAGUUGUUCCAAAGUAGAUAUUUGUUGUUGAACUAUUUUAACUUCUACUAUUUUGAUGUAUCGCUUUGGACUGAAGUCGUAAACUAUCUUGAUUUUGGGAUGUCAUUUGUUCUUUUCAUUUUGUCUGAUGUAAGUAUUGGCAAAAAUUCCUUUUUGGUUAGUCUAUGAAACUUGCAAUCUCUUUUAUAAACCUAACUAUUAUGUAACGUUAAUCUGUACAUUGUUGGUUCCUUCAUUGGUUCCAAUUAGUAUCAUAUUAAUUGUAAUGUUGUUUUUCUAAUCUCUUGAGAAAAAUAAAACAUGUUAUUUUCCUACAGUAAAUCUUUACAAUGCUUUGGUAAAUGUUUUAGAAAUGUGCAUAUAUAUAUAACUUCUAAUUAACACUGCAAUUUGUUUUGUACCUAGCACUUGUCAAAUGAGAUAUCAAUGACAUUUUUAAAAGGAACACAGAAAACAAUCACACUCAUCGACAAACAAGCUCAAAAAAGGUAUAAGUGUCGCUUGAUAACGGCAGAGAGAGCAAGUUACAAAAAAUACUUAGGCGACCAAUGGUUCAAAUUUUGCCGAGAACGUAUGUUAGAGGUAGGUGAUAAGUUAAUUUUUUUUAUCUAGAGAAGCCACCUAAAAAUAUGCACGUUCAAGUCGUUUCCAAAUAAAGAUUUGGUGUUCAUGAUCCACACUUUCAACAUAUCACCUUAACUUUAAUUCUAGACUAGAUUAUUUUCACUCACUGAUGCUACUUCUUUGCUUGAUUUCAUUUGAUGUAAAUAUGGGUAUUACAACAAAACUCUUUUUUUUUUUUUUUUUUUUUUUAUAAUUUUGGAUAAUAUGUAAAUUCACACAUCAUUGAUUCCUUUAUUGGUUCCAAUAGUUUUCAUCCUAAAUAUUAUGUCAAUUCCUAAUCUCAUAAACUGAUUAUAUGCUCUCUUAAUCAGUCCAUACAUAUUUUAUGAUGAAUCACGAUGUUCCUUCGUUUUAACAUCUCUUCUUUCAAAGAAUUUUUUUAUCAAAUAUGUUAUUGAACCCGUGCUUCUAACUAGUUUAUAAAUAUAAAACAAGUUCCCACUUUUUGGACAAUCAGCAUCAAUUUGACAUUUAUCACGUGCUGUAAUAAGAAAAGAAAAAAAGUCAAGAAAAUAAUGCUACUAUUAAAUGAUUGUGUACGAGCUACAAAGUAAAGAAAGAAAUUUGAAAAGAAUAAAAGGAAUGGCUUACCAACACCAAAUUUCGUUGCGAUGAGAAAUAAGGAAAUAAAUAGAAUCAUGACACAAACAAACUUAAGAAUUUGAACCAUAUUUUAUCUUGUUUGAGUGUAAAAAAUAGAAAAUGAUUUGGUCUAUUUAUAAUUUUCCUGCUCUCUAAAAUAAUGAAAUAUUUUUAGCACUUACAAAGUUGAAACCGUCGUUCAUAAUAUUAUGAUCAUUAUUAAAUAUUUAUUAAGUAUAUCAAUGUGUUGUGUUUGUUCUUUUAGCACACUUAAGGUGGGUCAAAUAACAAAAUUACUAAUCAUUAAAAUUCAUUCUUUAUAUCUAACUUUUAUUUACUUUUUUUAAAGUUAAAAGUUUUCUUUUAGACCAUCGUAAUAUUAUUAUUUUGGAAUAAUAUACAUAAUUGGAGAUGAGAAAUAAGUAGAGUGUAUUGUAGGAUCAACUUUUAUUGUUGAUAAAAUCGUUGAAUUAAAAAAAACACCUUUCCUUGAUUUAAAAAAUUGAUGUGUAUUUUAUAGAACUUUUUUUAUUCAAUAAUAUUUAAGGUUCAAAAACUCAACCUAAAAGUAGUGGUUUAGGGACAACCUAAAUGCAGAUGACAUUUAUCUAUAAGAACAAUUAAAAGUAAUAAAAUUUCAGCGUCUAAAAACAUCAUAUAUAUAUAUAUAUAUAUAUAUAUAUAUAUAUAUAUAUAUAUAUAUAUAUAUAUAUAUAUAUGAGUUUUGCUAGAAGAUAACUUUUAUCAGUGGCGGAACUAGGAAAAAAGUAUAGGGUGGGCUAUAAAUAGUGAUGGAGCUUAAUUUUCUUACAGGUACAUUUUAUCAUUGGUUAGUUUCAAUGACUACAAAUUUGUUAUUUGUUGAAUAUAAUUCAAACCGGUAUUUUAAAAUCCGAACCGUUUAUCAACCUUGAUAAACUACAAGAUAAUUGAUCGAACAACUAGGUCAUUAAACCUAACGACUGAAUUAAAUGACUCAACUUCAAUAAACAGAUGUAUAGGUAUUAAAUCGAAUUGAAUCAAACGACCGAGUAAAAAAAAAAACUCAUGACAUAUAUAUAUAUAUAUAUAUAUAUAUAUAUAUAUAUAUAUAUUAAUGUAAAAAAGAUCAUUACAUAAGAAAAUAUACUUAUAAUCAAGUACAAUAAUGAAAUCAUAUUGUACUUGCCUCAAUUAUUUUUAUGAUUUCUAACAAAUUCUAUUUUAUUUUAUUUAUGAUUUCUAAAAAUUAUUUUUAUUUUUUAGAAAAUAGGAAUGAAUCAUAUUUAAACUAAGAUCAAUAUGAUAUCUGAAGUAAGAAAUGAUGUUAGUGAUUGGCCCUUGCCUCAAGUCACUAACGUUGAUGAAUGGGUUCCUUUUGAAGGGCAACUAUUUGAAGAUAAUGAAUAUGUAAAUUCUUUAACAUUUCAAGAGCUACAACAUGAACCCUUGCCUCAAGUCAACAACAUUGAUGAGGGGGUUCCUUUUGAAGGGCAAGUAUUUGAAAGUGAUAAUGUUGCUUAUGAAUUUUAUUGUUUAUUUGCAAAACAAAAUGGAUUUUCUAUUAGGCGUGAUCACAUUUAUAAAUCUAGUAAAAAUGUGUCUGAAGAGAAUCCAUCUGGUGUUUAUAAGAGGGAAUUUAUUUGUCAUGGUGGUGGUAUUGUUAAACCACGCAAAACUGUUGAAGUGGAAAAUCAAAGGAAACGAAAAUCUUCAAGAUGUGAUUAUGGUGCAAAGAUGGUAGUUAAUAAGAGAACAAUUGGCUUUGAGAAAAAAUGGGUGGUUAAAUAUUUCAACAAUUCUCACAACCACGAGUUAUUGGAUAACAAAGAGGUUCGAUUUCUUCCUGCUUAUCGUAACAUUCCAAUUGUUGAUCAAGAUCACAUACUAUUAUUAUCUAAAGUUGGUUGCUCUGUAAGUAUUAUAAUGAGAGUGCUUGAGUUAGAGAAAAGAACGGGCACAGGAAAUUUACCAUUCUUAGAAAAAGAUAUUAGAAAUUUUAUUCAGUCAUAUAGUGGUAUUGGUAAAGAAAGUGAUGCUGCAGAUGUUCUCAGAUUGUGCAAAAGUUUGAAAGAUCGAGAGGAGGCCUUCCAAGUUGAAUUCACAAUUGAUGAAAGUAACAAAUUGGAGCAUAUUGUUUGGGCAUUUGGUGAUUCAAUUCGCGCAUACGAAGCUUUUGGAGAUGUUGUAGUUUUUGAUACCACAUAUAGAAUAAACCGUUAUGGGAUGCCUCUUGGAAUAUGGGUUGGUGUUGAUAAUCAUGGAAAUUCAAUUUUUUUUUGGUUGCGUUCUAUUGCAAAAUGAGAAGAUUUCUUCCUUCGAAUGGGCUAUAAAGGUAAAUUUCUAUUUACUCAAAGUUGUUAUCACUGUUAAAUUUUUAAAUUUGAAACUUUAUUAAAUUAAUUUAGAUUUAUGUUACAAUUUUCAGAGUUUCCUAGCUUUUGUGAAAGGAAAAUAUCCAAAAAUAAUUCUUACCGAUCAAGAUCUUUCAAUUAAAGAAGCCAUUGCAACGGAAUUGCCAAACACAAAACAUGCAUUUUGUAUAUGGCAUAUUGUCGCAAAGCUGUCAAGUUGGUUUUCUUUUCCACUAGGUUCGAGAUAUGAUGACUUUAAACAUGAGUUUCAUAAGGUAUAUCAUUUAGAAUGUGCAGAUGAUUUUGAACGAGAAUGGAAAAUAAUGGUCUCACAGUUUGGUUUGGGCGUGGAUAAGCAUAUUGACUUGCUCUUUUCCCAUCGUAAAUUUUGGGCCUGAGCUUAUUUGAAGGACUUUUUUUUUGCUGGAAUGACAACAACAGGACGCUCAGAAUCGAUAAAUUCAUAUAUAAAAAGAUUCUUAGAUGCUAACAACAGGACGCUCAGAAUCGAUAAAUUGUUAUAUUUUUGUGUAGGUUGGUGUUGCUGUCAAAAUUAGAAAUCAAGCUGGAGAAGAGGCACGAAUGCGUCAAAAGUAUCAUAAUCCUCAUAUUACAACACAUUUUCCUAUUGAAGAACAUGCCUCGUCUAUACUCACACCUUAUGCCUUUAAGUUGCUUCAAUAUGAGAUCGAAUUAUCCGCAAAGUAUGAAGCAAUUGAAGCUGACAAUGGCUCUUAUGUUGUGCAACAUCAUACCAAAGUUGAUGGUGGUCGUAUAGUAAGUUUGAUAACAGAAGAAGAGUCAAUUCAUUGUUCUUGUAAAGAGUUUCAAUUUUCAGGAAUACUAUGUAGACAUGCAAUUCGAGUGCUAAUGUUUAAAAAUUGUUUUGUUCUUCCAUCAAAAUAUCUUCCUUUUCGAUGGAGACGAGAAAGAUCAUUGAUCCCAAAAUCUAGUCAUGUGAUUAACUGCAAUGAUGUAUCCUCUGCCAAAUUUCAGUCUCUAAUUCGAUGUUUGGAAGUCGAAUCAUUAAAGACAAGUGAACGAGAACAGGUUGCUACAAGAGAGUUAGAAAAUAUCAUCAUAAAGAUAAAAAGGCAUGCCUGAAACUCAAGAACAUGUGAUUGAUUUGGAAGCGGAUGUUUCCAACAAUGACGACUACGACGUUGAAAAUCCUGUUGUUUCAAAAACAAAAGGUCGGCCAAAAGGAUCAAGACCAAAAGGAGGGGUUGAAGCUGCCAAGAAGCCUCGUCGUUGUCAUGUUCCAGAUUGUGGUGGAACUAAUCAUGACUCACGAAACUGUCCAAACAAAAAGAGAAAAAUGGAAGUAUUGCCUUCUCAAUCUCCUAAUAAGUAAGUUUUAAUUGGUGUGUCUUGUUCUACUCAUGACUAAUAUAUUAAAUUAAUGUUGACUGAAUUUUUAUGGUGCUUUGAUAGGAUCAUGAAGGGUUGGAAGUAGUCAUCUUGAAAUAGUGAAUUUGACAGAUGAAGCAGCCAAAUAGUUUAGAUCAAACCGUGUAAUUAGUGAAUUUUGUGGCUGCAAUCUGUAAGAUCAAACUAGCAGUAUAUUUUGUAGGAUUAUUAUGAUCAAAUUGUAUAAUUACUAGUAUAUUUUGUACCAGUAUAUAGCCUGUGUUUUGUUCCAGUUCGCCCAAUCUUUCUCUUCUUGAGAGGUCCUGUUUGGCUUAAUAUAUUAUUGCACAUUAUUAUGAUUAUGUGAAAUGUUGAUGUUAAUUAUUGAACAUCAAAUUGGUUAUUAAAAGUCAAAGAGUCUAAAAAAAAAAAAAGUAAAAGAUCAAACUAGCAAUAUAUUUCUGUGAAAUAUAUUAUUGCAUAUUAUUGCACCUCUUAAAAAAGAAGUAAAAGAUCCAAUGAAAAAAUGUGUUCUCUUUUUGACAAACACAUUGGUUGUAGGAAGAGAGAGAAAAUGAUGAUUUCUAGGUGAAUGGGAAAUGACUUUAAAGGACAUGUAUUAUAUCAUUAUUGAAGAACAAUCUAAAUUUCCUUUGAAUUAAUUUGAUUUACAUGAUUGUGAAUUAAUUUGUAUUAGGAGAAGUGAAUCAAUCUAAAUUUAAUCAUUUGUAUUAUAUCAUUACGGGGGAGUAACUAGUGGUUUAAUGACAAUCUAAAUUUCCUUUGAACAACCCCACAAACAACUUGAACCUUUUUUUUUUUUUUUUUUUGUCAAUUAACAACUUGAAAAUUUUAUUUCUUAAAAUACUCACAUUGAAAUAAUUAUUUUAUCCACGUUGGGUUUUGAUAAGGUAUAUAAUACAAUGAUAAGGUAAUUAUUUUAUUCAUAUUAAAUAAAAUAUUACCUCAAGAAAGAAAAAAAAGUUCAUGAUUGGUAAAUAUGUAUGUUUGGAUUGAUGAAAAUGCAAGUAGUAAAAUCUAAAGAUUCUCUACCCUAUGGUAUAAGUUACUCUAUAAGGCAAACUAUACUUCUCUCAAAAAAAUAAAAAAGGCAAACUAUACUAGCGAUAAAUUUACGUUAAAAUGACCCUCUUUUAAUUCAUCAUAUAUAGGAAAAUGAAUUGAAUUUUUUUUUCGCGGACAACGGUGGUAUUUUUGUUAGUUUGUUUUAAUUCAAGUUUAGUUUAGUGAUAAUCACAAUCAGUGGUUAAUCACAUUUUGUUUUAGUUUGUUAUGAAGUUUGUUACAAGUUUGUUAGAGGUUAGUAUAUAAGAUCUAGAGUUUGUUACAUUGCUUGUGCUUCAAGCAACUUAGCUAGAUAUUGUAUAUAAGCUACCUCCUUUGUACAUUUUCGUAUGUAGAAUCAAUAAAGAUCAAUUACAAUUUCAUCAUAAUUUUUCUUCUCUCUCAAUUCUCUCUCUAAUUCACAAAACCUUAGAAUAAGAAACUACUUCUGAAACUGCUUCUGAACUAGCUUCUGAACAAGCUUCCGCUUCUGGUUUUUCUGCGCUAUCAAAUUGGCAUCAAGAGCCUUUGGUUUCAUUCUAAGGGGUAAUCAAGAUCUUCAAUCACGCAAUUUGUAGGAAGAAACGCUGAAGGAAACACCAUGAAUGGUAGCAGCAGUUUCAACACACAUCUUCCAAUUCUUGAAGCACGCAAUUGGGAAAGAUGGAGUGCAGUGAUGAAGAAUCUGUUUGGAGCACAAGAUUUGCUUGAAAUUGUGCAGAAUAGUGUAGGUGAAUUAGCUGCGAAUGCCACUGAAGUGCAAAGGAACGCACACAAGGAAUUGAAGAAGAAAGAUUGCAAGGCUCUGUUCUUGAUUCAACAAAGUCUUGAUGAAGGAAACUUUGAAAGAAUCUCAAAAUCACUAAGUUCAAAGGAAGCAUGGGACAUUCUUUCAAAGUACCAUGAAGGUGAUGAUAAAGUGAAGUUGAUUAAGCUUCAAUCACUGAGAAGGAAAUUUGAGCUGAUGCAAAUGGAAGAUGAUCAGAAGAUUUCUGAGUACAUCUCUAAACUCAUCAAUCUUGUGAAUCAGAUGAAGGCUUGUAGUGAAGCAAUCACUGAUCAACAGAUAGUUGAAAAGAUUAUGAGGACCCUAUCUUCAAGGUUUGAUUUCAUUGUGGUGGCAAUUCAGGAAUCAAAAGAUGUUAAGACAUUGAAGAUUGAGGAGCCGCAGAGUUCAUUAGAAGCUCAUGAAUUGAUGGUUUCAGAAAGAAGCAAUGAAAGAUCAAUUCGACAAGCCCUGCAAGUUCAAACUAUCAAGAAGGAUGAUUAUGAUAGGAAGAACUUCAAGAAAGGGAAGAAAAACUCUAAGGGAAGAAACUGGUCUAAAGGCAAGAACAAUGGAUCUGAUAAAGGUGAAUCUUCAAAGGAAGGAAAUUCUAAUCAAAAGAAGAAAGUUGAUAAGAAGAAGAUUCAGUGUUUCAAAUGUGAGAAAUUUGGACACUAUGCCUCUGAAUGUUGGUCUGGUAAAGGAAAGCAAUCAAAUAAUGAUGAAGAGGAAGCCAAAAUUGCACAAGAUGAUUCAGAUUCUGAGUCAUUAUUCAUGAUGGUUACAACAAUUAGUAAUGAGAGCUGCAAUUCAGAAAGUUGGUUCUUAGAUACUGGUUAAUCUAAUCAUAUGACUGGAACCAAGACAUGGUUAAGAGAAGUGGAUUUUGGAAGAAACACAAAGGUGAAACUUGCAGAUCAUAGAGUAUUAGUUGCAGAAGGAAUGGGGAAUAUUGCUAUUGAAGGAAAGAAUGGGAAAGUGGCAAUAAUUGAAUAAGUUCUCUAUGUUCCUGGAAUGCAGUGCAAUUUGCUGAGUGUAGGUCAAUUCAUUCAGAAAGGAUACUCAGUUACUAUGAAGGACAACACCUUUAAGUUGUUUGAUAAUCAUCAAAGGUUAGUUUUGAAAACUCCUCUUGCAAAGAAUAUAACCUUUCAGACCAAUAUGAAAGCUGUAGAAUUGAACUGUUUAUCUGCUAUGGUAAAAGAUGAAGAUAGCUGGUUAUGGCACUAUAGAUUUGGUCAUCUCAAUUUUAGAGGUCUUAAUCAAUUGGUUGAUAAAGAAAUGAUUCUGGGAGUGCCUAAAAUUGAGAUACCUAACACAGUUUGUGAUACUUGCUUGUUGGGAAAGCAACCUAGAAGUGCAUUCAGUUCAAGUUCAGCAAGUAGAUCAAAGGAGCUGCUUAAUGUUGUAUAUUCAGAUGUGUGUGGUCCUUUAGAGGUUCCUUCAUUAGGAGGAAACAAAUAUUUCAUCAGUUUUGUUGAUGAGUUUAGCAGAAAACUCUGGUUAUAUUUGAUUAAGGCCAAAAGUGAAGCAUUUGAUAUGUUCUAGAAGUUUAAAAUCUUAGUUGAAAAACAAAGUGGUAAAUCCAUUAAGAUUUUAAGAACUGAUGGUGGUGGUGAGUAUACCUCAAAGGUGUUUGAGAAGUUUUGUGAAGACAAUGGCAUUGUGCAUGAAGUCACUGCUCCUUAUACUCCACAACACAAUGGUUUGGCUGAAAGAAGGAAUAGUAGCCUGCUUGACAUGACCAGAAGUAUGCUAAAGAUGAAGAAGAUGCCUAAUACAUUUUGGGGAGAAGCAGUAAGAACUGCAGCAUACAUCUUAAACAGAUGCCCCACUAAGAAACUUAAUCAAAUUCCUGAAGAAAUUUGGUUAGGAUGCAAGCAGUCAGCAAAACACUUGAGAAUUUUUGGUUCAUUGUGCUAUAUGCAUAUCCCUGAUGCAAAGAGAAGGAAGUUGGGGGACAAGAGUGAGCCUAUGAUACUGGUUGGCUAUCAUGAAACAGGUGCAUACAGAUUGUAUCAUCCUCUAAAUCACUCUAUAGUGAUUAGGCUACCUGACCCAAAAAAAAAUUCUACAAGCCACUUUUCUCACGUUGUUUUCGCUAUUUUCUUAUAUCUUGACCCUUACUUAUUGAUGUUGUUGAAACCAAGUUGGUCCACUAAUAACAAUAUCAUUUUAUGUUUUGAUGAUUAAAAAAAAUAUCUAAAUGGUUUUUCAAUUCGCAUUUAACUUAAUUUCUUAUUACUUUGAAAUCUUUCAACAAACUAUAUUCAUUUUAAAUUUUGCAAAUUUAUUUAUGUUAGUUCUAACAUUUAUCCCGCCAUUGCACGGGUCAUGAGCUAGUAAGUGUUAUUGGUACAUGGAGCCUUAAUCUUCUUGCACAAAUACCCACUUAAAAGUUUCAAUUGAAUGGGGUGGGGUAGCUCAACUGGUUUGAGUUAAGGGAAUUUUUUCUAGAGGUACUGAGUUUGACACGGACAAAGGAGAAAAGAGAAAAACUAAUUUCUAACAUACAUUAAAAAAAAAAAAAUAUCUUCUUAAAGCACCAACCCAAUUCAUAUUUUUUAUUUAUGUACUAAAAUGAUAGAUCAGUAUAUUUUUUAUUCAGUACAAAUUUGAAUAUCUGUUUAAACUGUACAUUUUUUAUUGGGUUAAAUAUGUUUUUGGUCCCUAUAAAAUUGGAAACUUCUAAGUUUAGUCCUUACUUAAUUUUAAUAACAUUUUUAGUCCCUACAAAAAUAAAAUUACAUGUAAUUUUAGUCCUUCUAAAAACUAAAUUUGUUUAAUUAUUCUUGAAUUCUUAAAUUUUUGAACGAUUUUUUGGAGACAUGUUUAGAACAUUAUAAAAUGUUCAUUUACUAAAAAAUAUAAUUUUUUAACAGGAGAAGAAUUAAAUAUGAAUUUUUUAAACGACAAAAAUUCAAGAAAAGAGUAGUAAAAAUCUGAACGUAGAAAUCAAAUUUUGAGUUAAUAUUUUGUAGAGGGACUUUCCGUAAUGUUCUUAAUAGGUGUACAAAAGAUUGUUUAAAAAUUCAAGAAUUUAAGCAUAAUUAAACAAAUUUGGAUUAAGAAUGGACUAAAACUAAAUGCAAAAUGAUUUUUUAGGGAUUAAAAAAGCUAUUAAAAUUAAGUAAGGAUUAAAUUUAAAAGGCUCCAAUUUUAUAAGGAUAUAAAACAUAUUUAACCCUUUUUAUUUGAUGUCAAAAGGAAAAGUUCAAUCAAUAAAUUUGUUUUUGUUGUAAAAUUUUGGAUAGUCGGGCAUGAGUGAUAUGCAAAACUAAAACAAAAAAAAAUACAACAAAUGUUACAUGAAGGAUUUUGAUUGAUGAAACAAAACUACCUUGACAAAAAAAAAAGAAUUAAAAGAAAGAAAUUGAAUAAGUUAUUAAGAUUAAUAAAAUUUUCUUGAAACAUCACCGAAGGGUUGUCUUUGAAUAAAGAUUUUAGGAAAUUGUAUAUUUUUGUAUAUAGAAGUUAUAGUUUUUAAAUGAUUGUAUAUUUACUAGAUAAAUGCUUCCUUAUCUCCAAUCCCCAUUACAACUCUGACUAAGUCUUAGGCUUUGUUUGGAUUGAUGGCAUGUGGUGGAAUGGAAUGGGAUGGAGUGGUAUAUAAUAGAGUUCCAUUGUUUGGAUAUUUAAAAAAUGAGUGGAAUGGAGUGGUAUAUGAUGGAAUCCAUUCCAUCCCAUUCCAUCAUCUUCCUUUAUUUUCAUUCCUCCCAAUUUGGGGUGUAUAGAAUGGAAUGAGGUCUAUUAAUUUGACAAUUACCUUUUUAACCUAGUUUUUUUUUUUAUUUCCAAUUGGUAGCCACGAAUUUCCGAUUGAACCCAGUUUUUUAUUUAAUUACACACGUUACCUCUAUACCCAACAACAUCAAACUCUACAACACUGUUCUACAUAGCACUAGACAGUCCAAUACAUCAAAAUCCUUUCUACAAAGCCAAACUACUCAUGAAAAUCAAUGAAAGUUCAUUAUAAUUAAAUAAAAAAAAUGUAAAAAAUGCAACGAAUGGAGAUGGUGGGGGUAACGUGAUGGACAAAUUUUUCAAACAAAAUUAAAACUUUUUUGCUACUAUUAUUUUUGUUACUAUUUUAUUAUAACUAUACAAUUCUAUAUAUGAUAGUAUUUUUAAAUAAGGGUAAAAAUGAAAUAAACAAGUUUGUUCCGUUCCGUCGUAAAAUGAGUUCUAUAAAAUACCCAAACAAUGGAAUGGAAACUCUAUCCCGCUCCGUUCCAUUCCAUCCCGCUCCAUUCCAUUCGUUUUAAAAUAUCCAAACAUAGCCUAGUGUUCCAUGCCUGAUAGUAGCUGGUUAUAUGUAAAUUCUAUUUUCUUAUAUUGAUAUUUCAAUUCCGUUCUUAAUUUUUUUUUUUUUUUUUUUUUUUUUUUUUUUUUUUUAUGCGAAAUACAAAAAUGAUAUUUGACUUAGAAAGUUGUAGACAUAGGCUUUCUCCGUAAGAGAGAGAUAUGGGUAGGAGCAUUUGUAGAUGUUAGUUACCAGGUAUUAGUCUCUGUUUGCAAUCAUACACAUUGUAUGAUCUUAAUGUCGUUACUAAAAAUAAUGAAUCUCAUAUCGUUUGUCAGAUAUGGAAACAUGCGAUCAAUGAAGUAAAUUAAACGAUUAAUUAAUGAAUCCCAACAAUAUUAUCUCUUUGUUCUUGUUUCAUUUUUUUUUAAGAAGUUAAACUAACCCCUUUCAAUUGACACCAGAGAUAAUUGAACCUGAGACCUUAAGAAGGAGCACUCUCAGGUUACAAGUCAAUACGACUAGGCCAACCUAAGUGGGUUUUUCUUAUUUCAUUAUUUAAUUGCAAAGACAAAUAUAUGUACAAAUAAUCCAUCGUUAUGUACUAAAAACAAUAUUCGUAUUUCAAAAAUAUUGCACGAAUUCCUAUGGAUACGGUAACCAUAAAUAUUUAUUUUGGGAAAUGAUAGGUGCAGUGACAAAAUUUAUCAAAAAAAUUUUAAGACAGUGUAUUUGCUAACACCUUUUCUUAAUUACACAACAUUACCUCCCUUAAUUUUCGUCAAAUAACAAAUUUAAUUGAUUGAGACAUUUUCUUAAUAUAUUUUUGAUAAAAACUCUAGAUAAAUAGAAAUGCUCAUUUAUUUUUUUAUACAGCUAUAAAAGCAGCUGAUCACUAAGUAACUAUUUUUUUUAUCUCAAUCUGUUUGCAAUAUUUCAAAAAUUAUUAGAUAAUUUUAUAAAUUAUUACCCCAAAAAUAAAAUUACCAUGUGUGUCACAUGGGAUAAAGAUCUAGUUUACCCUAAAUUUAAAGUAGUUGGAUUAAACCUUCAAAAAAUUGUAUUAAAGUGUUUGCAACUACUUUUAUAUCGACUAAAAUCCUACAAAUAUAAAUUAAAGUGUUUGCAAAUUGAAUUGUUUUUCAUAUCUUUUAAAGCUCAACAAGACAUCUAAUGUAUUUAUUUUGACAUGCAUAAAUUAAAAAGGCUUUGAAGUAAGGUAAAAUUUAUUGAUAUACCUAACUAUUCUAUUAAAGUUAUUUUUAAAAGGUGUGAUACCUCCAAAAUUAUGAGAGAAGAGGACAAUGAAAAAAAAAAAUCUUUACUACCUUAAAACUAUCUUAGAGUAACACACCAUAACUACAAGGUUCAUGAGAUUAGAGAAAUUAAAUUAAAUUAUAUCAUAGAGUGCCAACAUAAUAACCAAACGACAACUCAUGAAAUAUUCUAUCAUAUUUUAAGUUGUUUUCUUUGACAUUAUAACCCAUUCUCCUUUGUAGUAUGUUUUUGCACUCUCCAUGGUUUGAAACUCAUAGAAUCAUGCAUGUGCUUCUACCAAUUCACAUCUUUUAUCAAUGCACUUAAAAACAUAUAACAAGUCCCUAUACUUUGGACAAUAAUCAUCGGUUUCACAUUCUUCAUAAACUAUAAUGAAAAAACGAUAAUAAAAUAAUGUUACUAAAUAUGUUAAAAGAUUGUGCACAAACUAUAAAGUAAAGAAGGAAAUUUUGAAAAGAAUGAAAAAAAUGACUUACUGUCACUCAGUUGUGUUCUGAUGAGAAAUACUAUGGAAAUGAAUAGAAUCAUAGCAUAAACAAACUUUAGAAGUUGAAUCAUAUUUUUUCUUGUUUGCAUGUAAAAAAUUCGAAUAUGAUUUGUUCUAUUUAUAAUGUUCAUGCUCUCUUAAAAAUGAUUUUUAUAGUUUUGGCACUUAUGAAGUUGUAAAAACCCUUCAUAAAAUUAUAAUCAUCAUUAAUUAUCUCUUAAAUAUAUCAAAGUGUUGUAAACAUAAAGAGGUCAAAUGAAAAACUUACUAAUAAUAAAGAUUUAUUCCUUUUGACUAUAAUAUUCAUAUGUAAUUGAGCUUAAGUGGUUAAUGAACUUCACCAAAGAACGAAUCGUUCCGGAGAACCCGAGUUUGUUUCUGAUUUUAUCCAAAUGCAUUUUGGUAUUAUGCCUACCCAACUUGAAAUAGAUUGACGGAAACCAUUGAUGAUGAGGCAUUCUCUAGAUGGAUUUCAUAGUUCUCACCUUGAGAACAAAUUGUAUAGUCAGAGGUCUUUUUGACUUUGGAAUAAGUUCAAAUAGAACUCCUUCACAACUCCCUACAUUUUAAGCUAUAACUAUAAUAAGUCAUUACGAAUCAUGUGUCUUCAUUGUGUUAUGAUAAUGUGAGGAUGGGAGAAUAUUUGUAGAGUUUUAAUUAUGAUAAAUAAUACUGGAAUGAGGAUAUUAUUUCAGUUUUUCAUCAACUUUUUGUGAUGGAAUAUAGGAUAUGCAUUAAUUGCACUAUGACUGCUACACUCAAGCUAUUCGUAUUUCUACCUAUUUAACAUUUGGCUUGAAGUUGAUUAUUUAAAUGAAAAAUGAGUGAAUUUAAUAUCGAAUAUACUGUCACAAUAUAUUCUAUUUUUACUUUCAUUGAUUAGAACUCAACUAUUAUCAAAUGAAAUCAGUGCAGAUAAUUAGACAUUCAAGAUUUUGAGCUGGGAGAUUAGAAUGCAUUGAAGGAAUUGUUUGCCAAACACAUUGGGAAACUUUGAUGAAGGAGCUUGCUUUCACAUAACUCAGGAGAAAAAGACCUGUUCAAACACAGAUUAUCCUUGCAAGUACAAAAAAAAAAAAUGAAAACAAUUGUGUAGAACUAAUGUUAAUGAACCAUUUUUUUUGGACAAACAGAAAAUGUUGAUUCUUAUGUUAAUGAUAGGAUUAGAACCAUGUAAAGAGGAUGCAAGUAUUGGUGGCUCUUCAUUGCUGCUGGUUCCUCUAGUCCCUCAUUUGGCUUUGGGGACCUAUAGAAUAGAGACAAAGAUGAUGCAAGAAAUUGUAUGUAUAUAAAUUUUGAACUUAUCAAAAGGAGAAGGAACAACAACUCAUGAAGGAAAAACAAUCAAAAUUUCUCUUACCAAGCAGAAUAUGAUGUAUUUAGCACCUGAAGAUAGUGUGAAGGAUUCAGCAAUGUGGCAAAUGAAACUGUCGUUCAGCUUUUUUGUCUCUCUUUUUUACUUUAUUUUCUCUUUUUUUACUUUCUCCAACCUUUCUCUCAUGCUGACAGUGGCUUUUGUGGGAUCUUUUACUUUAUUUUCUCUGUUUUUUUUUUUUAAAAACUUUUUUUUAACAUUUCUACCAUUUUCAACUUUACAUGUAAAUAUUACUCCAGCUGCAACUAUUGUUGUUGUCUUUUAGUGCAAUAUAAGAAAUAAGAAAUAUGCCAGUGUCGGCAUGAAAAAAGGAAAAGAUUCCACAAAGUGCAGAGCAUUCAAUUUGCCCCUCUUUCAUUUUCUGAAUAAUCAAUAACCAAUGAAACUUUUUUAUACAUCUUCCUAUAAAAUUUAUUUCAAAGAUAACACAAAAAAUUAUGUUGUAAACUACUAUGUUUUAGUUUUGUUAAUAAGUAUGAUUUUUUUUUUGCUUAUAAUAUGGGACGGAGGGAGUACAUACCUACACCGCUUUGUUAUUCUCACUAUAUGCUUCUCAAUUCAUUCGUCGCCAUCUUCGAUCCAUUAUUGAAAGGAGAAUUAAUACAACUAAUAUUUUUAAUCUAUUAUUGAUGAUCCCAAAUCAUUCGAAUCACAUUGAGUAUUAUUUUAAUUUUUUAACAUGUGUAGUUUAAUUUUUUUAUGAUUAAUUUUGUGCUUAAUGUUUAUUAGUACAAUAUAAUUUUUUUGACCCAUCCGAGAUUUUCUUUCUGAUUCCGCCACUAUUUAUACCCAAGUAAGUGUAUGGUAGAAUCAAUUUAUGUUGUUGAUAAAAUCAUUGGAAAAAAAAUGUGACUGUGUAUUUAAUUUUGUAAUUGCAUGAUUUAUUUUACAUUAUCAUUCAAAUCAAUUAUAUAAUUCAUAUCGAUUUAAAAAAUAAUUUGGUAUUGAAUGUAAACUGCUUUUAAAAAUUAUUCGUAUAUCUAAUAAUUAAUUGAAAUAUGUUCUUAGGGCAGCUUUGUAUGUACACCUUUUUGUACCACUCUGUAAAAUUUCAGUUAAUCAAAUAUAUGGUCUCCGUGACUACGUUUAUUUAGUUGCGUGAUCACUAUUUAUUUGGUUAACUAAGUGGAAAAAUAGUGGUCACGCGCAUUUUAGUUGUGCGACCACAUUUUUUCAGCUUUUAAAUGCUGGAAAAAUAAUGGUCAUUGGUCACGCUGAAAUUUUUCAAAGUGAUAUAAAGAAGUGUACACAUUAAGGGUGUCUACCUACCUAUCUUUAUUCUUCCUCCUGUUUUAUUUUUCGACGUGCCUCUCCUUUGUCCAUUUUAUCGUGUUCCAUCGUGGUAUGCCUUUUUCUUGCGUGAAGAGCACAUCUUAAUAUCUAUAUACUUGAAGGAUCCGAUUGAUUUUUCAUGGCUCCUUUACCACCAGCUCAUGUUGUUGAUAUCAUUGUCAGCAGAGAAGAGGUAGUGCUAUUUCAUGUAGUUAGUUCUUCAAUUCAGCGACAACUUACUGUUGAUGUUAAUGACAGGUGGCGGUGGAAUUUGCACUCUUCAAAUAAUUACAUUGUUUGUAUUGCUUAUAAUUUCAUUCAACAAUCACCAAAUCAACAUAUCCUUGCAGAUGACAACCAUGUAUUUUGGCAUAAAGUUGUUUCUCUGAAAGUCAAUCUUUUUGUGUGCGUCUUCUUCUCAACCGCCUUCCAACAAAUGACAAUUUAUUUAUGAGAGGAGUGAUUCCGGCUACUUAUGGGAGGGUGUGGUAAUUUAGAGGAUAAACAAGAGAAUUGUUGUUUACACAUUUCAUAAGGCUGUGCCACACGAGUCAUUUACGUAAAUGCCCUUCAGCAGUUAACUGCCGAAGUUUUUAGUAAACCGGCGGCAGUUAACUACCGAGGAUUUCCUCGGCAGUUAACUACCGAUGCGAACUGAACAUAACAGAAGCAGAAACUCAAUUUUCUGAGUAUUGAUUCAUUGUUCAAAAAUUCUCCAAACCAUCCAACUUCUCCAAUUUCGAUUUGUCAGCAAAAUCAAAUGCAUCAUCUCCAUUUAAUCACAAGUAAGUAUCUUGACUCAUUUUUAAUCAUAAUGUUAAUUUGGGUAGGUUUUUUUUAUAAAAAAAAUGGUAGUUUUUAUGUGGUUAGGGUUGAUGUAGGAAUUGAAUUUUUUAUGAGUGCAUGUAGUUUAUAAUUGAAUGUAGUUGCUUUAAUUGAUGAUUGAAUGAUGUUAGGGUAUAAUGUGGUUUUCAAUGGUGGCAAAAGAACACAUUUUUAGUAUGUUUGAUAUUUUGCACACAAAGUGUUUGAUAAAAUGUGUCAAUGACAAUUUUAUUGAUUAUUUAGUUAGUUUAGGUAUUGGAUAUGAUUUUGAUUGUAAUUCGAAAAAGUGUAUAUUGAAUUAGGUUGAAUGUGUAUAUUGAAUUAUGUUUAGUUUAGGUUGAAUGUGUAUGACAAUGCAUUUGAUUAUUUACGUUUGAAUGUUAAUGAUAAUGUGUAUGAUAAUGUUUAGGUUCAAUCAAUGUCUUUAUUUUGGUAAAGUGGUUUAAUGUGAAAGUGGUUAUGUUUAGGUUGAAUGUGAAAGUUUAGGUUUUGUUUAGGUUUAGUGUUUUUGAUAAAGUGGUUGAAUGAUAUUAAUUUUAUUAUUUUUUUUGUAGAUAUGGCCGAUCAGGACCCCAUUGAUCCAUCGAAGAUGAUUGGUGGUAGGCGUGCGAUGACUCAGAGCCACCGCAGGAAGAGGCAGAGCAGCCACUUCCCAAAGAGGGGUAGAGGUCGGAGGGGAGAUGGCUCAGGAAGCUCUCAGGCUACACAGCCUGAGGAGUCACAGGUUGUUGACCCGUCACAGCCUGUUGACCAGACUGGGGUGGAGUACCUGAACUAUCAGGAUCAGGUACAGCAUGAUGUGACGGAUGGUGGAUAUGACCAGGAUCAUAUACCACAGCAGCAGGAUGCAGGAGACGAGGAUGACAUUGCAGCAGCUGCUGCACCGGAGGUGUUACCUAUGGAGCCUCCAUUUCCUGGUGGACCGGCUGACUUGUCAUUGCUCCACUCUUAUGCCGAUCAUGUGGCGUUGCCACUCUGGUAUAAUUCAAAUAAUGUAACUGUAUUUUUUUUAAAUAUUUUUUCUUUAUGUUAAAAUAUUUUCUUUAAUUUAAAUGUGUAUUUGUUUAAUUAUUAUAUCCAGUUUUAUAUGUGUUUUUUUUAAUUAUAUUUUGUAUGUUUAAUUGUUUUCUUUAAAUGUGUGUUUGUUUAAUUAUUAUAUCCACUUUUAUAUGUGUAUUUUUUAAUUCUAUUUUGUAUGUUUAAUUCUUUUCUUUAAAUGUGUGUUUGUUUAAUUAUUAUAUACAUUGUUUUAUGUUUAUUUUUUUAAUUCUAUUUUUUAUGUUUAAUUGUUCUCUUUAUAUGUGUUUUUGUUUAAACCAUAUUUAUUUUUCUAUUAUUUCAGGUUCGUAAGCUCCACGUGCUUAAACCGAUUAAUCAUGGGGCCAAGAUUCUCACUCUCGGACGCCCUAACGGGAAUGAGAAUUGGUUUUGGGAUCCGCUUAAGCAGAGCGGGCUACAUGAUUUGGUUUACUUGGGGUACUCCACCGUGCCUCAUCCGGAGACCAGCACCUUUCACAUGCCCAUGGGGGAGAUGACUGUGACAUUGGAUGAUGUCGCAUGUCUCACGCAUCUUCCUAUUGAGGGGCGGAUGUUGGAUCAUGGGAAGAAGAUGCCCAAGCAUGAGGGAGCGGCACUGCUGAUGAGGUAUCUGGGUGUGUCCCAGCAUGAGGCUGAAAAGAUCUGCAACCAGGAGUACGGUGGGUACAUUAGCUACCCGAGGCUGAGGGACUUCUAUACCACGUACCUUGGUAAGGCCAACUUAUUGGCGGGUACGGAGGAUCCUGAGGAGCUUGAGGAGCUGGCGAGGGUUAGGACAUACUGCGUCCGGUGUUACCUUCUGUACUUGGUCGGAUGCUUGUUGUUUGGCGAUAGAAGCAACAAGCGCAUCGAGCUGAUAUAUUUGACGACCAUGGAGGACGGCUACGCAGGGAUGCAUAAUUAUUCCUGGGGAGGUAUGACCCUCGCCUACCUAUACGGCGAGUUGGCUGAUGCAUGUAGGCCUGGACACAGAGCUCUUGGGGGGAGCGUGACACUGCUCACUGUAAGAAAACUUAAAUUUUAUAUUUAUGUUAACUUUAUUUUUUUGUUAACUUUUAUUUUUUUGUUAUAUUUUUCCGUGCGUAAUGAUUUAUAAAUGUUAUUUGUUUGGUUUGUGCAAGCAUGGUUUUUGGUGCAUUUUCCAGGGUUUUACAGUGUUGAUCCCAACACUGACUACGUGGAAAACUAUCCAGUUGCAGCGAGGUGGAAGCUCCAGAAGGGUCAUGGGGGGAGAUCACGUAUCGGUCACUGCUUGAUCGUAUACAAUUAGAUGAUGUAUGUUGGAGGCCGUACGAGGAGCACAGAGAGAUCCAGGACUUCGAGGAGGUUUUCUGGUAUUAUGGGUGGAUUAUGUGUGGUGUCCGUAGGGUGUACCGUCACUUGCCCGAGAGGGUUUUGAGGCAGUACGGAUACGUGCAGACCAUCCCCAGACAUCCGACUGCUGUUAGGGACCUCCCACCGUCUUCCAUUAUGCAGGUGUUCGUUGACUUCCGCACUCACACGAUUAAGGCGGACGAUCGGGGUGAGCAGGCAGGAGAGGAUACAUGGCGGGUGGCGGAUGGCUAUGUCAUAUGGUACACUAGGGUGUCUCACCCUCAGAUCUUGCCACCUAUUCCAGGAGAUCUUCCGAGGCCUGCAAAUAAAGAGCAGAUCAUUGCAGACCAGUGGGAGCGGUAUGAGGCGAGAAGCUCGCCUGACACCUAUGACAUGGUUAGUGGCGCUGUUGCCUAUGCUGAUGCGCAGUUAGGCCAGGAGGAGGUCAUGAGCAUGACCCCUCAGCAGUGGUUUGAGGCCAUGACCCAUAUGAGGGAGCAGAUCGCGCCGAUUUUGACCAGGAGGAGAGCCCAGAGGCCGAGGAGGAGGCACUAUCUGCAGGAUCAGGACCAGUAGUACUAUUUUCCUUUUUUAGGACUUAGUUUUUAGUUUUAGUCUUUUGAUGACAUUGAGUUAUGUAUAUUUGUAUAUUUGUAUAUUUAUAUUUUUAUGACAUUAUUUUUAAUUUCAUGGGCUCGUUUUACUUUGUUUAAUGUACAAAAAUGUUGGUUUAAUUAAAUUGUGCAUUUGCACCAAUAUUUUUUUGUUAUUUGAACCGUUAUGAUGAAUUUUAACCGUUUGUGUAAAAAUCCGGCUUUCAAAAUAAUUUAGAAUGAUAUUGAAAUGCUUUUUAGAAUUAUGAAGAUUUCCUCGGCAUGAAAAUUAAAGUUUGUUCUUGUAACUUCAUGUAUUGAUAAUAAGCAAUUUUCAAUGAGACGUGAUCGUUACCUUUUUUCUAGAGUGUAGUAGUAGUAUUUUAUUACUAAUGACAAAGUUUUAGUUGUCUAGUCAAACCUGAACACUACUAUAUAAUAUAAGUGUGCCGUUGAUUUGCCUCCAAUUCGUGAAAGAAGAUUUGGCGAAGAUUGGAGAGAAAUUGAGAAUUUUGUAAAGUUUUGGAUGUUCAGUUUUCCUCGGCAGUUAACUAUCGAGGUUUUCUUCGGCAGUUAACUGCCGAAAUUUUGAAAAAUCCGGCUGCAGUUAACUGCCGAGGGAAACCUCGGGAGUUAACUGCCGAGGAUCUUAUGCGCUACAAAAUCUGGCAGAAUCUCCUCUCAUCCAUUAUUGAUCUUAUCUUCCAAAUAAUUUCUUCAAAUUUCUCUCAAAAUCUCUCUAAAAAACACAACCAAAUCCAACCAACUUUAUUCAACAAAAUCACAAGUAAGUAAUUAUAAUGCUAUUAACUUACAUUUUAGUUGUUAUAAAUGUUAUUAUUUUUUAGUUUUUGAGUACAUUUAUUAUUUUUUAGUAGAUUUACAUGUUAUAAUUAAUUUUUAGGGUAUAUGUUAGUUGAUUAAUGUUGUUAAAAUAUUUGCAUGAUGUUUAUGUUAUAUGAUUAAUUUUUUUAUUUUAGUAAGAGUAUAUGAUUUAUAAUUUUAGGAUUAUUUUUAUGAAUUUUAGAGUCUAUGUAUAAUGUGCACAUCAAGUGUUCGAUGAAAUGUUUGAAUGAGUUUUUGAUUGAUUGUUUUUAGUUUCUUAUUGUGUAGAUUUAAAACAAUGGCCAGGUGGAUCGACGUUCAUGCGCAAUUCAACGGCGGAGAACCUCAGAGGUUGAAGGUUCGGUGCCUUGGUGUAACGUUAAGAGGUCUCAAGGAUAAACUGACUGAAUUCAACCAAGGAGUCAACCCCAAAGAUACAAGGAUGGUGGAACACGUUUGGUAUAAACGUCCAACGCUCGACGAGGGGAGAGUAUCAUUCACUUGGGUGGAAUUAACGAAUGACGAAAACGUGACGACCAUGUUUUGGGAGCACAGCAUGUUCCAGUGGAUCGAUAUGCGGGUGAAGUUGGUUAGAUCAACUGAAGAUAUCAUCAAAAGUUUGAUUCCGCCGGAAGAUCGUCAUUAGUUAGGGUAAGGUGCAUUCCAACUACAACAAUUGUCUUCCUUUGAAUGAGAUCAAUUCAAACCUGCCAAACAACAGGACUCGAGCAUUUCGCUCGGCAUUCAUUUUUUUCCUUUGAAAAGAUUAAAUUCUUGUUAGGCUGAUUUAGAUGAAGGUAUUAAGUGUCAAGGAAUGAACCUCAUUUCGUUGGCACUUGAAUACCAUCAUCUAAAGCACGCCUAACAAAAAUUUAUUCUUUUCAAAGGAAAACAUGAAUGCCGGGUGAAAUGCUUGAGUCCUGUUGUUUUGCAGGUUUGAAUUUAUCCCAUUCAAAGGUAACAUAAUUGUUGGAGUUGGAAUGCACAUUCCAACUGCAACAAUUGUCUUACCCUGGAUGGGGCAAUUCAAACUUGCUAAUCGGCAGGACUCCAGUAUUCGAUGAGCAUCUUGAACAAUGGUAUUCAAGUGUCAAGGAAUGCACCUCAUUCUGUUGACACUUGAAUACCAGCGUUCAAGAUGCUAAUCGAAUACUGGUGUCAUGCUGCUUGGCAAGUUUGAAUUUGCCCCAUUCAGUGGUAAGAUGAUUGUUGCAGUUGGAAGGUAAAUUUCGGAAUGUAAUGUAAUAUGUAAUACAAUGUAAUGUGAUAACAUAUAUUUUGUUUUGAAUGGAACAAUAAUUAUCUUAUUUUGUUUUCAAAUUUAUUUAUUCCAAAUGCAAUUUUAUUAUAAGCACCAUAAUGUCAAACAAAAUGUGCGCGACACAAAAAUUAAACAUAAAAAAAUCCAAAACAAUUAGGCAUUAAAAGUCAUUACAUUUAUUCUUCCUCGUCACACAAAUCAAUUGGCUUGUCCGCUACAGUCCCUGCAGUACCUUGUUUUGGUCGAGGACCGAAAUAACAUGUCCUCUCGCUCCUCCUCAACCUCGAGUGAUUGUACACUGGCACCUUCGAACCCUUCUUUUUUUCAGAACCAUUGCAAACAAUUCCAUGCCACGUCAUAGGUGAUUUUUCUUUUUUCUUCUCAUCAUCGUGAACGUUACCCUGAUUCUGAUUCUGAGAUAUAUCUACAUUAAAAAAAAAAAUGGCGAUCAAUUCAACCUAUACUAACCUAAACUAUCCUAACAAUUCUAACCAUUCUAACCUAAACUAUCCUAACAUAUCAUAAAAUCAACAAAUCAAUAUAAUCGAAAUUUAACAAAAAAUAACAUACAAUUCGACCACAAAGCAACAAUACAAUAGAAUUCAAAAAACUUACUUGUUUUUGUUAUUAAAAUUGGCUUGUAAUGGCUUCAAAUGACUCAAAAUCGCACCUUGGAUAAUUAAAACGCAAACUUGGAGUUUUGGAAACUCCUAUGCAGUUCUGUUCUUAUAACAUUUUCCUCGGUAGUUAAAUGUCGAGGUUUUCCUCGGCAGUUAACUGCCGCCGACUUCCUAAAAACUUCGGCAGUUAACUGCCGAGGAGCAUUUGCGUAAUUUACUUGUGUGGCAUAGCCAAACUAAAUGUGAGAAAAGCAAUUCUCGAUAAACAAUGCCUAUGUUGUCAAAAAUAUCGGAUUAAAGCAAUGAGAGAAUACCAAAUCAGCUCAACCAUGCAAAAUCAACUCAUUUUGGACUUGAAAUACACAACAUGACAUUACAAUUCAAGAAUAAAAAAAAAGAAGUCUUUGCUUUGGUAGAGUAACAACAACAAACUAUUAAAACUUCAAACAAAGAAAAUAAAUAUUGUAAAAGAAAUAAAUGAGGAUAAUCAGAUAGUUUUUUUUUUUUUGGUUACGGAUAAUCAUAUAGUUAACUCAUCCAUAAAACAAAAUACUAGUAUUCAUACAAUUUAAAAAUUAGUUAAUUUCUAUAGUUCAAGAAAUAGAAUCUUAAAAAAUGACAAUGUUUUAUUAAAAGACAGAGACACAUGGUCAUAUGACCUGCCCCAUGAAGAAAAACAUGGACCUAUGCCUUACUUUGACAAUGUUUUAUUCUGUCGGCCACGUGAACGUUUGCUCACAAUUAUUGACCACCUACUUUUCUGACUUUCUACUUUCAUUGCAUUUAUUUUCAAAGGUCUCCAGCUUGGUUCAGCACUCAUUCUAUCUAAACUAAUUUCUCAUCUUCUUAUCUUUUCAACUCUUUAAUUUGUUUUCACAAAAACAAUGGCUGACGCUUUGCUUGGAUUUGUUUUUGAAAACUUGACGUCUCUCCUUCAAAAUGAAUUUUCUACCAUUUCUGGAAUCAAAUCAAAGGUUCAAAAGCUAUCAGACAACUUAGUUCACAUCAAGGCUGUUCUUGAAGAUGCUGAGAAGAAACAAUUCAAAGAACUCUCUAUUAAGCUAUGGUUACAAGACCUCAAAGAUGCUGUUUAUGUGCUCGAUGAUAUCCUUGAUGAGUACUCGAUCGAGUCUUUUCGACUGAGAGGAUUUACCUCUUUCAAACUAAAGAACAUCAUGUUUCGCCAUGAGAUUGGUAACAGGUUCAAAGAGAUUACAAGGAGGUUAGAUGAUAUUGCUGAAAGUAAGAACAAGUUUUCUCUACAGAUGGGUGGAACUCUUAGGGAAAUCCCAGAUCAAGUAGCUGAAGGGCGCCAAACCAGCUCCACCCCUCUUGAAUCAAAAGCGCUGGGAAGAGACAAUGAUAAAGAAAAGAUUGUCGAGUUUCUUCUCACCCAUGCGAAGGACUCUGACUUCAUUUCUGUCUAUCCCAUUGUUGGUUUAGGUGGUAUUGGAAAAACAACUCUUGUUCAAUUGAUCUACAAUGAUGUUAGGGUGAGUCGCAAUUUUGAUAAAAAAUUUUGGGUUUGUGUUUCUGAGACUUUCUCGGUCAAGAGGAUUUUGUGUUGUAUUAUAGAAUCUAUUACAUUAGAGAAGUGUCCUGACUUUGAGUUAGAUGUCUUGGAAAGAAAGCUGCAAGGAUUGUUGCAAGGGAAAAUAUAUUUGCUGAUUUUGGAUGAUGUGUGGAAUCAAAAUGAACAAUUGGAAUCUGGGUUAACACAAGAUAGAUGGGAUCGUUUAAAAUCUGUUUUGUCGUGUGGAUCAAAAGGUAGUUCCAUUUUAUUGUCCACCCGUGAUGAGGUUGUUGCAACUAUCAUGGGAACAUGGGAAACUCACCGUUUGUCUGGUCUCUCUGAUAGUGACUGUUGGUUGUUGUUCAAACAACAUGCAUUUAGACGUUACAAAGAGCAUACAAAGUUUGUGGAAAUAGGAAAGGAGAUAGCAAAGAAAUGUAAUGGAUUGCCACUUGCAGCAAAAGCAUUGGGGGGUUUGAUGAGCUCAAGGAAUGAAGAAAAUGAAUGGCUUGAUAUUAAAGACAGUGAGCUUUGGGCUUUACCACAAGAAAAUUCUAUUUUGCCUGCUUUGAGGCUGAGUUACUUUUAUUUAUCACCAACCCUAAAGCAAUGUUUCUCUUUUUGUGCUAUAUUUCCCAAGGAUAGAGAAAUCCUAAAAGAAGAAUUGAUUCGACUUUGGAUGGCUAAUGGAUUUAUUUCAUCUAUGGGUAAUUUGGACGUUGAAGAUGUUGGAAACAUGGUUUGGAAGGAAUUGUACCAAAAAUCAUUCUUCCAAGAUUGCAAGAUGGAUGAAUAUUCUGGAAACAUUUCUUUUAAAAUGCAUGAUCUUGUCCAUGAUCUCGCUCAAUCAGUAACGGGGAAAGAAUGUGUGUAUUUGGAGAAUGCAAACAUGACUAAUUUGACAAAAAACACACACCACAUAAGUUUUCACUCUGAAAAAUUGUUAUCAUUCGAUGAGGGUGCCUUCAAAAAAGUUGAAUCCUUACGAACAUUGUUUGACUUGGAGAAUUAUAUUGCAAAAAAACAUGAUCACUUCCCAUUAAACAGCUCUCUUCGAGUUUUAAGCACAUCCUUUCUACAGGUCCCAGUAUGGAGUUUAAUUCAUUUAAGGUAUUUGGAAAUUCAUUCUCUUGGCAUAAAAAAGUUGCCUGACUCAAUUUACAACUUACAAAAACUGGAAAUCUUGAAAAUAAAACACUGUAAUAAACUUAGUUGCCUUCCGAAACGCUUGGCUUGUUUACAAAAUCUUAGACAUAUAGUCAUUGAAGAAUGUCGAUCUUUGUCUCGAAUGUUUCCUAACAUUGGAAAAUUAACUUGUCUAAGAACAUUAAGUGUGUACAUUGUUAGUUUAGAGAAAGGGAAUAGCUUGACAGAGUUACGUGAUCUAAACCUCGGUGGAAAACUGAGUAUCAAAGGAUUAAACAAUGUUGGCAGUUUAUUUGAAGCUGAAGCGGCUAAUUUGAUGGGUAAAAAAGACCUUCAUGAAUUAUACUUGUCAUGGAAAGACAAACAAGGAAUUCCAAAGACCCCUGUUGUUAGUGCUGAGCAAGUACUCGAAGAGCUUCAACCUCACUCAAAUCUCAAAUGCUUGACAAUAAAUUACUAUGAAGGAUUAUCAUUACCAAGUUGGAUAAUUAUUCUUAGUAAUUUAGUUUCUCUUGUACUUCUCCAUUGCAAGAAAAUUGUGCGGCUUCCGUUACUUGGUAAACUACCAUCUCUAAAAAAACUGAGAUUAUAUGGUAUCAAUAAUCUGAAAUACUUGGAUGAUGAUGAAUCUGAGGAUGGUAUGGAGGUGAGGGUUUUCCCCUCUCUGGAGAUACUCGAAUUAUCUUGUCUACGAAACAUAGUGGGGUUAUUGAAAGUGGAAAGAGGGGAGAUGUUUCCUUCUCUUUCUAAAUUGGUAAUCGAUUGUUGCCCUAAACUUGGACUGCCAUGUCUUCCAUCUCUUAAAGACCUCUAUGUUUACCCUUAUUUGCCUCAUAUUCCAAAAAUAGAGUUAUAAGAAGCAGAGACGUUUACCCUUAUCUGCCUCAUUAGCCAUCACAAAAAUCAAUUUUACUGGUAGGAUCUCUAUUUACCCUUCUUAUGUUUGCAUUUCAACUGCUCAAAAAUCUUUAUUUUUAUUCUCGUUGUUGACUUCUUUGGAACGCAUCCCGCAGAAAGAGUACAUGAAAGAUAUUUUACUACUCAACCAACCUAAGGACAAUUGUUCUAAUUCAGGUAAUUUUCUUCAUCAUAAUUUUAUUUUUUUAAUUUUAUUUUUUGAACUUUUUUUAAAUUUUGCUGAUUUUGUGGAGAUUGAACUGAAUGGUUAGGAUUUCCUUUGACACACAAGGGUGGGGUCGACAAAUAAAGGGAUUAAUAGGUUCCUAAUGAUGAAGAUGACAUCGUUCGGAGUGGAGGAUGUGACAAUGAGUCCGGUGGUGGUAGAGGUUUUCGCUUUUGAUCAUUGGGGCGUGGGUCGGAGCUCUGUGCACAAUAGAAAGUCUGAUCAUCAAGGUUUUUAUUGGUCUUUACUCUUUUGUAUUUAUUUGCUUUAGAUUGUUUAUUUGAAUGAUAUAUUGUUUGAUAAUAAUUUGAAGAAAUGAAAGUUUUUGAAUGUAAUUAUAUGGGUUGGUGUCAUAUCAGUAUCUAAACAUCAGACAUGUCAUCAAUAUGAAGUGUUGGUGCUACAUUAAUUUGAAUAAUUUACAAACAGUGAAAUGGAAAUUUGAAUAUUGGUGAAUGAUUAUUGGGUGCAGAACAGUGAUCAUGGCAAAGGAUGCAAUUACUUUGUUGGGUCAUUUAGGUUGGAAAAAGGCUCAUGUUUUUGGGCAAUUAGCGGGUUAUUAUUUUGUGUGUGUGUUUCUCUGUCUUUGAUUUGAUUAGGUUGAGUUUAUUUGUGUGUUUAUUUUUAAAUAGUUUGCCUAUUGAAACAGGAUCUAUGAUAGCUUGUAAAAUAGCAGCAAUGGUUCCUGAUAGAGUUCUCUCCCUGACAGGAGAUUUUCAAUGUUUUCCAGAGGUAUAUCUCCCUUUUAUAAUUCUUUGAACAUUUUGAUUUAUUUUUACGGCACUGUGAUUAGAGCAUUGACGACGCAAUAUUUGUAAGACGUUAACUACAUCAAUGAUUGCUAGCCACACUUUUUAAUUACAAACUUAGCUCAUGACGAGUGGACCUGCAUACGUAAUAAGUAUAAUUUGUUGGUACAGAUUUUAGGUGAUCCUUUAGGACAAUUUUAGUUGAGAAUUUAUCUUUCUAUGGUUUUGAGUCAGAAUUUUGUUGAGAAUUUCAUAGUACUAAAAUUGUCUUGGUAUGUUAUUUGCUAAUUUUUAAAGAAUAUUGACGGCUGUUGAUUCAGACACUAAACUCUGUUGAUUCAUGCAUAUUUGAUUUCUAAGUAUUUCUCAAGACAGUUAUCUGGAAGAAGAUGUAUGCUAGUUUUAUCUCUUCCCUGCAUCUUCUUAUCCCCAAACUACUUUCUAAUUUAAAUUUCUAUAUGCAGGAAUCACUUACUUUCUCUGUUUUUGUAUGGAAUAUGUCUACGAGUAAAAUUAUUGUGAGAAUUGGGCCAUAUCUUUAGAAUUGACGCUGAGCUUGUUAAUGCAACAAAUCAAAAUUCUUGGUUCAAGCUAUUAGCCAGGUGUGUAUACAGCUCUUCAUUAGGAAGGUGUGUAUUUAGCUAUUUCAUGAUUCUAGUCGAGUCACUCAUGUUAUUUCAUUAUGUUUGUGUCAGAUAUGUUGUGGAAUGCUGCUGACUUGCAGCCAUGUUUGUGUCGGACAAUUUUAUUUAUCAAGUUGUGUUGUGUCCACUGCUUUUCCUGAAAGCAAGAGGAUGCUUCAGCUGAACCACAGAAUCUAUAAGAGGUGAUGAUUUUGGAUGAUAUGAAUGAGAAAUCAACCGUUUAAUUUGAUAACAAAGUGAAUUUUACAUCUUUUAACUCUUUAUAUUUUAGUAUAUUAGCAUUAGUCAUAUCACUUACAGAGAGCAUCUCCUGUGAAACUGAACAGGUGACACUUAUUUCGCUUUGAACUAUGGAUAUUGUUGAAUGUGAGGAAUUGAGAUCCCUGCCAUAAGGUAUUUGACACCUCACUUCACUUGAGUUUUUGAAUAUUCGUGGUUACCCAUAAGGAAUUGAAGACAUUUUUUAAGAGACUUGAUUUAUGUGAACCUUGUGAUUUUGUCUGAGACGAAAUCGAUUAAAAUUGUCAACCUUAUGGGUCAGAUUAUCGUUAUCGCGUUUCCACUUCCAUUGAUGCUGGUAUUGAUAAGAUAUAGAUCUUCAUUCCUAUAGUAUUAAUUUUAACAUAUACUACUAGAUUUCAAUUUGAUUUCAUGUAUUCAUGAAAAUAUGCAGGUGAUGGUCCUUCAUUUAUGAAAUAGCCCUUUCAUGUAUAAUAUAUUUAUGAAAGAGUCGGAGUUUCAUGUUCGAUCACGGGAAACACCAAUAUUAGGAAUGAAGUUUGCUGCUGAAGAUUUCAAUUUCCUUUAACUGAUAGCUCUUUGCUGGUUAUGGUUAAUUUCAAGGUAAGGCAUAGUUCAUAUCUUAGUGAAUACUUUAACAUGAAUUUUCUGCCUCGUCAAACUAAUUUAUUUUAACAUACAUGUCGAAACUUUAGUUGGCUUUCUUUUUAUUGCAUGCUUCAACAAAGUAAUACUCUUUCCACCUCCUUGUGGUUAGAGUUGGUUUUCAGGACUUUAUAAUGCUAAUUACCUUCACAUAUCAUUUUUUAACCAAACAUAUUUAAAAUUCCAUCCUUAUAGCAAAGAAAAAAAUAGUAUAUUGUAUAUGUAUGGUAAGAUUUUAUAAAGGAAUUGAGUGUAUUUUGGUCAUACAUACAGGCAAGGGACUGAAUGUAUUUUGGCCUGAAAAAUCAAUCUCCAAAGAAGGCAGUGAACAAUGGUGAUCCAACACAAUAGCCGAACUUAAUUCCAACUAAUAACAGAUGUUGAAAGAGUUAUAUAUAGCUUCGCCUAAGCCUCAGGAGGCUGUCCUUGAUUUUACGAUAUCUACUAGUAGUAAUGUUGCUGAAAUAAGGGAUUCUUUGUAUUAAUCUCUUUCCCAUUCCUCUAGUGUAGUUUUUUGUUGGUGAGCUUAUAAUCAGACAUUUUGUGCCUUGGUUGUACCAAACAAUGUACAUACAUUUUUUAUUUAAAAGGGACAAAUACUUUUUUGAAUUCAUACUUAAUCAAGUAACUACGAGAUAUUUUUGUCAUUUAUAAAAUUCACUUGUCAACAGAAAUGUAACCAGACAAAGAAUUCAAUAAACAUGGCACAAGUUAUCAUCAGCACACAUGAAUGAUCCUUAAGAAGGGACUUCAGCUUGAGGAUAUGUAAUAUAAUAAUAUUGAUUUCCUUCACAAAUUAGCUUCCACUGAAUAUAUUUAAGAACUCAUCCUUGUUUUAUUUCAAAUUCUUGUUUCUUAUCUGUUCAGUAAGUGAACUUGUUAUAAAUAUCCGUGUCUGGGGAGUUUGUUUAUAAUAUUUCAUGAUAAGAACUAGGAUUCGACAUAAAACAAAGUCAAUAGAAUUCUCGAUCUCUCAAACUCUGAAAUGCUUAUUAUUUUAAUGAUUCUAGCUAGAGCAAAGUGAUUGUGCCUGAGUCAAACACAUCUGAUGUGAAGGGUGGUUGUGCAUGAGUCGAACGCAUCUGAUGUGAAAAUGGGAAAUAUUAGUGAAUAUACACUAUCGGCGUAAAAUUGGUUUGCAUUAACGUUCAGAUAGAGCUCACUGUUUUCAUGUUUUGCCAAGCUAUGUUUUCAUCUCUACAAUGCAAUUGUAUAAUUCUUCUUUUCCGCCAUGCCCCCCUCGGCCUCAUCAUCGAACUUAGUUGAUUCUCCAAAUUAUUAAAAUCAAACCACCAUAGAAUACCAAUAUAUUAAGCAAGGUUCCCUAAUUAUCCUGGUUUAUGCACAAUUUAUCUGGCGCCGAUAUUUGUUGGUGCACUCUCCCUCUCUUUUUCUUCUUUGUUAAACUGUGUGAUUACUUGUAAUAUUAGAUAGCUUGCGCAGCAGGUUACUCUGCCAUUCCAUAGAUCUUUACUGUGUACUAGCAUCAUAUGAUUCUAAUCCUAGAUAAUAGUUUGUUAGAGUUAGUUAGGAUCAUAUACAGCUUUAUAUUAGCUUUGUUGUAACCAAUUUCAGAUCAAUUCAUAGAAUAAAACCUAAAUAGGAUUAGAAGAAAACCUUUGUAUAAUCUAAAGACAAUAUACACAAAUAAUAAUAUUGGAGUUGUGAACCUAAAGGAUACAAAUAGAAAAGGAAAAAAAAAGAGCUGAAAUGGUUGAUAACAACACUUAGAAUAAUUCUGGCAAUGUUAAUGACAUGUCUUAGGCUAGUGGAACAACUAACUUGGAACAUAGUAUCGAUGCUAACACUAUUCAUGAUCACUAACUUAGUCAAUUAAAACAUCAACCAGAUUCUCACCAUGCUCCCUAGCAAUGUUGAAAUCUUUAAUGCCGUCCAUUCUCUUAACAAGGGCUCUGAUGGAUUUGGAGCAUUUUCCUUUCAAACUUAUUGGAAAUUAUUAAACUGGAGGUUAUAAAUGUUGUUAUGCAAUUCCUCUCAAAUGGACGGCUUCUUCCUAAUUUUAAUCCAAAAACUAUUGUUUUGACCCCAAAGGUCCCUAAUGCUGAUAAUGUGAAUCAAUUUAGGUCUAGAGCAUUAGCCAACUUCAAGUUCAAAUUCAUUACAAAAAUCAAUGCUAGAAGAUUAACUUAGAUCAUGCCAUUAUAAAAAAUAUGUUUGAAUUACAAAGCUAUAUAUAGAUUUGUCAAUGUUUGAAAGGUCUUGGCCUAGUCUCCCUUUCUGUUUGUUUUCUUUCCUUUCUUUGAAUAUAACGUAACUAUGUGAUACACUUAGAGCAUCACCAUUUAUAAAAACAAAAAAAAUAUAUUGGCAUUUGCCAAAUAUUUUGAUACUUUAGACUGGCACUUUCUAAUAAGGAUUCUCAAAGCUUUUGAUUUAAACUGUACUUUUUGCAAUUGGAUAAAUUGUAGUCUCAAAUCAACAAUGCUUUCUAUGUUGUGAAUGGCAAACAAGAAGUCUACUUUUCUUUUAAGAUACGGGAUAGACAGAGAGACCCCAUCUCCCAUUUACUUUCAUGUCGUAAUAAAGAAGUCAUCAGUGUAACAUCUAAGACUGUUUUUAGGAUUGGCGAUUGACCCCACAAAUUAAUACGAGUCUUUUUAGUAUGUUUUGUUCUCUCUCGCACGCUUUUCAAGAAACUUUUUAGAAUGUCACCCGUCCCAAAAUUGCUCCAAGUUGAGCACGCUUAAUUGUGGAGUUCUUAUGGUUUGACCUACCGAAAAGAAGAUGCAUCUUGUUUUUAUAGGUAGUACCAAACAAUUCAUAUAAGCCUUCCUUCAACAAUGAUGUCCCAUACUUGCACAACCUCAGGAUCCCUCUCAUUCUGAUGUGAUUCGGUUUUGCCAAUAAGCGUGUCAGGAGUCGGACCACUACAUGCCCUUGUCAGUCUCGGACGUUACAUGCCCACCAAGUGGAGGCGUUACAUUCUCAACUGCUUCCGCUUGGUUCAUCCCCGAACCACAUCAAACUGGAGAGGUCUACUUUGAUACCACGUGUAACAUCCCAGACUGCUUUCAAGAUUGUCGAUUGACUCCACAAACCAACAGGAGUCUUUUCAGCGUGUUUUGUCCUCGCUCGCACGCUUUUCGGAAAGCUUUCAAGAAAGUCAUCCAUCCCAAAAUUGUUCCAAGUCAAGCACGAUUAACUGUAGAGUUCUUAUUGUUUAGGCUAAAACAAUUUAUAUCUUGUAUUUAUAGGUAGUAUAAAACAAUUUAUAGAAAAACGACACACAUAAAAAAUAUUAAUUUACUUCUUAUUGUAGUGCAUUAGUAUUAUUUUAUAGUGAUAUUCUAGUUUUUCUUAUCUUCUAAAAUCCAACAAGACGUGGAGGCUAUUAAAACUAAUUUUUUUAUUUUUUAAGCCAAAUAGGGAAUAUACUCCCUCCGUUUCAUAAUACUUGUCCAUUUUAGAGAAUAAUUUUGUUUCACAAUACUUGUCACUUUCAAGUUUCAAUGCAACAUUAGUUAUUGUCUUGUCAAUAAUACCCUUGCAUAUUUAUUGUAGAGAGAGAAAAAAAUAAAAUGAAAUAAUAGAUGAUUAAGGGUAUUAUAAAAAACACACACAUAUUUUCAUCAAAAAUAACAAAAUUUAUUUGGUUUCUUGGUUAGUGCAAUUUCUCCAAAAUGGACAUGUAUUUUGAAACGGAGGGAGUAAUAAAUAAAAAGGAAGACAUACAAAGACUGGGGCAUAGGACCUGACCCAGGGACAACCCAAACGGGGAUACAACAUGAUAAAUUAGUCUAGGAGGAUCAACUCUAAAUUAUCCUAACAUAAAUUCACUAAAUACGAGCGCUACCCAACGAAUCCGCGUACAGGUGCAAAACUAGGUUAAAAAAAGAAUGAAAAGUGAAAAUCCGCACAGGACAUCUAGAGAAUGAAAAAUAGGCUAUUAAAACUAAUUAAAAUGUAAGAGUAAUAUAAAAUUUGAAGUGUUUCUCAUAUCUUCUAAAACCCAACAAGACAUCUAAAUUAUUAUUUAUUAUGACAUCAAAAUAAAAAUAAAGACUAUGAAGUAAGGUAAAAUUUAUUUAUCAACCUAACUCUUAAAGUUAUUCUUAUAAGGCUGAUAUGCCUAAAUUGUAUAACAUGAUGAUACCUUCAAAAUUAAUGGAGAAGAGGACAAUCAAAAUAAUAAUCUUUAUUGACUUAAAGUAAGUUUUUUUUUUUUUUUUUUUUUUUUUUACAAUAAAGUAAGCUUAUUACAGUAGAACACUAUAACUACAAGUUUCAUCAAAUUAAAAAAAUAAAGGAAAAUGUUAACUUGUGUCUUUAAGGCACAAACUAAUGAAACAAAUAUAGAAAUAGUUUAUUGAAAUGUGUGCAUUACAUUUAAUUUUUAAUUUUUUAAUGAGUUGAAUGCACAAAAUUUUAUACUCCCUCCGUCCCUUAAUAAGUGACACAGUUGACCCAAUUACGCAUACCAAUGCGUAAAUUUGAGUUUAAAUAUCUUGAAUAAUAUAUUGGAAAAAAUUAUGAAAAUUUGAUAUUUUGAAAAUACUCAUCGAGACGAAUCUAACGACAUCUUAUAUGAUAUUAUUUAUCUUUGUAUAUUAAUAGAAAAAUAUGGUCAAAAUAAGUUAGGUCAAAAUUGCACAUUUUCAAAUAUGUCAUUUAUUGCGGGAUGGAGGGAGUAAAAUAUUUCUUUUUUAAAGUUUUAAUGGUCCGAAACUAAUAGAAUCGUAAGUGCGCUGCUACCAAUUCACAUUUGUGAUUAAUGCAUUUAUAAAUAUAAAACAAGUUCCCACUUUUUGGACAAUCAGCAUCAAUUUGACAUUCAUCACUUGCUGUAAUAAGAAGAAAAAAAGUCAAGAAAAUAAUGUUACUACAUGAUUGUGUACGAGCCACAAAGUAAAAAAAGAAAUUUGAAAAGAAUAAAAGGAAUGGCUUACCAACACCAAAUUUCGUUGCGAUGAGAAAUAAGGAAAUAAAUAGAAUCCUGACACAAACAAACUUAAGAAUUUGAACCAUAUUUUAUCUUGUUUGAGUGUAAAAAAUAGAAAAUGAUUUGGUCUAUUUAUAAUUUUCCUGCUCUCUAAAAUAAUGAAAUAUUUUUAGCACUUACAAAGUUGAAACCGUCGUUCAUAAUAUUAUGAUCAUUAUUAAAUAUUUAUUAAGUAUAUCAAUGUGUUGUGUUUGUUCUUUUAGCACACUUAAGGUGAGUCAAAUAACAAAAUUACUAAUCAUUAAAAUUCAUUCUUUAUAUUUAACUUUUAUUUACUUUUUUUAAAGUUAAAAGUUUUUUUUUUUUAAGAAGCUAAAAUGAAUUAUAUUACCACCUCAAAAGAGUCUUUCCUAGCACAAGACGUACUAAGGAAAAAACAACAAUGUCCUAUUACAAUCUCCAGUACAAAGCUAAAGAUAAAAGAGAAGAAACAUUAGCCUAUGCCCAUAAUAGUAAACGGGCUAAUCCACCACCCGUGGUAAUUGAGGGGAAGAGAGGAAUACUUCGCCUUCAACCACGUAAAGGCAAGCGACUUAAUAUUGUCUACCACCUGAUUAACCGAGCAUUCUUUGACAUUAAACAGCAUAUUGUUUCUUUCCUUCCAAAUUUCCCAAACAACUGCAUACCAAAUAACCUGAAGAAUAGAGCGAUGUGCCUUUGUGAAACCACCACCCAAACUAAACUGGUUAAAAUGAUCGGACACCUGAAAAGGGGAAGCCACGGACAAGCCUAACCACCUAUGAAUAAAGUGCCAUACAGAACCAAAAAAAUUACAAUGUAAGAACAAAUGAUUUGAAGUUUCCAGAGAGCCACAACCAGCGACACAAAGCCUGGAAGUUUGGUUAAUAACACCACGACGGAACAAAUUAUCUUUUGUGGGCAAUCUAUCUCGAAACAACCGCCACGCAAAGAGCACCACCUUCAACGGAAUGUCUCUAUGCCACAAAAAACAAGCAUCCACUGAAAGCACUAAAGGAGGUUGAAGAGUAAGAUAGUUAUAGGCACUUCGGACAGUGAAGACACCUGAAGAUUCUAACGUCCAAAGCCAUUUAUCAACCUUCGCAACCUGUAAAUUCACAUUCUGAAGCAAUAAUAUUAGAUCCCCGAAUAACCCUUCCUCCCAUACAAACAACCUCCGCCUCCAUGUCCACGCCUCACCGCCUACCCCCCAACCUAAAUGACACAUAUCAAACACCGAGUUCCCCUUAAACACCGAUAAUUCAUAUAGUCUAUUAAACCUGACCCUAAACUCCUCUCCACCACACCAAACGUCCGACCAAAAAAGAGUAUUCUCCCCAUUACCUACCGCCCUCCUGACGUGGUUAGUGAACCACUCCUCCCUAUAUAUUGCGUAAACAUCAUGCCACCACAACGAAGCCUCGCGGCCUCCUCCCAACAGCCUCCCUCCCUCCAACCCAUACCUCGCUACCAACACCCUAAACCACAAAUUGACAUUAUCCUCCAACAACCUCCAACACCAUUUCCCUAACAACGCUAAAUUAAACUCCCUAAUUCUCCUUACCCCCAAACCACCAACCUCCUUACCACGACAAAUAGUGUUCCAAUCCACCCAAGAUAUUUUCCUGUGGUCAUCACCCCCCCCCCCCCCCCCCCCCCCCCCCAAAAAAAAAAAAAAACAAUUUAAAAUAGAUUCGAAAGAGGAUACGAUACCUGACAAACAAAGUUUUCUUUUAGACCAUCGUAAUAUUAUUAUUUUGGAAUAAUAUACAUAAUUGGAGAUGAGAAAUAAGUAGAGUGUAUUGUAGGAUCAACUUUUAUUGUUGAUAAAAUCGUUGAAUUAAAAAAAACACCUUUCCUUGAUUUAAAAAAUUGAUGUGUAUUUUAUAGAACUUUUUUUAUUCAAUAAUAUUUAAGGUUCAAAAACUCAACCUAAAAGUAGUGGUUUAGGGACAACCUAAAUGCAGAUGACAUUUAUUUGUAAGAACAAUUAAAAGUAAUAAAAUUUCAGCGUCUAACAACAUCAUAUAUAUAUAUAUAUAUAUAUAUAUAUAUAUAUAUAUAUGGGUUUUGCUAGAAGACAACUUUUAUCAUCGGCGGAGCUAGGAAAAAAGUAUAGGAUGGGCUAUAAAUAGUGAUGGGGCUUAAUUUUCUUACAGGUACAUUUUAUCAUUGGUUAGUUUCAAUGACUACAAAUUUGUUAUUUGUUGAAUAUAAUUCAAACCGGUAUUUUAAAAUCUGAACCGUUUAUCAACCUUGAUAAAGUACAAGAUAAUUGAUCGAACAACUAGGUCAUUAAACCUAACGACUGAAUUAAAUGACUCAACUUCAAUAAACAGAUGUAUAGGUAUUAAAUCGAAUUGAAUCAAACGACUGAGUAAAAAGAAAAACUCAUGACAUAUGUAUAUUAAUGUAAAAAAGAUCAUUACAUAAGAAAAUAUACUUAUAAUCAAGUACAAUAAUGAAAUCAUAUUGUCCUUGCCUCAAUUAUUUUUAUGAUUUCUAACAAAUUCUAUUUUAUUUUAUUUAUGAUUUCUAAAAAUUAUUUUUAUUUUUUAGAAAAUAGGAAUGAAUCAUAUUUAAACUAAGAUCAAUAUGAUAUCUGAAGUAAGAAAUGAUGUUAGUGAUUGGCCCUUGCCUCAAGUCACUAACGUUGAUGAAUGGGUUCCUUUUGAAGGGCAACUAUUUGAAGAUAAUGAAUAUGUAAAUUCUUUAACAUUUCAAGAGCUACAACAUGAACCCUUGCCUCAAGUCAACAACAUUGAUGAGGGGGUUCCUUUUGAAGGGCAAGUAUUUGAAAGUGAUAAUGUUGCUUAUGAAUUUUAUUGUUUAUUUGCAAAACAAAAUGGAUUUUCUAUUAGGCGUGAUCACAUUUAUAAAUCUAGUAAAAAUGUGUCUGAAGAGAAUCCAUCGGGUGUUUAUAAGAGGGAAUUUGUUUGUCAUCGUGGUGGUAUUGUUAAACCACGCAAAACUGUUGAAGUGGAAAAUCAAAGGAAACGAAAAUCUUCAAGAUGUGAUUAUGGUGCAAAGAUGGUAGUUAAUAAGAGAACAAUUGUCUUUGAGAAAAAAUGGGUGGUUAAAUAUUUCAACAAUUCUCACAACCACGAGUUAUUGGAUAACAAAGAGGUUCGAUUUCUUCCUGCUUAUCGUAACAUUCCAAUUGUUGAUCAAGAUCACAUACUAUUAUUAUCUAAAGUUGGUUGCUCUGUAAGUAUUAUAAUGAGAGUGCUUGAGUUAGAGAAAAGAACGGGCACAGGAAAUUUACCAUUCUUAGAAAAAGAUAUUAGAAAUUUUAUUCAGUCAUAUAGUGGUAUUGGUAAAGAAAGUGAUGCUGCAGAUGUUCUCAGAUUGUGCAAAAGUUUGAAAGAUCGAGAGGAGGCCUUCCAAGUUGAAUUCACAAUUGAUGAAAGUAACAAAUUGGAGCAUAUUGUUUGGGCAUUUGGUGAUUCAAUUCGCGCAUACGAAGCUUUUGGAGAUGUUGUAGUUUUUGAUACCACAUAUAGAAUAAACCGUUAUGGGAUGCCUCUUGGAAUAUGGGUUGGUGUUGAUAAUCAUGGAAAUUCAAUUUUUUUUGGUUGCGUUCUAUUGCGAAAUGAGAAGAUUUCUUCCUUCGAAUGGGCUAUAAAGGUAAAUUUCUAUUUACUCAAAGUUGUUAUCACUGUUAAAUUUUUAAAUUUGAAACUUUAUUAAAUUAAUUUAGAUUUAUGUUACAAUUUUCAGAGUUUCCUAGCUUUUGUGAAAGGAAAAUAUCCAAAAACAAUUCUUACCGAUCAAGAUCUUUCAAUUAAAGAAGCCAUUGCAACGAAAUUGCCAAACACAAAACAUGCAUUUUGUAUAUGGCAUAUUGUCGCAAAGCUGUCAAGUUGGUUUUCUUUUCCACUAGGUUCGAGAUAUGAUGACUUUAAACAUGAGUUUCAUAAGGUAUAUCAUUUAGAAUGUGCAGAUGAUUUUGAACGAGAAUGGAAAAUAAUGGUCUCACAGUUUGGUUUGGGCGUGGAUAAGCAUAUUGACUUGCUCUUUUCCCAUCGUAAAUUUUGGGCCUUAGCUUAUUUGAAGGACUUUUUUUUUGCUGGAAUGACAACAACAGGACGCUCAGAAUCGAUAAAUUCAUAUAUAAAAAGAUUCUUAGAUGCCAACAACAGGACGCUCAGAAUCGAUAAAUUGUUAUAUUUUUGUGUAGGUUGGUGUUGCUGUCAAAAUUAGAAAUCAAGCUGGAGAAUAGGCACGAAUGCGUCAAAAGUAUCAUAAUCCUCAUAUUACAACACAUUUUCCUAUUGAAGAACAUGCCUCGUCUAUACUCACACCUUAUGCCUUUAAGUUGCUUCAAUAUGAGAUCGAAUUAUCCGCAAAGUAUGAAGCAAUUGAAGCUGACAAUGGCUCUUAUGUUGUGCAACAUCAUACCAAAGUUGAUGGUGGUCGUAUAGUAAGUUUGAUAACAGAAGAAGAGUCAAUUCAUUGUUCUUGUAAAGAGUUUCAAUUUUCAGGAAUACUAUGUAGACAUGCAAUUCGAGUGCUAAUGUUGAAAAAUUAUUUUGUUCUUCCAUCAACAUAUCUUCCUUUUUGACGGAGACGAGAAAGUUCAUUGAUCCCAAAAUCUAGUCAUGUGAUUAACUGCAAUGAUGUAUCCUCUGCCAAAUUUCAAUCUCUAAUUCGAUGUUUGGAAGUCGAAUCAUUAAAGACAAGUGAACGAGAACAGGUUUCUACAAGAGAGUUAGAAAAUAUCAUCAUAAAGAUAAAAGGCAUGCCUGAAACUCAAGAACAUGUGAUUGAUUUGGAAGCGGAUGUUUCCAACAAUGACGACUACGACGUUGAAAAUCCUGUUGUUUCAAAAACAAAAGGUCGGCCAAAAGGAUCAAGACCAAAAGGAGGGGUUGAAGCUGCCAAGAAGCCUCGUCGUUGUCAUGUUCCAGAUUGUGGUGGAACUAAUCAUGACUCACGAAACUGUCCAAACAAAAAGAGAAAAAUGGAAGUAUUGCCUUCUCAAUCUCCUAAUAAGUAAGUUUUAAUUGGUGUGUCUUGUUCUACUCAUGACUAAUAUAUUAAAUUAAUGUUGACUGAAUUUUUAUGGUGCUUUGAUAGGAUCAUGAAGGGUUGGAAGUAGUCAUCUUGAAAUAGUGAAUUUGACAGAUGAAGCAGCCAAAUAGUUUAGAUCAAACCGUGUAAUUAGUGAAUUUUGUGGCUGCAAUCUGUAAGAUCAAACUAGCAGUAUAUUUUGUAGGAUUAUUAUGAUCAAAUUGUAUAAUUACUAGUAUAUUUUGUACCAGUAUAUAGCCUGUGUUUUGUUCCAGUUCGCCCAAUCUUUCUCUUCUUGAGAGGUCCUGUUUGGCUUAAUAUAUUAUUGCACAUUAUUAUGAUUAUGUGAAAUGUUGAUGUUAAUUAUUGAACAUCAAAUUGGUUAUUAAAAGUCAAAGAGUCUAAAAAAAAAAAAAAAAGUAAAAGAUCAAACUAGCAAUAUAUUUCUGUGAAAUAUAUUAUUGCAUAUUAUUGCACCUCUUAAAAAAGAAGUAAAAGAUCCAAUGAAAAAAUGUGUUCUCUUUUUGACAAACACAUUGGUUGUAGGAAGAGAGAGAAAAUGAUGAUUUCUAGGUGAAUGGGAAAUGACUUUAAAGGACGUGUAUUAUAUCAUUAUUGAAGAACAAUCUAAAUUUCCUUUGAUUUACAUGAUUGUGAAUUAAUUUGUAUUAGGAGAAGUGAAUCAAUCUAAAUUAAAUCAUUUGUAUUAUAUCAUUACGGAGGGAGUAACUAGUGGUUUAAUGACAAUCUAAAUUUCCUUUGAACAACCCCACAAACAACUUGAACCGUUUUUUUUUUUUUUUUUUUUUUUUUUUUGUCAAUUAACAACUUCAAAAUUUUAUUUCUUAAAAUACUCACAUUGAAAUAAUUAUUUUAUCCACGUUGGGUUUUGAUAAGGUAUAUAAUACAAUGAUAAGGUAAUUAUUUUAUUCAUAUUAAAUAAAAUAUUACCUCAAGAAAGAAAAAAAAGUUCAUGAUUGGUAAAUAUAUAUGUUUGGAUUGAUGAAAAUGCAAGUAGUAAAAUCUAAAGAUUCUCUACCCUAUGGUAUAAGUUACUACUAUAUAAGGCAAACUAUACUUCUCUCAAAAAAAUUAAAAAGGCAAACUAUACUAGCGAUAAAUUUACGUUAAAAUGACCCUCUUUUAAUUCAUAUAUAGGAAAAUGAAUUGAAAUUUUUUUCGCGGACAACGGUGGUAUUUUUUCCAAUUUUGGUGAAAACACUCUACAUUUUUUUUUUAUUGAUAAACGAAAUAACAAGAACUAUUGAAAACUCACGUAAAUGGAGGAGUCUAGUUCAAACCUCGACCACCAUAUCCAACAUAACAAUUUUAGUAUUUUAGAACUAUGACUUAUGUACAAAACACUACAUUUUAAAUAGAGAUUACUUCUUUAAAACUCAUCUCAAACAUGUUUUAUUGGAGCGACCGAGCGUGGGUCACCUUCAGUUUAGGAAACUCUCCCUUUUUGAGAGGGGCGGGUUGGUUAAACCCUUUUCUGAGGAUGAGAUUAAGGCGGCUGUGUGGGAUUGUGAUAGUUUUAAGAGUCCGGACCCUGAUGGGAUCAACUUGGGUUUUUUUAAGUCCUUUUGGCCUGAGUUGAAAACAGAUCUUGUGCGCUUUGUGACCGAAAUCCAUAGGAAUGGGAAAUUAACGAAAGGCAUAAAUUCUACAUUCAUAACCCUUAUUCCUAAAGUUGCUAGCCCACAAUCUUUGAAUGAGUUCCGCCCUAUUUCUUUGGUGGGGAGCUUGUACAAAAUUUGGUUAAUGCAACCUCAUCAUUUUAGGUGCAUUUCCCAUUUUACCCUACACCAUUUUUUUAAUUAUUUUAUUAUUUUUAUAUUUUUAAUAACUUUUACAAUUUUUAUUUUUUUAACUAUUUUUCAAUUUGUUCACCCAAAUUCAGUUGCUUCUAAAUUGCCGUUGUGGGAGAGUAAGAUAUCGCUUGAUUCGGGUUUUUUCCAACUUCUCUACAUUUUUAAGGAGAAGUUAGAUCAAACACACUAUCAAUUAUUUUAAUUUCAAUAUUGUUUAAUCAUCACAACCUCACAAAUAUUUUUAUUCACACUGUCAUUUAAUGAUACCAAAUACUAUUAUUUCCUUUCUUCAACCUCACAAAUAUUUACACACACAUUAAUGUUUAGAGUAAUAUUUUAUGUCCGUCUGUGUUUUUGUUAAGCUAAUGCAUAUAAUUUUUUUUAGUGUUGCUUGGUUGAGUGCUACCUCACCGAUUUGUUUUAACUAUUUUCCAAUUUUUAUACUUUUAAAUACUUUUAACUAUUUUCCAAUUUUUCCUCCCAAAUCCAGUUGUUUCUACACUGCCAUUGUGGGAGAUUAAGAUAUCGUUUGACCCGGUUUUUUUUUUUACUUCUCAACAUUUUUAAAAAGAAGUAAGGUCAAACACAAUAUCAAUUAAGUACUUGAUGAGUCAUUUAUUGACUAUUUUAAUAUGCUUUUUAGUUUAGUUUUAUUUAGAUUUUAUAUAAUUUUAUAUUAGUAUUAUUUCCUUUUUACGAUAGUUUACUUUAAAUUGCAUUUUAUUAUAUUUCAGGAAAGAAUAUUGGAUGGAUUGAGUCUUGGAGCAAAAGAAAGAGACUUGGAGCCGAUUGGACACAAAAAAUAUGAAGAUUGAGAGACAAAAUAUGUCUCCCACAAGUCAGAAGCCUAGCACGGCCCAUGCUAGCCUUGGCACGGCCGUGCCACCCUCCAGAGUGCCUUUUGCUGCUUUUGCUUAGAUUUUAAGCUACUCUAUUUUUGGCCCAAAUGUAAUAGCUUAGAUUUUAAGUCGAUCAAAUGCUAUAAAUAGAGUAGCCAUCCAUCACAAAUAUUCAUCUUUUCUUAGAAUGCAAUAUGUGACAAUUGUCUUUCUAAUAAAAGUUCAUUUACUUUAUUGUUAUUUACUUUUAUGCUUUCUCUCUUCUUCUCCUUGUCUACGAUAAACAUUAGUGAGUAGACUUCUCUUGUCUUGGGAUUGUUGGAUAAGCCUAAUGACAUAAUCCUAAUCAAACAAAGCUUUAAACCUUAAUCUUAUGUAACCCUAAUUCCUUAUCUAAAUUCACCGCUUUAACAUGGAUCAACCAUUAUCAAACUGUGGAAACGAAAGUGGAGGGUUUGAUAAUUGUUUAUCCAUCAUCUUAAAUAUCAAUUCAUAAAACGAAAGUGGAGCUUUGAUAUUCGAACAAGUGAAUUCAGACAAGGAUUGCAAAGUCAGCGAAAUAGGCUUUGCAAUCUUUGAGACAUAUAGUUUCGAUCUUCAAGGGAACUGAUAAUAAUCAAGUCAGCGAAAUAGGCUUGGUUGUUAGAGGAACCAAAAUCUAAUAGUAAUCAAGUCAGCGAAAUAGGCUUGGUUGCUAGAGGAACAUAAGAGAAACUGUCUUGAGAAAUUAGGUCUAACAUAACAUUAUAAGCUUAUAGUUUUGGUUUGAGAAGGACUUGUCAUUUAGAGGAAACCAACGAUCCCAAGGCUCUUUUUAUUAUUAUUAUUUUCUUCCAAACGCUUGAAAACCCCCAACUUACAAUUCUCUCCUCUCUUCUAAUCAUCUCUAAAAAGUUAAUUGAAUUGAACUACUCCCUGUCGGAACGAUACUCUUUUAUACUACUUCGGUAAGACCGUGCACUUGCGGUUUUAUCUCAUCAAGUUUUUGGUGCCGCUGCCGGGGAGUAAACUAAUUUGAUUAACUCUUUCCUUGUGAUUAGAACUCUCUUCUCUUCCUUUUUUUUUCUUCUACUUCUUUUGGCGAAAAUUCUAGCAAACAAGUUGAGGCAGGUUAUUGGAAGUGUUGUGUCGGAAACUCAGUCUGCUUUUGUGAAGGAUAGACAAAUUCUUGAUGGUAUCUUGAUCGCGAAUGAGGUGGUUGAUGAGGCAAGGAAAACUAAGAAAGACCUUUUGUUGUUCAAAGUGGAUUUCGAGAAGGCGUAUGAUUUUGUAGAUUGGGGGUACCUUGAUGAGGUGAUGGGGAGUAUGUCGUUUCCGACGGUGUGGCGAAAUUGGAUUAAAGAAUGUGUUGGUACUGCUACUGCCUCAGUUCUUGUGAAUGGAAGUCCUACUGAUGAGUUUUUUCUUGAACCGGGAUUACGUCAAGGUGAUCCUAUAUCUCCUUUUUUAUUUUUAUUGGCAGCAAAAGGUUUGAAUGUGUUGAUGAAAGCGUUGGUAGACACAGAUCUAUUUACGGGGUAUAGAGUGGGGAGAGAGAAUUCAGUGGUUGUGUCACAUUUACAGUUUGCUGAUGAUACGCUUCUUAUUGGGAACAAAAGUUGGGCUAAUGUGCGGGCGUUGAGGGCUGGUCUCGUCUUGUUUGAAGCUAUGUCGGGAUUGAAAGUUAAUUUUCACAAGAGUUCACUGGUAGGGGUUAAUAUUAAUGAUUCGCGGCUGUCAGAAGCGGCUUCUGUGUUGGGGUGCAAAGUAGGUAAAAUCCCGUUUCUCUAUUUGGGGCUCUCGAUUGGGGGCGAUCCGCGUCGACUUUUGUUUUGGGAACCUGUGGUGGAUCGUAUUAAAUCUAGAUUGUCUGGUUGGAAAAGUCGGUUCCUAUCUUUCGGUGGUCGUUUGAUUCUACUAAAGUCCGUCCUGACUGCUCUACCUGUCUAUGCACUUUCCUUCUUCAAAGCUCCGACAGGUAUAAUCUCUUCCAUUGAAUCUUUGUUUAAUAAAUUUUUUUGGGGAGGGAGUGAGGAAAAAAGAAAAAUAUCUUGGGUUAGGUGGGAGACUUUGAGUAUGAGGAAGGAGUAUGGAGGGUUGGGAGUUAAGAGGUUGAGGGAGUUUAACAUUGCUUUGUUGGGUAAAUGGUGUUGGAGGUUGUUAUUGGAGAGGGAUGCUUUGUGGAGACAGGUAUUAGUGGCUAGGUAUGGUGUGGAGGAUGGCGGUUUGGAGGAUGGGGGCCGGAGUUGUUCUUCAUGGUGGAGGGAGAUUGUGAGGAUUAGAGAUGGGAUAGGUGAGGGUGGAGAGGGUUGGUUUGGGACAUGUGUUAGGAGGAGGGUGGGAGAUGGUGCAGAUACUGAUUUUUGGCGUGAUUGUUGGUGUGGAGAUGUUCCUCUGUGUGUCCGGUUUAGACGCCUUUUUGACUUGACUGCUCACAAAUCAAUCUCAGUUAGGAAUAUGUUCCUGCUGGGGGUGGAUGUGGGCGGGGAGGCGUUGAGGUGGCGUAGGCGGUUGUGGGCUUGGGAGGAGGAGUUGGUAGAGGAGUGUAGGGCUUUGUUACUAACAGUUUCUUUGCAGGAAUCAGUGAUAGACAGAUGGCUCUGGUUACCUAAUCAUGAUGAUGGGUAUUCUGUACGUGGAGUCUAUGACAUGCUGACAUCACAGGAGCAGCCCCAGUUACACCAUAAUAUGGACUUAAUUUGGCAUAAACAGGUUCCUCUCAAAGUAUCUAUCUUUGCUUGGCGACUUCUGAGGGAUCGGUUACCUACAAAACUUAAUUUGGCAAAUCGUGGCAUUCUAUCUGUGGAGGAGCGGUUAUGUGUUUCUGGAUGUGGGAUUGUCGAAGAUGUUUCUCAUUUGUUUUUGUCUUGUACAACUUUUGGUGCAUUAUAGCCGAUGGUGCGGGAUUGGUUAGGCGUGGUAGGUGUCGACUCUCGAUCAACUUCAGAUCAUUUUGAGCAAUUUAUUAAUUAUGCAGGUUGUUCGAGAGGGCGACGGUCUUUCUUCCACUUGAUUUGGUUGCUUUGUGUUUCGGUGUUGUGGAAUGAAAGGAAUGAUAGGCUUUUUAGAAAUAGACAAAGUAUUGUGCCACAAUUGCUAGAUAAAGUGAAAUCAACUUCGUUGUGGUGGUUAAAGACUAGUAAUGUUGUAUUUAGUUUUGGCACUCAUCAGUGGUGGUCGAGCCUGCUUUUAUGUCUGGGUAUUUGACUGAUUUGUUUGUAAUUUUGUGUGGACCUUGACAUUUUUGUGAUUGUUUGGCACAUCUUGUGCGGUAACAAUUACGGUGUCCGUAUUAAUAUAUCUCAUUUUUGCAUGUUCAAAAAAAAAACCGACUUAAAUAUGUUUUAGCACAUUUUAAAGAAUAAUCAAAUCAAAAGAUUACAUAUGUUUUAAAAACUCGUGAAUUUUUCUUUUCUUGAUAUUUUCUCUAUUUUAAAGUUCUACAAGUCACGUCCCUGUGAGUAUAGCUCAGUUGGCAGGGACAAUGUAUUAUUAUAUGCAGAGGUCAGGGUUCGAACUCCGGACACUCCACUUAUUCACUUGAAAAAUAAAUUUCUAGCCACUAGGCUACCUGACCCAAAAAAAAUUCUACAAGCCACUUUUCUCACGUUGUUUUCACUAUUUUCUUAUAUCUUGACCCUUACUUUUAUUGAUGUUGUUGAAACCAAGUUGGUCCACUAAUAACAAUAUCAUUUUAUGUUUUGAUGAUUAAAAAAUAUAUCUAAAUGGUUUUUUGAUUCGCAUUUAACUUAAUUUCUUAUUACUUUGAAAUCUUUCAACAAACUAUAUUCAUUUUAAAUUUUGCAAAUUUAUUUAUGUUAGUUCUAACAUAUAUCCCGCCAUCGCACGGGUCGUGAGCUAGUAAGUGUUAUUGGUACAUGGAGCUUUAAUCUUCUUGCACAGAUACCCACUUAAAAGUUUCAAUUGGAUGGGGAGGGGUAGCUCAACUGAUCUGAGUUAAGGGAAUUUUUUUUCUGGAGGUACUGUUUGAAACGGACCAAGGAGAAAAGAGAAAAAACUAAUUUCUAACAUGCAUUAAAAAAUAAAUAAAUAUCUUCUUAAAGCACCAACCCAAUUAAUAUUUUUUAUUUAUGCACUAAAAUGAUAGAUCAGUAUAUUUUUUAUUCAGUACAAAUUUGAAUAUCUUUUUAAACUGUACAUUUUUUAUUGGAUCAAAUAUGUUUUUGGUCCCUAUAAAAUUGGAAACUUCUAAGUUUAGUCGUUACUUAAUUUUAAUAACAUUUUUAGUCCUUCUAAAAACUAAAUUUGUUUAAUUACUCUUGAAUUCUUAAAUUUUUGAACAAUUUUUUGGAGACAUGUUUAGAACAUUAUAAAAUGUUCAUUUACUAAAAAAUAGAAUUUUUUAACAUGACAAGAAUUAAAUAUGAAUUUUUAAACGUCAAAAGUUCAAGAAAAGAGUAACAAAAAUCUGGACGUAGAAAUCAAAUUUUGAGUUAAUAUUUUGUAGAGGGACUAAAUGCAAAAUGAUUUUAUAGGGACUAAAAAAACUAUUAAAAUUAAGUCAGGACUAAAUUUAAAAGGCCCCAAUUUUAUAAGGAUAAAAAAACAUAUUGAACCAUUUUUAUUUGAUGUCAAAAGGAAAAGUUCAAUCAAUAAAUUUGUUUUUGUUGUAAAAAUUUAGAUAGUCAGGCAUGAGUGAUAUGCAAAACUAAAACAAAAAAAAUACAACAAAUGUCACAUGAAGGAUUUUGAUUGAUGAAACAAAACUACCUUGACAAAAAAAAAAAAAAAGAAUUAAAAGAAAGAAAUUGAAUAAGUUAUUAAGAUUAAUAAAAUUUUCUUGAAACAUCACCGAAGGGUUGUCUUUGAAUAAAGAUUUUAGGAAAUUGUAUAUUUUUGUAUAUAGAAGUUAUAGUUUUUAAAUGAUUGUACAUUUGUAAAUAGAAGAUAAAUGCUUCCUUAUCUUAGGCUUUUUGAAAUAUCUGAAAAUAAAAUGAUUCUUUGUAACCAAUCCCCAUUACAACUCUGAUUAAGUCUGUAGUGUUCCAUGCUUGAUAGUAGCUGGUUAUAUGUAAAUUCUAUUUUCUUAUAUUGAUAUUUCAAUUCCGUUCUUAAUGUUUUUUUUUUUUUAUGUGAAAUACAAAAAUGAUAUUUGACUUAGAAAGUUGUAGACAUAGACUUUCCCUGUAAGAGAGACAUGGGUAGGAGCAUUUGUAGAUGUUAGUUACGAGGUAUUAAUCUAUGUUUGCAAUCAUACACAUUGUAUGAUCUUAAUGUCGUUACUAAAAAUAAUGAAUCUCAUAUCGUUUGUCAGACAUGGAAACAUGCGAUCAAUGAAGUAAAUUAAACGAUUAAUUAAUGAAUCCCAACAAUAUUAUCUCUUUGUUCUUGUUUCAUUUUUUUUUUAAGAAGCUAAACUAACCCCCUCAAAUUGACAUCAGAGGUAAUCGAACUUGAGAUUUUGAGGAGGAGGAGCACACUCUCAGGUUACAAGUCAAUACGACUAGGUCAACCCAAGUGGGUUUUUCUUGUUUCAUUAUUUAAUUACAAAGACAAAUAUAUGUACAAAUAAUCCAUCGUUAUGUACUAAAAAUAUUCGUAUUUCAAAAAUAUUGCACGAAUUCAUAUGGAUACGAUAACCAUAAAUAUUUAUUUUGGAAAAUGAUAGGUACAGUGACAAAAUUUAUCAAGAAAAUUUCAAAACAGUGUAUUUGCUAACACUUUUUCUUAAUUACCCAGCAUUACCUCCCUUGAUUUCCGCCAAAUAACAAAUUUAAUUGAUUGAGACAUUUUCUUGAUAUAUUCUUAAUAAAAACUAUCUAGAUAAAUAGCAAUGCUCAUUUAUUUUUUAAACAGCUAUAAAAGCAGCUGAUCACUAAGUAACAAUAUUUUUUUAUCUCAAUCUGUUUGCAAUAUUUCAAAAAUUAUUAGAUAAUUUUAUAAAUUAUUACCCCAAAAAUAAAAUUACCAUGUGUGUCACAUGGGAUAAAGAUCUAGUUUACCCUAAAUUUAAAGCAGUUGGAUUAAAUCUUCAAAAAAUUUAUAGUCACUAGCAGAGAGACAUGUCCGUCUUUCCGCUCCUUUUAUAGCACUAACAUUUAAAAAUUAUAAACAAUGUUUUUUUUUAUGAAAUUUUAAUUUUGAUUAAAAGUAAAAAUAUAAAUGUUUUUUGUUUUCAAAUUAUAACGAAUCAAACUAACUAUGAUUAUCUAUUUCAAUGAAACUAACACUAUAAAAAAAAAAAAAAUCUAAAUUCAAUUUUUUAAUGACACCAACAACGAUAUUUAUAAUAGAAAAAGUUGUUGUAUAAGAGUAUAAUUGGGAUAAUGAAAAAGUAAGUAUAGAUACACUCUUCUAGUUUGUUACACUUUUUAAAUGAUAAAGAAAAAAAUUGGAAAUUUGUGUUUGUUACACUUUUAUUUUCAUAUUUGUGUUUUCCUUAUAUAUAAUAUAGAUUCAUAAUAAUUUCUUAGUUUUAAGAUUUUACCCUUAUAAUUAUUUAAUGCAUACUAAGAUAUGUUCCUUUUAAAUCACAUCUCACUAUUAUGAUAAAAUAUAUUAAACACACACUAGUCUAUAACAAAAGUAAUACUAAGCUUUCUGCAUAGAGUCAUACACCAAUCUCAUGGAGACAACAAAAUAUAAACUAAUUAACUUUUUUUUUAACUGUUAUUAGUGCCUUAUUGUUAUUUUAUAGUGACAAUAUUCUAGUUUUUUAUAUCCACUAAAAUCCUACAAAUAUAAAUUAAAGUGUUUGCAAAUUGAAUUGUUUUUCAUAUCUUUUAAAGCUCAACAAGACAUCUAAUGUAUUUAUUUUGGCAUGCAUAAAUUAAAAAGGCUUUGAAGUAAGGUAAAAUUUAUUGAUAUACCUAACUGUUCUAUUAAAGUUAUUUUUAAAAGGUGUGAUAUGCCAUGGUGAUACCUCCAAAAUUACGAGAGAAGAAGACAAUGAAAAAAAAAAACUUUACUACCUUAAAACUAUCUUAGAGUAACACACCAUAACUACAAGGUUCAUGAGAUUAGAGAAAUUAAAUUAAAUUAUAUUAUAGAGUGCCAACAUAAUAACCAAACGACAACUCAUGAAAUAUUCUAUCAUAUUUUAAGUUGUUUUCUUUGACAUUAUAACCCAUUCUCCUUUGUAUUAUGUUUUUGCACUCUCCAUGGUUUGAAACUCAUAGAAUCAUGCAUGUGCUUCUACCAAUUCACAUCUUUUAUCAAUGCACUUAAAAACAUAUAACAAGUCCCUAUACUUUGGACAAUAAUCAUCGGUUUCACAUUCUUCAUAAACUAUAAUGAAAAAACGAUAAUAAAAUAAUGUUACUAAAUAUGUUAAAAGAUUGUGCACAAACUAUAAAGUAAAGAAGGAAAUUUUGAAAAGAAUGAAAAAAAUGACUUACUGUCACUCAGUUGUGUUCUGAUGAGAAAUACUAUGGAAAUGAAUAGAAUCAUAGCAUAAACAAACUUUAGAAUUUGAACCAUAUUUUUUCUUGUUUGCAUGUAAAAAAUUUGAAUAUGAUUUGUUCUAUUUAUAAUGUCCAUGCUCUCUUAAAAAUGAUUUUUAUAGUUUUAGCACUUAUGAAGUUGUAAAAACCCUUCAUAAAAUUAUAAUCAUCAUUAAUUAUCUCUUAAAUAUAUCAAAGUGUUGUAAACAUAAAGAGGUCAAAUGAAAAACUUACUAAUAAUAAAGAUUUAUUCCUUUUGACUAUAAUAUUCAUAUGUAAUUGAGCUUAAGUGGUUAAUGAACUUCACCAAAGAACGAAUCAUUUCGGAGAACCCGAGUUUAAUUCUUAGGUGGUACCAUUCUUGUCGGACUAUAAUUACUUCACAGCCAAAAUGCAGAUUACUGCACACACACAAAAAAAAUUCAAUGAUAAUAAAAGUAAAAUUAUCUUUUUAGACCAAUGUAAUUUUUUUUGUUUUGAAUAAUGUAUGAUUGGAUUAAGAACAUAAAAAAUCGUUGAAUUUCCAAAAAUAAAAAACUAAAAUACACAUUUUUCUUUGGUUAAAAAAACUGGAUGUGUAUUUCAUAACACUUUUUUUAUUAAAAUAUAUUUGAAGGUUCAAAAAGUACUCAACCGAAAAUCAGAUAUGCAUAUGUCAUUUAUUCAUAAGAAUCAUUUCGUCUUUUUAAUUUGACAGAAUUCUCAAGUUAAUCAUUUAAAUUUCGAAAGUUUCAAUUACGUCUUUUUAGUUUGACAUAAUUCUCAAAUUAGUCUUUUAAGUUUCAAAAGUUUUAAAUAAGUCAUUUAAGUUGAUAAACUGUUUUACCGUUACCCCUACUAUCAGUUAGUAAUUAACUUAUGCUGAUGUAGUCGUUAAGUUGUUGACUUGGAUCAAAAUACUGUUUUUUAAAAGCCCCAAGGUGUCAAAAUGUUACGUUUAAUCGUCACAAAUGAUCAUUCUAACACUAUAAAUGUUGUUUAAUAGUGCCAAAAAGACUUUGUUGUUGUAAAUAGUUGUCUUUCUAGCACUAUAAAUGAUAAUUUGUGACUAUUAAACAUAGUGGUUUGACACCCUUAAACUUUUAAAAGACAUUAUUUUGAUCUAAGUCAACAACUUAACGGCUAAAUCAACAUCAGUUAAUUAUUAUCUGACAGCAAGGGUAACGGUGAAAUAGUUUAUCACAACUAAAAUGACAUAUUUGAAACUUUUGAAACAUAAAGGACAAACUUGAGAAUUCUGUCAAAUUAAAAUGACCUAAUUAAAAUUUCGAAACUUAAAAUACUAACUUCGAAAUUCUGUCAAACUAAAAGGAAUUCUGUCAAACUAAAAGGAACAAUAGUGAUAUUUAACCUAAAAAAAAAUACACCAAAUUUCGACACACUUGAAAACAUCCAUAUAUAAGAUAUAUAUUAUAAUAUAUUUUUAUUCACAUUUCAUAAUUUUGAUUAAUUUAUAGAAAAAAAAAACUACUUGGCCGCCUAAAUGUUAGUAAAGUUUUGUAAUUAAUCCUUAAAUUUUAAUUGAUAUUCCUUAAAGCCAUCUGGUUAUGUGUAAAUUAACAAAUGACAAGGGCAUGUGACCCCUAUGCUAUAUAUAAAAUGUCUAUAGCUACAAUACCUAGUGGCUCUCAAAUUCAUCAAUAUUACAUGAAAAUGAAUUGAAAAUCAUAUGUGGUGGGUGGUAUUUUUUAAUAAAUUUGAAAACACUCUACAUUUUAAAUAGAUUAUUACUGGGAAACUCAUGCCAAACGUAUAUGUUAUACGUCUCUGUUUUAUUAGCUGACUUAAAGACGUUUUUAGUCUGUUUUUAAGAAGAACCGACUUAAAAGAUCAUAUACGUUUUAAAAACUCGUGAAGCUUUUUUUUUUUCUCGCUAUUUCUCCUCUUUAUUUUAAACAAAACCCUAGUAGUCACUUUUAUCCCGUUGUCCAUCUAGAAAUCACGCGAUUUAACCCCAACUAUAGUGCAUCACACUACAUGUCAUUGUACAUGGACACUUCGGAAUCCAUCCCAUACUCUAAAUGAUAUAGCAAAAACUAUAAAUUGGAGCAAUCCGUCAAGUUUACAGGAAUCGCUCCUAUAAAUUAGGUAUUACUGAAGCCGAGUUGUUGUAGAUGCAACAACCGAUCUAGUUGUUGUGGAAUUAUUGUAAAGAAUUUUUCUUGGAACAAAUAGAGAAUGCUUAUUUUGAGGGGAAAUAGAAAAUCCUUGGUGAUUAAGAAAAGUUAAAACUAAGAGAAUAUGAGUGGAGAGAGAUAGUGUUCUAUUUUGUGAAUCUUAAUGAUUAUGAAUAAGGGAAUGAAUAUACAAAAGUCUUUGAUGUAAGCAUUUAUACACACUCAUAAAAUGUAACUAACUAUUUCAUGCAUCUCAAUCCAUGUUGUGCCAUGCCAGUUGCUAAGUGCAUAGAACUAUUUCAAGAGUUGAGGAUUUUAUUUCGGUUCAGUGGAUAUUGACUCCUUGAAUUCGAUAAACUAGUGUGUUAACCCGUGCAAUGCACGGCGACAAGCUUCAAUUUUUUUUAUUUUCAAAAAUAUAUUAUUUUUUGUUUUUAUUUAUUUUAAUUUACCCGUGUUUUCUUACAUCGCAAUGACAAAUAUGUAUUAUGUAAUUUUAUGUUUAUUAACGAUAAAUAUAUGUCUUAUGCAUCUGUGAAAAAUAUAUUUCCAUUAUUUUCUAUAUUUGUCAACAAAAAUUGGUUGGGAGGAGGGGGUGAAGCGUGGAGGUGGAGGAGGAGGCUGUGGGCAUGGAAGAAAGAGUUGGUAGCAGAGUGUGUGACUUUACUUCACAAUGUUACUUUGCAGUCUAAUGUUUCAGAUCAGUGGCAAUGCACCCCGACUUUGAGGGGGGCUAUUCAGUGUGUACAGGUUAUCAACUGCUCACUUCACAUGAAUUUCCUAUUUCGGAUGCUUCAGAGAACUUAAUUUGGCAUACUCAGGUGCCCUUUAAGGUUUCUAUUUUAGCUUGCGUUUGCUCUGUGACAGGUCCGACUAAACUUAAUUUACUGAAUCGCGACAUAAUAUCUAUUGAGGCUACCCUUUGGUAGCAGGUCUGGUCUUGGAUUGGCGUUUCAAGGGUUGAUCAUCAAAGUCUCCGUGCUCAUUUUCCCCAUUUCACUCACUACUUAGGUGGCUUGAGGGCUCGUCGAUCUUUCCUCCAGCUACUUUGACUUCUUUGUGUUUGGUUAGUGUGGAAUGAACGAAAUAAUAGACUAUUUAAUAAUUCUCACACUUCCAUUUCAAAGCUUAUGGAUAAAGUUAAAAAAAAAAAAAAAAAAAAAUCUUACUAGUGGUUGAAGGCUAAUAAAACCACCUUUGUAUGGUUGUCAGUAAUGAUGGUCGGACCGCUUGUCUUGUUUGGGUAUCAGCUAACCGGUGUUCUUGUAAUUAUUUGACUGACAGAUUGUAUUUUGAGUUGUUUUUUAGUACGCCUUGUGCUCAAGAGGCGACUCUAUAUGUGUUAAUAUAUACCAUUUUUGCUUCUUAAAAAAAAAAAACAAGACUAAUUGCUAGCAAAAAUCUGAGAUUAAAAACCAACUAUGUUUUUAACCUUUGAGUCAUCAAAUUUUGUGUAAUUUGAGUAAAUUAAAAAUCAAUCUUUUGAUUAUUUUUUCCACUUGUAAGACAGAAAAACUUACAUGAUAUAGUGUUUAAAAACCAACUAUGUUUUUAACCUUUAUUAAUGUUGCACAUAAAGUAUUUAAAUAAAAAUUAUACAAUCAAACCCCUUUAGGAGGGAACUACAACCUAAUCUUCAAAUUGUUGAUUGUUUCUUCACUUCUUCAAAUCUUCAACCUUGUCACUUUCAAGGAUGGAAACAACCAAAGGUUUUUUUUUACUAGGUUCAUUAAAUUAGGUAAAGAUAAAUAGUUAUUGGAUGCCACUAUAAAUGACUAAAAGCUACCUUAUGAAAUAUUUUAUCAGAAAGUAUUUUGCUAGCACAAUAAUUCAUUCUCCUCCGUUUGAUGGUUUUGAACUCUGCUAGAUCCGGUACUCUUAGCGUCUUCGAAUAAUCUUAAUCCAUUCACAUCUGUUAUUAAUGCACUUAUGAACAUAAUUCUUAUCCCAAUUUAUGAUAUAGGAUUUUGGACAGUCCACGUUAGAUUCACAUUCAUCAAUUUCUGUAUAAAAUUAACAAAUGUUAAAAUAAUGUUACUAAUUAAACAUGACAAAGAUUGUGUAAAAACUAACAAGUAAAGAAGUAAAUUUGAAAAAGAUGAAAAAUAGCUUACUAUCAACAAUAUCCAUUGCAACAAGAAAUAUGGGAAGAAAUAUAAUUAUACCGAAGACAAAUUUGAGAAUUUCGGCCAUAUUUUUUUUCUUUCUUCUUUGCAUGUAAAAAGGUAAUAUGAUUUGAUCUCUUUAUAUGAUUUAAUCUUCAUAGCACUUAUGAAGUUGAGAAAAUCCUUCAUAAAAUUAAAAUCAUUAUUAAAUAUCUCUUAGUUAUAUGUGUGUUUUGUGUUUGUCCCUUUAUCACACCAAGUAAAGCAAGCAUUCACAUCGCAUAAUAGAAAAGAGAAUUCCUUUUAACCUUUCUUGUCACUUCUAAUUUUUCAUUUCUUUUUAAACCUUUCAUGAUAGUAAAGAGAAGAUAAUAGUUUCUUUUUAGACCUUAGCAAAGUUAUUUGUUGGAAUAACGAAUACACACACAUUAUGGAACCAUGUUUUAAGCAAAGUUUAUGUUCAAUACCAAAAAUUUUGUAAAGCAUUGUGAAUUAUAUAUUUGAUGUGAAUGGUAGUGUAGAAUAAAUCGUGCAAUUACAACAUUAUAUACACAUUCUUUCUUAUUCAACGAAUUUUUUUUUAAAAAAAAAAGAUCUUACAAUAAUUUCUAUGUUAGCAUAAACUAUGUUAUCAUCUCAAUGUUGUAUUAUUCAAAUAAAUAACUUUACCUAGGUAAAAAAAAAAAAAAAAUAUCUCUUUAAUACCAUGAAAGGUUAAAAAAGCAAUGAAAAAGUUAGGAGUAAUGAAAGGUUAAAAGAGAAAGUUGUCCCUUUUAUAACAUGAAAGGUUAAAAAAUAACUGAAGGUUAAAAAAUUCUAACUUAAAGUAGAUAUUUAAAUGACAUUUAUGAAGGUGAGAAAAACACAAGAAGGGGGUUGAAUUGUGUUGACUUUUUCUUCUUUUUCUUUAAAGCUGAAAACACUGAUCAGAAGCAGAUAUAGUUCUACUUCUGAAGUGAUGUUCAGAACUAGUUGCAGCAGAUAAAACAGAGAGAGAGAGAGAGAGAGAGAGAGAGAGAGAGAGAGAGAGAGAGAGAGAGAGAGAGAAGAAAGACACAAGCAAUUUAUACAGGUUCCUUCCACAACCAGGAAGUCAGUCCUGUCCCCCUUGCACUUCCAAGGAGGGUUCACUAUGUAAUAUCUGAUUACAAAUGCUCACUAUUAAACUUAGUAAGAGACUUCAAAUUGUUCAAGCACAACUGCAAGAGAUUUCCUAUGCUCCUGAACACAAUCAAGAGACUUCUAUUGCUCAAGCACAAAUGCAAGAGACAUUUGAAUUCAAACAGAAUUACAAAGAAUAUGUUUGAGUUUGAACACUUGAUAUACAAUCAGUGAUGUUCACAAUACAAAUCAGAUACAGACUCUAAAGACUCUAGAAUUUAUAAGAUAUGAGCUUUGAUAAGAAAUUCUAAGAGAACUUUGAAUGCAGAACAAUUUCAGCAGAGUUUUGGCUCAGUUAAUUCUUGGUAUUGUUCUUGUGAAACUCUGAGUCUUCACUCCUUUAUAUAGAGGUGUGAAAGAGAUGUUGAAUUGCCAGCACAUUCAAAAUAGAGUCGUUUGAAGCUUUUGAUCAAUCACCAAUGAUCCUUUGCCUGAUAUGGUUAUUGUCCUAAGAAGUAUCAAUUUCAAAUGCAUUCCCAUUGUAAAGGAACAUCGUUGCAGGUAGAGCUGUUUUUCUUGUCUUGUAGCAGAGACAAAACAGAGUAGUGGAGGUAGUGGUUGUACACUUCGUACAAACGUACUUUGUCAACGCUCUUUGAAGAAUAAACAUCCAAUGCCUUCAAAUCCUUUCAAAAUAAUCGUUGCUUUGCCUUUCCAGUCUUCUGCAAUCUUUAGACGAGUUUGAAUCCAUUAAACAACUUUUGAAGCUUUAAGUUGCAUCUCCUGAUGAACUGCAACUUCUCGUAAUUCUCAGCUUAUGAUAAAUUUGCUUCUGAUGAACUUGCUUCUGAUGACCUUACUUUUGAUGACGUCAUCACUUCAGGAGCACUUUGUUUUCAGGAGCGCUUUAUCUUCAGGAGUAGUUUUCUUCAGACGCUUUAAGCUUUCCUUUUUGCUGAGUUCUUUGCUCUUUAUUGUUCUUCCAAGACCUUUUUAAGAUGACAAUUUUUUGUCUAUAGUCAUGUACACUUGAACAAAUAUUAGCAUAUCCAAUUGACAAUUUAUAAUACAUUGUUAUCAUCAAAACUCUUAAGGGUUAAUGUUAGACACAUUUUGUUACAACAAUCUCCCCCUUUUUGAUGAUGACAAACAAUAGUAUUUAAAAUGUUCAAUUGUUGUUAAUCUAAUUAACACGUUGACUAUAAGGGUAUGAGGUUUGUAAGCUCCCCUGAGUCCAAUAGUACUUUAAGGUGAGGUUUGUAAGCUCCCCCGAGUUCUAUCCAUGUUAAUUAAAUUCAUCAUUUAAAAAUGAAAUAACUCUCAGAAUAAUCUCACAUAAAAAGACUAAGAGAUUAGAAGAAGGUCCUAUUAAUUUAACUUGAUUAGAAUUAAAUUAAUGAGGCUCAGAGCCUAUAAAUAGUAUACAUCUACUCCCCCUUUUGUCAUCAACAAAAAGUAUAAAAUAAAGACAAAAAGAAAGAUAUGAGAAAAAAUACAUUCAGGAGCAAUAUAACACAUGUAUAUAUAUAGUGAGAAAAAAUAGUGAGAAAUUAUGUAGAUAAAUACAUUCAGAAGCAAUAUAACACAUUGAAAAAAAAUCAGGUCAAACAGUAUCUUAAUCUCCCACAACGACAGUGUAGAAACAACUGAAUUUGGGAGAAAAAAAAUUAGAAAAUAGUUAAAAAUAAAAAAAAAUUGGAAAAUAGUUAAAAAAAAAUCGGUGAGGUAGCACUCAAUCAAACAAUACUAAAAAAAAUUAUAUGCAUCAGCGUAACAAAAAAAUAAACAGACGGACAUAAAAUAUUACUUUAAAUAAUAUUAAUGUGUAUAUGUAUUCGCGAGGUUGAGGAAAGGAAAUAAAAAUUCCCUUUAACUCAAAGUAGUUGAGCUACCCCACCCCAUUCAAUCGAAACUUUUAAGUGGGUAUCUGUGCAAGAAGAUUAAAGCUUCAUGUACCAAUAACACUUACUAGCUCACGACCCGUGCGAUGGCGGGGCUAUAUGUUAGAACUAACAAAUAAAUUUGCAAAAUUUAAAAUGAAUAUAGUUUGUUGAAAGAUUUCAAAGUUAUAUGUUAGAACUAACAUAAAUAAAUUUGCAAAAUUUAAAAUGAAUAUAGUUUGAUGAAAGAUUUCAAAGUAAUAAGAAAUUAAGUUAAAUGCGAAUUGAAAAACCAUUUAGAUAUUUUUUUUAAUCAUCAAACCAUAAAAUGAUAUUGUUAUUAGUGGACCAACUUGGUUUCAACAACAUCAAUAAGUGAGAGUCAAGAUAUAAGAAAAUAGCGAAAACAACGUGAGAAAAGUGACUUGUAGAACUUUCAAAAAGAGAAAAUAUCAAGAAAAGAAAAAUUCACGAGUUGUUAAAACAUAUGUAAUCUUUUAAUUUGAUUAUUCUUAAAAAUGUGCUAAAACAUAUUUAAGUCAGUUAAUAAAACAUGUGACAUAAAACAUGUUUGAGAUGAGUUUUAAAGAAGUAAUCUCUAUUUAAAAUGUAGUGUUUUGUACAUAAGUCACAGUUGUAAAAUAAUUGUUGUGUUGGAUAUGGUGGCCGAGAUUUGAACCAGACUCCUAUAUUUAUGUGAGUUUUCAAUAGUUCUUGUUAUUUUGUUUAUCAAUAAAAAAAAAAAUAUAGUGUUUUCACCAAAAUUGGAAAAAAAAUACCACCGUUGUCCACGAAAAAAAAUUUCAAUUCGUUUAUAGAGAGAGUAACUUAUACCAUAGGGUAGUAAAAUCUAGUAGAGAAUCUUUAGAUUUUACUACUUGCAUUUUCAUCAAUCCAAACAUACAUAUUUACCAAUCAUGAACUUUUUUUUUCUUUCUUUUUUUUAUCGAAUCCUAGUUCUUAUCAUGAAAUAUUAUAAACAAACUCCCCAGACACAGGGAUAUUUAUAACAAGUUCACUUACUGAACAGAUAAGAAACAAGAAUUUGAAAUAAAACAAGGAUGAGUUCUUAAAUAUAUUCAGUGGAAGCUAAUUUGUGAAGGUAAUCAAUAUUAUAUAUCCUCAAGCUGAAGUCCCUUCUAAGGAUCAUUCAUGUGUACUGAUGAUAAUGAACUCAAGUUUGUUGAGACUUCAUCUGUUGCUUUUUUUCGCACGACUGUUGCACCGGACUAUUCAUUAACUCCUCAAGUCCUUUGUGGUUGUGUGUAUUGCUUAGUGGAUGGUUACAUCAAUGGUAUAUACUUCUCUACCCCCUUCCAUUUAGUAGAUAUUGUAAAAUCAAGGACAACCUCCUGAGGCUUAGGAGAAGCUAUAUAUAACUCUUUUCAACCUCAUGUGUUGGAUGGAUCACCAUUGUUCACUGCCUUCUUUGGAGAUUGAUUUUUCAGGCCAAAAUACAUUCAGUCCCUUGCCUGUAUGUAUGACCAAAAUACACUCAAUUCCUUUAUAAAAUCUUACCAUACAUCUACAAUAUACUAUUUUUUUUCUUUGCUAUAAGGAUGGAAUUUUAAAUAUGUUUGGUGAAAAAAUGAUAUGUGAAGGUAAUUAGCAUUAUAAAGUCCUGAAAAUCAAUUCCAACCACAAGGAGGUGGAAAGAGUAUUACUUUGUUGAAGCAUGCAAUAAAAAGAAAGCCGACUAAAGUUUCGAUAUGUAUGUUAAAAUAAAUUAGUUUGACGAGGCAGAAAAUUCAUGUUAAAGUAUUCACUAAGAUAUGAACUAUGCCUUACCUUGAAAUUAACCAUAACCAGCAAAGAGCUAUCAGUUAAAGGAAAUUGAUAUCUUCAGCAGCAAACUUCAUUCCUAAUAUUGGUGUUUCCCCUGAUCAAACAUGAAACUCCGACUCUUUCAUAAAUAUAUUAUACAUGAAAGGGCUAUUUCAUAAAUGAAGGACCAUCACCUGCAUAUUUUCAUGGAUACAUGUAUUUAAAUUGAAAUCAAGUAAUAAUAUAUGUUAAAAUUAAUACUAUAGGAAUGAAGAUCUAUGCCAUAUCAAUACCAGCAUCAACGGAAGUGGAGAUGCGAUAACAAUAAUCUGACCCAUAAGGUUGACAAUUUUAAUCGAUUUCGUCUGAGACAAAAUCACAAGGUUCACAUAAAUCAAGUCUCUUAAAAAAUGUCUCAGCUAUUUCAUAUCAUCCAAAAUCAUCACCUUUUAUAGUUUCUGUGGUUCAGCUGAAGCAUCCUCUUGCUUUCAGGAAAAGCAGUGGACACAACACAACUUGAUCAAUAACAUUGUCCGACACAAACAUGGCUGUGAUUCAGCAGCAUUCCACAACAUAUCUGACACAAACAUAAUGAAAUAACAUGAGUGACUCGACUAGAAUCAUGAAAUAGCUAAUACACACCUUCCUAAUGAAGAGCUGUAUACACACCUGGCUAAUAGCUUGAACCAAGAAUUUUGAUUUGUUGCAUUAACAAGCUCAGCAUCAAUUCUAAAGAUAUGGCCCAAUUCUCACAAUAAUUUUACUCGUAGACAUAUUCCAUACAAAAACAGAGAAAGCAAGUGAUUCCUGCAUAUAGAAAUUUAAAUUAGAAAGUAAUUUGGGGAUAAGAAGAUGCAGGGAAGAGAUAAAACUAGCAUACAUCUUCUUCCAGAUAACUGUCUUGAGAAAUACUUAGAAAUCAAAUAUGCAUGAAUCAACAGAGUUUAGUGCAUGAAUCAACAGCCGUCAAUAUUCUUUAGUACUAUGAAAUUCUCAACAAAAUUCUGACUCAAAGCCAUAGAAAGAUAAAUUCUGAACUAAAUUUGUCCUAAAGGAUCACCUAAAAUCUGUACCAACAAAUUAUACUUAUUACGUAUGCAGGUCCACUCAUCAUGAACUAAGUUUGCAAUUAAAAAGUGUGGCUAGCAAUCAUUGAUGUAGUUAACGUCUUACAAAUAUUGCGUCGUCAAUGCUCUAAUCACAGUGCCGUAAAAAUAAAUCAAAAUGUUCAAAGAAUUAUAAAAGGGACAUAUACCUCUGGAAAACAUUGAAAAUCUCCUGUCAGGGAGAGAACUCUAUCAGGAACAAUUGCUGCUAUUUUACAAGCUAUCAUAGAUCCUGUUUCAAUAGGCAAACAAUAUUAAAAAUAAACAAACAAAUAAACUCAACCUAAUCAAAUCUUAGGAAAAACCAUCUGAAUUUUAACUAAAUCAAAACUCAAUAAACACACAAAAUAAUAACCCGUUGAGUACCCAAAAACACGAGCCUUUUUCCAACCUAAAAUGACCCAACAAAGUAAUUGUAUCUUUUGCCAUGAUCUUUGUUCUGCACCCAACAAUCAUUCACCAAUAUUCAAAACUUCACAUUGAUGACAUGUCUGAUGUUUAGAUACUGAUAUGACACCAACCAUAUAAUUACAUUCAAAAACUUUUAUUUCUGCAAAUUAUUAUCAAAACUAAGCAAAGAGGAAGCCCAACAACAUAUAAUUUAAAUAAACAAUCUAAAACAAAGAAAUAAAGAAGACCAACAAAAACUUAUAAAAAUGGAAUAGACCUUGAUUAUCAAAAUCGCAAUCCUCGAUACCACUACUGGACCCAUUGUCGCUUCCUCCACUCUAAAAGACUUCGUCUUCGUCAUUGGGUAUGUUUGUUCCAUUAAUCCCGUUAUUUGUCUUGUGUGUUGAAGGCAAUCCUAACCAUUCAAUUAAAUCCCCACAAAAUCAGUAAAAUUAAAAAUAAAAAAAAAUCGAAAAUGCAAAUUAAAAAAAAUUAAACUAUGAUGAAGAAAAUGACCUGAAUUAGAACAUUUGUAACUUUAGUUGAGCAGUGAAAUAUCUUUCAUGUAUAAAGAUUCUGGUGCUCAUUCUGGGGGGAUGGGUUCCAAAGAAGUCAAGAUUGAGAAUAUAUAAAAAUAUUUUUGAAUAAAAAUAAAGUGAAUUGAGGCAAAUAAGGGGAAAUAGAGAUCUUACCAGUAAAAUUGAAUUUUGCGAUUGUGAUUGAGGCAGAUAAGGGUAAACGUCUCUGCUUCUUAAUCCUCUGUAAACAGUAUUUUUGGAAUAUGAGCUAUCUUGUCCCAAUCCUCCCAUGUUCCCUCUUUGCAUCGUUCCUCUAAUGUUGGGCAAUCAAUGAUAUCAAGAAGCUCAAGAGAAGUGAGGUGUCGAAUACCCUCCGGCAAGCAUCGCAAUCCUCUACAACCCCAAAUCUGUAGAGCUCGAAGGGAUUGAAGACCUUCCCAGUUUUGCUCUGGUAAGGACUCCAACUCAUUACAACAAUUGAUACACAGAGAUUGAAGAGAAGUAAGGUUUUUGAACAUCUCCUCUGGUAAGGAUGUUAUUCCUUCACCACUAUUUAGGGUAAGCUGAGUAAGACCACGGAAGGUAGAGAUUGACCUCAGUAACUCAUUGUUACAUUCCCAUAAAUGGAGGGAUUUAAGAGAUGGAAGACAUGGCAGUCCAAGUUCAGGGCAAUCCCAGAUAUCCAACUUAGAAAGACAAGGAAACAUCUCCCCUCUUUCCACUUUCAAUAAUCCCUCUAUGUUUGGUAGGGAUUUUAAGUUGAGUUCCUCUAGAGAUGGGAAAACGCUCACCUCCAUACCAUACUCAGAUUCAUCAUCAUCCAAGUAUUUCAGAUUAUUCAUACCAUAUAAUCUUAGUUUUUUUAGAGAUGGUAGUUUACCAAGUAACGGAAGCCGCACAAUUUUGUUGCAAAUCUCAAGUUCAAGAGAAAUUAAAUUACUAAGAAUAAUUAUCCAACUUGGUAACGAUAAUCCUUCAUAGUAAUUUAUUGUCAAGCAUUUGAGAUUUGAGUGAGGUUGAAGCACUUCAAGUACUUGCUCAGCACUAACCGUAGAUUCCUCCUUGUAUACCCAUGACAAGCAUAAUUCAUGAAGGUCUUUUUUACCCAUCAAAUUAGCCGCUUCAGCUUCAGAUAAACUGCCAACAUUGUUUAAUCCUUUGAUACUCAGUUUUCCACCGAGGUUUAGAUCACGUAACUCUGUCAAGCUAUUCCCUUUCUCUAAACUAACAAUGUACACACUUAAUGUUCUUAGACAAGUUAAUUUUCCAAUGUUAGGAAACAUGAGAGACAAAGAUUUACAUCUGUCAAUGACUAUAUGUCUAAGAUUUUG